rnacentral:lncRNA from 1 species
CUGCUUUAACCAUGACUUGAUAUUCGUCUUGCAGUAUAUGGAUGGCCAUGUCCCUAAUCAAGUCAUGCAUCUUGACACGUCUAAUAUCAUCAUAAUCCAUUUUAGCACUUUCCAAUAGGCAGACAUAUUCAAGUCUAUUAAGCAUCGUGUGGCCCUCAUCAAAUGCAUCUCCCCUGCUCCUCUUUCCUUUAAUUAUUCCCUCAUCGAUCAAAUAACCUAUCAACUCCUCCCUUUCAAUCUCAUCAUCUUCAGGAAAUAAUGCACAGUACAAGAGACAUUGUUGUAGUGCUAAAUCACCUAACCGAUCAUAACUAAACCUCAAUAACUUGAAUACCUUCUCAUCUAUGUCCCUAAAUUCUGAUUCUCUCAAUUUGUUCAAUGUAUUUCUCCACUCAUGUGGGUCAUCCACUCCCCUCAAGCUUCCUGCCACUGCAAUAAUUCCCAACGGCAAACCAGCACAUUCUCUAGCAAUAGCUUUUGCAAUUCCUUCCACUUUUGGUAAAAGUGUUAUGUCACGUUCAAGUUUUUCCAUGAACAAAGUCCAAGCUUCUCCCUCCGAAAGUAGCUUCACUUUGAUCUUGUGGUGGCAAGCCAUCCGAUGACAAACCGUUUCUGAUCUAGUUGUCAUAAUCAGCUUGCAUCCUUUCAAUAGCAUAGGAAUUCCCACUUCAUCAAGCUCAAAAUUGUGCCACAAAUCAUCUAAAAUGAGAAUCCAUUUUUGUUUCGUCCUUAAUUCUUCUGACAAUUUGGCAGCUCUAUGCACAUCAUCAUCUUCGUUUGCAAGGUCUAGAUGAAGACAUUUAGCUAUGAGAUUCUGCAAUCUAGUAAUGCUAAAAUCUUGAGACACUAUCACCCACCAAACAUGAUCACAAAUAUCUGGUCUUUGUAGAAGCUCAUUGUAGAUAUGUUUGAGUAUUGUCGUUUUACCAAUCCCCCCCAUCCCAUAAAUGCCAAUGGUUGAGACUUCAUCAUCCAUUAACAAAGACCAUAUCACCUUUGUAUUCUCUUCAAAUGCUUGACCCACUGGCUUUGUGGAGCUAGUAGGUAAUGGAACUCCUCUAGUCUCACAAGAGCUACCUCUCUCCAGAUGCUGCACUUGUUCUGUUCUCGGUAUAGUUUCAGAUCCAUCAUGCAGACGCUCCACAUCCUCAUCUUCCUGCAUUAAAUACGUAGAGAUUUCAUUCAGCUGCUGCUCCUUUGAAAGGGCAGAGUGUAUCUGAACCCAAGUGCCAUCAGCAAAUUGAUCCACUACAUCUGUUCCUGGUGUUGCUUCUCCUCUAUUCUCAUAAGGAGAGACACUUCUGUCAACAUGCUGAAAAGAUUCUUCACCAGUGUACUCCAUGCCUUGAACUCCCGCUUGCAUCCUUCCAGCAUCCCCUGCCAAAUUAACAAGUACUGCAUUGUCUUGUUCUUGAGGACAGGUGGAAAUGGCAUAAUCAUUAACAUUGCUUGAACUUGCUAUGCUUUUAUGUCUUUUGUUGCCACCAUUCAUAGCUAGAAAGGCUGCUUCUUGAACUUCUUUAGGCACCCGACCACAAAUGCCAACACCAUGCCUUCUCUCUCCUGAUAAAUGCCAUUUGAUCCUCGAAAUGGAAGUACCAUUGGCAAAUACAUGCCUACAAAACUUACACUUCAUGCUUCCAUCAUUCAUAUCUUCAACAUGAUUCCAAAACGGAUCAUUUGGUCUAACCAUUUUGUCCUAUAGAUAAAAAGGGUCAAAAUAUUGAAUAAAAAUUAAUGGAAGUACAUUAAUUGGAAAAGGAAGGUUGAAACUAAAAUAAUAAGUUACAAACGGCAAAGAAACUAAGAAGGAAAAAAAAUGAAUUCAAGGUUAACUUGGGGUCAAUUUAGUAUGAACUCCAUAAGGCAUGGAUUGUUACAACUGAGAAAGAUCAAAUUAUUUAUUUUUGGAAGCUUUUGAUGAUCCUAACUCCAAAGUUUCUCAUUAGAAUUUCUACAACUUGUGUUUUACUUGAAAGAUUCAAACCAGAGUUACAUGUGAAAAACAAAAUGAAGAAGAUGGAGUAUAAAUAAUUUACCUGGAUUCAAGUAGUUCUUCAAGUGCUGGUUUGCUUAAGUAGUAUUCAGGAAGAAAAACAAGAUCAGAGAAGAAUAUAUGGUUUAAAAAUAACAAGGAAGUUGCAAGAUGAUGAGCUCCAGAUGAUCAUCGGAAAGGUUUAAGAAAUUUGAUGAGGGAAAUUGGAAAUCAAUGGUAUAAUGAGAUGAGAUUUGGAAGAGAAUGUUACAGUAGCAAAGAUUCUUUUAUUGUUUGACAAGAAGUUGCUAGGAAAAAAGCCAUAACUUUCCUACCAAAGAUUAUAUUACAAGAGACAACAAGUUGCUGUACACCUCUAUUUCGCUUUUCAUUUGUCUACCGCUGCAUAUAAUUAAAAUCUUCAACAAAAGAAUCAGAAGAUAAAAAUUAUUUAAAAAAAAAACAUUUCUGACAAUAAUGCCAAACACUUUAACUCGUGGACCCACCCCAUUGUUGAAACUUUGAAAAAGCUGACCAAAGUCUAGGACUUCGAUGAUACUUAAAUAAUGUUCCUACCGUUACAUAACUUAAAGAAUAUAUAUAUACAUAACUUAAAGAAUACACACACACAAAGCAGCACAAACAAUAAUAAUAAUUUUGGAUGCAAAACAAGGUUUUUUUAAAAUUUUAAUCAAUUUUUUUUAUAAUUUAAUUUUUUCAAUUAUUUUUUAUUUCAAUUUUCUCGAUUUUUGUCUCAUCCCUACCCAUCAGUGUAUUAAUUAGCCAUUCCUUUCCUUGCAUGUUCUCCUUUUUUUUUUUUCUUUUUUUUUUUCUAUGGCGCAAUUGCCAAAAAAUACCUCUUUUUGUAAAGGAGACAGCCCUCCUUUUUCAUCGCGUCUCCAUGAUCCCACAUGUUUUCAUCAAAAACCUAAAUUAUAAGAAUUCUUAGGCAGCCACGUACAUGCUUCAGGAGUUCUUUUUUCAAAAUCCUCAUUAGAGAUUAAUUUAAAACAAAUUAAAAUAAUUAUGAUUAAAAUUAUUAAAAUAAUUUAAAAAUAUAAAAAAUUAUUUAAAACAAAUUAAAUAUUUUAAAAACACAACAUUCUCAAACAAGAUAACACGUCAAGAAUCACAACAAUCCGUUAUAUGAGUGGAAAGUUGUGAUUAAAAUACUAGAGUGAUCACUUUUAGAAUGAUUUUGACUAUGUGAAAGUGAAUGUGAUUGUUGUUAUUUUUUUAAAAUUUUUAAAUAUUUUUAUUUAAAAAUAUAUUAAAAUAAUAUAUUGUAUUAUAGAAUAACUCAAAAAUUAAUUCUAUGUAUUCAAUCUUCACAAACUUUAAUAUGUAUUAAGUUAGAUUUGUGUAAUUGAUUUAUCAAGUUUGCUUAAUCAAGAUGGAAUAUUUAUGAUUAUUUUAAUCUUUAGUGUCUUCUCUCCUGGUACAUGGUAAAAGCCUGGGCAUUUUUUUCUUUUUUAAUUUUAAUAAUAGUUCUGUUCUUUCUAUCCCAAGAAAUCAAGAAUGCUAGUUUCAUUCAUCAAGAUUCUAAAUACUAUAUACAGAUAAACUCAAGAAUGUAUCUUCUCUCUCUCUCUCUUUAUUUUUAAUCCAUAUUAUAUAUAUAUAUAUAGUUAAAUAAUUUAUUUAUAAUUAAUGAUAUAAGAUGAUUUAUAAUAGUGAAUAGAUCUAUUAUUUUUUUAGGUUACUUUAAUGGUAAAUCAAUAUAGUAUUUUUUUGGAUUUUCAUCUUGGAGAAGCUGAAUAGGAUGAAAAUAUAAUAUUAAUCAAACUUUAAAUGAUAAUUAUUUAUCUAUCGAAUAAGAAUAUCCUUGUUGAUUUAAAGGACUAUUUUCAUAUCAAAAAUAAUUAUGUUUUGCACCUGAUUUUUAACAAAAAUGAUUGAAAAAAUGAUAUAUUAUUGAAUAUGAGCAAAUUUAAGAUUACAAAAAUGAUUAGUAUUUUUACAGAUGCAUAAAAUUGAUAAAUGAUGCAACAAAUUAAGAAGGAUACGUAUUAUUACAUUUAACGCAGUAAUUAACCAUUCUACAUAUUAAUUGUUUCAAGAAAAAAAGGUCCUUUGGACAAUACCUUGGAAAUACAAUUCAAAAAUACCCUUUAAUUUCUAUUUUUUUUAUUUAGCAUUUUAUCCCAAUGAUAGGACAUUUAGAAUGCACUUUCAUACAACCAGAGGGAGCUUCAGUCAGUAGAAAACUUCAACAUCUACUGUGAAGCUUGAUUUGUUAUCCAAUCUGCACACCAGUUUUUAUCCCACUGCAGUAGAACUUUUUAUCUUUUUCCAAGUUUUUUUUUGGGUGAAUUUUUUUCUUUCAUCUCAAAUUAACUUGUGAAUAAAAAAAAUAAAAUUUUAAACCAAAAUAAAAAAUAAAAAAUAUAAGAUGCAAAAAAUUAUAGGGAUCGAAAUUUUAAAAAUCACGCAUAUGCUUCUUUCUAGUUUUAGUAUUAAAUUUGUUCGUAGAAGUUUCAUUUAUUUUUAAUCAAUUAAAUUGAACAAAAUCUUGUCAAGUCAAACAUAAACUCUUUAUUGAAUCGUCUUUUCUUUUUGGAUAAUAAGAGCUUCAUAAAAAGCUUAUUAAAAUAAAUUAUUAAAUGAAAUUAAAAACAAAAAUGCUUUUUUUAUUUAAAAAAAAAACAAAACAGAGAGACAUCUACCGUGUUUUCUCUAUUGGUACAUGAUAAAAGUCUGAAAAGAUUUUUUAUUAUUAUUUUAAUUUUAAUAAUAGUACUGUUAUUUCUACCGCCAAGAAAUCAAGAAAGCUAGCUAAUUUUAAUACAAUGCUAGAGUUCUUAACUUUGGGAGAAUGAAUUCCGUGAUGGAAUUGGAGGUGCUGCUUUCUAUUAUGCACUGAUCAUGAGAUGUGGAAGAGAAUGUUACAGUCGCUAUCUCUUUUACAUAAUAUUAUUUAUUAGUAAGGUCGCCUCAAUAAUAAUUAAUUAACGUAUUGUUUGAUAUAUUAUAAGAUAUAUAAAGUUAACGUGUGGACCCGCCCCAAUGUUGAAACUUGGAAGAAGCUGCCAAGAAAAUGUAAACACAUGAAAUUUUCUAAAAAGAAUAGCAUAAUUAAAAAAUAUAUUUUUUAUUUAAAAAUACAUUAAAAUUAUUUUUUUUAUCAGCACAUCAAAAUAAUUUAAAAAUAUUAAAAAAUAUAUUUUUAAAAAAAUCAAAAAUUUUAAAAAAAACAUUAUGACUGUAAAGAUAAACCAGUCAAUAUUCUCAAGGUAGCAAUUACUAAUUGGGAUAAAAAGAAAUUAAAAGAAAAAUUAAAGGUUUUGAGUCAACGCCAUUACCAAUAUUCGCUUGCAGGUGUGUAUGGUAGUUCUUAUGCUUCUGCCUUUGAGUGUGUAUAUUAGAGCAGAGUGAUUUUAUUUAACCAUGAAAUUUUGUGAGACAAAUUAUAGUGAAUGUUUUUCUAUUUUACCAAUAUACCCAAGGUCUUUAUAACAGAGUGAUGCUACAUGCUGAGGUGGAUAUUAGCAACAGAGGAAAGCAUACAAAAGUAACAAAAAAAAAACAUCAAAUGAAAAAAAAAAAAACAACCUUUAGAAACACGCGUCUUUGGAUUAACAUUCUUUUAGUUUAUUUUUUAUGUUGUUCAUAAAGACAGAAAAAACUUUAAAAUACAAAUUAAAAAAUCUUGAGGAAUUGAUUAACCAAUCCUGUUAGUUUUUUUUUUUUCUAUGAAGACAGAAAAAACUUAAAAACACAGAUUAAAAUAAAGAUUUAAUAGAGAAUGAAAUUUAAUUUUAAAUGCAAAUUAAAAUAAAGCAGAGUGACUAAUGGAGAAAGUACUUGGAAUUCUACAAAGAGUACAGCGUCGGGAAUCCUUGCACACGUUUGGUAUUUUAAUUAUUCUUAUUUCGUUUAAUAACUCAAUUGGAAGUUCAAUUCCCAGAAUUUCUGCUUUUGAAAAAUCAUUCAUCACUUUUAAAUAACGCAAAUGAUUAUUAAGAAAAUUCAACGACAACAAUAUACUCAAUAGCAAUAUUACAGUAAAGAAAUCAAAUCAAUACAGAUAAAUAAAUGAUCCAAAUAUAAUCAAAGAAUUAGUCCAUUUAAUAAAAAAAACAUUACUGAAUCCAUAAACUACAUAAUUCCCUUUUCUUUUUUCUUUUUUCUUCUUCUUCUCUGGUGCAUUUCCCACACGAAAUACUCAUUUCAAAUUAGGCACCCCCCUUUUUCUAAAGGAGGCAGCCCCCAAUUUUCAACCUCGUUUUCCAUCACGUCUCCAUGAUCCCCGUUGUGUCACAAACAAAUUUUCUAAAUUUUAGGCUUUAGGAGUUCCUUUUUUGAAAUCCUCAUUAGAUGCUAAUAUCUAGCCCUUCAAGAUACCUUUCCAACGCAUCAAGAAUCACAGCAAUCUUAUAUGUGAGUGGAAAGUUAUGAUUAAAAUACUAAAGUGUGUGGAGGCUGUUUCCAAAAAAAAAAAAGAACAUUACUACUACUUUAAGUGUAUCUUUUGAUGUUUCCGGUUUAUAUUGAUAUAUUAUUCAUGUGAAUAAUAUAAGAGAAUUGCACUUAAAAAAUAAUGAACAAUUUUUUUUUUUAGUAUGUUAAUUUUUUCAAUAUUUUUUUUUAAAAAACACUAGUUUAGAGUGAAUUAAAUUCACCCGCAUUGUAACAUCAAUUUUAUACUUGAUAAUAUUUUAUCUAAUUUUAUUACAUGUUCAAAAAAUUAUGAAAACUGUAGUUCUUGUCGGAUGUAUUUCGUACAUAAUGGAAUUGUAGAUGGUUUCAUAGAAUAAUAAAAAAUAUUUUAUAUAAAGUAUAAUUUAUUUCAUGAUUUAAUAGCAAUAGUUAAAUCUACAAUAUUUAAAUUAAAAAUCAUCAAUAUUAAUAUAUAUUUUUUAAAAUUAUUUUAUAAUUUCAAUUUCAAAAACAUUCUUAACCAAACACAUUAAAUUACUUUUUUUUCAACUUCAAUUUCAAUCACAAUACUAAACACACUAAAAGUUUUAGUUAUAAACUAGCCCAACAAAUCAUACCCAGGGAAGCAAAAGCCAGAAACAAGCUACCUCGAUUCUUGCUCCACCGGGGUAAGAAAUGCAGCAUGCCCACUUGGAAUUAUAGAGCGUCCAAAUUCCAUGGCAAAUAAUUGGUUGGAAUUGUUUUCUGAGGGGUCUUUUCAAAAUCUGAAAAUAAAAACAGAAAAUAGAUCCAGCAAAUGAUUCCAAAUAUCUUCUAAAAAGAACGAUGAAAUAUGUUUUUUUAUUUACCGUAAGGAAAGAUAUUAAUGAAAUUUUUUUAUAAAAAAAAUCAAUUUAAAAAAUAUAUAACAAGUCAAAAUCUAUACUUAAAAUCUUUCUCGUAUUAAAUUCUUAAUUCAAUCAAAUAAAAUAUUAAUUUAAUAAAACAUAGUUAAGUUUUUGAUAGUUGAAUAUUUAGUAUAACGGUGACGUACUACUUAUUAUUUCUAUUAUUUUUAUUCCAUUUUAGCAUUUUAGCAUUUCAUACUCAUCAAAACCAUUGGAACACAAUCAAGCUUUAUCUUCAAACAACCAGGGAGAUUUUAUAGGGAUAAAAUUUUAAAAAUCACGCCUAUACUACUUUCUAGUUUUAAUAUUAAAUUUAGUAUUUAAAAAAUGUGUUUAUGAAUAUGGCAGUUUCAGGUUUAGAAACCAAAACUGCCAUAUUCAUACUCUUUUAGACAUUUUAAAAAUAUGUGUAGAAGAAUACUUUCACUGAUGAGUUAUAAUAUUAGGUUACUUUAAUGAUAAAUCAAUAUAGUAUUUUUUUUUAUUUUUUGGAUUUUCAUCUUGGAGAAAUUCAAUAGGAUGAAAAUAUAAUAUUAAUCAAACUUCAAAUUAUAAUUGUUUAUCUAUCGAGUUAAAAAAAAAAUGACAAUUCAGUAGUCUUUAAUGAAAAAGAAAAAAAAAAUGUUAUUUAUGUAAUUGUAAGCACGCUAUAUUAUAUUACUUUACAAAGGGACGAAGGACACCCUUUGCAUUAGGAUGCUCCCACUGCACUAUUGUCUCCCACCAUUCUUUUGGAUAUGCAUUGAUUGUUUUAAGAGAAGGGGGAGGAGAUGGCUGGCCAUUUUCAAGCAACGAAAAACAAAUUGGCAUCCUCUUCAGCUUCUCACAACCCAUUACAGUAAUAUCUUCAAGAGAAUUGCAAAUCAGUUUUGCACUGCAAAUGCUUUUCAGUUCUGGUAAGUCUACCAAUUCCAGAGUUAUUAACUUUGGGAGAAUGACUUCCGUGAUGGUAUUGGAGGUGCUGCUUUCUUCAUCUGUUGUUCCUAUUAUCUCCUCCAUUUUGUAACAGAACCUCACAUCAAUCCUUUCCAGGUUUACGAGGUUUGGCAGCAACACAAGCGGGAACAGCUUCUUCAUACUUUUACAGCCAUGACAAAAAAACUUUUUAAGACCAGAAAACGUACCGUUACAUGAUGGCAAUCGUGGUGGAGCAGAGCAGAACCGAGAAGAUGAAACCAAGCUCUCCAUGUUAUUGCAAUCCCGAAUGGUGAUGCGCUCCAGUUCAGUUGCAUUCUCUAAUGACAAAACAUCACAUAAACUUCUUGCAUCGAUGCAUUGAAAAAUCAGUCCUUGAAUGCCAUUUAAGAACUUGACCUGAAAAUCUCUAUCUCCGUUGAUACUCAAAUUACUCAACACAACUGUUUUACUUGGAAAAUCUUCAAUGCAUUCAUAGAAAUGUCUACCCAACUCUCCUACUAAAAUCUUGCAUGUGCUUAAUGAUAGGAUCCCAUCCUGAGAUCUGAGAUACUUCACGAAGUCAGAAAAACCUUCGAACUGGCACUCCAAAGUUUCCAAAUUUCUCAAGGAUCCUACUUCAUUUCCUUUAACUGUUAUAGGAGCACCAUCUUGCCUAAACUCUUCUAGUACAAAGACUUGCAGGUGAGAGAGUUUUGGUAAUAUACCACUAGGAAACUCCUUUUUACCAAAUCCAUUCAUUAUAAGAUACCUCAGGUUGGUUAGGCAUUCCAUUCCUUGCGGUAUCUUUUCAAGUGCAGUAUGAGAGAGACUCAACCUCUUCAGUGCCUGGAGCUUCUCUAAUGAUGGAACACGUCUUAAUUUCUCACAAUUAUUGAGCAAUAAUGCUGUGAGGCUCACCAAAUCAGAGACAGAGUCUGGCAAAUUUCCAAUAUCUGUCCGAGACAGAUCGAGGACCUUAAGCCCAUGCAAUUGCUUGAAAAAUGAAUCCGCAAUAAAUCCCAACCAACGAUUUUCACAUAGCAAUAGAGUUGAUAGAUAGGGACACCUAGGUGAAUGGCUGGAAGGAAUUUCUUCGAUCAUGUUUUCCAUUAGUGAAACUCUCGUCAGAUUCUCCGUCCACUCCUUUGCAUCUGGCAACUCUUUUAAUUGUGCACCUGCUUUGACCAUGCCUUGAGAGUUCUCUAGCAGUAUUCGGAUGGCCAUGUCCCUAAUCAAGUCAUGCAUCUUGACAUGACUAAUAUCACUUUCCAAUAGGCAGACAUAUUCAAGUCGAUUAAGCAUCGUGUGGCCCUCAUCAAAUGCAUCUCCCCUGCUCCUCUUUCCUUUAAUUAUUCCCUCAUCGAUCAAAUAACCUAUCAACUCCUCCCUUACAAUCUCAUCAUCUUCAGGAAAUAAUGCACAGUACAAGAGACAUUGUUGUAGUGCUAAAUCACCUAACCGAUCAUAACUAGACCUCAAUAACUUGAAUACCUUCUCAUCCAUGUCCCUAAAUUCUGAUUCUCUCAAUUUGUUCAAUGUAUUUCUCCACUCACGUAGGUCAUCUACUCCGCUCAAGCUUCCUGCCACUGUAAUAAUUCCUAAUGGCAAACCAGCACAUUCCCUUGCAACAGCUUUCGCAAUUCCUUCCACUUCUGGUGAAAGUGCUACAUCACGUUGAAGCUUCUCCAUGAACAAAGUCCAAGCUUCUCCAUUAGAAAGUGGCUUCACUUUGAUUUUGUGCUGGCGCUGGCAAGCCAUCUGAUGACAAACCUUUUCUGAUCGAGUUGUCAUAAUCAGCUUGCAUCCUUCCAACUUUUCAGGAAUUCCCACUUUGUGUAGCUCAAAAUUGUUCCACAAAUCAUCUAAAAUGAGAAUCCAUUUUUGUUUCUUCCUUAGUUCUUCUGACAAUUUAGCAGCUCUAUGCAAUUCAUCAUUUUUUCUUGAAAGAUCUAGAUCAAGAUGUUCAGCAAUAAGAUUCUGCAAUCUAUUAAUGCUGAAAUCUUGAGACACAGUCACCCACCAAACAUCAUCACAAAUAUCUGGUCUUUGUAAAAGCUCAUUAUGGAUAUGUUGCAGUAUUGUGGAUUUACCAACUCCCCCCAUCCCAUAAAUGCCAAUGGUUGAGACAUCCCCAUCCAUUAACAAAGACCAUAUCACCUUCGUAUUCUCUUCGAAUGCCUGACCCACUGGCUUUGUAGAGCUAAGAGGUAAUAGAAGUCCUCUAGUCUUGUUGUAUUUCAAACUUUCAGAAGAUCUAGCUCCAGCACCAACCUGCACUGAUCUUCGACUAUUCUCCACAUCCUCCUCCACUGGUUCUGUCCUCACUCUAACCCGAUUAAUUCUCUCUUCCCCGGCACCUUGUUCCAGCACCCCCUGAACUCCCACUUGUAUCCUUCCAGCACCCCCUGCCAAAUUGCCAAGUACUACAUUGCUUUGUUCCAAUGAUCGAUCCACUGGUUCUGUCCUCGGUCUGCUCUCGAGUGCCCCUUCGGAAACUCCAUCUUCUUGUGCUCUCAUUCCGGUCAUGCUUACUCGUCGUUUCCUGCUAUUGCAUGUGAAGUAAUCCUCUCUUCCCCUACUCCGGGUUCUACAACCUGAACUUCUCUUGUACCCUUCCAAUUCCUCCUCCCAAAUUUUCAAUCUCAUUGUUUUGUUCUUGUGGACAAGUUGAAAUUCCACAGUCAUUAACAUUGACUGCACUUGCUGUGAUUUUUUGUCUUUUGUUGCCACCACAGUACAUAGCUAGAAAGGCUGCUUCUUGAACUUCUUUAGUCACCCCACGACAAAUGGCAACACCAUUCCCUUCUUCUCCUGAUAAAUGCCAUUUGAUCCUUGUAAUGGCAGUUUUAAUGGUAAAUGUAUGUGGACAAAACUUACACUUCAGUACUUUAUUGAUUAAUGAUCCAACCAUUUUAUCCCUCUUUUCAACAUAAUUCCAAAACCGAUCAUUUGAUUCAACCUAUAGAAAAAAAAGGGGGGGGGUCAAAAUAUAGAAUAAAAAUCACAUCUGGAUGGAUGAGAAACUACUUCAGUGCUAUUACCCUUAUUUUGCUAUUAAAAUUGACAGUCAGUUUAUUGGAAAAAGACGACGAUAAUUCAGUUAGAAUUCUUACUUGUUGAGUAUUUAAACCCCUAAUUUGACUUUGCAAGGAAGUGUCAAGGCCAGGAUUUGAGGCAUUUGACCUAGCAGUUUGAUUUUGCAAUUCUUGGACUUGGACGUUAUCCAUCUGUGACCUGUAUAAAAAUGAAGUGAUCAUAUUAUAAAACCAAAAAUCAAUGGUGUUAUUAUAAAACCAUUCAAUAUUUGGUAGUCUCUCUUAAACAGUCAAAAUCAAUGGUGUAUCUAAUUAUCAAAAAGGUUUUAAUACCGUGUUAGAACACAACAGCUAGAAGUCAAUCAGUACCUCGUAGAGUUGCCAGAGUUUCGAAGCAGGAAGUUCUCUUGUUGCAUAUUGUCUAUGUCAGGAAUUACAGCAGCUUGAUCGACUUGUCCUUGAUUAGAAGGAAAUUGAAUCCUGAAUCAAAAACCAUUCGUAAGCAAUAUGAAGCAUUACAUACUUAUGAUUAUCUUGUUUGGUUUAUGUUCAAGCUAUGAUGUUACGGAAAAUACUAAAAAUGAAAAAUUGGAUACCGGGGAGCAGGAAAAGAAGGUCCAGGUUGAUUGAAGCCACCAUGUUGAGAAGUGGUUGCGUUCGGUGUCAUAUAGCCAUGUCCCGGCCGAGGUUGAUGAGUAUUGGAGUACUGAAGCCUGAAUAAUAUUCAAAUAGUUAAACUUAGAACUGUUAUUCUCACAAAAAAGAGAGAUAGAGAGCUCAAAAAGACUUGAAAGAUCCUCGUCAAUUUUGGUCAAGUUCAUUGUUUUCAUGAUUAAAAAAGUGUAUAUUCGAGGUUAAUACCUUUGAUUCAUUGGAGGUUGAGGUCCAGGUAGCAUCGCAGGCACUUGAUUCCUCAUUGGUAACUGAUAAUUAGUCAAUUGUUGGUCCCUGAAUUAGCAACACUUGUUAGUAAUUUCUUUAUACAUAUGCAUAAUUCUUUGCUAUUAAUCCACUAAGUAUUUGAUAUCAUUUUAGCUUACCUCAAAGGAUUGGCACAUUGAGGAUCAAAUAAAUUAUGAUUAGGCUGAUACCUAUAUUCAAACAUAAUGAAUUCACUGAUAAGUACAACAACAAGAGGAAGAAGAAGAAGAAGUUAAAUAAUGAUUGAAAAACAUUUUUUUUUUUUUUCAGAAAAUACUAAACAUGAAAAAUUGGAUACCAGGGAGCAUGAGAAGAAGGUCCAGGUAGAUUGAAUUCACCAUGUUGUGAUGUGGUUGCGUUCGGUGUCAUAUAGCCAUGUCCCGUCUGAGGUUGAUGAAUAAAGGAAUAAUGAUGCCUAAUUCAAUGGAAAUUGUAGCAAAUUGGAGUAAGCAUGAGUACUCACCAUGGUUUCAGGAAAUGAAGUUGGAAACUGAGUUGUUUGUUGAAUACUAUCGUUGAUCACAUUGUUCUGUCCACCUUGAUCAUUGCAUAAUAUGGAGCCUUGGUUGUCUGCCGGCCUGCUUCCAUGGAAUAAUAUAUAGGAUAAACUGAAGUAACUAAAUUGCAAGCAAUCAUCUUCUGAUAAAAUAUGUUUAAGAAUGACGUACAAGAGAAAUAGUGAUUCAAGAUCGAACUCUGUCAAGUCAUCCAUAGAUGGUUGGAACCCUUCCAUCUGACCAAAAGUACAAGAUGAUUAGUACAUACUGAGGUGAAAAAAGAACAGAAAGCACAUCUGAGUGGAUUACUGGGUACACACGUUACAUAAGUCAAAAUAAAAGAAAAACAAAUAAAUGGUGAAACGCAUAUUUUAAUGGCAGUCCCAUUAAUUGGAAAAGAAAAGGGUGAAUCUAAGAAAAGAAAAGCCUUUUUUAUUAUUUUUAAUACUAAUAUAUCAAAAAAUAUUAAUUUAAUAUAUUUUUUUAAAUAAACAGAUUUUAAAAAACAAAUUAUAUUUUGAUUGCGGGCAUAACAAUCCUGGCAGUACCGUUGCCGUUUUUUAGUUUACACAUUCUCUGGAGCGUCGAUUCCACAUUGAAGCAAAUUAAAAGAAUAAAAGCAAAUAUUAAAUGAUUUAAUAAAAGUGACUAAUGAAAAAAGUGCUUAAAUUCUACAAACAGCUGAUAGAUAGUCGGAAUCCCUUGAACACAUUUGAUAUUUUAAUUAUUCUUAUUUUGUUUAUUGAAAGGUAAUUACCGAUCAAGUUAAUUCAUUGAAUCAUUGUAAGAAAAAAAAAAGUAGAAAAAUACUGAAUAAAAAAGAAUGGCAGUCCCAUUAAUUGGAAAAGAAAAGGGUGAAUAAAAAAUGAGUUAAAAACACUACUUUACCUACCCAAUUAUGAAGCUUAGAAGAAGAUGCCUAGAAAAUGUAAACACAUGAAUAUGAGAAACAAUAAUAUACUUUUCUUUUUAAAAUAUUUUUUAUUUAAAAAAAUCAAAGUUUUUGAAAAGCAUGUGCUCUAACAAUAACAGAUUAAAUAUGUGAUUAAUAGCAUGUGAUUAAAGGUUUUCAGUCGAUGCCAUUACAUGCAGUCAAAGACUCCAUCCUUACUUUAAAUAAACAAAACCUACACUCAAUAAUAUGUCCUAGUUUUUUUGGCCAGUGUUUUUCCGUGGUUGGAUUAAUUUUUUUAAAAUAUAAAAAUAAAAUAUUAAGAGUGAAGAAAGUUUGUUGGGCGAUAUUAUUAAACUUGUUCAGGGGAGUUAAUAUUAAAAUCUUCUAAUCUAAUUUUUUAUUUAAUUUAAAUUUUUAAUUAAAUUAUAUGAGAAUUAACUCAGUUUAAAUCGAUCAAUAUCCAAAUACAACUUAGAAAACUAGAAAAACAUGGCCUAGCUUUUAAAAAAACUUCUAGAUAACUUUUUUUUUUAUAUAUAUAUAUGCUAAUUCGGCCCAAAUAUGAAAUAGACAAAAAAAAAAUUAAUGAUAAAAAAAAGGAAAGAAAAGGAAAAAAAACAGAAAAAGCAAAACACUAUCGGUUACUAUUGUAAUCCAUAAUGAAAUGAGUAUGGGUGAAUAGUGAUUCUCUUACACAUUUUAGUUUUUCUUUUAAUUAAUAAAAAAAAAUAUCCCACAAAACCUGAAAACUAAUAUAAUUUGAAUUAUUUUAACAAACUUAUAAAUCACGUUAAUCUUAUAAAAAAAUAAAAUAAAAAUUAAUAAAUUAAAGCUGAAUUAUAACCAGCCUAUUAUUAAAUAAACAAAAAAGGCAAAACACCUUGAAUUACAUACUAUUGUAAUUUACAAUGAAAUAGGUGUGGAUAUAUAGUGAUUCUCCCAAGUCUCUUAGCUUUUCUUUUAAUGAAAAUUAAUAACCGUAUAAUAUCUUUCUUGUGGAUGCUCUAUCGUUGCUAAAUUAAAACAUCUUUUUUUUCUUUAUCUACAAUUAUGUGAAACAUUUAAAAAAAAAAAACAUUGUUAUUUUAGUUUUUUUUUUAAUAAAUACCAUCAUAAUAUGAUGUGGUUUUGUUAUUUACUCAAGUUAUUCAGUUAAUAUGUGAGUCAACCAGUAAACUAAACUUUGGAUUACGUUUCUUAACUAUUCGUAAGCUUCCUAUUUAUUCUUAGUAAUCAAAAUAUUUUUUUUAUUUUUAAUAUUAAUAUAUUAAAAAAUAUUAAUUUAAUAUUUUUUUAAAAUAACCAGAUUUUUUAAUAAACAUAACUCUGAGUACAAAAACAAUCAUGUUUAGAUUGCGAGCAUAAGCAUAACAAUCUUGACAGUACCGUUGUUGUUUGGACUUUGAGAAGGAUAAAACGAAAGAGUUAGAAUACAUUUAAAAUAAAAAAUUAAUUUUUUAAAAAUACUUUUAAAAUACAAAAACGAACUAAUAAUAAAAUAAACUUUCAUACACUUAUCAAAAUCCCAGGAACGCAACAAUCAGGCAUUAGCUUCAAGCAACCAGAGGGAGCUUCACUGCAGUAGAACACUUCAACAUAGCUUGAUUUGCUAUCCAAUCUGCACACCAGUUGGAUAGCAAUUUCUUUUCAUAACAUUUACCUUUGUAAAAACUUUCUAUUUAUUUUUAGUUUUAAUAUCAAAUUCAGUCUUUAAUAUUUAUCUUCAAAAUUUUAAUAUAAAAUUUGACGGUCAAAAUUUCACUUAUUUUUAAUCAAUUAAAUUGAACAAAAUCUUGUUAAGUCAAACAUCAACUCUACAUUGAAUUGUUUUUUCUUCUUAGACCACAAGAGCUCCAUAACAAGUUUAUUGAAAUAAAUUAUCAAAUGAAAUUAAAGGAAUUAUGAUGCCUUGAUGGAGUUUGAGGCCAAUUUUAUAUAAAACUUAAUGAUAAAAAAAUAUCAUAAAAUUUCUAAAUCUCCCAAUUGUUGUCUGUUUGUUUAACAGUAAACAAUUUGAAGAAGCUCGAGAUCGAUACACUAAACAUAAAACUUUUUGCAUAAUACAAGCACUUGCUAAUUCAAUGGACAUUGUAGCAAAUUGGAGCACUCACCAUUGUUUCAGGAAAGGAAAUUGGAAACGGAGUUGUUUGUUGAAUACUAUUGUUGAUCACAUUGUUCUGUCCACCUUGAUCAUUGCAUGAUAUGGAGCUUUGGUUGACUGGAACCUCCGGUGGCGACCUGCUUCCAUGGACAGUGACGACAUUAAUUGGAAAAGAAAAGGGUGAAUCUAAAAUAAGGAGUUAAAACAGCAAAGAAUCUUGAAAAGACGAAAACAAUGAAUUCAACGUUUAGGGUUAAUUUAAUCAGUAUGAACACCACAGGGCAUGGAUUAUAAAAUCUGAGAAAAAGAUCUAUCUAUUUAUCAUGGAUUACUUUAAAGAUUCAGACAAGAUGAAUGACAAAUAAUUUACCUGGAUUCAAGAUGUUCUUCAAGUGCUAGCUGGUUUGCUUGAGCAGUGAUCAGCCAAAAGAAAAGGAAGAGAAAUCACAGAUCACAGAAGAAUUUAUGGCUUAGAAAAAUAAUAAAGUUGCAGUAUACAUAAAUCUAGUUCGCACUGAUCAUGAGAUGUGGAAAGGAAAAUAGGGAAUUCUAUAAUGAGAUGAGAUGUGGAAAAGAAUGUUACUGCCGCUAGCUCCCUUAAAUAAUACUAUUUAUUAGUAAGGUAUUGUUUGAUAGGAAGGAAGUUGCCAGGAAGCAACCCAAACAUUACAUUAUAUGAUAUAGAAAGUUAACGUGUGGAACCGCCCCCUUUGAAGAAGCUGCCAAGAAAAUGUAAACACAUGAAUAUGAGAAAGAAUAGCAUAUUUCUGCAUUGUGUGAAUUUUUUUUUUUUAAUUAUUUUUAUAUUGCAAUGUAAAAACAAUUCAAAAAUAUUAAUUACAAACGGUCACUUGAUAUAAUUUUACAGACUUUUAAUUAGCCUCACUCAUUUGACCCAUGUCAUGGGUUAAUGGUUCUCAGCAACUCUCCAUUCCGUGACCUUUCUGGCCCUACCUAGAACAACCAACACCCCGACAAAAAUAAUAAUAAUUUUACAGUCGAAUCAUGUUUUUUAAAAACUUGAUAUUUUUUUAUUUUAAAUUAAUUUUUUUAAUAUAUUUAGAUUAUUUUAACAUUUUAAUGUUAAAAAUAAAUUUUAAAAAAUAAUAAAAAUAUUAUUUUAUUAUAUUUUUAAAUUAAAAAAAAAACAAUUAUUAUCUCAAUAUCAAACAUUAUCUUAUUCUAUGAUACUAUCCUUGGAACUUUUCCACACCAAUGGAAAUUUGUUUUUCCCAAACACCCUUCUACAAAUUUAUAUUUUUAGCCCUCAGACCUAUAAAGUAUGAUUUGCUAGCCAAUCUGCACACUAGUUUCCCAUUAAUACAAAGAUGAUCGUGUUUUUUUGGUGCCAAAAUUGUCGGCCAAUAAUUUUCCAUUUUUAUCCGAGUUUUUAAUGAUUUUUUUAUCUCAAAUUUAUAAAUUAAAAAAUUAAUAAAAUAAAAUUUUGAAUCAAAAUUAAAAAUCAAAAUUAAAAUGAAAAUGCAAAAACUUAGGGAACAGAAUUUUGAAAAACACGCCAGGCUACUUUUUGAUUUCAGUAUCAUAUUUGGUGUUCACAGUUUCAAUUAUUUUUAAUGAAUUAAAUUGAAUAAAAUUUUAUCACAUCAAAUACCAAUUUAAAUUAAUCUUCUUCUUUUUUACCUUUUUACCUUGAAAACUUUAUAAUUAAUUAAAAUAAAUUAUCAACCUCAAAUUCCCAUGAAUAUAAAAUUAAAAAUAAAAUAAUCAGCUCAAAUAAUAAUUAAUUAACAUCUUGCCUGAUAGCAAGGAAGUUGUCAGGAAGCAACCCACCGCUCACCUACCAAACAUGAGAGUGUUUGGAGAUUAUUUUGGUUUUUUUUUUUAUGGCCAUAUAAAAAAUAUAUAUUUUUAAUUUUAAAAAAUAUAAUGUAUAUUGAAAAAAAUUAUUUUUUAAUAAAAAAAAUUAUCACAUCUCCAUACCAAACACCCAUAUUAUAUUAUAAGAUAUAAAAGUUAACGUGUGGACCCCACAAAUGUUGAAACUUCGAAGAAGCUGCCAAGAAAAUGUAAACACAUGAAAUUUUCAAAAAAGAAUAGUAUAUUUAUGCAUGCUGUAAAUGUUUUUUAAAAAUAUUUUUUAUUUAUAAAUAUAUUAAAAUAAUAUUUUUAAAUUUUUUACUUUUUAUAUCAUAAUAUCAAAAUAAUUAAAAAAUAGUAAAAAUAUAUUUUUAAAAAACACAUUAGGAUUGUAAAGAUAAACCAGUUCUAACAUUUAAAUUGUUUUAAAAGUAUUUUUAAAAUAUAAAAAUAAACAGUGUUUAAGGUGUAUUUGGUAGUUUUUAUCCUUCUGCCUUUGAGUGUGUCUAUCAGAGCAGAGUGAUUUUACUUAACCAUGAAAUUUUUGUGAGAUAAAUUAUAAUGAUUUUUUUUUCUAUUUUACUAAUAUACCCAAGGUGUUUAUAACUAGAUGCUACUUGCUGAGGUGUAUAUUAGCAACAGAGGAAAGCAUACAAAAGUAACAAAAAAAAAAAUGGAUAGUAAAGACGAAAGCAUAUCAAGCUAACAAAAUCAACCCCACCAAUUCUCAAAUAUUCAGAUUUUAAAAAACAGAAGGAAAUAAUAAUUUAAGAAGAAACAUGUUUUCAAGCUGUGUCAAAUGCAGAAUGCUUUAAUUAAUACGAGGAAAAUCUUGUUGAUAAUAUAGUUCGGUAUAGCGCACUGCCAGUUUAAAAUUACAAUCAUUAUUGAUUUUUAAAGUAUUUUUUAUUUAAAAAUAUAUAAUAAUUUCAGAAUCAUGUUUUUUAAAAAAUUAAAAUUUUUAAUAAUUUUAUAUUAUUUUAACAUUUUAAUGUUAAAAAUAAAAUUUAAAAAAUAAUAAAAAUAUUAUUUUAAUAUAUUUUUAAAUAAAAAAAAUAAUUUUAAAAAAAUUAUUAUCACAUUAUCAAACAAUAUCUUAUUUUAUGAUAGUAUACAUGAACUUUUCCCCACCAAUGGAAAUUUUUUUUCCCAACACUCUUCUACAUAUUUAUAUUUUUAGCCCUCGAUCUAUAAAGUAUGAUUUGCUAUCUAAUCUGCACACUAGUUUCUUAUUAAAAAAGUUGGUAUUCCGCUAAUUGUUGUGGUUGUGAUUUGAAAAAAAUUAUUUUAUAAAAAUUAUUUUUAAUUGAGGUUGGUUUAAAAAAAAUAAAUGUUUGGUUAAAAUUAUGGUUGAAAUUAAGGUUGAACAAAAAAUAGUUAGUGUUUGGUUAAAAAUGCUUUUGAAAUUGAGGUUAUAAAAUAAUUUAAAAAUAUAUAUAUUAAUAUUGAUGCCUUUUAAUUUAAAUAUUAUAGAUUUAACUAUUUCUAUUACAUCAUGAAAUAAAUAAUAUUUUAUAUAAAAAUAUUUUUUAUUGUUCCAUUAAACUAUCUAUAAUUCCAUCAUGUAUGAAAUACGUCUAACAAGUACUACAAUUUUCAUAAAUUUUUUAAGAGCGUAACAACAUCAGAUAAAAUAAAAUCAGGAACAAAAUUGAGAUUGCGAUCAAUUUCUGUAAAUGCGGCAUCAUAAAGCGAUCUCCGUUUAAUUUAUGUAGUCAUUGAAUAAUGUUUAACACUAGUUUUCUGAAUAAAAUACAAUUAAAAAUUAAAUUUUUUUUUAUUUUUUUUUAUUUUGUUGGGUCAGACUUGAUUUAAUAUAUUUUUAACGUUGAACUGGAUUGGUCCAAUCGAAACAGUGGAACAUGCUCCACUGUUCCAUGCAUAAAACCCAUGACCAGGGAUUACAAGAAGCAACAACGAGCUGCUUUUUGCAACUUAUAGCUGUGCCACAAUUAAUAGUGGAACCCACUGGCAUAACUGUGGCAGGAGAAUUACCAAAUAAUAAAAAUUGUGGUUGCGGGUCAACUUUAUCUACAGCUACAAUACCAAAAUUAAGAACCAAUAAUAUUUAGUAAUUUUUUCUAUCUUAAAUUUAUAAAUUAACAAAAUAAAGUUUUAAAUUAAAAUUAAAAACCUCCAGUAAACAGAAUUUUGAAAAACACACCAGACUACUUUCGAUUUCAAAGUUUCAAUAAUGAUAGGAAGGAAGUUGCCAGGAAGCAACCCACCGCUCACCUACCAAUGAGAGUUAACGUGUGACCCGCCCCAAUGUUCAAACUUCGAAGAAGCUGCCAAGAAAAUGUAAACACAUGAAAUUUUCAAAAAAGAAUGGUAUAUUUAUGCAUGCUGUGAAUUUUUUUUAAAAAAAAUAUUUUGGCAUUUUAAUGUUAAAAAUAAUUUUUUAAAAAUUUUUUAGAUUAUUUUUACAUUUUAAUGUUAAAAAUAAAUUUUAAAAAAUAAAAAAUUAUUAUUUUAAUAUAUUUUUAAAUAAAAAAAUUAUUAUCACACCAUCAACCAUUAUCUUAUUCUAUGAUAGUAUACCUGAACUUUUCCACACCAAUGGAAUUUUUUUUUUUCCAACACCCUUCUACAGAUUUAUAUUUUUAGCCCUCGACCUAUAAAGUAUAAUUUGCUAUCCAAUCUGCACACUAGUUUUCCAUUAAAAAAUUACUAUUUUAAGUGCGUCCAGACUGGUUCAAAGUGAAUUUCACAACUUUUCUGUGAGAGCUUCAACUCUACAUUGAAAUGUUUUUUCUUAAACUGUGAGAGCUUCAUAAUAAGCUUAUUGAAAUAAAUUAUUAUAAUGAAAUUAAAAACAAAAAUGCUUAAAAAAAAACAGAGAGACGCCGUGUUUUCUCUAUUGCUACAUGGUAAAAGUCUGAGCAUAUUUAUUUAUUUAUUUUUAUUUUUAUUUUAAUAAUAUUACUGUUAUAUCUACCGCCUGCAAAUCAAGAACGGUAGUUUCAUUUAAAAGAUUCUAAAGUUCAUAUUUAGAAAAAUUAGCAGAAAGGACGAAAACACAACAAAUCAUACCCAGAGAAGCAAUAGCCAGAAACAAGCUACCUCAAGUCUUGCUCCACCUGGCUAAGAAAUGCAGCGUGCCCACUUGGAAUUACACAUCAUCCAAAUUCCAGGGCAAAUAAUUGGUUGGAUUUGUUUUUCGAGGAGUCAUCUCAAAUUUGAAAAUAAAAACAGAAAAUAGAUCCAGCAAAUGAUUCCAAAUAUCUUCUAAAAAGAACAAUGAAAUAUGUUUUUUUAUUUACGGUAAGGAAAGAUAUUAAUGGAAAAAAUAAAAAAAAUCAAUUUAAAAAAUAUAUAAUAAGUCAAAAUCUAGACUUAAAAUCUAACUCGUAUCAGGUUUCUAGUUGAAUUGAAUAAUUGAAUAAGAAGGUGGGAAUGGGAGACAGCAAAAGGUGUCAAACAGAAAAAAAGAAAAGAAAAAAAAGAUCCAUAUUCCAAAGGAGAGGGUCAAAGAUUGCGGCCGAUUCAAAGGACGAGCUUAAUCUCAUGAAUCAUUUUUUAACUUUAUGUAAGACUUGACACGUGUCCUCUAAACCCUCCUGCCCUCCGAUCCUUGCUAAACCCUUGUUCUGGUCGUAAUCAUCCAUUAGCGUAAACCUAUGCUUCUCUGACUUUGAUCCCAAUAAACCAACCAUGGAGUUGGUGGUAAUGUAAUUGAUAUUACUUUUUUAAAUUAUUUUUAUUUAAAAAAUAUCAAAUAAUUUUAAUGUGUUGGUAUUAAAAAAAUUAAAAAAUUAUUAAUAUAUUUUUAUUUGAAAAAUAUUUUUUAAAAACCAUAUGUAGAAUUACUAAACACCCUUAAGCCAGUGGACAAAGACACAAACGAAAAAUACAAAGGAAAAGGGAUAAAAGCAUAUAUUUGGAGAUGAUAAAGGGCAUUGAGAUCAAAGAGGAUAAGUUUUCCAGUGAUGGGAUUGGAUGUUGAUGAAAGAUUGUGUGGAUAAGAGCAUAGUAAUUAAUUUUACUAAAAAGUUCUUCAGUGACCUAAUUCUGGCCCAACAAAAUUAUCAUUAUCCAAUAACAAUUUGAUUAAUUCAGUGUUGCUUAAUCCCAGUUUGCUAUUGCGUUUUAAAUGGUAUUGGUUAAAUUUUAUUUUUUUAUAUAUUAUUUUGAUGGGUUGAUAUAAAAAUAAUUUUAAAAAAAUAAAAUAAUUUUAAAAAUAUUAUUAUAACACCAACUUAUGAAAUUUUCUUUAUUGAUUAGUGAAUUUGAUUAGACUAAGAAUCUCCAUCACAGCCCAACAUCAUUAGCUUAUCUGCCAUCCCUUUCAAGAGAAGAAGAUUUCGAAUCAGUCCAUUCAUUCCCAUCUGUAGCAUCUUUCUCAAGCGUCAAUGGAGAAUUACUUCUGGAUUCUGAGUUGCCAAUAAAAAACAAAAAACCCUUAUAAACUAGUUCGUCUCCCAGUUCUUAAAUUAGUUUCCACAUUGUUUUUCACAAUUUUUAAGAAAAGAAAAAAAAAAUAAAAAAUGAUCAUAAGCUAUAUAUCUAACACUCACUUGAAAGAAACUGAUAACCAUGCAAGCAUUUUACAUGGCAGUAUUUGAUAUGGGGUAAGAUUUUGGAGACAAAUUAGAGUACUCAAAUUGAAUGUACUAGGUGAAUUGCCUGCGCGGUGCUGCGGGUUAUAACAUGAACUGAGCAAAAUCUAAAGGCACUGAGAUCAAACUGAGCAACCACACAGAGUAAAUCUGAAAACAUUGUAACCAUUGAGAUCGAAACUGAGCAACCAUUUUGGAAAAAAUAAAAUUUAAAUUAUUUUUUUAAAUGUUUUUUAAUCAUUUUAAUAUUAAUUAAAUAAAAUUUUAAAAAAAAUUAUUUUAAUAUAUUUUUAAAUAAAAAAUAUUUUGCAACGCAACUUUUACCUCACUUAAAUAAAUCCUUAUUCUAUUGCACAUAAACAUAUGUUUUCAUGUAUAGUGGAUUAACCAAUCUUUUUAGUUUUCUUAUAUUAUUCAUAAAGAUCGAAACGCUUAAAAAUAAAAUUUUAAUAAUCAAGAGAAAAAAAAAUAGUUGAAUUUUUGUACCUUCCACAAGAAAAAUAGAUAGAUGUGUGAAAUUUUAUUCUAAAUAUAUUCUUAUAAAAAUUUCAAAAUUCCAAUUCAUGUUACUCGAUUAUUAUUCUUUUUUUAAGUUUCUUCUCUCUCUCUUUUUUUUUCUUUUUAAUCUGUAUUAUGCAUUUUUAAAAUAUAAUUUAUUGCUAGUUAAUGAUAUAAGAUGAUUUGUACUAGUGAAUAGAUCUAUUAUUUUAUUAGGUUACUUUAAUGAUAAAUCAAUAUAGUAUUAAUUUGUUUUUGGGAUUUUCAUCUUGGAAAUACUCAAUAGGAUGAAAAUAUAAUAUUAAUUAAACUUUAAAUUAUAAUUAUUUAUCUAUCCAGUUAAACAACUAUGACAGUUCAAUAGUCUUAAAAGAUAAUGAAAUAUAUAAAAAAAUGAAAAAUAGUAUUUAUGUUAAUUGUAAGCACACGAUAUAAAUAAGGAAUAUUUCAUAUUAAUAAACGCUUUACGAGUCCAAUCAAUCAGAUGUUAAUUAACAUAAAGAAAUUAACAUGGUGUUUGCAGAGAAUGAAUUGUAGAAAGAGAGAUUGAGAGUGUGAGCAAUAAAAGAUGAUGCUUACCCUUUAUUCUAUAUUAUAUUAUAAUAUAGAUCGAGAAGAUAACCUUACAGGAAAAAGACAUCCUUUGCGUGAGGAUGCUCCCCUCCAUUACUGUCUCCCACCAUUCUUUUGAACUUACAUAGAUGUUUUUAAGAGAAGAAUAAAAGAAUAAAAGAAAAUAUAAAAUGAUUUAAUACAGUACAAAAAUUAGUUUUCAAUACAGAUUAAAAUAAAGCAAAGUGACUAAUGAAAAAAGUACUUGAAUCCUACAAACAGCAGAUAGAUAGUCGGAAUCCCUUGCGCACACAUUUGAUAUAUAGAUAAUUAAAUCAACAUUAAACCAAAUUAAUAUAACCCUUUUGAAAAAUCAUCCACUACUUUUAAAUAAUUAAUUAUCCCUAUUAAGAAAAUCCAAUGACGACAAUGUAUUUAAGGAGCAAUAUUAAAGCAAAGAAAUUAAAUCAAUACAGGUAAAUAAAUGAUCCAAAGAUUAAUCCAUUCAAUAGAAAAAAACGUAACUGAAUCCAUAAACUGCAUAAAUUCGGAGAAGAAUACUUCUCAACAACAAAUUGAGAAUGAUAAAACAAAAGAGUUAGAAUAAUUAGAAAUCUGAUCAAUUUAGUUACCCAUCACUGUAUUAGUCAUUCCUUUCCUCAUCUGUGCUCUCUUUUUUUCCCUCUCUCUAGUGCAAUUCCCACACGUCUUCUUUAUGCCAAAUAGCCCUCUUUACAGAGGAGGCAGCUCCCUUUCUCAAAAGCAGGCAGCCCUCUUUUUUAAUCAGAGACUAACUUGUAGCACUUUACGAUACCUUUCCAACGCAUCAAGAAUCAGAGCAAUCCGAUAUGUGUGGAAAGUUAUGAUUAAAAUACUUUAAGUGUAUCAAGGCUGUUUCUAAGAAAAAGAACAUUACUUUAAGUUUAUACAGGCUGCUGUUUAAAAAGUCAAGAAAAUAAAGUUUUGGAUUAAAAUAAAAUAAAAUAAAAACUUUAAGGAAAAAAAAAAAGCACGCCUAUGAAGCUUGAUAGUAUAUCAAAUUAAAUAGAAGCUCGAUUAAAAAAUGCCCUUUAAUUUCUAUUAUUUCUAUUCACAUUUUAGCAUUUUAUUCCAAUGACAGAGCAUUUGGAAUGCACUUUCAUAGACUCAUCAAAACCCCAGGAACGCCAUCAAGCUUUAGCUUCAAACAACCAGAGGGAGCUUCAGUGCAGUAGAAAACUUCAACAUCUACUAUGAAGCUUGAUUUGCUAUCCAAUCCACACAUCAGUUUUCCAUUGAUACAAAGAUACCGUAUUUUUAACCAUCUAAUAGUAAAAGUUUGUAAUCAAGGGGUUUGCUCCCUCUGUGACCUUAGGUUCGAGCCUUGUGGUUAUUAAUAUUGAUGAUCAUUAACUUCAAGAUCUAUAAGAACUGGAAGCUUACUUGGUCAUUAACUUCAAAAUCCGUGAGAAUUAGUUAAGAUGCGUGCAAGUUGGCCCGGAUACCCUCAAUUAAUAAAUUAAAAAAAGCUGUAUUUUUGUUGCCGGAAAAUUAUCCACCAAUAACUUUUUAUCUUUUUCCAAGUUUUAUAGGUGACUUUUUUCUUUCAUCUCAAAAUCAUGGAUCAAAAGUGAAUAAAAUAAAAUUUCGAAUCAAAACUAAAAAUAAAAAAAUAAAACAUGCAAAAAGUCCAGGGAUCAAGAUUUUAAAAAUCACGCCUAUACUACUUUCUAGUUUUAAUUAUGCGAAGUUCAAUCUUUUUUCCUCUACAAAUUAAAUCAUGUACGUAAACCUGUUACCUACAUUUUGUAAUAUUUCUGGAUCUGCUCUUUGAUUCAUCAAGGACAGAGUUGAUUGCAGCUUCGUCAUAGAAAAGUUCGUCUUCUUCAUCUUCUUGGUUGGCGAGGAAAUAUAAGUGGACUCUUCUCCAGUUUAAGGAUUCCAACCUAGCACAUGAAUGAUAAAGGGCACAGUCAUCAUUUAAAUAAUAAAGGACAUCCUUAGCAUUAGGAUGCUCCCAUUCCAUCACUACUCUCGCUGUUGUAACCCAUUUUUGGGUCCCCACAUAUAAAAUAAUAAAAUAUAAAAAAAUUCAAAAAAAUAUAUUACAAAAAAAAUAUAACAGUGAAAAAUGCCAGAGCGUCAUAAACAUGCUAAAAAAAUUGUUUGAAGAUUUUCAAAAAUAUAAAAAUUAUUUUUUGAUAGUAUAUCAUUAACUGAUGAGAGCCCCGAUGAUAAAGAAAAUUCAAUUUGUGGAAGAAAAAUGCAAAAUCAGAAGUUUAUGGACUCAAUUAAAUUUUAUUGAAGGUUUAAUUGAAUUUAUGGAGAUUUUAAUUGCAAGAAAAAUUGAUUUGGAGUUAAUUUGGGCUUUAAUUAGGAAGAAAUUAAUUUUCUGGGGUCAAAUUAUAAUUUUGGAAGUUAAUUUGGUCAAAUCAGGGGCUUAAUUGCAUAAAUUAUUGAAGUUUAUGGCCAAUUAGGGACUUAAUUGAAGAAAUCCGAGACCAAGGACUACAUUGUAAAAACGCGCGAAAAUGGAGGGCCGAAAUUUGAAUCUGAUGCUUUUGGCGCCUUUUCCUAUUAAAUGAAACGGCGCCGUUUCAUUCACUGUUGCAAAAAAAAAAAAAAACAGAAGCCCAAAACGGUGCCGUUUUGACGGCACUGUAGCUCUUCUUCUUCCCCUGGACACACGAGGCAGGGGAAGAAGAAGAUUUUUUUCUUCCCCUUUUCGCCUAAUUACUUUCCUUCUGCUCAAAAAGACGCCGAAACAAGGACACCACUUGCCGACCACUUUCCACGUGUUGGACGGGCGUUGGACGGGCGGCAGCACACCGGCCACCACCAUGACGUCCCCCCCCUGUUUUUCGCCUAUAAAACAGGGGAGGAAGAGAAGAAAAAAAAAAAAAACAGAGGGAGAAGGAGAGAGAGGAGAGAAGAGAUAGAAGAGAGAGAAGAGAAGAGGAGAGAAGAAGAAGAAGAAGAGAAGCAGCAGAAGAAAACGAAGAAAACAGAAGAGAGAGAGAGAGAGAGAGAGAGAGAACCACCGCCGGCCUCCGCCACCAUCGCCACCGUGCCUACGCCGCCAGCAGCACCGCCACGACGCACCGCAGGUAAUCUCUCGCCGCCCUGUCGCCUUCUCCUUUGCUGCCUCCCCGUUUGCAUGCAGAACGUGAAUUAAUUCACGUUCUGCAGCUGAAGAGGCUGGUUACUGUGCUUAGCACAGUAACCAGCCCAUUUGGUAAUGGGCCGGUUGGCCCAGCCCACUGAUAUGGGCCGGACCCGGCCCAUUUCAAAUUUUUUUUUCCAGAAGUUUUACAAUUUUUCCAGCACAUUUUUUUUUAAUCAAUUUUGCUUAAUAUCGGUAUGUAUUUUACAUUGUGAAAAUAUAAAUUCGGUAUUAAAAUACCCGGUUUUCGUCCCGCGGUACUGUUCACACGUCACUAUUCAUACGGUACUGUUCAUACGGUACUGUUCACACAUGCAUAAAAAAAAAAAAUCAUGAAAUAAUAUUUUACACUAGUUUUCUGAAACACAAUUAAAAAUAAAAAAAUAUUUUUUUUAUUUUAUUAGAUUUAAUAUAUUUUUAGCGUUGAACCGGAUUGGUCCAGCCAAUACCGUGGAGCCAUCAAUGCAUAAAACCCAUGAACAAGGAACCAAUUCUCUAUUGUUCAUGUGAAGAGUGAAUCAUGACUUCACUGUUCAUGGGUUGUCUCGUUACAAGAAGCAGCAAAGAGUUGCUUCUUGUAACCCAUGGCUAUACCACAAUUAAUGGAGGAAUCCACUAGCAUAAAACUAUGCCAAGAGUAUUAUCAAACAAGAAAAAUUGUGGUUACGGGUAAACCUCGUCCACAGUCACAAUAUCAAAAUUAUCGGCCAAUAAUUUUUCGAGUUUUUAGUAAUUUUUUAAUUUUAAAUUUAUAAAUUAAUAAAAUAAAAUUUUAAAUCAAAAUUAAAAAAACUCCUUGAAACAGAAUACACCAGACUACUUUUUGAUUUCAAAGUUUCAAUAAUGAUAGGAAGGAAGUUGCCAGGAAGCAACCCACCGCUCACCAACCAAUGAGAGUUAACGUGUGGACCAGCCCCAACGUUCAAAUUUCGAAGAAGCUGCCAAGAAAAUGUAAACACAUGAAAUUUUCAAAAAAGAAUAGUAUAUUUAUGCAUGCUGUGAAUAUUUUUUUAAUAUUUUUUAUUUAAAAGUAUAUUAAAAUAAUUUUUUAAAUUAUUAUUUUUUUAUCCACCCAUCAAAAUAAUUUAAAAUAUUAAAAAAUUAUUUAAAAAAAAAUCAAAAUUUUUAAAAAACACAUUGUGUGUGGUAAAGAUAAACCUGUUCUAGAUUAAAAGAGUGUUUGGUUGUGCGUUUCAACCUGCGUUUCACCAAAUUUUGAAUUUUUUUUUUGCUAAAAUUGAGUGCGGUUUGUACUUUUUGGAUCGUUUUGAUGUGCUGAUGUUAAAAAUGUUUUUUAAAAAAUAAAAAAACAUCAUUGGCAUGUAUUUCAGCACAAAAAACUAUUUGAAAAGUAACCGCUACCACAUUACCAAACACACUCUAAAUGUGCAAAUGAGAGUGAGACUCAAAUCUAAUUACGUAACAAUUAUUAAUUGGGAUGAAAAGAAAUUAAAAGACAAAUAACCAAUAUUCUCAAGGUGUAUUUCGUAGUUCUUAUGCUUCUGCCUUUGAGUGUGUAUAUUAGAGCAGACUAGCAGAGUGAUUUUACUUAACCAUGAAAUUUUAGCGAGACAAAUUAUAGUGAAUGUUUUUCUAUUUUACCAAUAUACCCAAGGUGUCUAUAACAGAGUGAUGCUACAUACUGAGGUGGAUAUUAGCAAUAGAGGAAAGCAGUGUUGUAAAAUCUAGACCGGGCUAGCAGGUCAACUAGAGAACUAGACUAGUCCGGGUAGGAUAAAAAACCGGCCAAAAAAAAGAGGUAUAUAUAUUAAUUUUAUUGAACGAUCACCCGAGUAGGAACAUACAAAUGUAACUAAACAAAAUAAUAGCAAAGACGAAAGCAUAUCAAGCUAGCAAAAUCAACCCGCCAUUUCUCAAAUAUUCAGAUUUUAAAAAACACAGGCAUAAUAAUUUAAGAAAAAACAUGUUUUUCAAGCUGUGUCAAAUGCAGAAUGCUUUAAUUCAUGCGAGGAAAAUCUUGUUGAUAAUAUAGUCUGGUAUAGUACAAUGACAAUUUGAGAUUAGAAAGGAUUUUUUAUUUAAAAAUAUAAAUAAUAUUUUUUUAUUUUUUUAAAAUUUAUUUUUAAUAUUAACACAUCAAAAUAAUCUAAAAACACUAAAAAAUAAUAAUUUAAAAUAAAAAAAUAAAAAAAUUAACUUUUUUUUUAAAUACAUUUACAAUAUAAAAUAAAAAAUGAUCGUAGUAUUUGCCUGGUGGCCUCCCUCGGGACACAACGCUGCACUUCCUUAAAUGAAAAUAUUUAAGUCGGUAGCUGCAUGAGGUUUUACCUCAGGGUUUAAAGCAUCAGACCUCAUCCUCAAUGAACAUGAACCCACUCUGUAGAUUAUUAGUUUUUAUUUUUAUUUUAUUUUUCAAUCCAAGUACUCCAUGGCUGGACCUUAUCGUCUUGAUCCAGAAAUUGAUUGCCAAGAAUCACUUCGUACAGUAAACAGACUUUGUACAGUAAAUAUAAUUUUAUCUUUAAUUAAUUGGUUGGAAUUGUUUUCUGAGGAGUCAAUUCAAAAUUUGAAAAUAAAAACAGAAAAUAGAUCCAGCAAAUGAUUCCAAAUAUCUUCUAAAAGAACAAUGAAAUAUGUUUUUUUUAUUUACUGUAAGGAAAGAUAUUAAUGGAAAAAAUAAAAAAAUCAAUUUAAAAAAUAUAUAAUAAGUCAAAAUCUAACUCGUAUCAGGUUCCUAGUUGAAUUGAAUAAUUGAGAGCGAAACGUGUCAAGACUGACACGAGUUCAAAAUAGACUCCACAACAGGAAAAAAAAAAAAAAAAAGAUCCAUAUUGUGGCCCGUAGUAGUAUUCCGGAGGAGAGGGUCGAAGAUGGCGGCUGGUUCAAAGGAUGAGCUUAAUCUCAUGAAUCAUUUUUUAACCUUUAUCGUAAGACUUGACACGUGUCCUCUAAACCCUCAUGUCCCUCUUCCGAUCCUUGCUAAACCCUUGUUUUGGUCGUAAUCAUCCAUUAGCGUAAAGCUAUGCUUCUCUUGACUUAAUUUGAUCCCAAUAAACCAAUCCAUGGAGUUGGUGGUAAUGUAAUUGAUAUUACUUUUUAAAUUAUUUUUAUUUAAAAAAAUAUCAACAUAAUUUUAAUGUGUUGGUAUUAAAAAAAAUUAAAAAUAUUCUAUUAAUAUAUUUUUAUUUGAAAAAUAUUUUUUAAAAAACCGUAUGUAGAAUUACUAAACACCCUUAAGCCGGUGGACAAAGACACAAACGACAAAAUACAAAGGAAAAGGGAUAAAAGCAUAUAUUUGGAGAUGAUAAAAGGGCAUUGAGAUCAAAGAGGAUAAGUUUUUCAGUGAUGGGAUUGGAUGGUGAUGAAGGAUUGUGUGGAUAAGAGCAUAGUAAUUAAUUAUUUACUAAAAAGUUCUUCAGUGACCUAAUUCCGUGGCCCCACAAAAUUAUCAUUAUCCAAUAAACUAUUUGAUUAAUUCAGUGUUGCUUAAUCCCAGUUUGCUAUUGCGUUUUAAAUGGUUACUGGUUAUUAUAACACCAACUUAACUUAUGGUAAUUUUCUUUAUUGAUGAGUGAAUUUGAUUAGAUUUAAGAAUCUCCAUCACAGCCCAACAUCAUUAGCUUAUCUGCCAUCCCUUUCAAGAGAAGAAGAUUUCGAAUCAGUCCAUUUAUUCCCAUCUGUAGGCAUCUUUCUCAAGCAUCAAGGAGAAUUACUUCUGGAUUCUGAGUUGCCAAUAAAAAACAUAAAACCCUUAUAAAGUAGUUCGUCUCCCAGUCCUUAAAUUAGUUUCCUCAUUGUUUUUCACAAUUUUUAAAGAAAUUUUACGACUGCUGGGCCUUGACUUGUCUGUUUAAUUUCUAUUAGUCUUAUUCACAUUUUAGUAUUUUAUGCCAAUGAUAGAAUGCACUUUCAUAGACUCAUCAAAACCACAGGAACGCAAUCAAGCUUUAGCUUCAAAACAACCAGAGGGAGAUUUAGUGCAGUGGAGAACUUCAACAUCUACUAUGAAGCUUGAUUUGCUAUCCAAUCUUCACGUUAGUUUUCCAUUGAUACAAAGAUACUGUAUGUGUUUUUGUUGCCAGAAAGUUGUUCGAUCAAUAACUUUUUAUCUUCUUCCAAGUUUUUUUUUUUGUGUGAUUCUUUUUUCCUUUCAUCUCAAACUCAUGAACUAAAAGUUAAACAAAAUAAAAUUUUAGAUAAAAAAAAAAAAUAAAAAAUAUAAGAUGCAAAAAAUUAUAAGGUAAACAAUAAACUAAAUUUAGAAUAUGUCUCUUACUAUUCGUAAGCUUCCUAUUCCUUUUUAGUUUUUCUUAAAGUUAUUCUAUUUGAUGUCAUGAGUGUUCCAUUGAGAGAUAAAAAAGAAGACAAAUUCCCAUCCUCUUCACCUUCUUACAAUGCAUUACAGUAAUAUCUCUAAGAGAAUUGUAAAUCAAUUUUUGCAUUGCAAAUACUUUUCAGUUCCGGUAAAUCAAACAAUUUCAGAAUUUUCCAAGAUAAACAGAUUUUUAAAUACACUCAAACAUAAUUUUAAAUAUAAAAACAAAUUAUGUUUUUUUGAUUGCGGCAUAACAGUGAUGGCAGUACCGUUGUUGUUUGGACUUUGAGCAGCAGUAGAUAUCUCCAGCGUACUGUUACCUGCCGGCUAGAAAAUGUAUGAUGCCGUUUUUUAGUUUAAUAGAGAGAGGGCAGAAAGCCUUAAGAAAAUAAUUUCACAUUCUGUGUGGUAGAAACCUGAUUCCACCCAAAAAAAAAAAAUAACACGGUAAUUGAAGCAAAUUAAAAGAAUAAAAGAAAAUAUAAAAUGAUUUAAAAGAGAACAAAAAUUAAUUUUAAAUGCAGAUUAAAAUAAAGCAAAGUGACUAAUGAAAAAAGUACUUCAAUCCUACAAACAGCAGAUAGAUAGUCGGAAUCCCUUGCGCACACAUUUGAUAUAUAGAUAAUUAAAUCAACAUUAAACCAAAUUAAUAUAACCCUUUUGAAAAAUCAUCCACUACUUUUAAAUAAUUAAUUAUCCCUAUUAAGAAAAUCCAAUGACGACAAUGUAUUUAAGGAGCAAUAUUAAAGCAAAGAAAUUAAAUCAAUACAGGUAAAUAAAUGAUCCAAAGAUUAAUCCAUUCAAUAGAAAAAACAUGAAUGAAUCCAUAAACUGCUUAAAUUCGGAGAAGAAUACUUCUCAACAACAAAUUGAGAAUGAUAAAACAAAAGAGUUAGAAUAAUUAGAAAUCUGAACAAUUUAGUUACCCAUCACUGUAUUAGUCAUUCCUUUCCUCAUCUGUGCUCUCUUUUUUUCCCUCUCUCUAGUGCAAUUCUCUCACGUCUUCUUUAUGCCAAAUAGCCCUCUUUACAGAGGAGGCAGCACCCUUUUUCAUCAGAGACUAACUUGUAGCCCUUUACGAUACCUUUCCAACGCAUCAAGAAUCACAGCAAUCCGAUAUGUGUGUGGAAAGUUACGAUUAAAAUACUUUAAGUGUAUCUAGGCUGUUUCUAAAAAAAAGAACAUUACUUUAAGUUUAUCCAGGCUGCUAUUUAAAAAGUCAAGAAAAUAAAGUUUUAGAUUAAAAUAAAAUAAAAUAAAAACUUUAAGGAAAAAAAAAAAGCACGCCUAUGAAGCUUGAUAGUAUAUCAAAUUAAAUAGAAGCUCGAUUAAAAAAUGCCCUUUAAUUUCUAUUAUUUCUAUUCACAUUUUAGCAUUUUAUUCCAAUGAUAGAGCAUUUGGAAUGCACUUUCAUAGACUCAUCAAAACCCCAGGAACGCCAUCAAGCAUUAGCUUCAAACAACCAGAUCCGGAGCUUCAGUGCAGUAGAAAACUUUAACAUCUACUAUGAAGCUUGAUUUGCUAUCCAAUCCACACAUCAGUUUUCCAUUGAUACAAAGAUACCGUAUUUUUAACCAUCUAAUAUUAAGAGCGUGUGAUAAAGGGGUUUGCUUCCCCUAAUAUUAAGAGCGUGUGAUAAAGGGGUUUGCUUCCCCUGUAGUUUCAGGUUCGAGCCCUGUGGUUAUUAAUAUUGAUGACCAUUGAAGGCUUACCUGGUCGUUAAUUUCAAGAUCCAAGAAAAUUAAUCGAGGUAUGGACAAACUGGCUUAAACACUCAAGUGAAUAAAAAUAAAAUAUUUUAUUUUUGUUACCGGAAAAUUGUCAACCAAUAACUUUUUAUCCUUUUCCAAGUUUUUUAGGUGACUUUUUUCUUUUAUCUCAAAAUCAUGGAUAAAAAAUGAAUAGAAUAAAAUUUCGAAUCAAAACUAAAACUAAAAAAAUAAAAAAUGCUAAAAGUCUAGGGAUUAAGAUUUUAAAAAUCAUGCCUACGCUAACUUCUAGUUUUAAAUAUUUAAAACAAGGCUCCAUAUAUUAUCAUAUAUUCAUAGAGACAUACCAAUGUAGCUUUUGAUGUUUACCGGUUUGGGUAUGUCCAUAUGCUUUUAAAUAUUUUUUAAAAUUUAUAUUUGUUUUAAAAAAAUAUUAAAUUAAUAAUUUUUUAGUUGUUUUUAAUGAUUUUGAUGUAUUGAUAUUAAAAAAAAUCUAAAAAUAUAUUUUUAAAAAAUAUUUUAUAUAACAGUAUCAAACACAUGAUAACCUUGUCCAAAAGCUUUCGACCGAGCAUAAAAUGGUUUUCAACCCAAUCAUACUUUUUCCUCAUUAUAAAUAUAAAAUAAAGUUCAAGUGAAGUAGGGUCCAAUCUUAACUGGUUCAAACAUUAUUGUUAGAACGUGACAGUGUCCCAGCAUUAGUAGUGUAGCACGUGCCAUGUCUUAAGCUUAUGUGAUCCGAAAACAAGGCAAUUGGUGUUUGAUGGAAUUAGCUGUCACUAAAAAUAAAAUAAAAUAAAAUCCUCCGUGAACUAAUUAAUUACUCAAUUAAUUCCUAAAUUAGUUUUUUUAUUGUUUUACACAAAAUUUAUAUAAAUAAAAAUAUUUUAUUAGAUAUUUUAGAUACUCCACUAUUAUAAUAUUUUAUUUAAGUUUAGAUUUUUAUUUCAAAAUUGAAUUUUAUUUAAUGUAACAAGUAUUACGAUGUUUUUUUUAUCUGAAAAUUUUUGAAAUAUUAUUUGAUUUUAUUAAUUUAAAAACAAAUAAUAUUUUAAAAGAGUACGAAAUGUUGUAUAAAAUUUAUAUGUAUUUAUUUUCUGAUAUACGUGUUCCAAGAAUUAGCAGGGAUACGAUGUUUUUACAGCAGUGCUUUUAUGUUAUCGGUCAUGGACCCGAAACACGGUUCAUGACAAUAACGCAAAACACAACAAACAUUGAUGCUAUGCUGAAUCCUUGAAGUGCGUCUAACAAAAUCUCAAUAUCCGGAAUGCCUCUUCUUCCAUGGCAUCUUGCCUAACUCUUGAUUGUCUCAGGUCCUCCAAGGCAUUACUCCACUCUUUUUUUUUUUUUUUUUUUAUUAAUGUGGAUGUCUGGACCAGCUUGCACACACCUCGACUAAUCACACGGGCCUUGAAGUUAACAACCAUGUAAGCCUCUAGUGGCUAUUAUAUGAAUAUCCAUAGAGCUCGAACCUGAGACCACAAAAAAAAAAAAACUCUUAAUUUCAAACUCUUAUCACUAGACCACUUUCUAGAUGGUUGCAUUCCUCCACUCCUUGGUUAACUAUCUCAUGGAGGUUAACUCCCCCCAACUCUCUUACGGAUAAAGUAAGGAAGCCAUUUACACUUCAUAAGAAACCGUAAUAUAACAAACAGAGGAUCUGUAAGUUUCAGAGAACGACAUCAAUUUAAUUAUGCGAAGUUCAAUCUUUUUUCCUCUACAAAUUAAAUCAUUUACGUAAACCUGUUACCUACAUUUUGUAAUAUUUCUGGAUCUGCUCUUUGAUUCAUCAAGGACAGAGUUGAUUGCAGCUUCGUCAUAGAAAAGUUCGUCUUCUUCAUCUUCUUGGUUGGCGAGGAAAUAUAAGUGGACUCUUCUCCAGUUUAAGGAUUCCAAUCAAGCACAUGAAUGAUAAAGGGCAGAGUCAUCAUUUAAAUAAUAAAGGAUCGAACAUCCUUAGCAUUAGGAUGCUCCCAUUCCACCACUGACUCUCACCAUUCUUUUGGAUGUACUCCAUCACUCUAAGAGAAGGGGGAUGAGAUAGCUGGCCAUUUUCAAGCAACGGAAGAUGAAUUGCCAGCCUUUUCAGCAUCUGACAAUUUGUUAUCCCAAUUUGUUGGAGAGAAUCGCAGAUCGAACUCUUUAAAAAUAGAAAUAUACCAUGAUAAGAUGGAGAUGAUGGUGGAGCGGAGCGGAGCAGAGCCAAGAAGACGAAACCAAGCUCUCCAUGUUAUAGCACUUCCAAAUGUCGGUACUGGCAUUUAUUGAAAUGAAACUUAAAAUCAACUGUUUUGAAAGCCAUUUGAUAGCUAGGAACUCAGAAUCCAUGAGAUUAAGUAUUUGGCAAAGCCUUCCCCGUGAUCGGAGCAAUCUCACUAAUUUAUCGACGGAAUGGCUAGAAUUGUCUUCCUCUUAACUAAUCUUUAGCAAAUUGUCUUAAUAUGGUUUUACCAAAAAGAAAAUAAUAAAUUUGUUCUAUUACUAUCAACUGCCAGAACUCCUGACAAGUAAUUACGACCAGUUUUUUAACAUCCAAGCUCUUGUAAUCUCACAAACGCUUGAGACCCAAACCCAAUCAACAGAUCAGAGAACCUUUAUUUGUCAAGGCUCCAUACACUUUCUCGACAAGAACCGGAGGAGGAGGCUGUGGGGAAUUCGAUGGUUGAAAAAGGAACGUGAAUUAUGCUGGAGAGCAUGCAGGUGGCGAUGUGUUUGGAGCUUAGCCUGGUGUUCCUCCAAAUCCUUACUAAAUUAUUACAAAGUAACAUUAUAAUAUUUUUAAAUCUGUUUAAUUUUUUUGGUUUAAGAUCGUGUUUUUUUGUUGUUGAAAAAUUAUCCUUACAAAGUAACUUUUUAUCCUUUUCCAAGCUUUAUGGUGAUUUUUUUAAUCUCAAAUUCAUGAACAAAAAAAGGUAGCAGCGUGAAGCCUCGCCAAAAGCCCAAGAUUAAAAUAACCAUGCUCCUAGCCCAAGCCCGCCAACAUCACCCCCAGCAGAUUGGAAAAAUGCUCAUAACCAUUCCGGAAAAACACACCUAGGCUACUAUGGUAUACUAGAAAGUGGAAAUAAAUCGAUAUUAAUCAUCAAAUAAAUCGUUAGCAGAAACCAAAAAUAAAUAAAUAAAUUGUUCAUGCUACUCCAUCUUAUUGAUGGGAAUGGCUUUUGACCAGCAUACAUACGACUCUGCUAAAAUUAUCUGACAAAUUAUCAGGCUUAUAAAAAAACUUAAUAAAAUUAGAAAAAAAAUUAUCAUUUUUAUUUAAUAAAAGAAUAUUAAAAAUAUUAAUUUAAUAUUUUUUUUAAAAUAAACAGAUUUUUAAAUGCAAUCAAACAUAAUUUUGAGUACAAAAACAAAUUACGUUUUGAUUGCAAGCAUAACAAUCUUGGCAGUAAGUACUUUUAUGAUUUUAUUUUUGCAGCCACGUACAUGCUUUAGGAGUUCUUUUUAUUAAAUCAAUAUUAAAGUAAAAAAAAUUAAAUCAAUACAGAUAAAUAAAUUAACUAAAUAUAAUCAAACAAUUAAUCCAUUUAACAGAAAAAACAUUACUGAAUCCAUAAACUACAUUAAUCCCCUUUCUUUUCUUUUCUUGUUUUUUUUUUCUCUGGUGGAAUUCCCACACAUCUUCUUUUUUUUUUCUCUGGUGAAAUUCAAUAGGAUGAAAAUAUAAUAUUAAUCAAACUUCAAAUUAUAAUUGUUUAUCUAUCGAGUUUAAAAAAAUAUGACAAUUCAGUAGUCUUUAAUGAAAUAAAAAAAAAUAAAAAAUGUUAUUUAUGUAAUUGUAAGCACACUAUAUUAUAUUACUUUACAAAGGGACGAAGGACAUCCUUUGCAUUAGGGUGCUCCCACUCCACUACUGACUUCCACCAUUCAUCUGGAUAUGCCUCGAUUGUUUUAAGAGAAGGGGGAGGAGAUGGCUGGCCAUUUUCAAGCAACGGAAGACAAAUUGGCAUCCUCUUCAGCUUCUUACAAAAAAAUACCUUAAUAUUUUUAAGAGAAUUGCAAAUCAGCUUUGCACUGCAAAUGCUUUUCAGUUCUGGUAACCUAUCCAGUUGCAGAGUUGUUAACUUUGGGAGAAUGACUUCCGUGAUGGAAUUGGAGGUGCUGCUUUCUUCAUCUGUUGUUCCUAUUAUCUCCUCCAUUUUCUCACAAUUGGAAACUUCAAUCCUUCUCAGGUUUACGAGGUUUGGCAGCAACACAAGCGGGAACAGCUUCUUUAUACUUUUACAGUAAUAACAAAAAAACUCUUUAAGACCAGAAAAUGUACCGUUACAUGAUGGCAAUCGUGGUGGAGCAGAGCAGAACCAAGAAGAUGAAACCAAGCUCUCCAUGUUAUGGCAUUCCUGAAUGCGGAUGUGCUCCAGUUCAGUUGCAUUCUCUAAUGACAAAACAUCACAUAAACUUCUUGCAUCGAUGCAUUCACAAAUCAGUCCUUGAAUGCCAUUUAAGAACUUAACCUGAAAAUCUCUAUCUCCGUUGAUACUCAAAUUACCCAACCCAACUGUUUUACUUAAAUUUCCAAACAAUUUCUCUUUCAAACUAAGCACCUCUCCUACUAAAAUUUUGUAUGUGCUUAAUGAUUGAAUCCCAUCCCGAGAUCUGAGAUACUCCACUAAGUCAGAAAAACCUUUGAAAUGGCACUCCAAAGUUUCCAAAUUUCUCAAGGAUCCUACUUCCUUUCCUUUAACUGUUAUCGGAGCAUCUUCGAUAAACUUUUUCUUCAGUACAAAGACUUGCAGGUGAGAGAGUUUUGGUAAUAUCCCACUAGGAAACUCCUUUUCACCACAUCCAUUCAUUCUAAGAUACCUCAGGUUGGUUAGGCAUUCCAUUCCUUGCGGCAUCUUUUCAAGUCGAGUACGAGCGAGAUCCAACCUCUUCAGUGCCCUGAGCUUCUUUAAUGAUGGAACAUAUCUUAAGUUCUCACACAUUUUGAGCAAUAACGCAGUGAGACUCACCAAAUCAGAGACAGAGUCUGGCAAGUUUUCAAUACCUGUGCAAGACAGAUCGAGGACCUUGAGCCCAUGCAAUUGCUUGAAAAAUGAAUCAGCAAUAAAUCGCAACCAAGGAUUUUUACAUAGCAAUAGAGUUGAUAGAUUGGGACACCUUGGUGAAUAGCUGGAAGGAAUUUCUUCGAUCUCGUUUCUCAUUAGUGAAAGCAUCGUCAGAUUCUCCGUCCACUCCUCUGCAUCUGGCAACUCUUUUAACUGCACACCUGCUUUAACCAUGACUUGAUAUUCGUCUUGCAGUAUAUGGAUGGCCAUGUCCCUAAUCAAGUCAUGCAUCUUGAUAUAUCUAGUAUCAUCAUAAACCAUUUGAGCACUUUCCAAUAGGCAGACAUAUUCAAGUCUAUUAAGCAUCGUGUGGCCCUCAUCAAAUGCAUCUCCCCUGCUCCUCAUUCCUUUAAUAAUUCCCUCAUCGAUCAAAUAACCUAUCAACUGCUCCCUUUGAAUCACACCAUCUUCAGGAAAUAAUGCACAGUAUAAGAGACAUUGUUGUAGUGCUAAAUCACCUAACCGAUCAUAACUAAACCUCAAUAACUUGAAUACCUUCUCAUCCAUGUCCCUAAAUUCUGAUUCUCUCAAUUUCUUCAAUGUAUUCCUCCACUCAUGUAGAUCAUCCACUCCCCUCAAGCUUCUUGCCACUGUAAUAAUUCCUAGUGGCAAACCAGCACAUUCCUUUGCAAUAGCUUUCGCAAUUCGUUCCACUUCUGGUGAAAGUGCUACAGCACGUCCAAGUUUCUCCAUGAACAAAGUCCAAGCUUCUCCAUCAGAAAGUGGAUUCACUUUGAUUUUACGGUGGCAAGCCAUCCGAUGACAAACCGUUUCUGAUCGAGUUGUCAUAAUCAGCUUGCAUCCUUUCAACUUUUCAGGAAUUCCCACUUCGUGUAGCUCAAAAUUAUUCCACAAAUCAUCUAAAAUGAGAAUCCAUUUUUGUUUCUUCCUUAGUUCUUCUGACAACUUGGCAGCUCUAUGCAGUUCAUCAUUUUUUCUUGAAAGAUCUAGAUCAAGAUGUUCAGCAAUAAGAAUCUGCAAUCUAUUAAUGCUGAAAUCUUGAGACACAGUCACCCACCAAACAUUAUCACAAAUAUCUGGUCUUUGUAGAAGCUCAUUAUGGAUAUGUUGCAGUAUUGUGGAUUUACCAACUCCCCCCAUCCCAUAAAUGCCAAUGGUUGGGACUUUAUCAUCCAUUAAGAAAGACCAUAUCAUAUUUGUAUUCCAUUGGAAUGCUCGACCCACUAGCUUUGUUGAGCUAGUAGGUAAUGGAACUCCUCUAGUCUUGUUGCAUUUCAGACUUUCAGAAGAUCUAGCUCCUGCGCCAGCCUCCUCCAUUGGUUCUGUCCUCACUCUAACCAUGUCCAACAACGCAUCAUGCCUAUUUACAUCAUUGUUUACUGAUGGAGCACAAGGUUGAUCAUAACAUCUUCCAAUGUCAAGACAAAAUUGGGAUGAAUCUCCUCGAGGCUCCAGAAGCUGCACUUGCUCUGUUCUUGGAAUAGUCUCAAAUGCAUCAUGCUGAAAAGAUCCUUCACCAGUGUUUUCCAUGUCAUUUUCUGCUUGUAAAUGCGACUGAAUUCUCUCUUCUCCGGGACCUUGUUCCACGCCUUGAACUCCCACUUGUACUGCUUUGCUCUGUUCCAACACUCGAUCCACGGGUUCUGUCCUCGUUCUGCUCUCGAGUGCCCCUUCGGAAACUCCAUCUUCUUGUGCUCUCAUUCCGGUCAUGCUUACUACGUCGUUUCCUGCUAUUGCAUGAGAAGAAAUCCUCUCUUCCCCUACCCCGGGGUUCUACAACCUGAACUUCUCUUUGUACCCUUCCAAUACCUCCUACCAUUGUUGAGAUUGAACUUGCUGUGAUUUUAUGUCUUUUGUUGCCACCACGCAUAGCUAGAAAGGCUGCUUCUUGAACUUCUUUAGGCACCCCAAGACAAAUGGCAACAUUAUGCCCUUCCUCUCCUGAUAAAUGCCAUUUGAUCCUUGAAAUGGAGGUUUUAUUGGCAAAUGUAUGUGGACAAAACUUACACUUCAUCCUACCCUUAUCACUUUCUUCAACAGAAUUCCAAAACGGAUCAUUUGAUCCAACCUUUUCGACCUAUAGAAAAAAGAAGUCAAAGUAUAGAACAAAAAUCAGUCAAAAUAUGGAAUAAAAAUUGACGGAUCAAGUUACAGAACAGAAGUUUCCGGAUUGAGAAACUAUUUUGCUAUCAAAAUUGAUAGUUAGUUUAUAGCACAAUCAUAGGGGAAAAAAGACUACGAUAAUUCAGUUAGACUUCUUACUUGUUGAGUAUUUAAACCCCUAUUUUGACUUUGGAAGGAAGUGUCAGGGCCAGGAUUAGAGGCAUUUGGCAUAGCAGUUUGAUUUUGCAAUCCUCGGACUUGGAAGUUAUCCAUCUGUGACCUAUAUAUAAAUGAAAUGAUCAUAUUAUAAAAAAUUUCGAUAAUUGUUAGUCACUCUUAAGCACUAAAAAUCAAUGGUGUAUCUAAUUAUCGAAAAGGUAUUAAUACUAUGCAGAAAAACUAAUUGUUUUUUUUACAGAAAAUACUAAAAAUGAAAAAUUGGAUACCGGGGAGCAGGAGAAGAAGGUCCAGGUUGAUUGAAGCCACCAUGUUGAGAAGUGGUUGCGUUCGGUGUCAUAUAGCCAUGUCCCGGCUGAGGUUGAUGAAUAAAGGAGUUCUGAUGCCUGAAUAAUAUUCAAAAAGUUAAACAUAGAACUGUUAUUCUCACAAAAAAGAAAGAUAGAGAGCUCAAAAAGACUUGAAAGAUCCACGUCAAUUUUGGUCAAGUUCAUUGUUUUCAUGAUUAAAAAAGUGUAUAUUCGAGGUUAAUACCUUUGAUUCAUUGGAGGUUGAGGUCCAGGUAGCAUCGUAGGCACUUGAUUGCUCAUUGGUAACUGAUAAUCAGUCCAUUGUUGGUCCCUAAAUGAGCAACAUUUGUUGGUGAUUUCUUUAUACAUAUGCAUAAUUCUUUGCUAUUAAUCCACUAAGCAUUUGAUAUCAUUUUAGCUUACCUCAAAGGCAUUGAUGGUCCAGGUAACAUGGGAUUGGCACAUUGAGGAUCAAAUAAAUUGGGAUUAGACUGAUACCUAUAUUCAAACAUAAUGAAUUCACUGAUAAGUACAACAACAAGAGGAAGAAGAAGAAGAAGAAGUUAAAUAAUGAUUGAAAAACUUUUUUUUUUUUUUCAGAAAAUACUAAACAUGAAAAAUUGGAUACCAGGGAGCAGGAAAAGAAGGUCCAGGUUGAUUGAAUUCACCAUGUUGUGAUGUGGUUGCGUUCGGUGUCAUAUAGCGAUGUCCCGUCUGUGGUUGAUGAAUAAAGGAAUUAUGAUGCCUAAUUCAAUGGACAUUGUAGCAAAUUGGAGUAAGCAUGAGUUCUCACCAUGGUUUCAGGAAAUGAAGUUGGAAACUGAGUUGUUUGUUGAAUACUAUCGUUGAUCACAAUGUUCUGUCCACCUUGAUCAUUGCAUAAUAUGGAGCCUUGGUUGACGUCAGCCGGCCUGCUUCCAUGGAAUAAUAUAGAGGAUAAACAGAAGAAUAACUAAAUUGCAAGCAAUCAUCUUCUGAUAAAAUAUGCUUAAGAAUGACGUACGGUGUCAUAUAGAGAAGUGGUGAUUGAAGACCGAAAAGAUCAUCAUCCAUAGAAGAUGGUGGGAACCCUUCCAUCUGACCAAAAGUACAAAAUGAUUAGUACAUACUGAGGUGAACAAAGAACAGAAAGCACGUAGCAAAGAAAAAAAAAAAGUAUAUAUAUAUGAGUGGAUUACUGGGUACACACGUUACGUAAGUCAAAAUAAAAGAAAAACAAAUAAAUGGUGAAAAGCAUAUUUUAAUGACAGUCCCAUUAAUUGGAAAAGAAAAGGGUGAAUCUAAGAAAAGAAAAGCCUUUUUUUUAUUAUUUUUAAUACUAAUAUAUCAAAAAAUAUUAAUUUAAUAUUUUUUUUUCAAAAUAAACAGAUUUUAAAAAACAAAUUAUAUUUUGAUUGCGGGCAUAACAAUCCUGGCAGUACCGUUGCCGUUUUUUAGUUUACACAUUCUCUGGAGUGUCGAUUCCACAUUGAAGCAAAUUAAAAGAAUAAAAGCAAAUAUUAAAUGAUUUAAUAAAAGUGACUAAUGAAAAAGGUGCUUAAAUUCUACAAACAGCAGAUGGAUAGUCGGAAUCCCUUGAACACAUUUGAUAUUUUAAUUAUUCUUAUUUUGUUUAAUGUAAGGUAAUUACCAAUCAAGUUAAUUCAUUGAAUCAUUGUAAGGAAAAAAAAAAGUUGAAAAAUACUGAAUAAAAAUGAAUUGCAGUCCCAUUAAUUGGAAAAGAAAAGGGUGAAUCUAAAAUAAGGUGUUAAAAACACUACUUUACCUACCCCAAUUAUGAAGCUUAGAAGAAGAUGCCUAGAAAAUGUAAACACGUGAAUAUGAGAAUCAAUAAUAUACUUUUCUUUUUAAAAAUUUUUUAUUUAAAAAAAUUAAAAUAAUAAUUUUUUUUUAAAAAAAUAAUAAUUAAAAAAGAAAUAAAAUUCAAAGUUUUUGAAAAGCAUGUGCUCUAACAAUAACAUAUUAAAUAUGUGAUUAAUAGCAUGUGAUUAAAGGUUUUCAGUCGAUGCCAUUACAUGCAGUCAAAGACUCCAUCCUUACUUUUAAUAAACAAAACCUACACUCAAUAACAUGUCCUAGUUUUUUUGGCCAGUGUUUUUCCGUGGUGGGAUUAAUUUUUUUAAAAUAUAAAAAUAAAAUGUUAAGAGUGAAGAAAGUUUGUUAGCGAUAUUAUUAAACCUAGUCAUGGAGUUAAUAUUAAAAUCUUCUAACCUAAUUUUUUAUUUAAUUUAAAUUUUUAAUUAAAUUAUAUGGAAAUUAACUCAGUUUAAAUCGAUCAAUAUCCAAAUACAACUUAAAAAACUAGAAAAACAUUAAAAAAACUUAUAGAAAACAACGUUUUUUAAAAAAAAAAUAUUGAAACAAUGAAAGAUUUGAUUGAUCCCAGUCCCUCACGACUGGAGUCAUAGAUUCUAUUGAGUUUAGUAAUUUUUUAUAAGUUUUUUUUAUUUAAUUAUAUGAUAAAAAUAGAUGCUUAAAAAAUUGAGUAUCAUCCCUAAAAUAAAUAUUUAUUUAAGAUUUUAAUAACCCUAUAGAAAGCAAACAAAAAUAAAUUAUUUAGUCUAUUUCCAAAUCAAUCUACUAUUGAAGGAUGAAAUUAAAAAAAAAAUCAAUUAAAAAAAUUAAAAGACUAAAAAAAAAAAAAACAUAUUCGAUCAAUGGGUAAACCUGUCAAACUUGUGGCUAGUACAUAAAACCUAUGAACCAGGUUAUGGACUUAACUAAGAUUAUAAUUAUUUUGGCUAGUACUGUCAAAAUUAUUUUUUUUUAUAAUUAUAAUCUUAGUUAAGUCCAUAACCUGGUUCAUGGGUUUGAUGUACUAGCCACAAGUUUGACAGGUUUACCCAUUGAUCGAAUAUGUUUUUUUUUUUUUUAGUCUUUUAAUUUUUUUAAUUGAUUUUUUUUUAAUUUCAUCCUUCAAUAGUAGAUGAUAAAAAAAAUAUAAAAUAAAUAAUUGUAAAAUUAAACAUCAACCAUACACACACACACUAAUUCGACCAAAAUAUGAAAUAGGCAAAAAAAAAAAAAAUAAUUAAAAAAAAGGAAAGGAAAGGGAAAAAAAAACAGAAAAGGCAAAACACUAUCAAUUACUAUUAUAAUCUAUAAUGAAAUGAGUGUGGGUGAAUAGUGAUUCUCUUACACCUUUUAGUUUUUCUUUUAAUUAAUAAAUAAAAAAAAUAUCCCACCAAACCUGAAAACUAGUAUAAUUUGAAUUAUUUUAACAAACCUGUAAAUCACGUUAAUCUUAUAAAAAAAUAGAAUAAAAAUUAAUAAAUUAAAGCUGAAUUAUAACCCGCCUAUAAUAAAAUAAACAAAAACAAAUUUUUAAAAACAAAAAAAAAGGGCAAAACACCUUGAAUUACGUACUAUUGAAAUUUACAAUGAAAUAGGUGUGGAUAUAUAGUGAUUCUCCCAAGUCUCUUAGCUUUUCUUUUAAUGAAAAUUAAUAACCGUAUAAUAUACUUUCUUGUGUUUGCUCUAUCGUUGCUAAAUUAAAACAUAUAUUUUUUUUUUAUCUACAUCUAUGUGAAACUUUUUUAAAAUAAAAAUAUUUAAAAAGAUAAAUGUUAAAACAAAAACAUUGUUAUUUUAAUUUUUUUUUUAAUAAAUACCAUCAUAAUAUGAUAUGGUUUUCUUUUUUACUCAGGUUAUUCAGUUAAUAUGUAAGUCAACCAGUAAACUAAACUUUGGAAUACGCUUCUUGACUAUUCGUAAGCUUCCUAUUUAUUCUUAGUAAUCAAAAUAUAUUUUUAUUUUUAAUAUUAAUAUAUUAAAAAAUAUUAAUUUAAUAUUUUUUUAGAAUAAUCAGAUUUUUUAAUAAACAUAACUCUGAGUACAAAAACAAAUUAUGUUUAGAUUGCGGGCAUAAGCAUAACAAUCUUGACAGUACGGUUGUUGUUUGGACUUUGAGAAUGAUAAAAUAAAAGAGUUAGAAUAAAUUUAAAAUAAAAAAUUAAUUUUUUAAAAAUAUUUUUAAAAUACAAAAACAAACUAAUAAUGAUAAAUAGACUUUCAUACACUUGUCAAAAUCACAGGAACGCAACAAUCAGGCAGGCAUUAGCUUCACUGCAGUAGAAAACUUCAACAUAGCUUGAUUUGCUAUCCAAUCUGCACACCAGUUGGAUAGCAAUUUCUUUUCAUAACAUUUACCUUUGUAAAAACUUUCUACUUAUUUUUAGUUUUAAUAUCAAAUUCAGUCUUGAAUAUUUAUCUUCAAAAUUUUAAUAUCAAAUUUGACGGUCAAAAUUUCACUUAUUUUUAAUCAAUUAAAUUGAACAAAAUCUUGUUAAGUCAAACAUCAACUCUACAUUGAAUUGUUUUUUCUUCUUAGACCACAAGAGCUCCAUAACAAGUUUAUUGAAAUAAAUUAGCCAUGUCCCGGCUGAGGUUGAUGAAUAAAGGAAUUAUGAUGGCUUGAUGGAGUUUGAGGCCAAUUUUAUAUAAAACUUAAUGAUAAAAAAAUGUCUAAAUCUCCCAAUUGUUGUCUGUUUGUUUAACAGUAAACAAUUUGAAGAUGCUCGAGAUCGAUACACUAAACAUAAAACUUUUUGCAUAAUACAAACACUUGCUAAUUCAAUGGACAUUGUAGCAAAUUGGAGCACUCACCAUUGUUUCAGGAAAGGACAUUGGAAACGGAGUUGUUUGUUGAAUACUAUUGUUGAUCACAUUGCUCUGUCCACCUUGAUCAUUGCAUGAUAUGGAGCUUUGGUUGACUGGAACCUCCGGUGGCGACCUGCUUCCAUGGACAGUGACGACAUUAUAUUGUUUUUUGCGAAUAAUAGGAUAAACUGAAGAAUAACUAAACUGCAAGCAAUGAUUUUCUGAUAAAAUAUGCUUAAGAAUGACGUACGAGAGAAGCUCAGAAAUAUCUUCUAGUGAUUGAAUACCCAGCUGAUCCCAUGUCAUGUUGUCAACCUCCAUAAAAGAUGGUUGGAACCCUUCCAUCUGACCAGAAAAGAUCAGAAAAGACAAAAAAAAACUGAGGUCUAAAAAGAACAGAAAGCACAGAUCAGAAAAGAAUAUAUAUAUAUAUAUAUAUAUAUAUGACUACUUGUUUGUUAAAGAAAUUCGGAUGAAAAAUAUGAAAUAUAAAUGUUGUUGUUAAUGAUUUAAUCCUUUGUCUUUUAAGAUAAAUUAUCAUACUCAAAUUCUUUUUAUGAUAGAUAGAAAGAUGCAGUAUAACUGUUGAAGGUAGAAGAGCUGAUUGUUUUGACGGGGUGAACAAAAACCUCUUUCAACUCCUCUUUAUUCAUAAUUUGGGGAGCAAAACAAAUGCAAGAUUCAUUGUUUACUGUUAAACAAACCUCUUUCAACUCCUAUUUAUUCUUUUUUAAUUAUUCUUAUUUUGUUUAUUGAAAGGUAAUUACCGAUCAAGUUAAUUCAUUGAAUCAUUGUAAGAAACAAAAGUUGAAAAAUAUUGAAUAAAAAUAAAUGGCAGUCCCAUUAAUUGGAAAAGAAAAGGGUGAAUCUAAAAUAAGGAGUUAAAAACAGCAAAGAAUCUUGAAAAGACGAAAACAAUGAAUUCAACGUUUAGGGUUAAUUUAAUCAGUAUGAACACCACAGGGCAUGGAUUAUAAAAUCUGAGAAAAAGAUCUAUCUAUUUAUCAUGGAUUACUUUAAAGAUUCAGACAAGAUGAAUGACAAAUAAUUUACCUGGAUUCAAGAUGUUCUUCAAGUGCUAGCUGGUUUGCUUGAGCAGUGAUCAGCCAAAAGAAAAGGAAGAGAAAUCACAGAUCAGAGAAGAAUAUAUGGUUUAGAAAAAUAAUAAAGUUGCAGCAUACAUAAAUCUAGUUCGCACUGAUCAUGAGAUGGGGAAAGGAAAAUAGGGAAUUCUACAAUGAGAUGAGAUGUGGGAGAGAAUGUUACAGCAGCAAGGUCGCCUCAAUAAUAAUAAUUAAUUAACGUAUUGUUUGAUAGGAAGGAAGUUGCCCGGAAGCAACCCAAACAUAUUACAUUAUAAGAUAUAGAAAGUUAACGUGUGGACCCGCCCCAUGUUCACACUUCGAAGAAGCUGCCAAGAAAAUGUAAACACAUGAAAAUGAGAAAGAAUAGCAUAUUUCUGCAUUGAGUGAAUUUUUUUUUUUAAAAAUUAUUUUAUAUUUAAAAAUAUAUUAAUUUUUUUUUUAUAUUGCCACGUAAAAACAAUUCAAAAAUAUUAAUUACAAACGAUCACUUGAUAUAAUUUUACAGACUUUUAAUUAGCCUCACUCAUUUGAACCAUGUCAUGGGUUAAUGGUUCUCAACAACUCUCCAUUCCAUGACCUUUCCGGCCCUACCUAGAACAACCACCAUCCCGACAUAAAUAAUAAUAAUUUCACAGUUGAAUUAUGUUUUUUAAAAAACUUAAUAUUUUUUUAUUUUAAAUUAAUUUUUUAAAUAUUUUUAGAUUAUUUUGACAUUUUAAUGUUAAAAAUAAAUUUUAAAAAAUAAUUAUUUUAAUAUAUUUUAAAUAAAAAAAUAUUAUCACACCAUCAAACAUUAUCUUAUUCUAUAAUAGUAUACCUGAACUUUUCCACACCAAUGGAAUUUUUUUUUUCCAACACUCUUCUACAGAUUUUAUAUUCCUAGCCCUCGACCUAUAAAGUAUGAUUUGCUAUCCAAUCUGCACACUAGUUUUCCAUUAAUACAAAGAUGAUCGUGUUUUUUUGUUGCUAAAAUUGCCGGCCAAUAAUUUAAGAGGUGCGUUUAUUUAAGAGGUACAUCAGUUAAUGAGUUUGGAGUACAAAUUUAUAUUUUCCAUUUCUAUAAAGAGAUAGUGUUUUUUUUUUCUGCCAAAAAUUAUCAACCAAUAAUUUUCCAUCAUUUUCCGAGUUUUUCAGUGACUUUUUGUCAGUUAAAAAUAUAAAGAUUUUUGUGGUGAUUUUAGCCCAACUUUGGGGUAUCGAGUCUCCACUGAGAAAUUAAAAGAAUAGAAAAAAAUAUUACAUGGAGACAAAUUAAGAGAAUAGAAGAAAAUAUUAAAUGGUUUAAUAGAGAAUAAAAUUUAAUUUUAAAUGCAAAUUAAAAUAAAGCAAGGUGACUAAUGGAGAAAGUAGUGGAAUUCUACAAAGAGUAGAGCGUCGGAAUCCUUGCACACAUUUGAUAUUUUAAUUAUUCUUAUUUCGUUUAAUAACUCAAUUGGAAGUUCAAUUCCCAGAAUUUCCGCUUUCGAAAAAUCAUUCAUCACUUUUAAAUACGCAAAUGAUUAUUAAGAAAAUUCAACGACAACAAUAUACUGAAGAGCAAUAUUACAGUAAAGAAAUCAAAUCAAUACAAAUAAAUAUAUGAUCCAAAUAUAAUAAAGAAUUAAUCCAUUUAAUCGAAAAAAACAUGACUGAAUCCAUAAACUACAUGACCCCUUUUUCUAAAGGAGGCAGCCCCACUUUUUCAUCACGUCGCCGUGGUCCCACACAUUUUUAAGUGCGUCCAAGCUGGUUCAAAGUGAAUUUUACGACUCCUGAGCCUUGACUUGUCUGUGAGAGCUUCAACUCUACAUUGAAAUGUUUUUUCCUAAACUGUGAGAGCCUCAUAAUAAGCUUAUUGAAAUAAAUUAUUAUAAUGAAAUUAAAAACAAAAAUACUUAAAAAAAAAACAGAGAGACGCCGUGUUUUCUCUAUUGCUACAAGGUAAAAGUCUGAGCAUAUUUAUUUAUUUAUUUUUAUUUUUAUUUUAAUAAUAUUACUGUUAUAUCUACCGCCUAGAAAUCAAGAACGCUAGUUUCAUUUAAAAGAUUCUAAAGUUCAUAUUUAGAUAAAUUAGCAGAAAGGACGAAAACACAACAAAUCAUACCCAGAGAAGCAAAAGCCAGAAACAAGCUACCUCAAUUCCUGCUCCACCUGGCUAAGAAAUGCAGCGUGCCCACUUGGAAGUACACAUCAUCCAAAUUCCAGGGCAAAUAAUUGGUUGGAAUUGUUUUCUGAGGAGUCAUCUCAAAUUUGAAAAAUAAAAACAGAAAAUAGAUCCAGCAAAUGAUUCCAAAUAUCUUCUAAAAAGAACAAUGAAAUAUGUUUUUUUAUUUACUGUAAGGAAAGAUAUCAAUGGAAAAAAAAAAUCAAUUUAAAAAAUAUAUAAUAAGUCAAAACCUAGACUUAAAAUCUGACCCAUAUCAGGUUCCUAGUUGAAUUGAAUAAUUGAGAGCGAAACGUGUCAAGACUGACAAGAGUUCAGAAUAGACUCAUGAAUCAUUUUUUAACCUUUAUGGUAAGACUUGACACGUGUCCUCUAAACCCUCCUGUCCCUCUUCCGAUCCUUGCUAAACCCUUGUUCUGGUCGUAAUCAUCCAUUAGCGUAAACCUAUGCUUCUCUUGACUUUGAUCCCAAUAAACCAACCCAUAGAGUUGGUGGUAAUGUAAUUUGUAUUACUUUUUAAAUUAUUUUUAUUUAAAAAAUAUAAAAUUAAUUUUAAUGUGUUGGUAUUAAAAAAAAUUAAAAAUAUUUUAUUAAUAUAAUUUUAUUUGAAAAAUAUUUUAAAAAAACCGUAUGUAGAAUUACUAAACAUCCUUAAGCCAGUGGACAAAGACACAAACGACAAAAUACAAAUUAAAAGGGAUAAAACUUAAAAGCAUAUAUUUGGAGAUGAUAAAAGGGCAUUGAGAUCAAAGAGGAUAAGUUUUCCAGUGAUGGGAUUGGAUGGUGACGAAGGAUUGUGUGGAUAAGAGCACAGUAAUUAAUCAUUUACUAAAAAGUUCUUCAGUGACCUAAUUCUGUGGCCCAACCAAAUUAUCAUUAUCCAAUAAACUAUUUGAUUAAUUCAGUGUUGCUUAAUCCCAGUUUGCUAUUGCGUUUUAAAUGGGUAUUGGUUAAAUUUUAUUUUUUUAUAUUUAUAUAUUAUUUUGAUGUGUUGAUAUAAAAAUAAAUUUAAAAAAAUAAAAAUAAUUUUAAAAAAUAUUAUUAUAACACCAACUUAUGAUAAUUUUCUUUAUUGAUUAGUGAAUUUGAUUAGACUUAAGAAUCUCCAUCACAGCCAACAUCAUUAGCUUAUCUGCUAUGUUAGAGAAUAAUAUAAAUCAUAUUCUGGGACCUCAUCUAACAGCUUAAGCUAUUAGGUUGAGAUGGUUCUUUGACAUGGUAUUAGAGCCUUGAUGACCAAGCGGUCACGAGUUUGAAUCUCACCAUCCCCAUUUAUUUGAUAAAAAUUAAGCACAAGACAAUGUAGACCUGUGCAAGUUUUAAGCCCAAAGAGCUUUCACUUGAGGGGGUUUGUUAGAGAAUAAUAUAAAUCAUAUCCUGUAACCUCACCUAACAACUUAAGCUAUUGGGAUGAGAUGAUUCUUUACAUGCCAUCCCUUUCAAGAGAGAAGAUUUCAAAUCAGUCCAUUCAUUCCCAUAUGUAGGCAUCUUUCUCAAGCAUCAAGGAGAAUUACUUCUGGAUUCUGAGUUGCCAAUAAAAAACAAAAAACCCUUAUAAACUAGUUCGUCUCCCAGUCCUUAAAUUAGUUUCCUCAUUGUUUUUCACAAUUUUUUAAGAAAAAAAAUAAAAAAAGGAAAAAUAAAAAAAUGAUCAUAAGCUAUAUAUCUAACACUCAUUUUAAAGAAAUUGAUAACCAUGCAAGCAGUUUACAUGUCAGUAUUUGAUAAGGGGUAAGAUUUUGGAGACAAAUUAGAGUACUCAAAUAGAAUGUACUAGGUGAAUUGCCCGCGCGGUGCUGCGGGUUAUAACAUGAACUGAGCAAAAUCUAAAAGUACUGAGAUAGAACUGAGCAACCACAGAGAGUAAAUCUGAAAACAUGGUAAGCAUUGAGAUCGAACAGGGCAACCAUUUGGAGUAGGCUGUUAGCACGCUGCCAGAACAAUUCAAAAAGGGCCUAAGAUUAAACAUCCUGAGUGCAAAUAAUGGUUGAGCCAGAUGAAAUAAAAAGCAAAGAUGCUGGCAAAGCAGGACCGACAAUGGAACUCCAUGAAGAACAGCAAAAAAAGCAUGGGAUUUUGACGGUGCUGCUCAAAAGUGUGGAUGCGCGGUCUAAGCCCAGAAGGUCUCCUGUUGCGAGGAAAUAGUGUUAGCUUUCAUCUAAAAGAUGAUAGGUAUUGCCAGGCCAACGCUUAGGGAAAGCAAGGUAAUGUGCAAAAGAAUUGGAGCAAUUAACUGUAAUGUUUAAAACUUUGGAAAGCUACCUGAGGCAACACCAAGCCCACCAACAGAUUGUAAAAAUGCUCAUUACCAUUUUGGAAAAAAUAAAAGUUAAAUGAUUUUUUGUUUUUGUUUUUCAAUCAUUUAAAUAAGAUGAUAUUAAAAAGAAAUUUUAAAAAAUAAAAAACAUUAUUUGAAUAUAUUUCUAAAUAAAAAAUAUUUUCCAAUACAACUUCUAUCACUCUUAAACAAACCCUUAGUCUAAUGCAGAGAACAUGUCUUCAUAUACAUUAUACAGUGGAUUAAUCAAUCUUUUUAGUUUUUUUAUAUUGUUCAUAAAGAUAAAAAAAAAUAGUAUCUAUUAUUUUAUUAGUGAUGAUAUAAGAUAUAAGAUGAUUUGUAUAUAUAUAUUUUUUCCAAUACAUGUCUUCCUUUUUUUUCUUUUUAAUAUAUAUUUUUAAAAUAUAAUUUAUUGCUAGUUAAUGAUAUAAGAUGAUUUGUAUUCGUCAAUAUCAAUAGAUCUAUUAUUUUAUUAGGUUACUUUAAUAAUAAAUCAAAAUAGUAUAUAUAUAUAUAUUUGUUUUUUUUUUCUGGGGGGGAGAUUUUCAUCUUGGUGAUACUCAAUAGAUGAAAAUAUAAUAUUAAUUAAACUUCAAAUUAUAAUUAUUUAUCUAUUCAGUUAAAACAAAUAUGACAGUUCAAUAGUCUUAAAUAAUAAAUAUUUCAUAUUAAUAAACGCUUAACGAGUCGAAUCAAUCAGAUGUUAAUUAACAUAAAGAAGUUAACAUGGUGUGUGCAGAGAAUGAAUUGUGGAAAGAGAGAUUGGGAGAGUGUGAGAACUAAAAGAUGAUCCUUACCCUUUAUGGCUUUAUUCUAUAUUAUACUAAGGGACGACUGACCAUAACAUUACAAGGGGACGAAGGACAUCCAUUGUUUUGGGAUUCUCCCACUCCACCAGUGUCUCCCACCGUUCUUUUGGAUAUGCUCGGAUGUAUUUAAGAGACGGGGGAGGGGAUGGUAGGCUAUUUUCAAGCAACGGAAGAUAAAUUGGCAUUCUCUUUAACUUCUCACAAUACUUUACAUUAGGGGUGUUCAAAAAAAUCGAUUAACCAAAAAAACCGAGAAAACCGAUAAAAAAUUAACCAAGAAAACCGAACCGAGAUAGAAAACCGAUUAAACUGAUUGUUAAAACCAUAAAAUCUUGCCAGGUUCGGUUCGGUUCCGGUUUGACCUCUUAAACCGAUGAACCGAACUGGUAGUAUAAAUACCACGCACACAGUCACACACAAACACAGUCACUUGACACUCAGUAACCCUAAAUCUAAUUAACAUUCUGAACUGAAGAAUGAAGCCGCUGCCCACACCAAAAACUCAAAGAGCAAAGAGCCAAAGACUCUUCCUUCUGCCCACAGAGCCCCACACCAAAGACGAUUUAUCGUCUUCUCCCUUCUGCUGUUCUGCAUCUGUCUUGCCCUUCACCAUCAAAUUUCAUCCUUCCUCUUCUCCCUUCCGCAUCUGUCUCUUCCAUCGAUUUGCAUCCUUCCUUUGUCUUCCCUUCUGCAUCUGUCUUGCCCCCUGCUUCUCUCUUCACUUGCAGGUUGCAGCAGAACGACAGGGCUCCUCCAUUGGUAAGAUUAUCUUCGUGUGCUUAACUGCUUAUAAGUCCAACAUAAUUAUUUUCAAACUUUGAUGCUUCUCAGUUCUCUGACCUUUGCUUCUCUUUUUUUUAUCCUCAGGUUCACCCCCUUUUCCAUUUAAUCAAGAACUAGGGUUUUUGCUUCUUUCUUCAGGUUAGUCCCUCCUUCCCUGCCCUAUCUUCUUUUUGUUAAUUUAUGUUGGUAUUGAAAUAUGCUUGUUCAUUUAUGUUGGUAUUGAAAUAUGCUUGUUAAUUGUUAUAGUUUUUUUGUUAGUUUAUCAAUUAGUCAAAUACUCAAAUGUGUUUGUCACCUGUUACAACAUUUUUUUUUUCAUGUUUGUCGCCUGUCGGGUGAAUGAGUGAAUAACUAAAUAUGUUUUUUCAUGAUUAUCGGGGAAUCGGGGAUUGGGUUUUUUCUAAACCGAAAAGAAUUGGGUUUUUUCAUGACUGUUCCUUCAUUUUUGGUUCCCAUAGCAUGAAUGUCAGACCGAUUAGUAGGGAGAAACAUAUUCACUCAUUCCCAUAGCAUAAAUACUAAUCUGACAUUCAUGCUUAUUUAUUUUAAAAAAGAAUUAUGAUUCUCAGACCGAUUAAAGUCCAAUUUGCUGGUUCAAACAAUUUUCUCCCUACUGCCACUGCCAGCUUCUCAUAUGAAGUUAUUGAUGGUUAUUUUGAGGAUUCAGGUGUAUCAUCUACUUGAAGUAUUUUAAUCUAGAAUCCCAAACUAUUCACAUUUUUCUAGGGGAUGGUAAAUGAGAGUUGGCAUUAUACAUAAUACUAAACUCCUCCAAUGCUACAGUACAGCUAAAAAAGUAGAAUUUGUUGCAGCAGUGAUAAAUUUUAAAUUCUACACAUAAUUUUAAAGAGACUAACAAACAAAACUAGUUCAUUAAUAGCUGCACAGACAAAUAUACAAGGCAUCUUUCUCAAUUAAUUUUUUUAGAUCACAAAACACACUUUCAGUUUCAGUUCCAGUUCAAUUAAUAGCUGCAAAUAAUGUUUUUUUUCAUUAUUUUAUAAUCUGUUUUAAUUUCAGAUGGAUAAUCGGGAAGAUCAUACACCAAUUGAAUCAAAUCCUUCAAGUUCAGAACCCCAUUCUUUUCCUAUUCCAGCUCCAGUCCUAGUUGCUACUUCUAGUACAAAUAGCAACGCUGAAAGUGAAGGUAAUCCAGCUUCUAGAUCUAAUAAAGAAAACACAUCUCAGAUUUGGGAUCACUUUAAAAAAAUUAGAUGGUAAUGUUAAGCGCUCCUAGGGCUGCAUGUAUGUAUUGUGGAAAAGAUUAUGCAUGCCAUACUAUACUUAAUGGGACUAGUAACAUGUGGAGUCAUCUAGGUGUAUGCAAAAAAGUUUCCUUUUGUGAUUGACCGAAAACAAAAACUUUUAGUCUUACAACCUAGCCUAUAAUAAAAGGGGGUAAUAUGGAGAGGAAAAUCUGGUGACUAUUAAGGCGGUGGGUUAUAGUUAUGAAGAGUGUAGGAAAGCCCUAGGAAAAAUGAUUAUACUUGAUGAGCUACCUUUUAACUUUGUUGAAAACCAAGGAUUUAAAUCAUUUUGUCAAGUAAUGCAACCUAGAUUUGAUGUUCCUUCUCGUUUGACGAUUUGGAGAGAUUGUUUAAAAAUUUAUGUAGUUGAGAAGGAAAAAUUAAAGAAAGCUCUUAAGGAUCAACGUGUAUGUUUAACAACCGAUACUUGGACAUCAAUCCAAAAUAUUAAUUAUAUGUGUUUGACUGCCCAUUGGAUUGAUGAAGGUUGGAACUUGAAUAAAAGAAUUCUAAACUUUUGUCAAGUUUCUAAUCAUAAAGGUGAAACAAUUGGCCAAACAAUUGAGAGUUGUUUGUUAGAAUGGGGAAUUGAUAACAUUUUAACAGUUACAGUAGACAAUACAAGUUCAAAUAAUUUGACAAUAAAAUAUUUGAAGAGAGUAACAAGUAAUUGGGCAACUAAUAUAUUGUCAAAUGACUUCAUGCAUGUUAGAUGUUGUGCACAUAUUGUUAAUCUUAUUGUAUGUGCGGGAUUGAAAGAUAUUGAUGAUUCAGUUGUUAAGAUUAGGAAUGCAGUGAGGUUUGUUAGAUCUUCUCCUUCUAGACAACUUGUUUUUAACCAAUGUGCGGAGAGGUUGAAAAUUGGGAGUAAAAAAUCUGUUUGCUUGGAUGUUGCAACUAGAUGGAACUCUACAUAUAUGAUGCUAGAUGGCUGUAAAUUUGAUGUGGUUUUUAUGAGGUUAGAAGAAACGAUCCUAGGUAUUUGAGUUACUUUGAGGUUGAUUCAAAAGGAAAACAAAAAAACUUAGGUCCUCCUGCUUUAGAAGAUUGGGAAAAGGCUAGAUCUUUUGUCAAGUUCUUGAAACUAUUUUACACGGUUACAUUGAAAUUUUCUGGCUCAUUGUAUGUGACAUCUAAUUCUUUCUUCAUGAAUUGAUUUCCAUGCACACAAGCAUAUCUCAACUUUGUAGAAGUGAAGAUGUUUAUGUAAGUAAAAUGGCCAAGAAUAUGAUGGCAAAGUAUAAAAAAUAUUGGGGGGAUCAAGAUACACAAAACUUUUUGUUGUAUGUGGCGUUGUGUUAGAUCCACGUUUCAAAUUGAAGUAUGUGAGAUUUUGUUUUGGAAGAUUGUAUGAUGUUGAAGAGGCUGAAAAUUUUACAAUUAAGGUUAAAGAUACUUUGCUAAGGUUGUUUGAGCAUUAUAUGAAUGUUGAUGAGAAUGUUGAGGUGUUCAGUGUUGGAACUAGUAUAAAUGAAAAUGUUAAUGUUGAUUUAAUGGUGGUAAAUGAUGAUAUGUUGGAUGACUUUCUCAAUUCAAAAAACAUUUAGAGGAAGAAGGGGUGUCAAAAAAAAAAUGAGGUUGAGAGGUAUUUGGGUGAUGAUUGUGAGGAUCCUAAUGAUUUUAAAUUAGAUAUUUUGGGUUGGUGGAGGUGUAAUGCUACAAAAUACAAGAUUCUUUCUAAGGUGGCACAACACGUGUUAGCUAUUCCGGUAUCUACAGUUGUUUCUGAAGUAGCUUUCAGUACUGGUGGUCGUAUUUUAGAUCCAUUUCGAAGCUCUUUAUCUCCAUCGACAGUGCAAGCACUGGUUUGUUGUCAGAAUUGGUUGAGUUUAGCAUCAAUUCCAAUCAACAUCAGCAAUUACAUGGAUUAUAUUGAAAAUUCUGAGAUGAUUGAGUCAGGUAAUUUCUUUUACAAAUUUAAAUGUAGUUAUUUUAUAAUAUCAUUUAUUUACAUAUGUUUAAUCUAACUUUUUAAUUUAUGUUUUUGUAGAAUUUGGUGAAAGUUUAAAAAUCUCAACUGAUUGUUUGUAAGCAGUAUUGGUGGCUUGGUGCAAUUUUGGAAUAUAAUUAUUCUGGGUAAUUAAUUUACUUUACCUUGUUAAUUCCCUUUAACAUUUUUCAUACUUAAAUUAAUUCUUUCAAUAGUUGAACUCUAAUAUGUUGCUGAUUUGCUAGUGUUUUUUUUUAUAUAUAGCAUUAUCCUUACUAGAAUUUUUGGAUACCCAUGCUGCUGUUGCUGGAAUUUUUGGAUGCUAGUCUUGUGUUUUUUUUUUUCAAUUUAUGCCGGAUGUUUAUGAUAAUUUAUUGAUGGUUACUAAUGUAUUCGCUUGUUAAUGUUAACUUUUCUAGUGCGAACAAACUUUUAAUUUGAGGUGUUCAAAUUUGAUCAUGCAUCUUGCAUAUUGAAAUUGAUUUAUUGCAUUGCAUACAUAUUGAAAUUGAUUUAUUGCAUUGUAUCUGUCAAAUUAAAUUCAUGUCUAAAUUCAUGUGAAGAAUUAAAUGGUUUACAUUCCUUGGAUAUAUGAUUUUCUCAGCAUAGCUCAUUGCCUGCCUGUAAAGUGUAAAUCAUUUGAACAACUUCAGGCUUAUAAACCAGGAAACAAAACAUGAAAAAUAAAUUUAUUUGUCAUCAGUCUUGGGAUGCCCCUUGAAUUUGAAGUUGUCUGCAUAAGUGCAUAUGCAUUAACCUGAAAGGAGAAGAAAAUUCGGAGUGACCAGGAGAAGAAGAGCCUUGCAGAUGGCACUUCCACAUUGCAUGCAUAUUGAAAGAUAAGUGUUCACUGUUCAGUAGGGAAUUCCUGUUUAUGGCAGCCAAGCUGUGAAUUAAUUCAGGUUUCUGUAACUUUUAAAACUCAAUUUACUGUAAGGCUAAGUGAAUUUUAAAAAAACUGAAAAAAAACCCGGAUUUAAUGAAGGGAUUAGGUUUCCCGGUUUUUUCCAAAAAAAACCGGAUUCAACCGAACCAGACCGGCUCGGUUUGAACCGGUUUCCGGUCCGGUUCGGUUAAAAUUUAUCUAAAAUAUUGAAAUUCGGUUCGGUUGGUUUUUUAAGUCUAAACCGAACCGAAUCGAACCGUGAACACCCCUACUUUACAUCAAUAUCUUUAAGAGAAUUGCAAAUCAAUUUUGCACUGCAAUUGCUUUUCAGUUCUGGUAAAUAUCUCAAUCUUAGAGCUCUUAACUUUGGGAGUUUUAAUUUUGUGAUGGGACUCGAGGUGCUGCUUUCUUCAUCUGUUGUUCCUAUUAUCUCCUCCAUUUUAUCAUAGUACCUCACUUCAAUCCUUUCUAGGUUUACGAGGUUUGGCAGCACCACAAGUGGGAACAACCUCUUCAUACUUUUACAUCCAACACAAUAAAACUCUUUAAGCCCAGAAAACAUACCAUUAUAUGAUGACAAUGGUGGUGGAGCAGACCAGAACCAAGAAGAUGAAACCAAGCUCUCCAUGCUAUUGCAAUCCUCAAUGAUGAUUUCCUCUAGUUCAGUUGCAUUCUCUAAUGACAAAACAUCACAUAAACUUCUUGCAUCGAUGCGUUCACAAUCCGGAACUUGAAUGUCAUUUAAGAACUUGACCUGAAAAUCUCCAUCUUUGUUGAUACUCAAAUUACCAAACCCAACUGUUUUAUUUGGAAAAUCAUCCAUGUCUACCCAACAAUCCACCAUUCCUACUAAAAUUUUAUAUGUGCUUAAUGAAAUGGCAUUUCAAAUUUUCCAAAUUUCUCAACUGUUAUCGGAGCAUAACUAGUCCCCAUAAACUCUUCUAGUGCAAAGACUUGCAGGUGAGAGAGUUUUGGUAAUAUCCCACUAGAAAACUCCUUUUCACCACAUCCAUUCAUUCUAAGAUACCUCAGGUUGGUUAGGCAUUCCAUCCCUUGCGGCAUCUUUUCAAGUGCAGUACAAGAGAGAUUCAACCUCUUCAGUGCCUUGAGCUUCUUUAAUGAUGGAACAUGUCUUAAGUCCUCACACUUUCUGAGCAAUAAGGCAGCGAGACUCACCAAAUCAGAGAUAGAGUCUGGCAAUUUUCAAUACCUGUGCAAGACAGAUUGAGCCCAUGCAAUUGAUUGAAAAAUGUAGUGAUUGUCAAUUAUUUUAUCUUGACCACUGGCAAAAAUUUGUUAGUACAUGAUUUCUUGUAACAAAUUGCCACGUAUCACCAUACUCCCUGUUUUUUUCCUGCUGAAAUAAGUCUUUGGAUCUGUUUUGGUGGGACUAAUAUCAACAUAAAAUGAGUAUCCCUAUUUUUCAGGCAUCAGAAUAUUAUGCUCACUUGGUUGAUUUUAUAAAGGAGUUCUGAUGCCUGAAAAAUAUUAUGCUCACUUGGUUGAUUUUCUAGUUCCAUUAGGUGCAUAAAAAAGAGAUAGAGAGCUCAAAAAGACUUGAAAGAUCCUCGUCAAUUUUGGCCAAGUUCAUUGUUUUCAUGAUUAAAAAAGUGUAUAUUCGAGGUUAAUACCAUUGAUUCAAUGGAGGUUGAGGUCCAGGUAGCAUCGCAGGCACUUGAUUCCUCAUUGGUAACUGGUAAUUAGUCCAUUGUUGGUCCCUAAAUUAGCAACACUUGUUAGUAAUUUCUUUAUACAUAUGCAUAAUUCUUUACUAUUAAUCCACUAAGCAUUUGAUAUCAUUUUAGCUUACCUCAAAGGCAUUGAUGGUCCAGGUAGCAUGGGAUUGGCACAUCGAGGAUCAAAUAAAUUAGGAUGAGGCAGAUACCUAUAUUCAAAUAUAAUGAUAUUAGGCAGAUAAAUAGAACAACAACAAGAAGAAGUUAAAUAAUGAUGAAUAUUAUGUACAAGAAGAAUUUAAAUAAUGAUUAUUCUCACUUAGUUGAUUUUCUAGUUUCAUUAGGUGAUGCAAAUCAGGAGACUCUUGAAAGCUGAUUAAAGCUUAUUAGCUGUAGUUAUUAUUUUCCUAGUUAGCUGAUAGUUUCCGAGUCAGAUUAGUAUUAGAUCGUAACUCCUUAGCUGUAGGGUAUUUAAGAGGGGAACAGAACAGAAGAUGGGGCAUUAUUUGUAUUCUUGGCAAUUGCUUUCUUUAAAUACAAAUUGGAGUGAUUCCAUAGAGAUUCUGUAUUAAAUUAUUUAUUGUUCUUACAGAGAGCAACGAGAGGUUGUACCGGAGGGCAUUUAGAUUAAUAUGUGCACAAAAAAAGAGAGAGAGAGAGACGGAGAGCUCAAAAGAAGUUAAAUAAUGAUGAAUACCUUGUUGGAGUUUGAGGCCAAUUUGGUUCAUUUUGGUUGAUCCAUGAUGAUGAUGUUCCAUCUGAACCUCCCAUUGUUGUCUGUUUGUUUUAUAAUAAACAAUUAGAAGAUGCUCGAGAUAAAUAUUAUGUAGCAAAUUGGAGCACUCACAUUGUUCUGUCCACCUUGAUCAUUGCAUAAUAUGGAGCUUUGGUUGUCUGGAACCUCCGGUGGCGACCUGUUCUGUCCACCUUGAUUAUUGUUUUGUUGGGGAAUAAUAGAAAAAACUGAAGAAUAACUAAAUUGCAAGGAAUCAUUUUUUGAUAAAAUAUGCUUAAGAAUGACGUACGAGAGAGGCACAGGUAUAUUGAAUAUAUCUUCUAGUGAUUGAAGAUCGAACUCAUUUGAUGUCCAGUUGAUCAUGACAUCAUCCUCCGCAGAAGAUGGUGGGAACCCUUCCAUCUGAGGUUUAAAGAAGAACAGAUAAAACAGAUAAUAAAUAUAUAAGUGGGUACACCUUGUUAUAUCUAAGUCAAAAUAAAAGAAAAACAAAUAAAUGGUGAAAAGCACCUUGUUCUAUCUUAUAAUAUAAUAUUUGAUGGGGGUAUAUAUUAUAUUAUUACAAAUUACAAAUAUAACGAUCAUAACUAAGCCUCAAUAACUUGAAUACUUCCUUGUCCCUAAAUUCUGAUUCUCUCAAUUUGUUCAAUGUAUUUCUCCACUCAUAGGUCAUCCACUCCCCUCAAGUUUCCUGCCACUGUAAUAAUUCCCAAUGGCAAACCAGCACAUUCCCUUGCAACGUCUUUCGCAAUUCCUUCCAUUUCUGGUGAAAGUGCUAUAUCACGUCCAAGUUUCUCCAUGAACCAAGUCCAAGCUUCUCCUUUAGAAAGUGGCUUCACUUUGAUUUUGUGCUGGCAAGCCAUCCGAUGACAAACCGUUUCUGAUCGAGUUGUCAUAAUCAGCUUGCAUCCUUCUAACUUUUCAGGAAUUUCCACUUUGUGUAGCUCAAAAUUAUUCCACAAAUCAUCUAAAAUGAGAAGCUAUUUUUGUUUCUUCCUUAGUUCUUCUAACAAUUUGAGAGGUCUGAGAUGAACAUCAUCUUCACUUGAAAGGUCUAGAUCAAGAUGUUUAGCAAUAACAUUCUGCAAUCUAUUAAUGCUGAAAUCUUGAGACUUAGUCACCCACCAAACAUGAUCACAAAUAUCUGGUCUUUGUAGAAGCUCAUUAUGGAUAUGUUGCAGUAUGGUUGUUUUACCAACUCCCCCCAUCCCGUAAAUGCCAAUGGUUGGGACUUCAUCAUCCAUUAACAAAGACCAUAUCACCUUCUUAUUCUCUUCAAAUGCUUGACCCACUGGCUUUAUAGAGCUAUUAGGUAAUGGAACUCCUCUAGUCUUGUUGUUUUUCAGACUUUCAGAAGAUCUAGCUCCUGGGCCAGCCUGCACUACUGAUCUUCCACUAUUCUCAACGUACUCUUCCUCCACUGGUUGUGUCCUCACUCUAACCAUGUCCUGUGCAUCAUGCCUAUUUACAUCAUUGUUUACUAAUGGAGCACAAGGUUGAUCAUAACAUAUUCCAAAGUCAAGACAAAAUUGGGAUGCAUCUCCUUGAGGCUCCAAAAGCUGCACUUGCUCUGUUCUUGGUACAGUCUCAAAUGCAUCAUGCCAAAAAGAUCCUUCACCAGUGUUUUCCAUGCCAUUUUCCGCUUGUAGAUGCGAUUGAAUUCUCUGUUCUCCUGGAUCUUGUUCCAUGCCCUGAACUCCCACUUGUAUCCUUCCAAUACCUCCUCGCCAAAUUGCCGAGUACUGCAUUGCUUUGUUCCAACGAUCGAUCCACUGGUUCUGUCCUCAGUCUGCUCUCGAGUGCCCCUUCAGAAACUCUCUCUUCUUGUGCUCUCACUCCGGUCAUGCUUACUAUACGUCGUUUCCUGCUAUUGCAUGUGAAGAAAUCCUCUGUUCCCCUACUUCGGGUUCUAAAACCUGAACUUCUCUUUGUACCCUUCCAAUACCUCCUCCCAAAUUCCACAGUCAUUAAAAUUGAUUGAACUUGCUGUGAUUUUAUGUCCUUUUUUGCCAUCAUUCAUAGCUUUCCAGGCUGCUUCUUGAACUUCUGUAGUCACUGUUGCUACCCAAUUUUUGACCCAUGUUUUGAUAAUUUUUCAGAAAAAUCCAAAAAUAGAGAAAAACAUCGAAAAGCCAAAAAAAUACUUUUUUAAUAUAUUUGCGUUGUUUUUAGCUGUUGCUACCCAAUUUUUGACUCAUGUUUUGAUAAUUUUUCAGAAAAAUCCAAAAAUAGAGAAAAACAUCGAAAAGCCAAAAAAAUACUUUUUUAAUAUAUUUGCGUUGUUUUUAGCAUUUUCAGCGUCGUAAAAAAAAAUUUAAAUUUUCAAAGGUUUUUCGAACGCGUGCAACUUUUCACGCGUCAUUUUUAAUCAUUGAUUUUCCUCAUUGAGUCGACGUUGAUAUUGCUCAUUUUAAAAAAAUACAAACAAAUUAAGAAAAAUCAAAUUUACAAAAAGAAAGAAGUUGAGGGACCAAUUUUGAAAACCUAGCAAUAUUUUUGCCUAUAAAUACUGGUCUUCAACACACACAAAAGAGGGGGGGACAAUUUUGCACAUUCAGAAAAAACACAAAAAAACCUAACCCUAAACCUAAACCUAUCUCUAACCAAAAAAAAAAGAAGCCGCCGGCCCCCCAGGCUUUUGAUUUUUCCUUCCCCACAACAGCUAACCGAAAUCUCUAGCCUUCCACCAACUCCUCCUCCCUUGCCCUCUGCCAAACGGACAAACUCUCAGCCCCUCACCCCACACAAACCAGCCGCCCCACCCAUUCAGUUGGCCACUCUCUUUUCUCCAGCCAAAGCCAUCGCCCCCUUCUUCCUCUGGUCUCCCGACAAACCCAACAAUACCCUUUCUUCUCCGGACGACCGACCGCAACAACCCACACCGCCUCUCCGUCCGAUCUAUUCACUUCACAACCCGGAAGAAACCCACUAUCAGGCCCAAUCUUCCCCUCAAUAGCGUCUUCUUCGCCUUCGGUCUCUUCAACAGCAAUGGCCACAGACCAGCCAAGACCGAACAUCUAUUUCAACCGGUCGGUCGCAGAUCCACCCAUCAUCAACGACCUAGCAACGGCCACAGAAGACCAUCACUGCUAGAUCGGCCAUCAACAGAAGCCUAGUCGUCGGUGACCCCUUGGUCUUGCCGCCGCUGAAAUAGAGAAGGGAGAAGGUAGAGAAAUUGGAGUGAGCUAAAAAAGGAAAACUUAAACAGAUAGAAAAAAGAAAGAAAAUUAAAAUCGAUUGCCUUUUGUGUUUUUUUUUUUUGCAGAUAACGGUGGUUGUCACCACUGGCGAGGAAAAGAAGAGGGGAAGAAUUCGAUCCAGAUCCCCCCUGUUGCUGGGUUUUUCUCGUGGCAGUGGCACGUGGAGCAACGCGCCGCCACUGUUCCGGCCCUGCACUGUUCCUGAUUUUGUUUGAGAGGUUGUUUUUUUGUAACUUUAAGUUUGUUUAAUGUAAUAUAUUUUUAUUUUUUAGUUUUUUAUAAUUUGUACUUUGUAAAUGUGGAUUAAAAGAAAAGGAAAAGAAAAGAAACGAAACAAAAAAUAUAUAGUAAAAGUGAGUGUGUGUUUGGAUUUUCAUUUAUUUAUGUAUGUAUGUAUGUAUGUAUGUUUUUUUUUUAUGAUAAAAUCGCAAAGAUUAAAUAAGAAUUUAAUAUUUUGAUUUGCUCACAGUCUAGAAUUAUUAACUUAUACGUAAGUUGUAUUUCUAAUAUCUGAUGAAAAGACAAAAUUUUAAAACUUCUUUAACACGUCAAAGCCACGAAGCAACUUACCUCAGGUAGGGUGUGUGUUAGGGGUGCUAAUACCUUCCUUAACCACAACCAGUCCCUUACCCGUGAAUCUCUGACAAGACCAUUACACCCGGGUUUCCUAGUAGCCCUCAAUUAAAUACAAGGUGGCGACUCCAACGAACCAAAUCAAAGCAAACGCAUAACGAGAAAAAAUUGCCAGCCGACGCCGUGCGGGUGACGUGUGGCAGUCACCCCAAGACAAAUGUCAACACCACGCCUUCUCUCUCCUGAUAAAUGCCAUUUGAACCUUGAAAUGCAAAUUUUACUGGACCAUGUACGCUGACAAAACUUACACGUCAUGCUACCAUCAACCCUAUCUUCAACAUAAUUCCAAAAUGGAUCCUUCGAUCCACCCAUAGAAAAAGAAGGGGGGGGGGAGGGUCAAGGCUAGGAUGGAUGAGAAACUACUUCAUUGCUGUUACCUUAUUUUGCUAUUAAAAUUGAUAGUUAGUUUAUUGCAUAAUUAUAGGGGGGGAAAGACGAUGAAAAUUCAGUUAGACUUCUUACUUGUUGAGUAUUUAAAUCCCUAAUUUGACUUUGCAGGGAAUUGUCAAGGCUAGGAGUUGAUGCAUUUGGCAUAGCAGUUUGAUUUUGCAAUCCUGGGACUUGGAGGUUAUCCAUCUGUGACCUGUAUAAAAAUGAAGUGAUCAUAUUAUAAAACCUUUCGAUAAUUGGUAGUAUCUAAUUAUCAAAAGGGUCUUAAUACGUACUGUAUUAAAACACAACAGCUAGAAGUCACCUAGUAGAGUUGCCAAAGUGCCGAGGCCCGAAGUUCUGUUGUUGCAUAUUAUCUAUGUUAGGAAUUACUGCAGCUUGAUCGUCUUGUCCUUGAUUAGAAAGAAAUUGACUCCUGUAUCCAAAAUAAUUCGCAAGUAAUACAAUACGAGAUUUAAUAGUUUUACUGACGGAAUUUUUUCAUCGGCGUAAGACACAUAUUCCGUCGGUAAUUAAUUUACCAACGAAAUCACCAACAGAGAAUCUUUCAUCGGUAAUUUUUUGUCCGUCGGUAAAUCUAUUGGUAAUGAAAAAAAUUUAUUACUGAUGGAUUUACUAAUGGAACAUAAGCGUCGGUAAUAAUAUUUUUUUAUUACCAACGAAUUUACCAACGGACAAAUUAUAAAAUAUUUAAAAACAUUUUAAAAAAAAUCAUUUUAUAAAAUUAUACUCAAAAUGCUUGGAAAAAAAAACAAGAAAAUCAACUCAAACAAAUUUGCAACAAAUAAAUAAAAUGAAAAAAAAAAUUCAACUAAAAAAAUUCAUAUGAAAAAAAUGAAGUUGCAAUUGCUAAAAAUUUAAAAAUCCUAUAAAUAUAUCAACAAAAAUUGAUCUCAUAUGAAAAAAUAAAAUCUCACAACAACAUUUAUACAAUUAUUAAGAACAAAAACAAUUAAAAAUAAAAUAAAAGGCAAAUAUAGUGAAAACAAUCAUGAAAAAAGAAGAAAAAAGAAAAAUCUUACCUUAAUGUAGUUGCAAGUGAAGCUAAGGAGAGAUUUUUUUUUCGUAAAGCAUAUUAAUUAAAAAAAAAACUAAGAGGAUAAAAGAAGAAAGAAGAAGAAGACAUACCUGAGCAUGGAGGAAAAGAGAAGGAGAUGAGGAGAGAAAAGAAGACAAAGAAAUAGAUAUUGAUGUUUUUUACAUAUAGUGAAGAAGAAGAAGAAAUGAGUUUCUUUUUUGUGAAAUAAGGGGAUUCAGAUUUUUUAUUGGGGCACAUUAGCGACGGAUUUAUUGACGAAUAAUUGAAUAUUAAUAUUUUUUAAUUAUUUCGUCAGUAAUUCCAUCGGUAAUAUUUAAUAUAAAUUUUUAAUUUCGUAAAAAGCUUUCAGAAACCGCCAACAAUUAUCGAUGAUUUUUCAAUCCUUCGGUGAUUCCGUCUGUAAUAUUUAAAUGAAAAUUUUGAAUUACUUGAAUUUUUUCAGAAAACCGCCAAAUAAGACCGACGACUUUUCAAUUCGUCGGUGAUUUUGUCUGUAAAGAACAAGAAUUAACAGUGCAAUUGAAAAAGUGAACAGUUCUGGAGCUCUCUGGAAAAUACUGACGAAAAAUUCUGUUAGUGAUUUCCUUCGUAAUUGACAUGAUGAACAGUGUUCACAGUUUACCAAAGAAUUUACCGACGGAAUAAAUUCUGUCGGUAAUUACGUUGGUAAAAAUGACAUAUCAUCAUUUAUUGUUUUACUUUGUUUUAAUUUUUUUCCCCACUGUAAUUCCCUCGAUAUAUACCGAGGGAAUAUUUCCGUCAGUAAAAUCCCUCGAAAAUAUUUCCUUUGUAUUUAUCGAUUUUCUGGUAGUGAUAUUAAGCAUUACAAACUUAUGAUUAUCUUGCUGGGUUGCUGGGUUGAUGUCCAAGCUAUGAUGUUGCUUUCGUAAUUGAAAAACAAAUUUUUUUUAAUAGAAAAUACUAAAUAUGAAAAAUUGGAUACCGUGGAGCAGGAAAAGAAGGUACAGGUUGAAUGAAGCCACCAUGUUGUGAAGUGGUUGCGUUCGGUGUCAUAUAGCCAUGUCCCGGCUGAGGUUGAUGAAUAAAGGAAUUAUGAUGCCUUGAUGGAGUUGGGGGCCAAUUUAGUUCAUUUUGGUUGAUCCAUGAUGAUGAUGUUCCAUCAAAACCUCCCAUUGUUGUCUUUUUGUUUAACAAUAAACAAUUAGAUAAAUAUUUUUGUAUAAUACAAACACUUGCCAAUUCAAUGGACAUUGUAUCACAUUGGAGUAAGCAUGAGUACUCACCAUGGUUUCAGGAAAUGAAGUUAGAAACUUAGCUGUGUCACACGUGUGCGACAUCGUGGUGAAAACAUUCACUCUCGAAUUCUAUUUUUUAUGGAAAAUGUGUGGAGACAAGGAAUUCUUGCUCAAAACUGUCAUUUUUUAUCAAAACCGAGUCCCCCGGGUCAAUACGGGUCAAACCAUAUUGACCAGGGUAAAAAAUGAGUUUCCAUGACGUUUCGGGUCAAAACCGUCAUUUUCGAUCAAAAUCGUCAUUUUGGAUCAAAACCGAGUCCAUCGGGUCAAUAUGGGUCAAACCAUGUCAACCGGGAUAAAAAAUGAGUUUUCAGGUUGUUUCGGGUCAAAACUAUUAUUUUUCGGUCAAAACCCGGUUCACCGGGUUGAUACCCCUCAAAUGUUGUUUUCUGUGUUUCAAUAUAUAUUUUUUUUUUUUGCGGUUGAAAUGGGCUUUUUCUAAUACUGAUUUAAGUUUUUCAGUUUUAUUUAUAUAAUUAUUUAUUAUUAUAUAUAAUAAAACAAAAUUAAUAAUACAAAAAUUUAUUAUAGCGUCAGUUGCUGCGGUGCAUUAUUUUCCUUCGAAAUGAAUUCAUUGUCCCCUGCUCAUUGGCUAUAAAUAGCCACGACAUCAGAGGGAAAAAAAAAGAAAAAAAAAAGAAAGAAAGAAAAGAGAGUAUUACUAUUUGAAUUGUUUUUAGUUUUUCUUCACGAUAGUAAGAUAUUGUUUUUUAUUAAAAACAAGUUGAAAAAUAUCAAAAAUAUCCUAACCAUUUGAUCUAAUAGUGUUAAUUCUGGACCUUUGAUUUAAUAGGAUACAAUAGGGUUUACCAUACUAGAUUAAAACCCAAAUCCAUCUAAGCCUUUGAAAUAAUCUGCCUAUUGAUUCUAUCGUGCCAUGUCACCCGGUGUACCGAGCUUUCAGUGCAUCGCGCCACAACAGAUCAACGCUCAGCUCAUCCAGACCGUCUGAUCAACUUGCAGAUAAAGCCAAUCACAGCUGAAGGAUCAGUUCAUCCGCGAUCCAAUGGCUCACAACCUUCAGCUGCACCGGUGUCCCAUACUCGCGUUCACACCGAGCACAAUCUCGGAGCCUCUCUCUCCUCUCGACGGUGAUUCUCUCUCUCUCAUCCGAUCUCCCAUUUCCGGUCGUGUGAAGCUUUCAAACCACCACAGAAAGGUUGCUACCUUGCUAUAAAGCAAAACCCCGGCGGUUUUCAGCGUUUUCUCCGCCUCAUCUAGCCGGAAAACGACCGCGAUUUCGUCAACCACCCGAAACUUUAAACCGACGAUUCUCCCUCGUCAGCCAUCAACAGCCGUCGAAACCACCUUCAUCAGAAUACUCUCCAUCAGAUCUACUAGAAUCAACCAUUCGUUGGUUGGAAAUCUUGCCGGAAAAUUUCGCCGCCUCCAACAGUAACCGCGCGUGAGCCACACGCGCCACCAGGGGUAUUUUCAUAAUUUUCCAAGAAAUCCAAGGGUAUUUCAGUCUUUUACCUAUACAGUGGCACUCAAGUAAUUUUUUGAAAUUCCUAACAGUUUUUAUUUUAUUUUUAUAUAUAAGUAUUUGUAAAUUCUCUUGCAUGUAAAAAAAACCAAAAAAACCAAAAAUAAAUAUAAAAGGAAUAACGACGCGGGUCCAACACCCAUCUUAUCAUGUCAUCGUUCAUGGGUCCAAAGCCCAAUUAUCAAGUAUGGUUAUACCCAUUUCUCAACGAUAUCAAAAUAUUUUUUGUUUUAUAAAUGAAUAUUGUUUGUCGGCAUGUCUCUUUUUACAGAAAAGGACUGAUGUCAAGGAUAUUUAUACCAAAUAUGGAUUAUGUCCAUUAUUUCCUUUUGAUAAUCCAGACGUAACUCUCCUUUUUAGGGUCAAAUGUCAAUAUUUUAGACAAAUCUCCUAUUUUUAGGGACUAAUGUCAUUUUUAACGUGUCUCCUAUUUUUAGGGACCGACGUUAACCAUUUAAAAAAAAAACAAAAUUGCAAAUAAGCUCAAAAUAUAAUAGCAUUUGAAUCAAAUAAAAAACACACAAGUAAGGGUAACCUUUCUUUUGAAAGGAUGUUUUAAGGGUGGUGUCUACCUUCCCUUAAUCAUAACUAACCCAGUACCUGAAUCUCUGGGACCAGUGUCUAAUUUGGGAUUUCUAGUUCCCUCAUAUUACUAGAUGGCGACUCCAAUAAAAUAUUCAUUUCCCCCAAUCAAAAAAAAAAAUCUUUUUGUUAAAUAAACAAAAAAGCGGAGCCGUCGCCCGACGUCGUGUAUCGAUAGAAUGGCGACUCCGCUGGGGACCUAGGGUUGAACCAACUACUUGUGUGUGCUUUUCAUUUGUUUUUUUAUUAUUGUUAUUUAUUUUUUGAGCAUUUAUUUUAUUUGCACUAUUUAUUUUAUGCAAUAUCAAUUGUAAAUCAUUUCAUUUUUUAAUUACACAUGCAUGCAUGUUAUUUAUUUGUGUAUUCACACACUUCAGUGAACCCAUAAAAGCUCUGGACCCGAGCUCGUCCUUUUUAAGAUUAGAAAAGAAAGAUUCAGGUGGCAAGUGUGACUUAUGUCCACUGAUGCUCAUUUGGACUUUCGCUUGGAUUGUAACUCACCCUAUACAACGGGUAUUGUGGAAUUUUCUUCCCAUACUCAUGUUGUAUAAGGUUAAGAGGCCGACUACCCCAUGGGUAAUUCGGGCAAUCUAAGAACCAAAAAAUAUCUUUAGGGAUAGACUAAAUUGAGCCAAAUCUUAUGAGCUAGAUCCUAUCAAUUAGAUAUACCUUUUAGGACACAAACAAAUGUCAAUGCAUUAACAUACAUGUUUAUAUACAUUUCAUAUUCUCAUUAAAUCUCCACCGAUCCUUAUAGGAAGUGUGAGAAAAAAAACAUUACUAUUGAGGAAUUUUUGACCAGAUCAGAAUUGAACCAACAUGAUGAAGGGGAUUGUUUGCCAUCAGAAUAUAGCAUCAUAUUUCUCCCCUAAAUCGGUUCAAGUCCCUGUAGGUUUGGAGUCCUCAGUGAGAACUUUCUUAAGAGAAUCUGAUCUGGUCUGUUCCUCGUCAUAAGUUUAAAAAAAAAAAAAAUUUGAAACCAAUAACACACAUGCAUAAACCAUAUGGCAUUUUUGCAUCCAUUUGUGCAUUUCAUUUAGUUUACUUGCAUUCACUCAGGUUGAAAUAUAGGUCCCCCAAAAGGCCGUAAAAUUCAUUACACUCGACAACGAAGGAAGAUAAUGGAGAACGAAGAAAGGGCACACCUAGAGGCUCAUUAUCAAAGAGAGUUGGAGAACAUGAAAAAUGAUAUAGCACGACUUACAAGUCUACUCGAGCAGACCCUAGUAUCCAAGUCUGGGGAAGGUACCUCUACUCAGCCGGCAGUUGCAACUCCAUCUAUAUCUAUGCCAUCAGCUCCCUUUGUAUUCCCGCCUCAAAAUUUAGGGGCAAAUCCCUCUUCAUUUGAACAACAGUUCACUGCCAAUGUUCCACCAGCACAAGUGCCAGUUACUAUAAACCUGGCAACUGAUGACCCACAAAGGAUGAAAUUCUCUGAAAAUGUCGAUUAUGAUAAAUUGACCGCUCUAGAAGAGAGAUUGAAGGCAGUAGAAGGGGCAGACUUAUAUGAUCCUGUUUAUGCUGCAGAAAUGUGUUUAGUUCCAAAUGUAGUUGUACCCAGAAAAUUUAGGGUACCAGAAUUCAUCAAGUAUACUGGAACUGAAUGCCCAGUCACUCAUCUUAAAUCUUAUUGCAAUAAGAUGGCAGAAGUAGUGAAUGAUGAGAAACUUCUCAUCCAUUUCUUUCAAGACAGUCUUUCUGGAUCGGCAUUAAGCUGGUAUACAAGGCUGGAUAACACCAAGAUCAGAAAGUGGAAAGAUUUGGUAAAAGCCUUUGUGGAGCAGUAUAAAUUCAACAUGGAGGUAGCCCCGGACAGGUCAAGCUUGUUAGUCAUGGAAAAGGGCAGCAAAGAGACUGUAAGAGAAUACGCUUUGAGAUGGCGUGAAAAAGCAUCUCAUGUACAACCCUCUUUGUUAGAAAAAGAAAUGGUCACUCUUUUUUCUAACACUUUUAAAUCUCCCUACUUUGAACACCUGGUGGGUAGUUCGCUCAGCAUUUCUAUGAUGCUGUAACUAUCGCUGAGAGAAUAGAACAAGCGAUAAGAGCGGGGAGAAUGUCAGAGCCUACUGAGAAGAAAGGCUUUAUUGGGAAAAAGAAGGAUUCUGAGGUGAACAAUGUGGAAGGAGUGUAUAAGGGUAAGAAAACAAAUUACCACCAUUAUAACUUCCAAAUGCCUACCCAACAAGUUGCAAGUGUAAACUUCACUAAACCUUUCCCUACCAACCAACAAAACCAACCACUGACCAACAAAGUAACCAGAUCGUUAAUCCUCCAAGAAGGAAUUUUCAAAGAACCCAAGAACGACUGCCACCAUUACCACUUCCUUUGGGAAAUGUACUCAAAGUUGUUGAGUAUUGGGCAAGUAGCUCCCGUUCCCUUAACCCCACUGCAACCUCCAUACCCAAAUUGGUAUAAGCCAGAUCUGAAAUGCGAGUAUCAUGCUGGCGUGGCAGGGCAUAACAUUGAAAGUUGUAAUGCAUUUAAAAACAAGCUUCUACAAUUGAUAAAAGCUGGAUGGAUAACUUUUGAUGAUUCACCGAAUGUAAAUUCCAAUCCUUUGCCCAAUCAUGCCACAAGCAGUGGAGGAGUGAAUGCUGUAGGAAUGGAGGGUAAGAAGGAAAGAGUUUUGAAGGUUUCCAUGGAAAGACUGUAUGGUAUGUUGGUACAGUCUGGUUAUUUAUCUGAGUUUGAACCAGUGAUGAAUGAAAAUAACUACUGUAAGUUUCAUGGCAAGGUGGGACAUCACAUUGAUGAUUGUGAAGAAUUUCACCAAGAAGUGAAAAGGAUGCUGACUUUCGGCAUGUUAAGGAUAGAGAGUGAAGAAGAGAGUAGUGAAGUUGGGAUGAUAGGCCGUCAGGAGACAAAAAUGGAAGUUUGUAGACUCCAACCAACUGUGGGUGGUCCACCAAAACUAAUCCUGACCAAGCCUGUAUGCACAAAUAGUGAAAGUUAUGGCUCAAUGCCUUACAAUUAUGGGUAUUCUUUCAACAUUAAGAACCCUACUCCCAUCUUUCAUCCUGAAAUCGGUGGUUUAACUCGAAGUGGUCGGUGUUUUACACCAGAAGAAUUAGAAAGGCAGAGGAAAGCCAAAGGAAAAGAGAUAGUUGAUGCUUUUAAAGGCAUGGAAGUGAACAAGCCUAUAAGUGAAGACGAGUCUAAUGAGUUUCUGAAGUUGAUGAAGCAUAGUGAGUAUAGUGUGGUGGAUCAAUUGAAGAAAACUCCUGCUAGAAUCUCUUUAAUGUCACUUAUCUUGAGUUCUGAGUUACACCGUAAAGCAUUGCAAAAGGUGUUGAAUGAAGCAUAUGUGCCACAGGAUAUUACUCAAGAUACAAUGGAACAUUUGGUGGGAAGAAUUCAAGCCUCUAAUUACUUAUACUUCACAGAAGAUGAGCUAGACUCGGAAGGGACUGGGCAUAACAAGCCUUUGUACAUCACCGUGAAAUGUAAAGACUAUUUGAUCGGCAAAGUGCUUGUGGAUAAUGGUUCAGCGUUGAAUGUGCUACCAAGGCAUAUAUAGAUGAGAUGCCAAUUGAUGCUACUUACAUGAGACCAAGCACAAUAACAGCUAGAGCAUAUGAUGGUUCUCCUAGAAGGUGAUAGGGGCCAUUGACAUUGAAUUGUUUAUAGGGCCUCAGAUGUUUUUAUAACCUUACAAGUGAUGGACAUCCAUCCUUCGUAUAGUAUGUUAUUGGAAGGCCAUGGAUACAUGCCGCUGGGGCUGUGACAUCAUCUCUACACCAAUGUUUGAAGUACAUUAUCAAUGGUACUCUAGUGAAAGUUAAGGCAGAAGAAACCUUAUCCACGAUAAGGAAUGUGUCGGUCCCUUAUAUUGAAGCAGAAGAUUGCAAAGAUGGAAAUCUCCAUGCUUUCGAGAUUGUGAACACUGAAUGGGUACCAGAGAAUACAUGGUGUUAAGAAGACCAAUUAUUUCUGAUACUGCCAGAAUGAUAGCUAAAUACCUUUUGAAAUAUGGGCUACCAUUCUAGAAUGAUCCAAUUGCUGGAAAUCUUAAGAGAGUCAACAUAAUGAAAAUUAAGGCUGCUGAUCAGAAUUUUGGGCUUGGCUUCAAGCCUAAGAAAGAGGAUUGUUGCUACCCAAUUUUUGACCCAUGUUUUGAUAAAUUUUCAAAAAAAAAAAAAUAAUAAAAAAAUAAGGGUUUACAUGUGGCGAUAACAUAGAGCAUCAGGGCUAAUAUUAAGGGAGCAAUAUGUUUAGGAGAUAAUUACUGAAUCAUAUAUAAUUACUGCAAUAUAAAAUACCAUAGAUAUAUGAUUUGAUUUGUGCUUGUUAGGGAAAAUAAUCACUGCAAUAUAAAAUACCAUAUAUAUGGGAUUUGUUGGUGCUGAUUAUAGAAGACAAUCUCUGCAAUAAGUAUUGCAAUAUUUCCUUAAAUAACACGUGUAGAGAUUUUCUGUAUAAAUGAACAUCCAGUCAUAAUAAAAGAGAGGAGGAGAAAAUUUAGAAGGGGAGCAAUUUUAAAAAACAAAAAAAAAGGGGCAAGCCACAAAAGAGAAAACCUAUUUUUUUUCCUCCUGGCCGAAGCCAAGCCGUGCCUCCACCUUUGGCCUUGCGAUUUUGUUUUUUUUUUUACACAGAGACCAACCCCUCUCCCUUGGAAACCGACCAAAACCAGAUCCCCCUUAGCUGCCACUUUCUCCCCUUGGCCAUUUCAUUUUCCCUCUUCAGCCGACCAUUAGAGCAGCAGCCCCUCUCCUUUUGCAACCAAAACCAAAUCUCCUCCCUCACUUCUUCUUCUUCUCCCAGACCCACAGACACUCGGACACAAGCCUCUUUUCCCCUGUCUCAGCCGACUUAGAGCAUCCGGCCACCACCUCCUCAUCUCUCUCUAUCAGUUGCAGCCCCUUCGCUAGACCUUAAUACCCCAGCCUGCAACCACCGUAAACACCAUUUACAAGCCUUCCCUCUCUGUCAACACAGCCCACAUAGCCCCCAGAAACGACUCUCCACUCAUCUUUUUUUUUCCCCUCAGUUCAACCCCGCUUGAUAACAUUCACUACCAGAAAAUCGCUAAAUACCAACGGACAUACCGACGGAAUUUUUUCUGUCGGUAUUUUUCGGCCGAAAUCACCGACGGACAAUAUUCGUCGGUAAUUCAGUCGGUCAUUACCGACGAACUCCGUCCGUCGGUAAUUACCGACCGAAUUACCGACCGAAAAUUCAGAAUUAAUGAAAAAAGGGCGGGCAGUGGCGCGGAGGUUUUGGCGGGUGAUGUUUCCGACGGAAUCACCGACGGAAUUAAAAACUGGGGCCCGUACGCGUGAUGGGACCUAUUCACCGUCAAAAAAUACCGACGGAAUCACCGACGGAUUUGAAAUGCCAGAUCCGUACCGGUGAUGUGACGGGUGCACCGUUAAAAAUACCGACGGAAUCACCGAGGGAUUUGAAUAGCAGGUCCGUGCGGUGACGUGUCGAUUGCCCGUUAGAAUUACCGACGGUUUGCCGACGGAUUCACCGACGGAAUCCGUCGGUAAGUCCGUCGGCAAAAGUGAAUAUAUGGCACUCUGCCGACACUCUCCUCCCCCAUUUCUCCUUCUUCUUCCUAAUCCUAACCCUCCCCAUCUGCAAAAUAACCAGCCCCCCCUCGCCCCAAAACAAAAAUUUCCUCAUCUCAGCACAACAAGUUGUUUUGUUUUGUGGUCACAGCAUCCGUGUUCUGAUUUACCGACGGAUUUUAUCAUUUUUUGUAAGUAAUUCUAUCUUUUAAAAUUUUAACAUUUAAAUGUCAAUUUUAUUGUUUUUUUAGUAUAUGUAUUAUUUUUUUUUAGUAGAUGUACAUGUUUUAUUGUUAUUUCUCAAACAAACUUGUAGUAUAUGAAUGUAUAAUUUUAUACUUGUUAUGGUUUGUUUUAGAUUUUGUAAGAUUGUAUUUGUUUGAAAAUUGUUAAAACUUAAUUUGUAGAAUUACCGAAUUACAUGUUAUGUUUUGAAAUAAUUAAGAGCUUGCUUAAUUAAUGGGUCCUUUUUAUAGAGGUUCGAUAGAAGUCAUGGAUGAUCGUUCAUGGAUGUAUCUAGAUUCACCCCAAGGAUUGCGGAGGAUGGAUUAUUGUAACGGGGUUCAGGGUUUUAUUAAUUUCGCAACAUCUAUUCCCAGAAAUUUUACUGGAGGCGGUAUUAGGUGUCCAUGCAGGAAGUGUCAAAAUAAAAAGUAUCUGCAUCCAGAUGUUGUAAUGAUGCAUCUUCUACACAAAGGGUUUGUGGAGGAUUACGAGUGUUGGUAUGCACAUGGAGAGGUAUUUGUUAGUAAUAGGAGAAUGGGAGAAACGGUGGUUGGGUCAACUUCUAGUGCUAGCAACGUGCAUGAAGCGGCAAAUGACAACACUAAUCCUUACAGAAACAUGGUUAUGGAUGCAAUGAGAAUGAAUCAAGAUAAUGUCAAUCAAUGUCCAAUCGUAGAAGAAGAACCUAAUGCAGAGGCAGCUAGGUUUUUUGAUUUGUUGAAAGAUUCUGACGAACCAUUAUGGGAUGGCUGCACAAACCACAGUAAAUUAUCGGCUGUGGCACAGGUGUUCACCAUCAAGUCAGAUCACGGGUUGAGUGAGGCCGGGUAUGACAAAAUUAUUGAUUGGGCAAGAAGCAUUUUACCAGAAGGGAACAGGCUCAAAGAGAACUUCUAUGCUGCGAAGUCCAUGAUGAAACCCCUCGGUUUAGGAUACCAGAAAAUUGACAUGUGCCCUAACUUCUGCAUGUUAUACUACCUUGAAAAUGCUGUGAUGACCGAGUGCAUGACAUGCGGGCAUUCCCGUUACAAACCCAGAACUGGCAGGGGGAAGACUCUAGUGGCAUAUAAAAAACUUAGAUAUUUCCCGAUCACACCUAGACUGCAGAGGUUAUUUAUGUCACCAAGGACUGCUGAGCACAUGACAUGGCACCAAACACACGAUGUCGUUGAUGGUGUGAUGGUGCAUCCUUCUGACGGCGAAGCGUGGAAACGCUUUAACAGUGUUCAUCCUGACUUUUCUGCUGAAUCAAGGAAUGUUCGACUUGGGUUGUGUACAGACGGGUUCAACCCAUUUGGGUCAUUUGCUGCUCCCUAUUCUUGUUGGCCGGUCAUUCUCACAGUUUAUAACUUGCCACCGGGAAUGUGUAUGAGGCCGGAGUUCAUGUUUCUAUCUACUGUCAUACCCGGUCCAAGCAGCCCGGGGCGGAAUAUAGAUGUUUGUCUUCGACCGUUGAUAGAUGAGCUGGCGCAGUUGUGGUCCUCCGGAUCUCUGACUUAUGAUAUAUCGAGGAAACAAAAUUUCCUUAUGAGGGCGGCUUUGAUGUGGACUAUCAGUGAUUUUCCAGCUUAUGGAAUGCUUUCUGGUUGGAGCACGCAUGGGAAACUCGCAUGUCCAUACUGCAUGGAAAACAACAAGGCAUUCACGCUAGCAAACGGAGGUAAAGCUUCUUUUUUUACUGUCACCGUCGCUUCUUGCCACUUAAUCACAGGUUCAGAAAGAACAGAAAAGAUUUCUUUGUUGGUAGAGUUGAAAAAGAUGUUGCAUCCCCGCGUCUUUCUGGUGAAGAAUUGCAUCAUGUUGUAUCAGAGUACGGUGACAUUGUGUUUGGCCUUCAAUCAGGUAAGCAAAAGUUUCCUGGUUUUGGUUUGACCCAUAAUUGGGUAAAGCGAAGUAUCUUUUGGGAGCUUCCGUAUUGGAAGACUAAUCUUCUCCGCCAUAACCUUGACGUCAUGCACAUCGAAAAGAACGUGUUUGAGAAUAUUUUCAACACCGUCAUGGAUGUGAAGGGGAAGACAAAGGACAACAUGAAGGCUAGAUUGGAUAUAGCUUUAUACUGUAACCGUAAAAAUAUGGAGUUGGUUUAUGACGAGUCACGGGUUGCAAAACCAAGGGCAAGCUUCGUGUUAGAGAAAAACGCACAACUGCUAGUCUACAAAUGGCUUAAGAGUCUGCGUUUCCCGGAUGGACAUGCAUCGAACAUAUCAAGGCUUGUUAACAUAGAGGACUGCAGAUUGUAUGGAAUGAAGAGCCAUGACUGCCACGUGUUUAUGCAAACACUCAUCCCAUUAGCUUUUCGUGAUUUGUUGCCAAAGGGAAUAUGGGAUGCACUAACGGAGAUCAGUCAUUUCUUCAGAGAUAUAUGCUCCAGCAAGAUGAAUGUUGAGCACAUUGAGAUGCUUCAAACGAAUAUCAUCGAGACACUAUGCAAACUUGAGAUGAUAUUCCCUCCUUCAUUUUUUGACUCAAUGGAGCAUCUCCCUAUACAUCUACCGUUCGAGGCAAAAGCUGGAGGACCGGUCCAGUAUAGAUGGAUGUACCCAUUCGAACGGUGAGAUAUUACAGUUGCAAUGGAAUUCAUAUCUUAAAGUAUUUUCUAUGUUUUUCUUAUUUGAAAAUACUUGAAUUGUACUUCAAUGCAGGUACUUGUUUAAUCUAAAAAAAAAGGUUAAGAACAAGGCGCAUGUUGAGGCUUCGAUAUCUGAGGCCUAUAUUGUUGAAGAGAUAUCAACAUUUAUCUCGUACUAUUUCGAACCUCAUCUGAGAACAAGAAUCAAUCGCGUUCCACGGCAUGACGAUGGCGGUGAAGUGCCUUCCAGUGGGAACUUGUCAAUAUUCUCCAAUACUGGACGACCCACACCUAAAAAUGCCGUAAGAGGAAGAUAUUUGUCGGAAAUAGAAUUCAAACAAGCACACAACUAUGUUCUAUUUAACUGUGAUGAGCUGAGACCAUUUAUUCAGUAAGUCUAUAUAUGUGUAAUAGUAAUUAAACUUUGUCAGUAAUAUACUGUUAAUUAUAUAUUGUAAUAUCAUACACUCAUUAUCACUUGCAGGCAACAUCGACAAUAUUUGCUCUCCAAUAACUCGCAGCUGACCGAAUCCCAGAUCUUUCAAUUACAAGAUGAACAAUUUGCCACAUGGUUCAGAACACAUGUAAGCACUAUCACAAACUCAUUCUAACGUAUGCAUGUCAUUACGAGAUUCUCGUUCAUUUACCGUGUAUUGAUGUACAUUUAAUUACAUAUAUUUACAAGGUUUAUCAAAUGGGAAGGAGUGCGCCCAAGUCAUUGUCUUCACUAAGCCUCGGCCCUGAAAGAAAAGUUAAGUGCUACAACGGGUAUUUUGUCAAUGGAUAUGUUUUCCAUACUGAAGAAUACGGGCAAGGAAGAAAGACAUACAACUGCGGUGUUUGUGUUAAGGGAUCCACAAGUAGCCAGUUAGAAGUUGACUACUAUGGUAGAUUAGAAGAGGUCGUCGAACUGCAAUAUCAUAGCGAGCAGAAUAAAGUGUUUUUAUUCAAAUGCUAUUGGUAUGACACGACGGACAGAGGAAUCAGAGUUGAUCCGCACCAUGGUCUGGUCGAAAUCAACUCAAAAGCUAGACUCCGCAACAUAAACGAUGUCUUUGUUUUCGCAAAGCAAUGUCAACAAGUUUAUUACACAUACACCCCUUCAUUUAGAAAGGAUCGUUCAAGAGUUGAUUGGUUGUCCGUUUUAAAAACGAAACCACGGGGUCGUGUCGAGGUUGUUCAGGAUGAGAACGAAGACACAAGUGUGCGAGAUGAAGUCUUUCAAGUUCGUGAGUUGGUUGAACCAUAUCGAGUUGCUCCUUCGAUUGAAUUGGAAGAAAAUUCAAAUUUUCGAGUUCUCGAUGAUAGUCUUGUUGAUAUUGACGGAGAGGAGUUGAAUGUUGUUCUCAGCUCUAGCGGACAAGCAAAUGUCGAUGAAGAAGAUGAUAUCCAUAUUGAAGAUUGCGAUGAAGAUGAUGACAAUUCAAUUGAGGAAGAAGAAGAAAAUUCCGACUAAUUAUGAAAAUGAAGCCCUAUGUAAAAACAUUUGUCUCAUGUAAUUUAGAUUAUUGAUGAUGUAUUUUGUAAAACAAAAUAUUUUGUUUAAGCAAUGUGGUUUUGUUUUAUGUGAUGGACAGUUUAUCAGUUAAGUUUUGCAGGAAGGUAAACAGGCAAUACAAAGACAACCUUUCCUGCAUAAUGCAAUACCGACGUCCAUGCCGACGGACUCACCGUCCGUCGGUAUCUCACAGAGAGUUCGAAAAUAUUUACAACAAAAUGCCACAAUGACCGACGGCCAUGCCGACGGAAUAACAUCCGUCGGCAUCUCACAGUAAGCUCGAAAACAUAAAACCACCAUCGACGGUAUUACCGACGGCGUAGCUCCGUCGGUAAUUUGUCGGUUACCCAUUUUACCGACAGAAUUACCGACGGACCGCGCGUUUCCCAAAGUGCGUUAAUUAAUGCGCCCCUGAACUUGUCAGAUUACCGACGGAAUCACCGACGGACUUCGAAAAUUUUGGAGGGCUUUUAAAAAUUCGGGGCGAAAUUCGAAAAAUACCGACGGAAUUUUGACCUUUUACCGACGGAUUUGUAACCUGUUACCGACGGAUGUUAAUUCCGUCGGGGAGUCCGUCUGUAAAAUUGACCUAUAAGUUCCACCCCCGCCACUUCGCCUCAUUUUUUCUUCUUCUCCCCGCCGCUUCUUCUCUUCUCCUGCGUUUUUCAGCCUAGAUUUUUCAUUUUUUCCCCCUCAAUCCUUAAACACUUUCACCUUUAAUCUCUAGCAAGAUUUGGUGUUGUAAAUCUUCAUUAUAUUAAAAGGUAUGUGUUUUUUUUCUAAUUUAUUUUAUUUUAUUUUUAGUUGUUUUUAUUUUUGUUGUGUUGGUGUUUUUUGUUGCAAUGUAGAUAAAGUUUUGAAUUUGACACAUUAUUAAGGUAUGUAUAUUUCGUUCCUUUUUUUUUUGAAUAUUUUUUGAAUUUGUUGAAUAUUUGUUAAUUUAAUUGUUGAAUAAUUGAAUUUAAUUGUUGAAUUUCUUGAAUAUUUUUUGUUGUUGUGUUGUUAGAAUUUUUAUUAGGUAAUUUAACUUAGAAUUAGUUAAAGUUGAAUUUUUUGAAUAUUUUUUGAAUUUUUUGAAUUUGUUGAAUAUUUGUUAAUUUAAUUGUUGAAUAAUUGAAUUUAAUUGUUGGAUUUAUUGAAUAUUUUUUGUUGUUGUGUUGUUAGAAUUGUUAUUAGUUAAUUUAACUUAGAAUUAGUUAAAGUUGAAUUUUUUGAAUAUUUUUUGAAUUUGUUGAAUAUUUGUUAAUUUAAUUGUUGAAUAAUUGAAUUUAAUUGUUGGAUUUAAUUGAAUAUUUUUUGUUGUUGUGUUGUUAGAAAUGUUAUUAGGUAAUUUAACUUAGAAUUAGUUAAAGUUGAAUUUUUUGAAUAUUUUUUGAAUUUGUUGAAUAUUUGUUAAUUUAAUUGUUGAAUAAUUGAAUUUAAUUGUUGGAUUUAUUGAAUAUUUUUUGUUGUUGUGUUGUUAGAAUUGUUAUUAGGUAAUUUAACUUAGAAUUAGUUAAAGUUGAAUUUUUUGAAUAUUUUUUGAAUUUGUUGAAUAUUUGUUAAUUUAAUUGUUGAUAAUGAAUUUAAUUGUUGGAUUUAUUGAAUAUUUUUUGUUGUUGUGUUGUUAGAAUUGUUAUUAGGUAAUUUAACUUAGAAUUAGUUAAAGUUGAAUUUUUUGAAUAUUUUUUGAAUUUGUUGAAUUUGUUAAUUUAAUUGUUGAAUAAUUGAAUUUAAUUGUUGGAUUUAUUGAAUAUUUUUUUUGUUUGUGUUGUUAGAAUUGUUAUUAGUUAAUUUAACUUAGAAUUAGUUAAAGUUGAAUUUUUGAAUUUUUUGAAUUUUUUGAAUUUGUUGAAUUGUAAUUGUUAAUUUGUUGAAGUAUAAUUUGUUGAAUUUAUUGAAUUUAUUUUUUGUUAUAUUUUUUAUUGUUUUGAAUAUAAUUAUUGAUUAAUUUGUGAAUUGUAAUUGUUAACGUUGAAUUUAUCUUAGGAUUAAUAGUUGAAUAUGUUGGAAUAAUUAGUAUAGAUUGGUUCGAUUGGUUGUGGCUAUUGUUAAUAUUUGCAGGUUUGUGGAUUUGGGUAGUAUCUUUUUUAACUUUUGAAUUUUAUUUUACAAUUAUUAAUAUAAAAUUGUUUAGAUGCGCAAAAUGAAAACCAGAGCUGGUCGUCAAGUCGAAUCAAGUUCGUCUAGCAGCGAUGAUGAUGUUUCCUUAGGUGCCUCUCAAAAAGAGGCACCUACACCACCUGCGCCGUCAACCGAUGCUGCCUCUUCCAGCAAUGUUUCACAUCGCAGACGCGGCAUGCCUUCGUAGCGGAAUCAAUUUACCCGCCAGUUCGAGGCACAGUGGAAGGACGAUCUUUCAAUGUAAGUUUGUUAAUGUUUUAGUUUUUUUUAUAUAAAAAAAACAAAUUUAAAACAUAAUUUAUGAAGUAAUCACAAAUUAAUUUCAUUUCUUUUCAGGUUCACAAACAUUGAGGCCGCCCGAUUAAUAUCAUCGGCGUUUAAAGCGUCGAUGGAGAUUCCAUUGUUUCAAUGGAGUCAGAUAUCCAGACAUCCUGAAUGGAUGCCUCAAAUCAAUGCAUGGUUUCGUAGAUUUGAGGUUCGUGUUAAUAUAUAAUUUUCAGCUUAUUUGUAAUUAUAAAUUCAUGUUAUAAUUGUAAAUAAAUUAUUAACAUUUUAAAAAAUUAUUUUUUUAUAUACAGCAUCGAUUCUGCUGGGACGAUGAACAUGACAGUGUUGUGAGGAGGGUGUGGGAAAAUCACGCGGCAAUUAGGUAACAUCGAAAACAAUACGACUUUUUUUUACAUAAUUAUUUAUGUUUUGAAAUGUAAUUUUUUCGUGCGUGAAUUAGGUUGCGUGAUUUUUGGUAUGACGCCCAGAAAAAAGCAAAAAAAACAGCGAGGGAUAAGGGGUUACAAGGCUGGAACGAUGUUGCGGUUUGGAGGGAUUUCAAACCAAUAUACAUCCCGGAAGAUAUAUGGCCGCACUAUCUUCAGCACGUGACGUCUGAGCGGUUCACUCGACGCUCACAGUCCGGUGCCGGCAACCGGAAUCGGCAAAUUCAUGGCUCGGUUACAACGCACACCGGCGGCUCCGUUCCGUUUGCUGCACAUGCAAAACGGAUGGUAAGAUUAAUUUAAAUGAAAUAUAUCGUUCAAUUAAUUUGUUGUUAAUACAUUUUUUUCAUUAUAUAUAGGCUACGUCUCUUGGACGUGAGCCGAGCCCUAUGGAGCUGUUUGUGGAGACGCACGUGCGGAGUCAUGACCGCCAAAAGGGGACGCAACAGUUCGUUGACAACCGUGCUCAAUAGUUUGUGGUGUGUUUGUUUAACCAUUUUAUUUUGUAAGUUAUUAUUAUGUUUAUUGAAUUGAAUAUGUUUUUUUUUUUUUCAGGAGACCUAUAAUAAUCGGUUGAGGGAGAGAUACGGGGAUGAUCCUUCGACCCAUCCGGAAUUCGAUCCGGAUUUGUGGAUGGAGGCUGGAUCGUCAGGUGGACCCGAUAAAAAUCGGGUUUACGGGCUCUCCAACACUACCGCUGCCAAGUUGCGGUCGACCGGUACUGCUUCAACCGGUGGGAGCUCCCAAUCUGUAUCGAGCUCCCAAUCUAAGGAGUUUGUGGCCUUGCAGCAAAGGUGCGACCACCUAUCAGAGGCGUACACACAACUCAAAGAAGAGCAAAGAUUGGAACGAACAACGCAGAGCAGAGUCUGAACAACAAAGAGCGGCCUAUGAAGAGCUUCGUCAAAUGGUCAUGAACAUGACACAAGCGGAACAUGUGCGCCUAAUCCUUUUUGGCCGCCUAACCCCCACCCUCCUCCUCCUCCUCCUCCUCCUCCUCCUCCACCUUUAUAUUAAUUGUUUUUUUUUUAAACACAUUCAUUUUGUAAUGAAUAUUAUUUAACUUUGAGUUUUUGUUGCUUAAUAUAAUUUUAUUUGCAUAAUUGGUUUGUAUUACUAUUAAUUUAUAUUAUUUUUUCUAAUAAUUAAAAAAAAAAAUUACACAGGGAUUUACCGACGGAAUAAAUCCGUCGGCAUUGGACAGUGUCUGAGGUAUGCCAUCCCAUCACCGACAUACUCACCGACGGAAAUAAUCCGUCGGUAUAAAAAUACCGACGAAUUUACAGACGGAUUUAUUCGGUCGGUAUGAAAUAUCACCGACACUUUUGCCGACGGAGUUAGUCCGUCGGUAUUUACAUAACACCGACGGAAUGUAUUCCGUCGGUUAUUCCAAGCGGGAAACUUUUUUUUUGGCGCGCACAGGCCGUCGGUAAAACCGUCGGUAAAUGUGUUUUUUUUUAUUACCGAUGGAUAUAGCGACGGAAUGUGGAAUCACCGACAAAAGGUAUUCCGACAGGAGUAUUCCGUCGGUAAUAUAGUCGGUAAAUAAUUUACCGACGAACGUUCUGUCAAACACCGACGGAAAAUUUCCGUCGGUAAAACUGUGAAAUCUUGUAGUGGAAUCUCUGAAAUACCAGUUAGGUUUCUUAGUGACCAAAAUACUAGGUGGUGACUCCAAAGAACCAAAUCAAGCAAAAACGCAUAACGAGAAAAAUCGCCAUCGGAAGCCGCGCGGGUGACGUGCUUGUUUGAUCAAAAUUUAAUCAACAAUGCUUGUUUGAUCAUGAUAUUGUGUUGUUUUCCUUUUUCAACUUUUUAAAUCGAGGUUCCAAAUGUCAAUGGGAUUUUAUCUUUUUUUUUUUAGCCAAACUUUUCCCUUUAAUGAGAUCAUGCCUUUUCAAAAGUUCAUCUUGGUGGUUUUACACAUCACUUUCUUUUUCAAAGCGAAUCUUCCAUAACUACACCUGCACUUUACACUGAGAAUGAAUGGCCGGACUUUAAAGAAUCCAUAUUAGUUAUAGAGGAGGAGGAAUGAUAGGAAAAUAACAUUAGGGGAUUCACAAAAAUUAAUAACAUGAACAAGCUUGAAAACCUGCUAGAGAGGAGCUUGAAACCAUAGAUGUGGGUGAUGAAGAAAUCAAGAGAGAGUUGAAGAUACGGACUUUGAUCACCCUUAAAAAAAGAGAAGAGUUAUGUAGAUGUUUUUGCUUGGUCCUAUAAGGAUAUGCCUGGUUUGUAUAGGGUACCACUAGUAGAAGGAUGGAAGUUGGUUAAGCAAAGGUUGAGAAGGACUAAUCCGAAUAAAGGCAGAAAUUGAAAAACAGUGGAACGCCGAUUUUCUAGAAGUAGUCAAGUAUCUGCGAGUGUGUCCAACAUAGUGGUAGUAUCUAAAAAGGAAGAUAAAAUCAGAGUUUUUAUGGACUUUAGAGAUUUAAAUCGGACUAGCCCUAAAGACAAUUUUGUCUACCACACAUAGAUAUGUUUGACAAUGUAGCACGUAGCUCCACAUAUUCCUUUAUGGAUGGAUUUUUGGGCUACAAUCAGAUAAAAAUGACUUGAGGAUAAUGAGAAGAAACCUUUGUAACACCAUGAGGAACCUUUUACUAUAAAGUCAUGCCAUUUGGGUUAAAGAACAUUGGGGCCACCUACCAAAGGGCCAUGGUAACUUUAUUACACAACAUGAUGCAAAAAGAGGGUUAAAGUAAACGUGGAUGACAUGAUCUAGAGAGGGAGAGAAUCAUGUCCAAAUAUUGAAGGAAUUAUUUGAAAAAACUAAGGAGGUACAAAGUUGAGGCUUAACCAUGCAAGGUGUUUAUUCGGGGUGAAAUCUAGGAAGUUGGGAUUUAUGAUGAGUGACAAAUGGAUAGAAGUGGACCUUGAUUAAGUAAAGGCUAUUCAAUCUAUGCCAACUCCCAAUACUAAGAAGGAUGUAAGGAGGUUAUUGGGAAGGUUGAAUUACAUUGCUCGGUUUAUAUCCCAAUUAACCAUGACUUAUGACAUCAUCUUCAAUUGUUAAGGAAGAAGAAUCUUGGAAUUUGGAAUAAGAGUGUGAAGAAGCUUUCGCAAAAAUCAAGCAAUACCUACCGAAUCCACCCCUAUCUAUCAAGCUAAAUUGCAAAAUGGCAAGUUCUACUAGCUGAGUACGACAUAGUAUAAAUGACAAGGAAAGCCAUGAAUGUCAUCACCAAUCACCUAGCUGACCAUGCUGUGGAAGAUUUUGAGCCGUUAAAAUUUGAUUUUUCUGAUAAAGAUGUGCUUUCAGUUGAGGAAGGGAAAUCAGAUUGGUGGAUUAUGUACUUUGAUGGUGUUGUGGUAACGAAGUGGGGGCAGUGCUAAUCUCUCUUGAUAAGAAACAUUAUCCGGUUUCAGUUAAGUCGCAGUUUGGGUGCAAUAAUAACAUAGGAGUAUGAAGCUUGCAUUCUCAUUUUAGAGGUGGCAUUGGAGCAGAAUAUUAGAAAGAUAGAUAUGUAUGGAGACUCGAUUUUGAUUAUUACUAAGAGAAAGGAAAAUGGCAAACCAAGGAUGAGAAGUUAAGACCUUACUAAGAAUACAUGUCUAAAUUGGCUAGAGAAUUUAAGGAAAUAAAGUUCACCCAUCUAGAAAAGGAAAGAAACCAUUCUAACGCUUUGGUCACGCCAGCUUCUAUGGCUAGAAUAGACUUUGGGCACAAGGUACAACCGGUACACAUUGAUAUAAGAAAUAACUUAGCUCAUUGUUGCUCCGUUGAAAGAGAAAUAGAUGGAAACCCUUGGUACUAUGAUAUCAAGAAUUUCAUCCAAAACCAGACAUAUCCCAUGGGGGCAUCCAAAAUCAACAAGAAGACUUUGAGGAGAUUGACAAUGGAUUUUUAUCUUGGUGGGGAAACUUUGUAUAAGAAAUCAUAUGACGGAACUUUGUUGAGAUAUUUGGAUGACGUAGAGGCAAAAGGUGUUAAAGAAAUUUAUGGAAAGAGAUUUGAUAUGUCGAUAUGGUCCACUAGAAAAUAUUAUAACUAAUAAUGCGCAUAACUUCAAUAGCAAGAUGAUAAUAGAACUCUGCGCUAAAUGAAAAAUUAAGCAUUCCAAUUCCUCGCCAUAUAGGCCAAAGAUGAAUGGUCCAAAAAUGUCAAGAAGAUCAUUUAGAAGAUGGUAGUCACUUACAAGGAUUGGCAUGAGAUGUUGCCAUUUGCCCUUCACGCAUACCGCACCAUAAUCUGAACUUCAACAGGAGCCACCUCGUACACUUUGGUAUAUGGAAUGGAGGCGGUGAUGCCUUUAGAAGUGAAAACCCCCUUAUUAAAAAUAUUGGUAGACUUUGAGUUUAAAAGAGUUGGACUGGGUAAAAGUUAGAUAUGAAUAGUUGAAUCUGAUCAGUGAAAAGAGGAUAGCUGCAAUUUGUCAUCAUCACGGAUGGCCAAAUCAUAUGAUAAGAAGCUUCGACCUCGAGGAUUCCAUAAAGGAGAUCUUGUACUGAAGAAAAUAUAGCCUUUAUCAGGAGAAGAUCAGAGUAAAUGGGAAGCAAACAAUAAGGGCCCUUACAUGGUGAUUAGUACUUAAAAGUGCAUAUUUAUCAAGGUUUUGUAUCAUCAUUUUGCACUUAAAGUAUCAAUAACUCCUUAAUUAAAGCAUGUUUUAUAAUAACAAGUCUAAUACUAUAAAAUGCCCUAAUAUAUGGUAAAUGUUCAUCUUAAAUGCAGGCUUAUCACAUAAAUCAAAGGAUUGAUUGAUGAAUUCAACUACUGAAAUUUUGAAGAUAAAGAAGAGUGAAGCUUAGAAAAGAGAUAUUGGUGUAGUCCAAACUGGAACACUAUUCGGUAUUUGGGUCAUAUCUCGAGUUCUAGAUGUAAAAAUGAUCUCAAAUUUUUACAAAACCUUGGUGAGACAUAGGCCUACAACUUUCAUGUGAACAUAAAAAUCUAACAAGGCCGUUUUCAAGUCCAAAUCAAAGCAACAACGGAGAAGUCCGAAUCUGUCCUGUAGCCCGUACACUGUUCAGUGUUUGGCCCAUAUCUGGAGUUCUAGAAGUCCAAAUUACCUCUACUUUUUUUUCCUGGAAAGCUGUGUCAAUUUUCUACAACUUUCAUGUUUUCCAGUGGACCCAGUUCGGAUGGUAGCAUUUUUGUUUUAUUUAGAAAAGAAGAUAAGGAUUUUCACCAAGUCAAAAGUUGGCACCCACUCAACAAUUAGUCAUCAAAUCAAUAAUUCCGAAUUUUGGCCUAUAAAAGGAGGCAUUUGCCAUGUAUUUGGUGGCUUGGUUGUUCAGAUCAAGCUCAUGCUCUUUAUUUCUCUCUUUAUAUUUUUUUUUGUAAUUCUUAAGUUUUGUUUUCAUUAAUUUCUUGUUUAUGCUUUUCAUUUCCUUUCCUUUCCUUUCCUUAGUUAACUUGUAUCUUAUUUAUGUUCUUGUUUUGUUUAUUUAUGUUUCUCUUCUUCAUUAUGUUUAGCUAAGUUUAUUAUGUCAAGGUGAAAAGGUUACACUAAUGGUGUAAGAACAAGUAUGGUGUAAACUCAAUAUGGAUCUUAAUGUUUAAUAUUAACAUGUCUUAUCUUUUUAUCUUACUAAUUCUUAAUACCUUGCUUGUUAAAUGGUUAAUCUAGAUUUGUGUUGUAUAACAUUUGAUACAUCAAAUGCUUGGCACUCUCAUAGCCCAACAGUAUGGUAUUACCUACACCUGGGCUAUGAAAAUAACUUGAUUUGUUGUUAACAUCAGUUAAUAUCAUGAAUUCCUGACAAUAUUUAAAAGUUUGGUGUUAUGUAAUUAAGAUAAUUAAUAUGAUCAUGUUAAUAAUUUAUAAUGAGCUAUUAAUGAGAAAUCAUUCGAUUGGAACCUCCUUUGUGUGUGGUUUCCAGUUGAAUCAUAAGAGUUUAUACUAUACUUGUUUGAAAUACCAUUGGUGGAUUCUCUAACCUUGACAUUUGUUUUUAUCAUUGUUAAUCCUUACAUUAAUCUUUCAUCUCAAAGUUCUCAUUAAUUUCUUCAUCAUCUUCUUCUUCUUCUUUUAUUAUUAUUAUUAUUAUUAUUAUUACUACUACUACUACUACUACUAUUAUUAUUAUUUACAUUCUGUUUAUAUUAUAUAAUAUAUCUCUUUGAUCUUUUCAUAAACUUAGUAUAUAGGCUGGAAACCUGUGACCCGAUCUUUUAGAUCAUUCUCAGGUAUAACAACGCCACGUACUGAGUAUUAUUAUUAUUGUCAUUAUUAUUAUUAUUAUUAUUACUAUUACUAUUAUUAUUACUAUUACUAUUAUUGUUAUUAUUAUUGUUAUUAUUGUUAUUAUUGUUAUUAUUGUUGUUAUUAUUAUUGUUGUUGUUGUUGUUAUUGUUGUCUUGUUAUUUAUAAUUUAUACAAUUAACCUCUCUGUGGUUCGACCCCGGUCUUGCCGGGUUAUUUAUUACUUCGACACUCCUGCACUUAAGAGAAGACAUCAAUCUUUUGGUCGUGUCAAGUUUUUGGCGGCCAACUUUUGACUUGGUGAAAAUCCUUAUUUUCUUGUCUGAAUAAAACAAAAAUGCUACCAUCCGAACUGGGUCCUCUGGAAAACAUGAAAGUUGUAGGAAAUUGACUCAGAUUUCCAGGAAAAAAAAAAAACAUGGAGGUGAUUUGGACUUCUAGAACUCCAGAUAUGGGCCAAACACUGAACAGUGUUCAGGCUGCAGGACAGAUUCAGACUUCUCCGUUCUUGCUAUGAUUUGGACUUGAAAACGGCCUUGUUAGAUUUUUAUGUUCACAUGAAAGUUGUAGGCCUAUGUCUCACCAAAUUUGUGUAAACAUUUGAGGUCAUUUGGACAUCUAGAACUCGAGAUAUGACCCAAAUACCGAAUAGUGUUCCAGUUUGAACUGCACUAACAUCUCUUUUCUAAGUUUCACCCUCUCUUUAUCUUCACAAAUUUCAGUAGUUGAAUUCAUCAAUAAAUCCUUUGAUUUAUGUGAUAGGCCUGCAUUUAAGAUGAACAUUUACUAUAUAUUAGGGCAUUUUAUAGUAUUAGACUUGUUAUUAUAAAACAUGCUUUAGUUAAAGAGUUAUUGAUACUUUAAGUGCAAAAUGAUGAUAUAAAACCUUGAUAAAUAUGCACUUUUAAGUACUAAUCACCUAACCACACACAGAGUUUAGCUUUGGUUAAAGGGAAUCGCCAAAUGGGAUUUCAGGUUAACUAAGUUACACACCGACUUUGCUUUAGAUUAAAAGAGAUUGCCAGAUGAAAUCUCAGGUUAACCCAAUCAAAAGGGUAGGUUGCCCGUGAAAAUAGACCAGCGUGCGUAUGUGGGCAGGUCGCCAUUGAAAAUAGACUAGUUUUGAGUGUGUAUGAACAAGUCAUCUAUGAAAAUAGGCAAAAUUUUCUUUAAAAAGUGAAGUCCUUAAAUGAGUGGAUCACUCAGCAAUCAAAGAAGACUUUUUUUUUCCCUUUCUUCUUUACAAGCUUACUAUGCAAAACAUUAAGGAGUUUUGCUUCGUAAGCAUUGUAAAGAGGGGGCAUCUGUUGCUAUCCAAUUUUUGACCUAUGUUUUGAUAAAUUUUCAAAAAUAAAAAAAAUAAGGGUUUACAUGUGGCGAUAACAUAGAGCAUCAGGGCUAAUAUUAAGGGAGCAAUAUGUCAAGGAGAUAAUUACUGAAUCAUAUAUAAUUACUGCAAUAUAAAAUACCAUAGAUAUAUGAUUUGAUUCGUGCUUGUUAUGGAAAAUAAUUGGGAGAUUGAAGAAGCCCAGUUGUUUUCAAGAAGUAAUGAAUAAGCGUCUGCUUAUAUUUGCUUUUAUGUGCUUUGUGUGCUUUGCUUUGUGUUUUUGUACCUAGUUGAAAAUCUUGGCUCAAGAUGUCAACAUAAGGUCUUUUCAUAAUUAUUGAGUCAGCUUUUAAAAUAAUAUUGAGAUCCUGUAUUUUCUUCAACAAUUGUUAUCUUCUUUUGUUUUGUUUGGCUAUAAGAUACGCAUUUACACUAAAAACACCUUCUGCUUUCAGGAAUUCUGAAAGUGAAUCCUCCAUAAAUCCACAAACAUAUUGCAUUGAAAAUGAAUGGCCAAACUUUGAUAAAGAUGAGAUUGCAAUGGACGAAGAGGAAUGGAAUGAAGAUUAUAUGAAAGAGUUUCCUAGAUAGGUAGAACAGUCUGAGCAUGCUUGGAAACCUACAAAAGAAGAAUUAGAGGUGAUAAAUGUAGGCACCGAGCAAGAUAAAAGAGAGCUAAAGAUUGGAACUCUGAUUACUACAGAAGAAAGAUGCAGUUUAACCUCAUUACUACAAGAGUAUAUGGAUGUGUUUGCCUGGUCUUAUGCAGAUAUGCCUGGUUUAGACAUUGAUAUUGUAGUACACAGAGUGCCUUUGAUAGAAGGAUGUAAACCUGUCAAGCAGAAAUUGAGAAGAAUUCGCCCGGAUAUUCUACUCAAGGUCAAGGCAGAGAUAAAGAAGCAGUGGGAUGCUGGUUUUCUAGAAGUCAUUAAAUACCCUCAAUGGGUAUCGAACAUAGUGGUUGUACCAAAGAAGGACGACAAAAUCAGAGUAUGUGUAGACUUCAGGGAUCUAAACAAAGCUAGUCCAAAGGAUAAUUUUCCUUUGCCUCACAUAGAUGUCUUGGUAGACAAUGCUGCUAGAAGCUCAACUUAUUCCUUCAUGGAUGGAUUCUCCGGGUAUAACCAGAUUAAAAUGGCUGAAGAAGAUAAAGAGAAGACCACUUUUGUCACACCAUGGGGAACAUUUUGCUACAAAGUGAUGCCAUUCGGGUUAAAGAAUGCUGGAGCCACAUAUCAAAGGGCAAUGGUGACACUUUUUCAUGAUAUGAUACACAAAGAGAUUGAAGUGUAUGUGGAUGACAUGAUUGCCAAGUCUACGAAUGAAGAAGAUCACGUUCAGAUUCUAAGAAAAGUAUUUGAUAGACUAAGGAAGUAUCAUUGAAAUUGAAUCCUGCAAAUGCUCAUUUGGGGUGAAGUCUGGAAAGUUGCUAGGGUUUGUAAUAAGCAAUAAAGGAAUAGAGGUCGAUCCUGAUAAAGUGAAAGCAAUUCAAGCAAUGACAGCUCCUAAAACCGAAAAAGAAGUAUAUUGCACGAUUCAUAUCUCAGUUAACAGCAACAUGUGAGCCAAUUUUUCGAUUGCUUCGAAAAAAGAAUCUUGGUACUUGGGACAAAGAUUGUCAAUAAGUUUUUGAUAAAAUAAAGCAAUACUUACAGAAUACACCUUUAUUAGUGCCACCUGUGCCUGGAAGACCUUUGAUCUUGUAUUUGACAGUAACUGAGGAAGCAAUGGGUUGUGUGUUGGGACAACAUGAUGAGUCUGGAAGAAAGGAGCAAGCUAUCUAUUAUCUGAGUAAGAAGUUUACCGAUUGUGAAUCCAGAUAUACUAUGAUUGAGAAGCUAUGUUGUGCUCUUGUAUGGAGCACGAAGCGUCUUCGACAAUAUAUGUUGUAUUAUACCACUGGUUGAUCUCAAAAAUGGAUCCUCUUAAAUACAUCUUUGAGAAACCUUACUUGUCAAGUCGAAUAGCAAGGUGGCAAGUAAUGUUGGCCGAGUAUGACAUUGUAUACAAGACAAGAAAAUCCGUAAAAGGAAGUGUAAUUGCUGAUCAUUUGGCAGAUAAUGCUAUCAAAGAUUAUGAGCCUUUGAAAUUUGACUUCCCGGAUGAGGAUGUGUUGAUAGUAGAAGAAGACAAAGAGAAGAAUGAUUGGUGGAUUAUGUAUUUUGAUGGGGCAGUGAAUGUAUCUGGCAAUGGAGCAGGGGCUGUGAUAAUCUCACCUGACCAGAAGCAAUAUCCCAUCUCAAUCAAACUACAAUUUGAAUGUACCAACAAUACUGCUGAAUAUGAGGCUUGUAUCCUUGGGUUAGAAGCUGCUUUAGAGAUGAAAAUAAAGAAGCUUGAUGUCUAUGGGGAUUCAAUGUUAAUAAUCUGUCAAGUGAAAGGCGAAUGGCAGACCAAAGAAGAAAAAUUGAUCCAUAUCAACAAUAUCUCUCAAAACUAACUGAGGGCUUUGAUGAGAUAGAUUUACCCAUAUGGGAAGAGACAAAAACCAGUUUGCUGAUGCUUUGGCAACCUUAGCUUCUAUGGCCAAAAUUGAUUACGGAAUCAGGGUACAACCAAUCCCAUUGAGAUUAAAAAUUUUCCAGCUCAUUGUUGUUCACUUGAAGGAGAAAUAGAUGGGAACCCAUGGUUUUAUGACAUCAAGCGGUUUAUCCAAUAUCGAGAAUAUCCCUUGGGGGCAUCUAAAGCAGAUAUGAAGACCUUGAGAAGGUUAGCCAUGGAAUUUUACCUGGAUGGAGAAAUUCUAUAUAAAAGAUCAUUCAACAAAACUUUACUAAGAUGUCUAGAUGAAAUCGAAGCUAAGGUAGCAUUGCAAGAAAUUCAUGAAGGAAUUUGUUCAACUCAUGCAAGUGGGCACAUGAUGACUAGACAAAUGCAACGAUCUAGGUACUUCUGGAUGACCAUGGAGAAAGAUUACAUCGAUUAUGUCAGAAAAUGCCAUAAAUGUCAAGUGUAUAGUGAUAAGAUAAAUGCACCUCCAGCUCCUUUGUUUAAUAUGACAUCAUCAUGGCCAUUUGCAAUGUGAGGAAUAGAUAUGAUUGGUCCAAUCAACCCAAAGGCCAGCAAUAGGCAUCAAUUUAUCUUAGUAGCCAUUUAUUACUUCACAAAGUGGGUGGAGGCCAGCUCUUAUGCUCAUGUAACUCAAAAAGUGGUCAAGUGCUUCAUUGAGAAAGAUUUGAUAUGUCAGUACAGUUCACCUGAGAAGAUAGUGACCGACAACGCCUAAAAUUUGAAUGGAAAAAUAAUCAUAAAAUUAUGUGUGAAGUGGAAAAUUAAACAUUCAAACUCAUCUCCUUACAUACCAAAGAUGAAUGGUGCUGCCGAAGCUGCAAACAAGAAUAUCAAGAAGAUUAUCCAGAAGAUGAUAGUCACUUAUAAGGAUUGGCAUGAGAUGCUUCCUUUUGCUCUGCAUGCAUAUCGUACAGCAGUAAGGACAUCCAUUGGAGCUACACCUUACUCAUUAGUAUUUGGGAUAGAAGUAGUGAUGCCUUUGGAAGUAGAAAUUCCAUCUUUGAGGGUAAUAAUAGAAUCUAAACUAGAAGAAGCUGAAUGGGCUAAAGUGAGAUAUGAGCAGCUAAACAUGAUAAGUGAGAAAAGGUUGGCUGCAAUUUUCCAUCACCAGUUAUACCAAAGAAGGAUGGCCAAAGCAUAUGACCGGAAAGUCCGACCAAGAGAAUUCAAAGAAGGGGAUCUUGUACUAAGAAAAAUCUUACCAUUACCAAGUGAAGACCGAAGCAAGUGGGCACCAAACUAUGAAGGCCCAUAUGUAGUGAAGAAAGCAUUCUCCGGAGGAGCUCUGUUGUUAACUAGGAUGGAUGGAGAUGAUUUACCUAGGCCUGUGAACUCUGAUUCUGUGAAAAAGUAUUAUGUAUGAUGUGUUUCAUCCAAUCAAAUCAAUGAAGUUUUGGCCAGGAAAUUCUCUUUGCAUAUACCUCACCAAAAAGCCCAUGCAUGAUCUCAAUGGCUCAACAAUUUGAUCUUUCAAACUUUUUUACAGGAGAAUCCAUUCUUCUUAAAUGAGGUUUUAAAAGAACUGAUUUUGUUUGUGAUUUCAAUGAAAUAAAUCAAUGAUUUUGUUUGGAAUAAUGUUCAGAACAAUUCCCUUGAAAGAGAUGACCAAACAAGUCAAAAACAUGCAAUUGGAACAACUAUCACCCAAAUUAUGUCUUGGAUCCACAUUUUAUCAGCAUGAAUAAUGGUUGGUAGUACAUUAGUUUGUCAUGGACUCCAAAACAUGGUAUCUUACAAAUCCAAAGCAUUACGGGAUGUGGACAAAGUUUAUUGGUUUUAACUGAUCUUACUUGAAAUGAGGAAAGGCCAUCUUUGAUAUUCCUUUCACUUUCUUUAAAAUUAUCCUUUGCAGUCCCAAUUUGAGCCGAGUCUAUUUAAAGUUUUUUUCUUUCACAAGAACCUUAACUAAGAUCACACCCUACACUAGGGGGCAAAAAGAGAAAUAUGAUUAAGAAAUUGUCUUGAAGGCAUGUGAGCUUAUAAAGAAAGUCUGACAACAAAGAAUUCAAUAAAAUUCCAAACAAUUGAGAGAAUUCCUAACAAAUAUGGGAAUAACAAAAAAAAACAGAAGUUCCUCAUUUGGAAUAUUUAGCAUCAUUUUUGUUGUCAAGGUAGCAAAAAAAAUGCCAAGACAAGAUAAUAGUGAUCUAUAGUUUAUAAGCCCUUAAACACUUUUUUGAGCUUAUGGAAUACUCUUUCUUUUAUAGCCUUGAGCCAUAAAAUACAUUACGUGCCUUUGAAGUCCUUUCUAAUCAAGUAAGCAACCUGGAUCAAUAAACGGCGUUCUCAAAAUAUAAGAGACUUUUCCAUAAAGAGUCAUGGCGUAGCAAAUAAUUACUCGUUAUUAUUCAUGCUGUUAAAAAGAGUGUUUCUAAAAUAAAGGCAAAUUGUUUCUUUUCUCUCACCUUCAAGCAAUCGCUUGAACACUUUGAAAACCAAAGCAGAAGUCAUCUCAUCACUUACCUUCAUCUUAGAUUACUUUUACUAAGAGAUUUGACAUAAAGCCCAGAGUUGCCUGAACAUUGUUAUAAACAGACAUUGAGAGUUUCAGUUUUCGAGAACAAAACAGAUCUUUUGAAAAAUCAUUUUUGAAAAAAGGUUUUCUUUGUAAGAAAAAUGAAUAUAUGGCACACUACGGCACCAUUAGAAAAUCAGAGAUUCUAAUGACAAACAAGAGCAAAGGAGGAAAUGAAUGAGGCAGUUAAUUCUCCCAGGGGGUAGAGAAGCAGUUACCAGAUCCUUAAUGGCACAAAGAAAUUUGCUUCCCUAGUGGAAAAUACACAUGAUAAAACUGUGGACUUCUUCCAGCAUGAGGACUGAAAUAGUAUGAUUUGCAGUAUCUAUGAAAGGAGAUUGUUGACUCUCACAAUAUGAUCAGUUAGACAACAAGAUAACUGAUACAUCUUCAGUAAGAGAAAUGCAGAUGAAAUCCCAGGUGAAGCGGGAUAAUCCUCAUAUAUUGACCAUAUGAAUUGGUUAAAGAAUCUUCAAUAAUGGGAAUGUUGCCUAUAGAACAAUGUCGGGCCAGGGAGAAGCUAAUUCUUCAGUGAAGUUACCAAUAGAGAAAAGUGCAGUGACUGUUGGGAAACUCAAACAAAGCUUAUCUUAGAAAAUGAACAACAUGGGUCGGCUUGAGUAGAUUUGAAGUACGCGUAAUCAAAAGAGCUCACUAAAAAUCAAGAUCCUUAAACAAGAUGAACGGGGAUCUAUAUUUCAAAAACAGGUAAGAUGCACUGCAUAUCUUCUAACUUCAUGAGAAUUGCACAUUUGUUUUGCAGAUAUUUCACGAAACAAAAUUCCUAACGGGAUCCAACGAGAUUCAGAUGAAAUGAAGUUCUUCUAAAUCACAUCAAAUAUGACAAUGCCACAAAAGCAAAAUUCAUGAAUGUAGACAAGAAACAUGGAUUUUUAUUCAUGGAAAAAGGGUUUACAAGUACAAACGUUAAACACUGCGAGGACGAUUAGGGAUAUUUUCAUCUUGAUGAUUAAGCAUUACUCGAAAUUCCUCAAAUUGGUUAAUUAUGCGCUCCAUCCUUUCCUCGAACUCGAGGUGUCGUGUGUUAACAUAGUCCCUCCAAAAGUCAGCAAGUGCAUUGAGCUCUUGGUUUCUCCUCUCCAAUUCGUUUUUGUGACGUCUCUCAUCACAUAGUCUUUUCCUUAAAUUCUCAAUUUGAUUAUGGAGCUCAGGAAUUUGAGUAUUCAACUCAAGUUUUCUGGCAUGAAGACACUCCGCAACGUUCACCAAAGACGAAGUUGCUCUGAGACUGAGAGCAAGUGACUGAUUCACUACUUCAAUAUCGGUCCUGGCUGCCAGCAUCAUUUCAUCACGAGGAAGGGUCAUGUCUCUAGCCACGGCUAUAGCAAUAUCUUCGUUGUCCAUUACAGUAUCCGCUAUUGUAACUGGACGACCAUUCACUUCAAAGGUAGUACGCCAAACUACAGGCUCUACAGCAGGAACAAGGUCUGGAUUAGCAUUGGAAGAAGAGGAAGACAUGGUUAAAACUUCAAAAGUUAAGAACUUUGAAAUUAUUGAAAAUGGGAGAAGUUGAUGAUGUCUUUUGCCAAAUACUACGUGAUUUAUAAGGAAUUUGCUCCUACCAUCAUUUUGAAUAGAAGCUCAAAUCUUAGUAGUACAUAUAAGACUUUUUGAAGAAGCUUUCAUCAUUUCUGAGAUCGAUUUGCAAAUCAGAUCUCAGCCGUACAUAUAAGACUUCCUUAAGAAGCUUUCAUCAUCUUUGAGAUCGAUUUGCAAAUCAGAUCUCAGCCGUACAUAUAAGACUUUCUUGAGAAGCUUACAUCACCUUUGAGAUCAAUUUACAAAUCGGAUCUCCACCGUGCAAGUAUGACUUCCUUUAGAAGUUUUCAUUAACCCUGAAACCAAUGCUGAAAUCACUUUCAUGUAUUUCACAAAAUCAAUGCUGAAAUCACUUUCAUGUAUUUCACAAAAUCAAUGUUGAAAUCACUUUCAUGUAUUUCACAAACAGGUUGGUCACCUAGAAAAUAAGACCAAUGCUGAAAUCACUUUUAUGUAUUUCACAAAAAUAAUGUUGAAAUCACUUUCAUGCAUUUCACAAAUAGGUUGGUCACCUGGAAAAUAAGACCAAUGUUGAAAUCACUUUCAUGUAUUUCACAAGAACAAUGUUGAAAUCACUUUUAUGUAUUUCACAAACAGGUUGGUCACCUGGAAAAUAAGACCAUUGUUGAAAUCACUUUCAUGUAUUUCACAAAACCAUUGUUGAAAUCACUUUCAUGUAUUUCACAAACAGGUUGGUCACCUGGAAAAUAAGACCAAUGCUGAAAUUACUUUCACGUAUUUCACAAAAUUAAUGUUGAAAUCACUUUCAUGUAUUUCACAAACAGGCUGGUCACCUGGAAAAUAAGACCAAUGUUGAAAUCACUUUCAUGUAUUUCACAAAAUUAUUGCUGAAAUCACUUUCACGUAUUUCACAAACAGGUUGGUCACCUGAAAAAUAAGACCAAUGCUGAAAUCAUUUUCACGUAUUUCACAAAAUCAAUGUUGAAAUCACUUUCAUGUAUUUCACAAACAGGCUGGUCACCUGGAAAAUAAGACCAAUGUUGAAAUCACUUUCACGUAUUUCACAAAACCAUUGUUGAAAUCACUUUCAUGUAUUUCACAAAAUCAAUAUUGAAAACACUUUCAUGUUUUUCACUUGGGCAGGUCGCCUAGAAGAAUAGACCAACUGAAAAAUCUGUGUAUUUUUCAACACCUACAUCGUUUUUCUUUACAAAACUUACUAUGCAAAGUCAAAAGAAAAUGAAUUUUCCAAUGUCUUUGCACCGUAAGCAUUGUAAAGAGGGGGCAACUGUUGUAACCCAAUUUUUGAUUCACUAAGAUUUUCUUGAAUGUUAUUUUAUUUCUAUUAUUAUUCAUGAAAUAAAAAAAAUUUAAGAAAAAGUUUAAUAUUCAUUUUUCUCGAGUCAACCGCAUCUUUCCAUAAAAAAAACACCGAUUUCACAGGGUCAAUACAGGUCACACCAUGUCAAUCAGGGUAAAAAAAGAAUUUUCAUGACGUUUCGGGUCAAAACCGUCAUUUUUGGUCAAAACCAUCAUUUUUUAUCAAAAACCGAGUCCACCGGGUCAAUACGAGUCAAACCAUGUCGACCAAGGUAAAAAAUAAGUUUUCAUGACAUUUCGGGUCAAAACCGUCAUUUUUUAUCAAAACCGAGUCUACCGGGUCCAUACGGGUCAAACCAUAUCAAUCGGGGUGAAAAAUGAGUUUUCAUGACGUUUUGGGUCAAAACCAUCAUUUUUUUAUCAAAAUCGAGUCCCCCGGGUCAAUACGGGUCAAACCAUGUUGACCAGGGUAAAAAAUAAGUUUUCAUGACGUUUCGGGUCAAAACCAUCUUUUUGGUCAAACCCCUUAAAUGUUUUUUUUUUGUGUUCCAAUAUAAAUUUUUUUUUUUUUGCGGUUGGAACAGGUUUUUUCUAAGACUGAUUUAAGUUUUUUUGUUUUAUCUAUAUAAUUAUUUAUUAUUAUAUAUAAUAAAACAAAAUUAAUAAUACAUAAAUUUAUUAUAGUAGGUGGGUUAGUUGAUGCAGUGCAUUAUUUUCCUUCGAAAUAAAUUCAUUGUCCCCUGCUUAUUGGCUAUAAAUAGCCACGACAGAGGAAAAAAAAAAGAAAAAAGAAAGAAAGAAAGAAAAGAGAGUAUUACUAUUUGAAUUUUUUUUGUUUUUCUUCACGAGAGUAAAAUAUUGUUUUUUAUUAAAAACAAUUUGAAAAAUACCAAAAAUAUCCUAACCGUUCGAUCUAGUAGUGUUAAUUUUGGACCUUUGAUUUAAUAUGAUACAAUAGGGUUUACCACACUAGAUUAAAACUCAAAUCCAUCUUAGCCUUUGAAAUAAUCUGCCUUUUGUUCCUGUCGUGCUACGUCACCCGGUGUACCGAGCUUUCGGUGCACCGCGCCACAACAGAUCAGUGCUCCGCUCAUCCAGACCGUCCGAUCAACUUGCAGAUCAAGCCAAUCACAACCGAAUGAUCGGUUCAUCCGCGAUCCAACGGCUCACAACCUUCAGCUGCACCGGUGUCCCAUGCUCGUGUUCACACCGUAGCACAAUCUCAGAGCCUCUCUCUCCUCUCGACGGUGAUUCUCUCUCUCUCAUCCGAUCUCCCAUUUUCGGCCGUAUGAAGCUUUCAAACCACCACAGAAAGGUUGCUACCUUGCUAUAAAGCAAAACCCCGGCGGUUUUCAACGUUUUAUCCGCCUCAUCUAGCCGGAAAACGGCCGCGAUUUUGUCGACCACCCGAAGCUUUAAACCGACGAUUCUCCCUCGUCAGCCAUCAACAGCUGUCGAAACCACCUUCAUCAGAAUCCUCUUCAUUAGAUCUACUAGAAUCAACCAGUCGUUGGCUGGAAAUCUCGCCGUCUCCAACAGUAACCGCGCGUGAGCCACACGCGCCACCAGGGGUAUUUUCAUAAUUUUCCGAGAAAUCCAAGGGUAUUUCAGUCUUUUACCUAUACAGUGGCACUCAGGUAAUUUUUUGAAAUUCCUAACAGUUUUUAUUUUAUUUUGAUAUAUAAGUAUUUGUAAAUUCUCUUGCAUGUAAAAAAAAACAAAAAAAAACCAAAAAUAAAUAUAAAAGGAAUAACGACGCGGGUCCAUAAAACAUAUUAAAUUCUUCUUUAAUCCUUGCAAUUUUAUCAUAAAUAAUAAUAAUAAAAAAACAUCCAUAAAACAAAUACCAACACACAAAUAAAAAUUCAAUACUAAACAAAAAAAUUACAUCAACCAAUUUAAAAUUACAAAACAGCCCCUAAAACAUCCUAGGGAUUCUGGAUCAGUGCACGGGAAUAGUGGCGCGGGUCUUCCCACACGCCGUCGCGAAUAAGGCCGGAAAACGGGUGGAUCUGGCUCAGCUUCCUUUCUUUUUCCCUUCUCUGCUGGUGGUGACACCCACCGUCACCUGCAAACGAAGAAAAGAACACAGGCAGUCGAUUUUAUAUUUUUUGUUUUUGUUUUGCAGAUCUGCUUCUCUGGUUCGGUUUUUUUUUUCUGCAUCUCAGUGUCUUUUCGUUUCCCCUUGUUCUCCAUUUCAAACGACCGGCAGUGUGACCAUAGGGCUGCUGGCCUUUGGGUUUUGUCCGAUCUGCAACUGUUGGUGGCCGGUGAAUCUGUGGACGGUGUUGUUAUGGCUGACGGAAGAAAGCGGACCGAUUUGGGAUCUGUGGGUGCCGCUGCCGGGCUGCUAUCAGACGGUUGAAGGGGAGAAGGCUGGGUCGGCUGAGAGAGAUGCGAACUUGUGGGGGAGAUGGAGGCAGGUUCAGGAGCUGCUAUGGGUGAAGAAGAGUUAGUGUGGGUUUGUGAGGGAGAGGGGGUUGUGAGCCAGGAAGAUUUGGUGUGGUGAGGGGCUGAGAAUUUGUGUCUCUAGUAAGGAGGACCGGUUGAGAGGAGAAUGAGGUGACUGGUCUGUGGGGCUGAGACGAAGAAGGGGUUGCGGUGUGGCUGCUAGGUGAGGGAGAAGAAGCUUUGGUCGGGUCUGUCAGAGAAAAACAAGUCAAGCCAGGGGAGGGGGGCGGUCGGCUUGGUUUUGGGUAAAAAAAAUCAAACUCUGGGGGGCGGCUGUGUUUGGGAUUUCUUAGGGUUUUUUUGUGGUUUAGGGUUUUUUUUUUUUUUUUUGUAUUUUCCUGAUGUUUCAAAAUUGCCCCCAUUUUGUGUGAGUUGAAAACCAGUAUUUAUAGGCAAAAAUGUUGCUAGGUUUUCAAACUUGGUCCCUCAACUUCUUUCUUUUUGUAAAUUUGAUUUUUCUUGUAUUUUUUGAAAACGAGCAAUAUCAACGUCGACUCGAUGAGGAAAAUCAAUGAUUUAAAACAUAACGCGUGAAAAGUCGAACGCGUUUGAACGACCCUUAAAAAUUUUAAUUCUUUUUAGACGACGCUAAAAAUGCUAAAAACGACGCAAAUAUAUUAAAAAGGUAUUUUUUGGAUUUUCAAUGUUUUUCUCUAUUUUUGGAUUUUUCUGAAAAUUUAUCAAAACAUGGGUCAAAAAUUGGGUAGCAACAGAUGCCCCCUCUUUACAAUGCUUACAAAGGAAAACUCAUCAAUGUUUUGCAUAGUAAGCUUUGUAAAGAAAAACUUGUCUUCUUAUCUUCAUAACUUGCUCAAUAUCCACUCAUUUAAAGACCUUACUUUUUUCUUUUUCUAUUUCUUUCUGUCUCUCUCUCUCUCUCUUUUUCAUUAACUUGAGAUCCCAUAUGGCGACCUCCUUUACCAAAACCAAAGAAUGUUGUAGCUCGGUUAACCUGAAAUCCCAUAUGGAGAUUCCCUUUAACCAAAGCUACAUGAGAUCCCAUCUAGUAACCUCAUUUAAUUGGAACUAAAAAAUGUGUGUAGCUCGGUCAACCUGAAAUCCCAUCUGGCGAUUCCCUUUAACCAAAGCCUCAUGAGAUGAUCUGGAUGCCUGGAUAUCUGACUCCAUUGAAACAAUGGAAUCUCCAUCGACGAUUUAAACAUCGAUGAUAUUACUCGGGCGGCCUCAAUGUUUGUGAACCUAAAAAGAAAUGAAAUUAAUUAAAUAGUGACUUCAUAAAUUAUGUUUUAAAUUUGUUUUUUUUUAAAAAAACAAACUAAAACUUUAACAAACUUACAUUGAAAGAUCGUCCUUCCAUUGUGCCUCGUACUUGCGCUGUGAAGGCACGCCGCUUCUGCGAUGUGAAACAGCGCUGGAAGAGGCAGCAUCAGCUGAUGGCGCAAGUGGUGUAGGUGCCUCUUCUUGAGAGGCACCUAAGGAAAUAUCUUCCUCGCUGCUAGACGAACCUGAUGCGACCGGACGUGAAGCUCUAGUUUUCAUUCUGUGCAUCUAACCAAUUUUAAUAAUUAUAUAAUUAAAUUAAAAUGUUAAAAAAAAUUCGGCAGCACCUCCCCUAUACUUAGAUACUACCCAAAUCCACAAACCUGCAAAUAUUAACAAUAGCCACAACCAAUUGACCCAAUCUAUACUAAUUAUUCCAACAUAUUCAAUUACUAAUCCUAAGGUAAAUUCAACAUUAACAAUUACAAUUCAACAAAUUAUUCAAUAAUUAUGCCAAUACAACAAUAAAAUAUAUUCAAUAAAUUAAAAAAGAAUUAUAAACUAACAAUUAAAAUCAAUGGAAACAAUUAAACACAAAUUAUGCAAUAAUAGAGUAAAAUUACUAAGUAUUCCAACAUAUCCAAAUACUAAUUCUAAGGUAAAUUCAACAUUAACAAUUAUAAUUCAAAAACUUAUUCAAUAAUUAUGGCAAUACAACAAUAAAAUAUAUUCAAUAAAUUAAAAAAAAUUAUAAACUAACAAUUAAAAACAAUGAAAAUAAUUAAACACAAAUCAUGCAAUAAUAUAGUAAAAUUACUAAUUAUUCCAACAUAUGCAAUUACUAAUUCUAAGGUAAAUUCAACAUUAACAACAAAUAUUCAACAAAUUAACUAACAACAAUUAUGCCAAAACAACAAUAAAAAAUAUUCAAUAAAUUUAAAAAAAAACUAUAGACUUUAGGGAAGAAAUAUGCAUACCUUAAUAAUGUGUUGAAAAAAAAAAUUUAUCUACAUUACAAAAAAAUACAACAAAACAAAAAACAUAAAAAGCAUAAAAAUAACUAUAAAUAAAAUAAUAUAAAAUAGAAAAAAACACAUACCUUUUAAUGUGAUGAAGAUUCACAACCAACCUUGCUAGAGAUUCAACAAAGCUUGAAGGCUUGAAGAUUUGAGAGGAAAAAAAUCAAAAUUUUAAGUUAAACCUUAGAAACGGAGGAGAAGAAAAAAUGAACUGAAGGGGCGGCCGGAUGAACUUAUAGUGCAGUUUUACCGACGGAUUCACCGAUGGAAAUAUAAAAUUAUUAUUAUUUAAAUUAAAUCCGUCGGUAACACGCUAAAAAUCCGUCGGUAAUUUUUGGAUUUCGCACCGAAUUUUUUAAUUACCCUCCAUAUUAAAAUCCGAAUUUUUAAAUCCGUCGGUAUUCUGACAUGGUUAAAGGUGCAUUCAAUCCACACCCUUUGGAAUUCGCACAUUCCGUUGGUAUUUUUGUCGGUAAAAUUGCCCACCGACAACUUACCGACGGACCUAUUCCGUUGGUAUAAACGUCGGUGAUUGUGGCAUUUUGGUGUAAUUAUUUUCAAACUCUCUGUGAGAUGCCGACGGACGGUGGGCCGUCGGUAUGGACGUCGGUGAUUGUUCAAUGUACAAGAGAUGUUGUGUUUGUAUUUUCUAUUUACCUUCCUGUAAAAAAUUCAAUGAUAAAUUGUCCAUCGCACAAAACAAUAGCAACAGUUCUUAAACAAUAAAUAUAUAUUUCAUGCUACAAAAUAUAUCAUCCAUAGUGUAAAUUACAUGAAGAAAAGGGUUUUACACAGGGCCUCGUUUUGAUAGUUACUCAGAAUUAUCUUCUUCUUCGUCAUCAAUUGAAUAGUCAUCACCUUCAUCGCAAUCUUCAAUAUGGAUAUCAUCUUCUUCAUCGACAUUUGCUUGUCCGCUAGAGCUCAAAACAACGUUCAACUCCUCUACGUCAACAUCAACAUCAACAUCAACAAGACUAUCAUCGGAAACAUGAAAAUUUGAAUUUUCUUCCAAUUCAAUCGAAGGAGCAACUCGAUAUGGUUCAACCAACUCACUAACUUGAAAGACUUCAUCCUGCACACUUGUGUCUUCGUUCUCAUCCUGAACAACCUCGACAUGACCCCGUGAUUUCGUUUUUAAAAUGGACAACCAAUCAACUCUUGAUCGAUCCUUUCUAAAUGAAGGGGUGUAUGUGUAAUAAACUUGUUGGCAUUGCUUUGUGAAAACAAAGACAUCAUUUAUGUUGCGGAGUCUAGCUUUUGAGUUGAUUUCGACCGGACCAUGGUGCUUAUCAACUCUGAUUCCUCUGUCCGUCGUGUCAUACCAAUAGCAUUUGAAUAAAAACACUGUAUUCUGCUCGCUAUGAUAUUGUAGUUCGACGACCUCUUCUAAUCUACCAUAGUAGUCAACUUCUAACUCGCUACUUGUGGAUCCUUUAACACAAACACCGCAGUUGUAUGUCCUUCUUCCUUGCCCGUAUUCUUUAGUAUGGAAAACAUAUUCAUUGACAAAAUACCCGUUAUAGCACUUAACUUUUCUUUCAAGCCCGAGGCUUAGUGAAGACAAUGACUUAGACACACUUCUUCCCAUUUGAUAAACCUUGUAUACAUGUAAUGUACAUCAAUAAACAGUAAAUGAACGAGAAUCUCGUAAUGACAUGCAUACGUACAGUAAUUUUGCAAGUUAGAAUGAGUUUGUGAUAGUGCUUACAUGUGUUCUGAACCAUGUGGCAAAUUGUUCAUCUUGUAAUUGAAAGAUCUGGGAGUCGGUCAGCUGCGAGUUAUUGGAGAGCAAAUAUUGUCGAUGUUGCCUGCAAGUGAUAAUGAGUGUAUGAUUUCACAAUAUAUAAUUAGCAGUAUAUUACUGACAAAGUUUAAAUAGUAUUACACAUAUAUAAACUUACUGAAUAAAUGGUCUCAGCUCAUCACAAUUAAAUAGAACAUAAUUGUGUGCUUGUUUGAAUUCUAUUUUCGACAAAUAUCUUCCUCUUACGGCAUUUUUAGGUAUAGGUCGUCCAGUAUUGGAGAAUAUUGACAAUUUCUCACUGGAAGGCACUUCACCGCCAUCAUCAUGUUGUGGAACACGAUUGAUUCUUGUUCUCAAAUGAGGUUCAAAAUAGUAAGAGAUAAAUGUUGAGAUCUCUUCAACAAUAUAGGCCUCAAAUAUCGAAGCCUCUACAUGCGUCUUGUUCUUAACCUUUUUCUUGAGAUUAAACAAGUACCUGCAUUGAAUUACAAUUCAAGUUUUCCAAUUAAGAAAAGCAUAUAAAAUACUUUUAGAUAUGAAUUCCAUUGCAACUGUAAUAUCUAACCGUUCGAAUGGGUACAUCCAUCUAUACUGACAUGUAAUUCGGUAAUUCCACAAAGUUUUAACAAUUUACAAAUAAAUACAAUCUUACAAAAUCUAAAACAAACCAUAACUACAAGUAUAAAAUUAUACAUUCAUAUACUACAAGUUUGUUUGAGAAAUAACAAUAAAACAUGUACAUCUAUUAACAAAAAUACAUAUACUAAAAAAACAAUAAAAUUUACAUUUAAAUGUUAAAAUUUAAAAAGAUAUAAUUACUUACAAAAAUUGAUAAAAUCCAUCGGUAAAUCAGAACACGGAUGUUGUGAUCAAAAAACUUUAAGAAAUACAACUUGUUGUGCUGAGAUGAGGAAGAUUUUUGUUUGGGGGUGAGGGGGGGGCUAGUUAUUUUGCAGAUGGGGAGACUUAAGAUUAGGAAGAAGAACGAGAAAUGGGGGAGGAGCGUGUCGGCAGCGUGGCCAUAUAUUCACUUUUUUCGACGGCCUCAUCGAUGGAAUAACAUCGUCGGUGCAUAUGUCGGUUACUCCAUCGGUAAUUUUGACGGGAAAUAGACACAUCACCGCACGAACACGCUUUUCAAAUCCCUCGGUGAUUCCGUCGGUAUGUUUGACGGUGCACCCAUCACAUCACCCGUAUGGAUCUGGUAUUUCAAAUCCGUCGGUGAUUUCGUCAGUAUUAUUGACGGUGAAACGGUCCGAUCACACGUACAAGUCCCUAGUUUUGAAUCCGUCAGUGAUUCUGUCGGAAAAAUCACCCGCCAAAACCUCCGCGUCAGCUGCCCGCCUUUUUUUCAUUAAUUAUGAACUUUCUGUCUGUAAUUUCGACUGAAAAAUACCGACAGCAAUAUUGUGUCGGGGAGUCCGUUGGUGUUUAGCGAAUUUAUGGUAGUGAACUAAAAACUGCGUAUAGCUCGGUCAACCUGAAAUCCCAUCUGGCGAUUUCCUUUAACCAAAGCCACCUGAGAUCCCAUCUGGCGACCUCAUUAAACCACAACCAAAAAAUAUGCGUAGCUUGGUCAACCUGAAAUCCCAUCUAGCGAUUCCCUUUAACCAAAGCUACUUGAGAUCCCAUCUGGCGACCUCAUUCAACUGAAAUAAAAGAAUGUGUAAAACGCGGUUUCAUUGUAAUGGGUGACCAACCCAGGUGGAAAGAAUGUGAAAAACAGUCUCAUUAUGAUGGGUGACUACCCAGAUGGAAAGAAUAUGAAGUGCGGUCUCAUUGUAAUGGGUGACCUACCCAAGAAAAAGAAAAGAGUGGUCUCAUUGUAAUGGGUGACCUACCCAGAAAAAAAACAUGGAGAAUUGGUCGCAUUGUAAUGGGUGACCUACCCAAAAAAAUGUUGGUCUCAUUGUAAUGGGUGACCUACCCAAGUGAAAGAAUGGUCUCAUUGUAAUGGGUGACCUACCCAGAUAAAAAACAAGGAGAAUUGGUCGCGUUGUUCUGGGUGACCUACCCAGAAAAAUUUUGGCGAGGGCUCAAAGGCGCACUCAAAAGGAGGUAGGGUUAGAAAACGCACUACCCGAGAAGUGAGGGCUCAAAAGCACACUCAAAAGGAGGUAGGGUUAAAAAAUGCACUACUUGAGAAGUGAGGGCUCAAAGGCGCACUCAAAAUAAGGUAGGGUUAGAAAACGCACUACCCAAGAAGUGAGGGCUCAAAGGCGCUCUCAAAAUGAGGUAGGGUUAGAAAACACACUGCUUGAAUGGUGGUGGCUCAAAGGCACACUCAAAAGGAGGUAGGGUUAGAAAAUGCACUACCUGAGAAGUGAGGGCUCAAAGGCGCACUCAAAAGAAAAUAAGGGCUCAAACGGUGCACUUGAAAUGAGGUUGGGUUAGAAAACGCACUAUCCGAAUGGUGGUGGCUCAAAGGCGCACUCAAAAUGAGGUAGGGUUGGAAAACGCAGUACCCGAAUGGUGGUAGCUCAAAGACACACUCGAAAUAAGGUAGGGUUGGAAAACACACUACCUAAAAGGUGGUUGAUUAGUACUUAAAAGUGCAUGUUUAUUAAGGUUUUAUAUCAUCAUUUUGCACUUGAAGUAUCAAUAACUCCUUAACUAAAGCAUGUUUUAUAAUAACAAGUGUGAUACUAUAAAAUGCCUUAAUAUAUGGUAAAUAUUCAUCUUGAAUGCAGGCUUAUCACAUAAAUCAAAGGAUUGAUUGAUGAAUUCAACUACUGAAAUUUUGAAGAUAAAGAAGGGUGAAGCUUAGAAAAGAGAUGUUGGUGCAGUCCAAACUGGAACACUAUUUGGUAUUUGGGUCAUAUCUUGAGUUCUAGAUGUCCAAAUGAUCUCAAAGUUUUACACAGAUUUGGUGAGAUAUAAGCCUACAACUUUCAUGUGAACAGAAAAAUCUAAGAAGGCCUUUUUCAUGUCCAAAUUAUAGCAACAACGGAGAAGUCUGAAUCUGUCUUGCAGCCCAGACACUGUUCAGUGUUCAGCCCAUAUCUUGAGUUCUAAAAGUCCAAAUGACCUCAACUUUUUUUUCCUGGAAAGCUAAGAGAAUUUCCUAGAACUUUGAUGAUUUCAUAUGAUUCCAGUUCUGAUGUUAGCAAUGACGUUUUAUUCAGACAAGAAGAUAAGGAUUUUCACCAAGUCAAGAUGUGGCCACCCACUCAACAAUUAUUCAUCAAAUCAAUAGUUCCAAAUUUUGGCCUAUAAAAGGAGGCAUUUGCCAUGCAUUUAGGCAUCUUGGUUUCCAGAUCAAGAUCAUGCUCUUGCUUUCUCUCUUUGUAUUGCUUAUGUUUUGCUUUCAUUAAUAUCAAGUUUAUGCACUUCAUUUCCUUUCCUUUACUUAGUUAACUUUUUUCUCAUUUAUGUUCUUAUCUUGUUCAUUUAUGUUUCUUUCUUUCAUUAUGUUUACCUAUGUUAAUUAUGUCAAGGUGAAAAGGGUACACUAAUGGUGUAAGAAUAAGUAUAAUAUAAACUUAACAUGGACCUUAAUGUUGGAUACUAACAUGUUUUAUAUUUGUUAUCUUGUUCACUUUUAAUACUUUGCUUGUUAAAUGGUUAAUCUAGAUUUAUGUUGUAUAACACUUGGUACAACAAAUACUUGGCACUUUCAUAGCCCAUACUGUAUGGUAUAACCGACACCUGAGCUAUGAAAGGAACUUGAUUUGUUGUUAACAUAAGUUAUAAUCAUGAAUGCCUGACAAAAUUUACAAGUAUUAGCAUUAUUCGAAUAAGAUAACUAAUGUAAUCAUGUUAACAAUUUACAAUCCGAUUGGAACCUCCUUUGUGUGUGGUUUUCAAUUGAGUAAUAAAAAGAGUUUAUAUUAUACUUGUUUGAAGUACCAUUAGUAGAUCCUCUAACCUUGACAAUUAUUUUAUGCUUGUUUAAUCCUUACAUCAAUAUCACAUCCCAAAGCUCUCUUUAUCUUAUUAUUAUUGUUAUUGUUGUUGUUGUUGUUGUUGUUGUUGUUUAUAAUUUAUAUAGUUAACCUCCAUGUGGUUCGACCCUGGUCUUGCCGGGUUAUUUAUUACUUCGACACUAUUGCACUUGGAAGAAAACAUCAAUCUUUUGGGUCGUGUCAAGUUUUUGGCGCCGUUGCCGGGGAGGUAAAUUCUUGUAUAAAUUAUAAUAUUUAUUUUAUUUUGUCUUUUCAUUUUUCAUUUUAUCUAACUUUUGUUUCUUUUCCUUCUCUUUUAUUUCCUUCCUUAUAUUCUCUUCUUACACGUGCAUGAGAGUUUGGUCAUGUACAUUAAGUGGUAGACUUUGUAGGGUAUCCUCAGAAACAUUUUACCAGUGUUGGGAUAGGUAUCGAGACUUGCUUAAUACUUGCCCUCAUCAUGGUUUUGAAACAUGGAGAUUGGUUUCAUUUUUUUAUGAAGGUUUAACACCUAGAGAUAGGCAAAUGGUUGAAUUGAUGUGCAAUUGAACUUUCGAAGAUAAAGACCCUAAUGAAGAAAUGGAGUACCUAGACUUGCUAGCCGAAAAUGCUCAAAAUUGGGACACCACAUGUACUUAUAAGGCACCAAGUAAAACUCAACCUCAUACAUCUAGUGGAGGUAUGCACAACCUUAGGGAAGAUCAUGACCUCCAAGCCAAGUUUGCAUCUUUAGCUAGAAAAGUCGAAUCACUUGAAUUGAAAAAGAGUGGUCAAUUAAAAUCUUUCAAGACAUUGUGUGUCAAAUCUGUGAAACAAGAACACUCAACAAAUGAUUGUCCAACUUUGCCUUCUUUUAGGAAUGCCUCCAUGAACAAGCCCAUGCUUUAAACAGUUUCCAAAGGCCCAACAUAACCCAUACUCACAAACGUAUAACCCUGGUUGGAGAAAUCACCCAAAUUUCAGUUGGAAGAGUGAUAACAAUAAUGCAAACUUCACAGCCACCGUUUCAAGCAUACCAUAAUUUCCAAAAUUCUCAUGGAUAUGCACCUCCUUAUGCUCCACCUCCUAGAAGAAAUCUUGAGGAAACAUUGCAUGCAUUCAUUGAAAAGCAGGAGACAAUCAACACUCAACUUGCUCAAAGCAUGACUGAUUUUAAAGAUGCUCUUGCAAAAUUAACAUCUGCUCUCAGUUUUCAAGAAAAAGGUAAGUUUCCUUCUCAACCACAAUAAAAUCCAAAGGGGCAAUAUAAUGCAAAUGCAAGUAGUUCUGGAAGCCAACACAUGGAUCAAGUCAAAUCAGUCAUCACUCUUCGUAGUGGUAAGGUUAUUGAAAAACCCACUCUUGAACCUUGUGAGAAAGAUGAAGAGUCUAUCUUUGAGGGUAAGAAAAGGGUUGAACCUGAACAUUUCCUCAUGCCAUGACCAAACAAAGGAAAGUCAAUCACAAUUCUGAAAUCCUUUAAAUUUUCAAACAGGUAAGGAUCAAUAUACCUUUGUUGGAUGCUAUUAAACAUGUUCCUUCCUAUGCUAAAUUUUUGAAAGAUCUGUGCACUGUGAAGAGAAAACUGAAUGUGAAAAAGAAAGCCUUUUUAGCCGAACAAGUAAGUGCCAUUCUUCAUAACAAUAAUGCUUUGAAAUAUAAAGACCCUGGUUGUCUUACAAUUUCUUGCUUUAUUGGAGAACAAAAAAUUGAAAGAGACUUACUUGAUCUUGGAGCUAGUGUGAGUUUACUUCCAUAUUUAGUCUUUCAAAGUCUCAAUCUAGGUGAGUUAAAACCAACCUUUGUAACUCUUUUACUUGCUGAUAGAUCUGUAAAAGUGCCUAGAGGAAUAGUUGAGGAUGUGUUAGUACAAGCUGAUAAAUUCAUUUACCAUGUAGAUUUUGUUGUCUUGGAUACACAACCUGUUGAAGCAUGUAAUUCAAUUCCUGUCAUUUUAGGACGUCCAUUUCUUGCCACUUUUAAUGCAUUGAUUAAUUGUAAGAAUGGACUGAUGAAGCUAUCAUUUGGAAACAUGACAUUGGAGAUGAAUAUUUUCAACAUUUACAAGCAACCUGGAGAUGAUAAUGAUUUACAGGAAGUGGACUUUAUUGAAAAAUUAGUUCAUGAUCAAUUUCAAACCACUUCUAGUGAAACUGAGAUUGAUGAAUCUGAUGAUUUGCAAAUGGUCUAUUUUCAGGAAGAAUCAAAGGCAUGCAAUUGGAGACCACAAAUUGAAGAAUUGCCACCACGAUCAAUUGAGCCCAUACCUUCAAGUGUUCAACCACCAAAACCUGAUUUGAAGUCGUUACCAUUUAAUCUCAAAUACUCAUUUUUGGGAGAAAAUGAAACUUUUCCGGUAAUAAUCUCUUCCAAACUUAAUGCACAUCAAGAAGGUAAGUUAUUACAGACUUUGAAAAUGCACAAAAAUGCAUUAGGAUGGACCAUAGCUGACAUAAAAGGAAUUAGCCCUUUGAUUUGCACACACAGAAUUUAUUUGGAGGAAAAUGCUAAACCCUCUAGAGAAAUGCAACGAAGGCUUAAUCCUAAUAUGAAAGUAGUGAAAAAUGAAGUCAUUAAGCUUCUAGAUAAUGGAAUCAUUUAUCCUAUUUCUGACAGCAAAUGGGUAAGUCCUACCCAAGUUGUACCUAAAAAGUCUGGAGUCACUGUGAUAACAAAUGAGAAAAAUGAGUUAAUUCCAACGAUGAUUGUUACUGGUUGGCGCAUGUGCAUUGACUAUAGGAAACUUAAUUCAAUGACUAGAAGAUCAUUUCCCUUUACCUUUCAUGGAUCAAAUCCUAGAAAGAGUUGCAGGUCAUGAAUUCUAUUGUUUCCUAGAUGGCUAUUCAGGUUACAAUCAAAUUGAAAUUGCAUUGGAAGAUCAAGAGAAGACUACUUUCACAUGUCCAUUUGGUACUUUUGCAUAUCGAAGAAUGCCUUUUGGGUUAUGUAAUGCACCAGCCACGUUCAGUGUUCAGCCCAUAUCUUGAGUUCUAGAAGUCCAAAUGACCUCAAAUGUUUACACAAAUUCAGUAAGACAUAGGCCUAUAACUUGCAUUUGGACAUCAAGAUCUAAGAAGGCCGUUUUCAAGUCCAAAUUAUUCAACAACGGAGAAGUCUGAAUAUGUCCUGCAGCCCAGACACUUUUCAGUGUUCAGCCCAUAUCUUGAGUUCUAAAAGUCCAAAUGACCUCAAAUGUUUACACAAAUUCAGUAAGACAUAGGCCUAUAACUUGCAUUUGGACAUCAAGAUCUAAGAAGGCCGUUUUCAAGUCCAAAUUAUUCAACAACGGAGAAGUCUGAAUAUGUCCUGCAGCCCAGACACUGUUCAGUGUUCAGCCCAUAUCUGGAGUUCUAGAAGUCGAAAUGACCUUAUCUUUUUUUUCCUGGAAAGCUAAGAGAAUUUCCUAGGACUUUUAUUUGGACAUCUAGACCCAGUUCUGAUGCUAGCAUUUUUGUUUUAUUAAGACAAGAAGAUAAAGAUUUUCACCUAGUCAAAAGUUGGCCACCCACUCAACAAUUAGUCAUCAAAUCAAUAAUUCUGAAUUUUGUCAUAUAAAAGGAGUCAUUUGCCAUGUAUUUAGGGGCUUGGUUUUUCAGAUCAAGUUCUUGCUCUUUAUUUCUCUCUUUAUAUUUUUUUUGUAAUUCUUAAGUUUUGCUUUCAUUAAUAUCUUGUUUAUGCUUUUCAUUUCCUUUCCUUUCCUUAGUUAACUUGUAUCUUAUUUAUGUUCUUGUUUUAUUUAUUUAUGUUUCUCUUCUUCAUUAUGUUUGGCUAAGUUUAUUAUGUCAAGGUGAAAAGGUUACACUAAUGGUGUAAGAACAAGUAUGGUAUAAACUCAACAUGAACCUUAAUGUUUAAUAUUAACAUGUCUUAUCUUUUUAUCUUACUAAUUCUUAAUACCUUACUUGUUAAAUGGUUAAUCUAGAUUUGUGUUGUAUAAUACUUGGUACAACAAAUGCUUGGCACUCUCAUAGCCCAACCGUAUGGUAUUACCUACACCUAGGCUAUGAAAGGUACUUGAUUUGUUGUUAACAUCAAUUAACAUCAUGAAUUCUUGAUAAUAUUUAAAAGUUUGGUGUUAUGUAAAUGAGAUAAUUAAUAUGAUCAUGUUAAUAAUUUAUAAUGAGCUAUUAAUGACAAAUUGGCCAAUUGGAACCUCCUUUGUGUGUGGUUUCCGGUUGAAUAAUAAGAGUUUAUACUAUACUUGUUUGAAAUACCAUUGGUGGAUCCUCUAACCUUGAUAUUUAUUUUUAUCAUUGUUUAAUCCUUACAUUAAUCUUCCAGCUCAAAGUUCUCAUUAAUUUUUUCCUCCUCUUUUUAUUGUUAUUAAUAUUAUCACUAUUAAUAUUAUUAUUAUUAUUAUUAUUAUUAUUAUUAUUAUUAUUAUUUACAUUCUGUUUAUAUUAUAUAAUAUAUCUCUUUCAUCUUUUCAAAAACUCAGUAUAUAGGCUGGAAACCUGUGACCCGAUCUUUUAGAUCAUUCUCAGGUAUAACAACGCCACGUACUGAGUAUUAUUAUUAAUAUUAUUAUUAUUAUUGUUAUUAUUGUUGUUAUUGUUGUUGUUGUUGUUGUAUUAUUGUUAUUUAUAAUUUGUAUAAUUAACCUCUCUGUGGUUCGACCCCGGUCUUGCCGGGUUAUUUAUUACUUUGACACUCCUGCACUUGGGAGAAGACAUCAAUCUUUUGGUUGUGUCAAGUUUUUGGCGUCGUUGCCGGGGAGGUAAAUUCUUGUACAAAUUUUAGUAUUUAUUUUGUUUUUUUCUUUUCACUUUUCUUGUAUCUAACUUUGUUUCUUUUGUUUUGUUUCUUUUUCUUUUGUUUUCUUCUUCCUUUUAUUCUUUUUCUACACGUGCAUGAGUGUUUGGUCAUGCAUAUUAAGUGGUAGACUUUCUAGGGUAUCCUCAUCAUUUUCAGAAAAUAUGGCCGAAGAAGAUAACCAGUUACUUCAUAAUGAGAAUAAUGAGAAUAACCGUGUUAGGACACUUAGAGACCACAUGAAUCCCAUAAGAACAAGUGCACCCUCAUGCAUAGUUUUCCCUCCUGAUGCAUCUCAUUUUAAUUUUAAGCCAGGCAUUAUUCAACUUUUACCUUCUUUUCAUGGCUUAGAUCUAGAAAAUCCAUACUUGCAUUUGGAGAAUUUGAGAAGUUUGUAACACCUAUAAUGACUUAAAUUGUAGCAUGAAUACCAUUAGAUUAAAGCUUUUUCCUUUUUCAUUAAAAGAUAAAGCUAAAACAUGGCUACAAAAUUUAGGUCAGGAUCCAUUCGUGCUUGGGAUGAAAUGCAACAACAAUUUUUAAAGAAGUUUUUUCCAUCUCACAGAACAACUCUUUCAAAAGACAAAUCACCACUUUCACUCAAAAACCAGGAGAAACAUUUUACCAAUGUUGGGAUAGGUAUCGAGACUUGCUUAAUACUUGCCCUCAUCAUGGUUUUGAAACAUGGAGAUUGGUUUCACAAUUUUUAUGAAGGUUAACACCUAAGAUAGGCAAAUGGUUGAAUUGAUGUGCAAUGGAACUUUUGAAGAUAAAGACCAUAAUGAAGCAAUGGAGUACCUAGACUUGCUAGCUGAAAAUGCUCAAAAUUAGGACACUACAGGCACUUAUGAGGCACCAAGUAAAACUCAACCUCAUACAUCUAGUGGAGGUAUGUAUAACCUUAGGGAAGAUCAUGACCUCCAAGCCAAGUUUGCAUCUUUAGCUAGAAAAGUCGAGGCACUAGAAUUGAAAAAGAGUGGUCAAUUAAAAUAUGUUCAAGACAUUGUGUGUCAAAUCUGUGAAACAAAUGAACAUGCAACCAAUGAUUGUCCAACUUUGCCUUCUUUCAAGGAAUGCCUCCAUGAACAAGCCCAUGCUUUAAACAGUUUCCAAAGGCCCAAUCAUAACCCAUACUCGCAAACAUACAAUCCUGGUUGGAGAAAUCACCCAAAUUUCAGUUGGAAGAGUGACAACAAUAAUGCACAAACUUUACAGCCACCGUUUCAAGCACACCAUAAUUUCCAAAAUUCUCAUGGAUAUGCACCUCCUUAUGCUCCACCUCCUAGAAGAAAUCUGAGGAACGUUGCAUGCAUUCAUUGAAAAGCAAGAGACAAUCAACACUCAACUUGCUCAAAGCAUGACUUUUAAAGAUGCUCUUGCAAAAUUAACAUCUGCUCUCAGUUUCAAGAGAAAGGUAAGUUUCCAUCUCAACCACAGCAAAAUCCAAAGGGGCAAUACAAUGCAAAUGCAAGUAGUUCUGGAAGCCAACACAUGGAUCAAGUCAAAUCAGUCAUCACUCUUCGCAGUGGUAAGGUUAUUGAAAAACCCACUCUUGAACCUUGUGAGAAAGAUGAUGAGUCAAUCUCUGAGGGUAAGGAAGGGGUUGAACCUGAACAUUGUGAAGAAAAGACUGAUUCUCCGCCAGCACUUCCAUUUCCUCAUGCCAUGACCAAACAAAGGAAAGUCAAUCACAAUUAUGAAAUCCUUGAAAUUUUCAAACAGGUAAGGAUCAAUAUACCUUUGUUGGAUGCUAUUAAACAUGUUCCUUCCUAUGCUAAAUUUUUGAAAGAUUUGUGCACUGUGAAGAGAAAACUGAAUGUGAAAAAGAAAGCCUUUUUAGCCGAACAAGUAAGUGCCAUUCUUCAUAACAAUAAUGCUUUGAAAUAUAAAGACCCUGGUUGUCCUACAAUUUCUUGCUUUAUUGGAGAACAUAAAAUUGAAAGAGCCUUACUUGAUCUUAGAGCUAGUGUGAAUUUACUUCCAUAUUCGGUUUUUCAAAGUCUCAAUCUAGGUGAGUUAAAACCAACUUCUGUAACUCUUUUACUUGCUGAUAGAUCUGUAAAAGUGCCUAGAGGAAUAGUUGAGGAUGUGUUAGUACAAGGUGAUAAAUUCAUUUACCCUGUAGAUUUUAUUGUCUUGGAUACACAACCUGUUGAAGCAUGUAAUUCAAUUCCUGUAUUUUAGGACGUCCAUUUCUUGCACUUCUAAUGCAUUGAUUAAUUGUAGGAAUGGACUGAUGAAGCUAUCAUUUGGAAACAUGACAUUGGAGAUGAAUAUUUUCAACAUUUACAAGCAACCUGGAGAUGAUAAUGAUUUACAGGAAGUGGACUUUAUUGAAAAAUUAGUUCAUGAUCAAUUUCAAACCACUUCUAGUGAAACUGAGAUUGAUGAACCUGAUGAGUUGCAAAUGGUUAUUUUCAGGAAGAAAAGGCAUGUAAUUGGAGACCACAAAUUGAAGAAUUGCCACCACGAUCAAUUGAGUCAUACCUUCAAGUGUUCAACCACCAAAACUGAUUUGAAGCCGUUACCAUUUCAAUCUCAAAUACUCAUUUUUGGGAGAAAAUGAAACUUUUCCGGUAAUAAUCUCUUCCAAACUUAAUGCACAUCAAGAAGGUAAGUUAUUACAGACUCUGAAAAUGCACAAAAAUGCAUUAGGAUGGACCAUAGCUGACAUAAAAGGAAUUAGUCCUUUGAUUUGCACACACAGGAUUUAUUUGGAGGAAAAUGCUAAACCUCUAGAGAAAUGCAACGAAGCUUAAUCCUAAUAUGAAAGAAGUAGUGAAAAAUGAAGUCAUUAAGCUUCUAGAUAAUGGAAUCAUUUAUCCUAUUUCUGACAGCAAAUGGGUAAGUCCUACCCAAGUUGUACCCAAAAAGUCUGGAGUCACUGUGAUAACAAAUGAGAAAAAUGAGUUAAUUCCAACUAGGACUAUUACUGGUUGGCGCAUGUGCAUUGACUAUAGGAAACUUAAUUCAAUGACUAGAAAAGAUCAUUUCCCUUUACCUUUCAUGGAUCAAAUCCUAGAAAGAGUUGCAGGUCAUGAAUUUUAUUGUUUCCUAGAUGGCUAUUCAGGUUACAAUCAAAUUGAAAUUGCAUUGGAAGAUCAAGAGAAGACUACUUUCACAUGUCCAUUUGGUACUUUUGCAUAUCGAAGAUGCCUUUUGGUUAUGUAAUGCACCAGCCACGUUUCAAAGAUGCAUGCUUAGCAUAUUCAGUGAUAUGGUUGAACGUUUUCUUGAGAUUUUUAUGGAUGAUUUUUCUGUUUUUGGUGAUUCAUUUGAUGAUUGUUUAACUAACUUGGAAAAGGUUUUGAACAGGUGUGAAGAGAAGAAUCUUGUACUGAAUUGGGAAAAAUGUCACUUUAUGGUAACAAACGGCAUUGUACUUGGUCACAUUGUUUCAUCGAAAGGAAUUGAGGUUGACAAAUCUAAAAUCGAGUUAAUUGCCAACUUACCAACACCAAAAUCUGUUAAAGAUGUUAGAUCAUUCUUAGGACAUGCUGGUUUUUACAGAAGGUUCAUCAAAGAUUUUAGUGUAAUAUCUAAACCAUUGUGUAACCUUCUAACAAAGGAAAAUGUUUUUGAAUGGACUGAACAAUGUGAAAAAGCCUUUGUUAAACUUAAAGCUUGCUUACUUCUGCUCCUGUCAUUCAACCUCCUGAUUGGUCACUACCUUUUGAAAUAAUGUGUGACGCUAGUGAUUAUGCCGUGGGUGCUGUCUUGGGACAAAGAAAAGAUAAGAAACCUUAUGUGAUUUACUAUGCAAGUAAAACUUUAAAUAGUGCUCAAAUGAAUUACACUACCACUGAAAAAGAAUUACUUGCAGUAGUAUUUGCAUGUGACAAGUUCAGAUCUUAUCUUGUUGGCUCACCUGUUGUUGUUUUUAGUGAUCAUGCAGCAUUGAAAUAUCUUCUCUCUAAGAAAGAUUCUAAGGCUAGAUUGGUGCGGUGGAUUUUGUUACUUCAAGAAUUUGAUAUCACAAUCAAAGACAAGAAAGGCACCGAAAAUGUUGUCGCGGAUCAUUUGUCAAGAUUGACAACCGAUUCGAGAUCUGACAUCACACCAAUCGAUGACUACUUUCCUGAUGAAUCUUUAUUUUCUGUCUCUACGAUGCCUUGGUUUGCUAAUAUUGUUAAUUUUCUUGUUUCAGGACAAUUGCCAGCUCAUUGGAGUACCCAAGACAAAAGAAAGUUCUUGAACGAAGUGAAGAACUUUUAUUGGGAUGACCCUUAUUUAUUCAAAUAUUGUCCUGAUCAAAUAUUUCGAAGAUGCAUUCCUGACAAUGAGGUAAGUAGUGUCAUUAAAUUUUGUCAUUCUGAGGCAUGUGGGGGUCAUUUCUCAUCAAGAAAGACAACUGCAAAAAUCUUACAAAGUGGAUUUUACUGGCCCACCAUGUUCAAAGACUCACAUGCAUUCUGUAAGACUUGUGAAAAUUGUCAAAAGUUGGGAUCUAUUUCGAAACGUCACAUGAUGCCUUUAAAUCCUAUUCUUGUCAUUGAGAUCUUUGACUGUUGGGGUAUAGAUUUCAUGGGUCCAUUUCCUCCAUCAUUUGGUUUCUUGUACAUAUUGGUCGUAGUAGAUUAUGUUUCAAAAUGGAUAGAGGCAAUUCCAAGUCGAACCAAUGAUCACAAAACAGUGAUAAAGUUUUUGAAAGAAAACAUUUUAAGUCGAUUUGGAAUCCCUCGAGCCAUGAUAAGUGAUGGUGGAACACAUUUUUGCAAGUCAUUUGAGUCUUUAAUGAAGAAAUAUGGAAUCACACACAAAGUUGCCACCCCUUAUCACCCUCAGACGAGUGGACAAGUAGAACUUGCUAAUAAGUAGAUUAAACAGAUCUUAGAGAAAACAGUGAACCCUAAUCGGAAAGACUGGUCUUUAAGACUUAAUGAUGCACUUUGGGCUUAUCGAACUGCGUAUAAAACAUCAUUUGGUAUGUCACCUUAUAGACUAGUAUAUGGAAAACCUUGUCACUUGCCUGUGGAAAUUGAACAUAAAGCUUAUUGGGCUAAUAAAGCUUCCAAUUCGAACAUUGAUGAUGCUAGUCAGCUACGAAAAUUGCAAAUAAAUGAGCUUGAGGAAAUAAGAAAUGAUGCAUAUGACAAUUCAAGAAUUAAUAAAGCAAGACUCAAAGAGUUUCAUGACAAGAAAAUACUGAGAAAAACAUUCAAUGUUGGUCAAAAAGUCUUGCUUUAUAAUUCUCGACUCCAUUUAUUUCUUGGAAAACUAAGAUCAAGAUGGAGCGGUCCUUUUAUUGUGAAACAUGUGUAUCCAUAUGGGGCCUGUGAUAUAGAAAAUCCAAAGAAUGGAAAUGUUUUCAAGGUAAAUGGGCAUCGGUUGAAAGUUUAUUUUGACAAUUUUUCAGUUGAAAAUGACUAUUGAAUUGAGUGAUCCUGUAUAUAAAGAUUGAUUCUUUUUCUCACAUUGUUUUGUGUUUUGUUUUGGUGUAUCUUUUUUUUUGCUAGUUUCUCUCACCCCGGUCAAAUGGCGGAUAACGGUACUCCAUGACUCUUAAGUCGGUUCUUUUAGUUUCCCAUGAUAACUUAUAUCUGUGUAUAUAAUUGUGCAAUUCUCUGCUCUUUCUUCUUUCUUUGAAUCUCUCAUCCAAUUCUCAUUUGAAAAUGGACACCACUCUUGAAAAAUUGAAAAAUUAUUUUCCCGCUCUGCCUCAAAAUGCGAUUACAAAAAUUUACCGUGCUAGAUGUGCGAGAUUGAGGUUGUUAAUGAAUCAUGGAAUUCUUGAAGAUAUUCAUUGGCUAAUUGAAGCAAAGGUUCGGUUAUCAGGUGAGUCCUCCAAUUCUUUCAUUUCACACAUGCCUGGAACAAGUAAAAGCACUUUUGCAAAGAAACGUCGUGCAAAACGACUACAACUCUGUCACAAAUGUGCCAGAUGGACUUGUAAUGCGACAUGUCGUUCUUUAGGAAUGGUAUCUGUAAACCGUGAAGAUAAAAUACAAUUCAUUAAGGAUGGCCUGAGUAAGGGGUCUUUAGAUAAUCUUCUAUUGACUCUUGAGACGCACCCUAGUGGAGAUGUGCAUCGUGCAAUUUAUGAUUUAUGGCCCCAAUUCCAUAAAGAACAUGCUCGACUUAGUCUUGGGAAUCUGACUAAAAAAGACCCUGUUUGCCAGUUUUUAAGAAAACUGGAUGGGAAGCCUAUCCCCGACCCAGAUAGGGCGUUUAAGCUGUUCUUGGACGUAAAACCAAGGGAAGAUGUGAGCCACAAUCACAACUACCUAUACAUACAUGAUUUGUCAAGCCGUUUUUGGACAUAAAACUAAGGGAAGAUGUGAGCCAUAAUCACAACUACCUGUACAUACACAUGCCUUUUUCAAAUAAAUAAAGAGAGAGAGAGAGAGAAAGAGAGUGAGACUACGGUUGGCCUACAUAUAGGUGGUAUGAUUGCAUUUUCAAUUUCUCAUCUAUAAAUUCUUCUCUUCCUUCCCUUCAUUUCUACUCAACCCAUACUUUCAUCAAAUAUAGAAGUGUGUAGAAAUGGCAGGUUCCUCAAGUCAUAACAUAAACAAUAUUUGUGUUUUCGGUGGAUCAAGUCUUGGGAAAGAAAAAAAGUUUUUAGAAUCAGCAAAUCAUCUUGGUCAGGUAUUAGCUGAGCGAAAGAUUCAUUUAGUGUAUGGAGGAGGCAGCCUUGGGUUAAUAGGGGGAGUGUCAAUAGCUGCAUUUUUAGGAGGUACUCAAGUUUUGGGGGUAGUCCCCAAAGCUUUAGCAUAAGGGGACAUCAUUGGAAAAACAAUUGGAGAGGAAUUACAAGUCCCCAUAAUUUCUGAUCGACUGAAUGCCAUGUUUAACCAUGCUGAUUCCUUCAUUGCCUUACCAGGUGGUCUGGGCACAUUGGAAGAGAUCUUUCAUAUUUCCUCUUGGGCCCAACUGCACAUUCACCAUAAACCCAUAGGUUUGUUAAAUGUUAAUGGUUUUUAUGAUAAGUUGUUGUCUUUUCUUGUUCAUGCUAUGGAACAGGAAUUUCUAACAUCUUCAGCACGACAAAUCAUAAUCUCUACUGCUACUGCUGAACAAUUGAUUGACCAACUACAAUCUUUCAUCCCUGUAAUUAAUCCCUCCAUGAGUCGCAUAAAAUUGGUCAACUAAGAGAAAGCCGUAAAAAGCUUAGAUGUGGAUUUGAGCUUCGUUUGUAAAAACUUUGUGUCUUUUGGUUUUAUUAUUGUGUUUUGUUGUUUCUUAUAUUUGUUUAAGUGUGUUUCAGGUUUGUCAGUGUUCGUUAUUUCAGGUGAUGUCUUCUAUACUCUAUCUUUCUACCUUAAGACAUUGAGGACAAUGUUUCAUUUUGGUUGGGGGGAAAGGGUAGUAGUUGAUAAUUAAAAAAAAAAAACUAAAACGGUGGAGCAUAAGGAGGUGCAUAUCCAUGAGAAUUUUGGAAAUUAUGGUGUGCUUGAAACGGUGGCUGUGAAGUUUGUGUAUUAUUGUUAUUACUCUUCCAACUGAAAUUUGGGUGAUUUCUCCAACCAGGGUUAUACAUUUGUGAGUAUAGGUUAUGGUUGGGCCUUUGGAAACUGUUUAAAGCAUGGGCUUGUUCAUGGAGGCAUUCCUUAAAAGAAGGCAAAGUUGGACAAUCAUUUGUUGAGUGUUCCUUGGUUUCACAGAUUUGACACACAAUGUCUUGAACAGAUUUUAAUUGACCACUCUUUUUGAAUUCAAGUGCUUCGACUUUUCUAUCUAAAGAUGCAAACUUGGCUUGGAGGUCAUGAUCUUCCCUAAGGUUGUGCAUACCUCCACUAGAUGUAUGAGGCUGAGUUUUACUUGGUGCCUCAUAAGUAUCUGUGGUAUCCCAAUUUUGAGCAUUUUCGGCUAACAAGUCUAGGUACUCCAUUGCUUUAUUAGGGUCUUUAUCUUUAAAAGUUCCAUUGCACAUCAAUUCAACCAUUUGCUUAUCUCUAGGUGUUAAACCUUCAUAAAAAUGUGAAACCAAUCUCCAUGUUUCAAAACCAUGAUGAGGGCAAGUAUUAAGCAAAUCUCGAUACCUAUCCCAACAUUGGUAAAAUGUUUCUCCUGGCUUUUAAGUUAAAGUGAUGAUUUGUCUUUUGAAAGAGUUUGUUCUGUGAGACGGGAAAAACUUCUUUAAAAAUUUUUGUUGCAUUUCAUCCCAAGCACGAAUAGAUCCUGGUCUCAAAUUUUGUAGCCAUGUUUUAGCUUUAUCUUUUAAUGAAAAAGGAAAAAGCUUUAAUCUGAUAGUGUUCAUGCUACAAUUUGAGUCAUUAUAGGUAUUACAGACCUCCUCAAAUUCCCUUAAAUGCAAGUAUGGAUUUUCUAGGUCUAAACCAUGAUAAGAAGGUAAAAGUUGAAUAAUGCCUGGCUUAAAAUUAAAAUGAGAUGCAUCAGGAGGGAAAACUAUGCAUGAUGGUGCACUUGUUCUUGUGGGAUUCAUGUGGUCUCUAAGUGUUCUCAUACGAUUAUUCUCAUUAUUCUCAUUAUGAAGUGAUUGAUUAUCUUCUUCGGCCAUAUUUUCUGAAAAUGAUAAGGAUACCCUAUAAAGUUUACCACUUAAUGUACGUGACCAAACUCUUAUGCACGUGUAAGAAGAGAAUAAAAGGAAGAAAAUAAAAGAGAAGAAAAAGAAACAAAAGUUAGAUAAAAUGAAAAAUGAAAAGAGAAAAUAAAAUAAAUAUUAUAAUUUAUACAAGAAUUUACCUCCCUGGCAACGAUGCCAAAAACUUGACACGACCAAAAGAUUGAUGUCUUCUCCCAAGUGCAGGAGUGUCGAAGUAAUAAAUAACUCGGCAAGACCGGGGUCGAACCACGAAGAGGUUAAUUGUAUAAAUUAUAAAUAACAAUACAACAACAACAACAACAAUAAUAACAACAACAAUAACAAUAAUAGUAAUAAUAAUAUUAAUAGUAGUAAUAAUAAUAAUAAUACUUAGUAGUAAUACUAAUAAUAAUUAUAAUAGUAAUAAUAAUAGUAGUAAUAUUAAUAAUAAUAAUAGUAAUAAUAAAGAGAGCUUUGAGAUGUAAAAUUGAUGUAAGGAUUAAACAAUGAUAAAAACAAAUGUCAAGGUUAGAGGAUCCACUAAUGGUACUUCAAACAAGUAUAGUAUAAACUCUUAUUACUCAAUUGGAAACCACACAUAAAGGAGGAUCCAAUCAAAUUAUAAAUUGUUAACAUGAUUACAUUAGUUAUCUUAUUCGAAUAAAGCUAAUACUUGUAAAUGUUGGCAGGCAUUCAUGAUUAUAACUUAUGUUAACAACAAAUCAAGUUUCUUUCAUAGCUCAGGUGUCGGUUAUACCAUACAGUAUGGGCUAUGAAAGUGCCAAGUAUUUGUUGUACCAAGUGUUAUACAACAUAAAUCUAGAUUAACCAUUUAAUAAGCAAAGUACUAAAAGUGAACAAGAUAACAAAUAUAAAACAUGUUAGUAUCCAACGUUAAGGUCCAUGUUAAGUUUAUACUAUACUUAUUUUUACACUAUUAGAGUAUCAUUUUCACCUUGACAUAAUUAACUUAGCUAAACAUAAUGAAAGAAAGAAACAUAAAUGAACAAGAUAGGAACAUAAAUGAGAAAGAAGUUAACUAAGUAAAGGAAAGGAAAUGAAGUGUAUAAACUUGAUAUUAAUGAAAGCAAAACAUAAGAAAUACAAAGAGAGAAAGCAAGAGCAUGAUCUUGAUCUGGAAACCAAGAUGCCUCAAUACAUGGUAAGUGCCUCCUUUUAUAGGCUAAAAUUUGGAACUAUUGAUUUGUUGACUAAUUGAUGAGUGGGUGGCCACAUCUUGACUUGGUGACAAUCCUUAUCUUCUUGUCUGAACAAGACAUCAUUGCUAACAUCAUAAUUUUCCCAGAAUCCUCAGGAAUGUUCUAGGAAAUUGUCUCAGCUUUCCAACAACAAAAAAAGAUGAGGUCAUUUGGACUUCUAGAACUCAAGAUAUGGGCUGAACACUAAAUAGUGUCUGAGCUGCAAGACAGCUUCAGACUUCUUCGUUGUUUCUAUAAUUUGGACUUGAAAAAUGCCUUCUUAGAUCUUGGUGUCCAAAUGAAAGUUGUAGGCCUAUGUUUUACCUUUCCAUCCAUAUAAAAUGGACCUAAAUCCGAGAUCUAGAGCUCCAGAUAUGAUCCAAUUACCGAGCAAUGUUCCGGUUUGGAUUGCACCAGCAUCUCUUUUCUAGGUUUGGCCAUCUCUUUGUCCUUUCACUUUCAAUGCUUAAACUAAUCAAUCAAUCCUUUUAUUUAUGUGAUAGUCCUGCAUUUAAGAUGAGCAUUUACUAUAAAUUAAGGUAUCUUAUAGUAUUAAACUUGUUAUUAUAAAACAUGCUUUAGUUGAGUUAUUGAUACUUCAAGUGCAAAAUGAUGAUAUAAAACCUUGAUAAACAUGCACUUUUAAGUACUAAUCAGUCACCUUAUAGACUAGUUUAUGGAAAACCUUGUCACUUGCCUGUGGAAAUUGAAUAUAAAGCUUAUUGGGCUAUUAAAGCUUUCAAUUCAAACCUUGAUGAUGCUAGUCAGCUGCGAAAAUUACAAAUAAAUGAGCUUGAGGAAAUAAGAAAUGAUGCAUAUGACAAUUCAAGAAUUCAUAAAGCAAGAAUCAAAGACUUUCAUGACAAGAAAAUACUGAGAAAAACAUUCAAUGUUGGUCAAAAAGUCUUGCUUUAUAAUUCUCGACUCCAUUUAUUUCCUGGAAAACUAAGAUCAAGAUGGAGCGGUCCUUUCAUUGUGAAACAUGUGUAUCCAUAUGGGGCCUGUGAUAUUGAGAAUCCAAAGAAUGCAAUGUUUUCAAGGUAAAUGGGCAUCGUUUGAAAGUUUAUUUUGACAAUUUUUCAGUUGAAAAUGACUCUAUUGAAUUGAGUGAUCCUGUAUAUAAAGAUUGAUUCUUUUUCUCACAUUGUUUUGUGUUUUGUUUUGGUGUAUCUAUUGUUUUGCUAGUCUCUCUCUCACCCCGGUCAAAUGGCGGAUAACGGUACUCCGUGACAUAAGUCGGUUCUUUCAGUUUCCCAAAUAACUGAUAUCUGUAUAUAUUUGUACAAUUCUGUGCUCUUUCUCCCUUCUUUGAAUCUCGUCUCCAAUUCUCUUUUGAAAAUGGACACCACUCUUGAAAAGUUGAAAAGGUAUUUUCCGCUCUGCCUCCAAAUGCGAUUACAAAAUUUACCGUGCUAGGUGUGCAAGAUUGAGGUUGUUAAUGAAUCAUGGAAUUCCUGAAGAUAUUCGCUGGCUAAUUGAAGCAAAGGUCGAUUAUCAGGUGAGUCCUCAAAUUCUUUCAUUUCACACAUGCCUGGAACAGGUACAAGCACUUUUGCAAAGAAACGUCGUGCAAAACGACUGAAAGUCUGUCACAGAUGUGCCAGAUGGACUUGUAAUGCGACAUGUCGUUCUUUAGGAAUGGUAUCUGUAAACCGUGAAGAUAAGAUACAAUUCAUUAAGGAUGGCCUGAGUAAGGGGUCUUUAGAUAAUCUUUUGUUGACCCUUGAGACGCAUCCUAGUGGAGAUGUGCAUCGUGUAAUUCAUGAUUUAUGGCCACAAUUCCAUAAAGAACAUGAUCGACUUAGUCUUGGGAAUCUGACUAAAAAAGACCCUGUUUGCCAGUUUUUAAGAAAACUGGAUGGGAAGCCUAUCCCCGACCCAUAGAGGGCGUUUAAGCCGUUCUUGGACGUAAAACCAAGGGAAGAUGUGAGCCACAAUCACAACUACCUGUACAUACAUGAUUUGUCAAAAUAAAUAAAUAAAGGAAGAGAGAGUGUGAGACAACAGCUGGCCUACAUAUAGGUGGUAUGAUUGCAUUUUCAAAUUCUCAUCUAUAAAUUCUUCUUUUCCUUCCCUUCAUUUCUACUCAACCCAUACAUUCAUCAAAUAUAGAAGUGUGUAGAAAUGGCAGGUUCCUCAAGUCAUCACAUAAGAAAUAUUUGUGUUUUCGGUGGAUCCAGUCCUGGGAAAGAAAAAGAGUUUUUAGAAUCAGCAAAUCAUCUUGGUCGGGUACUAGCUGAGAGAAAGAUUCAUUUAGUGUAUGGGGGAGGUAGCCUUGGGUUAAUGGGAGGUGUGUCAAUGGCUGCAUUUUGGGAGGCAGUCAAGUUUUGGGGGUUGUCCCCAAAGCUUUAGCAAAUGGGGACAUCAUUGGAAAAACAAUUGGAGAGGAACUACAGGUCCCACAAUGUCUGAUCGACUAAACGCCAUGUUUAACCAUGUUGAUGCUUCAUUGCCUUACCAGGUGGUCUGGGCACAUUGGAAGAGAUCUUUCAUAUUUCCUCUUGGGCCCAACUGCACAUUCACCAUAAACCUAUAGGUUUGUUAAAUGUCAAUGGUUUUUAUGAUAAGUUACUGUCUUUCCUUGAUCAAGCUGUGGAACAGGAAUUUCUAACAUCUUCGGCACGACAAAUCAUAAUCUCUGCUGCUACUGCUGAACAAUUGAUUGACCAACUACAAUCUUUCAUCCCUGUCAUUGAUCCCUGCAUGAGUCGCCUAAAUUGGUCAACUAAGGAAAGCCGUAAAAAGCUUAGAUUAGAUUUGAGCCUUCAUUUGAAACCUUGUGUCUUUUGGUUUUAUUAAUAACAUAUUAUUUUGUUUUGUUACUUAUAUUUGUUUAAGCGUGUUUCAGGUUUGUCAUUGUUCGCUGUUUCAGGUGAUGUCUUCUAUACUCUAUCUUUCUACCUUAGGACAUUGAGGACAAUCUCUCGUUUUGGUUGGGGGGGGAGGGUAGUAGUUAAAAAAACAAAAAACCUAACUUACUAACUGUUUUUGCUAUUAUUAAAACCAUUUGACAAAAUUGUUGUUAGGAUGGCAGAGUAUGGAGUCGGUUUUAUUAACUCUUGAGAUGCAUCUUAGUAAGUAUCCUUAUUAGGAUGGCAGAGUAAGGAGGAAAUUUUAUUGACUCUAGAGACGCAUCUUAGUAAGUAUCAUUACCAAGGUCUAUCAUAAUACUUCUUGAAAUAUUCAGGUUUACAAACUCUCACAUUGUUAUCACUUGAUUCUGCUCAUAUACUCAUUUAACAAGUAUUCUUAAACCUUCAUUUUCACACACACACUUUAACAUAUGAUUGUGGGUUGCACAUUGGAUUAUUACAUUAAUUAUGUUCUUUUGUUGAAGGUAACAACUAAGGGAAAUGGAUAGUAUAUAAAUUGCAAGAAAAAAAAAUAAUACAAAAAAAAUUGAUAAUAUUGAUGAUAAUAAAAACGUAGAUAAGUUUGGUUUCGUAGCCUCCUUAACCUAAGCAAUUAAGCCUGAAAGGGUGUUUUAACACCUAAUACCCUAAAGUCAACUGACUUGGGAGCUAUUGGCCCAAAGCUUGUUACAUGGGUUAUGGAGAAAGGCUUAAGGGAAUCAAACAUUUCACUAUCUACGUAUCAGUAUCUGCAACUCGAGUUGCUAAGCUCGUAGGGUUGUCUCAACACCUAAUGCCCUAAGACCAACUGGUCUGGGAGUCAUUAGCCUAAAACUCGUUACAUGGGUUAAAGAUACAUUGUGUUUUAAGUUGUAUGUGUAUUCAAAAAAAAAAAAAAAUAAUAAUAAUAAUAAUAAUCCUAACCCAAGGAAGUUAACCUUAAACAUUCGAACAUAAUAUUGUUUUCUUCCAACAAAAGCCCCAUCGUCUAUGUUUUCAUACAUUGAGCACAUAAAAAGAAGGUUUAUUAAUAUCUUGUUUAAGAAGUAUGAAGCAGAAAUAUAAAUUUAAUGAGAGUUUGUUUAUCUGGAUAGAUUAAUGGAAGUUGAAUGAUGAAUGCCUUGCUUUAUGGAACUUGCAAAUUGUUUUUUCUAUUUUAACGCUUUGAUUAUUAGGGACUAGUAAUAAGCUGGUUGGGGGGUGAUUAAUACUUAAAAGUGCAUGUUUAUUAAGGUUUUAUAUCAUCAUUUUGCACUUGAAGUAUCAAUAACUCCUUAACUAAAGCAUGUUUUAUAAUAACAAGUGUGAUACUAUAAAAUGCCUUAAUAUAUGGUAAAUAUUCAUCUUGAAUGCAGGCUUAUCACAUAAAUCAAAGGAUUGAUUGAUGAAUUCAACUACUGAAAUUUUGAAGAUAAAGAAGGGUGAAGCUUAGAAAAGAGAUGUUGGUGCAGUCCAAACUGGAACACUAUUUGGUAUUUGGGUCAUAUCUUGAGUUCUAGAUGUCCAAAUGAUCUCAAAGUUUUACACAGAUUUGGUGAGAUAUAAGCCUACAACUUUCAUGUGAACAGAAAAAUCUAAGAAGGCCUUUUUCAUGUCCAAAUUAUAGCAACAAUUGGAGAAGUCUGAAUCUAUCUUGCAGCCCAGACACUGUUCAGUGUUCAGCCCAUAUCUUGAGUUCUAAAAGUCCAAAUGACCUCAACUUUUUUUUCCUGGAAAGCUAAGAGAAUUUCCUAGAACUUUGAUGAUUUCAUAUGGUUCCAGUUCUGAUGUUAGAAAUGACAUUUUAUUCAGACAAGAAGAUAAGGAUUUUCACUAAGUCAAGAUGUGGCCACCCACUCAACAAUUGUUCAUCAAAUCAAUAGUUCCAAAUUUUGGUCUAUAAAAGGAGGCAUUUGCCAUGCAUUUAGGCAUCUUGGUUUCCAGAUCAAGAUCAUGCUCUUGCUUUCUCUCUUUGUAUUGCUUAUGUUUUGCUUUCAUUAAUAUCAAGUUUAUGCACUUCAUUUCCUUUCCUUUACUUAGUUAACUUCUUUCUCAUUUAUGUUCUUAUCUUGUUCAUUUAUGUUUCUUUCUUUCAUUAUGUUUACCUAAGUUAAUUAUGUCAAGGUGAAAAGGGUACACUAAUGGUGUAAGAAUAAGUAUAAUAUAAACUUAACAUGGACCUUAAUGUUGGAUACUAACAUGUUUUAUAUUUGUUAUCUUGUUCACUUUUAAUACUUUGCUUGUUAAAUGGUUAAUCUAUAUUUAUGUUGUAUAACACUUGGUACAACAAAUACUUGGCACUUUCAUAGCCCAUACUAUAUGGUAUAAUCGACACCUGAGCUAUGAAAGGAACUUGAUUUGUUGUUAACAUAAGUUAUAAUCAUGAAUGCCUGACAAAAUUUACAAGUAUUAGCAUUAUUCAAAUAAGAUAACUAAUGUAAUCAUGUUAACAAUUUACAAUUCGAUUGGAACCUCCUUUGUGUGUGGUUUCCAGUUGAGUAAUAAAAAGAGUUUAUAUUAUACUUGUUUGAAGUACCAUUAGUGGAUCCUCUAACCUUGACAAUUAUUUUAUGCUUGUUUAAUCCUUACAUCAAUAUCACAUCCCAAAGCUCUCUUUAUCUUAUUAUUAUUGUUAUUGGUGUUGUUGUUGUUGUUGUUAUUGUUGUUCAUAAUUUAUAUAGUUAACCUCCUUGUGGUUUGACCCCGGUCUUGCCGGGUUAUUUAUUACUUCGACACUCUUGCACUUGGGAGAAGACAUCAAUCUUUUGGUCAUGUCAGUGGUGAUGAAACACCGAUCUAACAAUGUUGAAAAUAAUGCAUUAUGAUCAAUAUGCAUGUAUACUUACCUGAGAAAAAUAGGUCCCCAUUUCUUCAUGAUGUCUUUCUUUUCUCAAAAGUUGGAGUGUUAGCAAUGAACUUCGAUGGCUUUUUGGCUCUUGCUUACUCGAGUCAUCUAUUGUGAUCUUGACCUCUAGGAAGGACUUGUGAUCAUCAUACUUCUUUGUCCUCCACCCUUUAUCUCAAAGGUUGCCGAUUUUGCCCAGCAGUUUCUUAGAAAGGGAAUCGUGGAGCCAGCCUUACCAGAUAUAUAUAUUUUUUUUGCUCCCCAACUUGAUCAUGCCCCCAAGUGUUCAAUUCAGGUUUGGGGAUGAGGCUAUGUGAAGGAAGGUUUGACAAGGAGUUUUUUUCAUGCAAAAUUUUUGGAAUUCCAAAGCUAUUCCAGACACAGAAAUCAGUUUGACAUCGAUUCAAAGCAAACUCAUUAUGAAGAAAUUCAAGUGAUUCCUAUAGAGAGGUUAUUCGAAGUGAUGAAAACUUUUUGUUUUGCUUUUGGUGAAAAAUAUGAAGUGACAUUUGGCUGGUCGAAAUGGUUCAAUAUGAGACUUUCAAAGAACCAGUCUUGAAAGCAUUCAUUUUAUUUGCAUGAAUAAUGAUUUGGUUCACAUGAGAAAGCAUUGCCUACUGAUCCAGAUUGCUUGCCUUUGAUCAGAAAGGACUUAAUUAGGCACGUAAUGUAGGCUGGGGCUCUUGGUUAUGAAGAAAAUGAUAUUUGUAGGCUCAAAAGGUGUUUAAGGGAUUUCAAGACUAAGGAUCACCUGUGCUUGUUUCCUGACCUUUUAUCAUUUGAAUGUCUUUCCAAAACUAUCUAUUGUGCCCCCUAGUGUUGGGCUUGGACUUUUUCUCUUUGUUUUUGUUCUCUUCAUUUGGUUUUGAGCAUCAUCGUAUUGGUUUCUUUUUUUUUCUGCUCAAAAUCAUUGGAUCCUUUGGAUUUUUCUUCAUGCCCCCAAGCUUUGUUUGGGCACCUUUGAUGAUUAAGAAUUUUUGUUGAUGCCCCCUAGUGUUGCUCGGGCACUUUCAAUCAUUAAGGUUUUUUUUUUCUAUAUCAUCGCACUUGCCCCCAAUGUGGGGUGUAAUCCUAGCCAAGGUUAUUCAUCUCAAGAAAAGUAUUAGGCUCAAAAGGGGACUGCAAAUGAUAUAUUUUAGCCUCGUGAACGGAUUAUCAAAAAUGGCCUUUCCUCGUCUCAAACUUAUGCACUUAGGAUCGGUAAGCUUUGCUUUCAUGCGAGUAUGCAACGUAAUUUCUCAUUAUUCAUUCAAAUAAAACUCAACUUUUGGAGUCACAUCAUGAUGUGUGUUUGGUUUUUUUUUUUGUGUUUUGUGUUUUUUUUUUGUUUUGUUUUCUAGGUGUAUGGUUACCUUUCUAAGGAAUCACCUGAAUUUCUGGAACUCAUUUGUUUUUUGGACAAACAUCAAUAUGAUUUCUAUUUUUGUACUAAACUUUGAAUUCCUAAAAAUCCUGAUGUGCGAUCAUGCAUAAUUUUGGAUGAAAGGGGAAACAUACCCAAGGAUUCUUGGUGUAAUGGCUUCAUACUUAACAGUUACGCUCAAUAUGUUCUUUUUAUGAAACAACAAAAAAAUGAAGGUAUGUUAUGAAUACAGGAAAACACAUUAUCUUAUUAACAAGAAAGGCUCAUUUGACAGGGAAAGUUUUUUUUUUUUUAUGAAAUUUUGAGCCAAAUUACCAACUAGAACAGGUUGAAACAAAAAUCAAGAAGUUUUCUAGGCAUGAUCAAACUAAGGUUUUUCUUUUUUCAGAACAACAACAGGCUCCAUUCUGUACUGGCGGUGCAAUUCCCUUUUAGUCCGCCUUCCCACAAAAGAUUUUGUAGAAAUACAGGAUUGUGUUGAGGCUCUUGACUACGUUUGCCCUCAAUUUCUUCGAGCUGAGUCGUUGUUAGGUUUUGAACAAAGAUGAUAGGUCGAUUGAAAGGAAACUUUCCUAGAAUUAUGUUUCAGUAUUUGCUCGAGUAAGCUAGAGGCAAGUCAAACUUGUCUUCAGAAACUCCAACUCUUCUUAAAAAGGGACCUUUCAGCGAACACACUCUUCAUCUUUCGUGCUUUUUGCUCAAAGUCGGGUGUUGUAGACUCGUAGGGGACCUACUUUUCAUCCCGGUGCAUGCAUGGCAAAUGAAUGAACAUGUGAUCUAUAUGAUGAACUCGCCCUUCAAGGGGCGACAAUAUGGUCAUAACUCUUGUAUGAUGGAACAAGAAUUGUGAUUUUUGCCCAAACUCUACAAUGAAAAUUUUCGAAGUGACGGCCAAUGUGUCACCCACAAGUCUUGAGUUCAAGAUGCUUCAAGAAGGGUUUGCUCUAAUGCAAAUAACGAUAACACAUACAACCUAAGGACAAGUUCUAUUUAUUAUGUGAACAUGGGUAGGUUUUCUACCUGGUCUCAAGAGGGUCUCAUAUAUGCCCAGUGAUGUUCUUCAUAAAGACAGUAUGGGGGCGUUGCAAGGAAUAGUUAAGGCACGUAUACCCACCAUUACCAAGCAGGCACUCAGAUAUGAGUUGGGUGUUUCACGCAUCUGAACCCCGACCAAUAGUCUUAGGGCAGAUUGCUAGUUCCCCACCUAUCCUAAAAGCUUGUGUGUGCUUUCAAAAUUAAAACAAUGUGAUGCAUGAGACAAUUCUAUAAAAUGCAUGGAAAAAAAAUAUUAACAAAAAGAUAAAAAUGCAAAAACUUAAACACAUCAAAUACACAAAGCUUAGUCCAAUAAUGUCAGAAACAGUACCUUCCCUAGUGGAGUCGCCAUUCUGUCGCACGUCAGAAAAUCUGUGCGGCAUCGGCUUGGCCAUUUUUUCAUUGUGCAUUGUGCAUUGCUUUGCUUUGAUUCGUUGGAGUCGCCACCUAGUAAUUUAUUAAAGACUACUAGGAAACCGAAUGUACUGGUCUUGUCAGAGAUUCGCGGGUAAGGGACUAGUUGUGGUUAGGGAAGGUAUUAGCACCCCUAACGCACCCUACCUGAGGUAAGUUGCUUCGUGGCUUUGACAUGUUAAAGAAGUUUUAAAAUUUUGUUUUUUCAUCGGAUAUUAGAAAUACAACUUACGUAUAAGUUAAUAAUUCUGGACCGUGAGUCAAUCAAAAUAUUAAAUUCUUCUUUAAUCUUUGCAAUUUUAUCAUAAAUAAUAAAAAUAAUAAAAACAUCCAUAAAACAAAUACCAACACACACAUACACUUUCACUAUAUUUAUUUCUGUUCUUUUCUUUUUUUGGUUACAUCCACAUUUACAACAUAUAAAUAAAAAUUAAUACUAAACAAAAACAUUACAUCAACCAAUUUAAAAUUACAAAACAUCCCCUAAAACAUCCUAGGGAUUCUGGAACAAUGCACGGGAAUAGUGGUGCGCGUCUUCCCACGCGCCCCGGCCACUAGCGGCGUGUGGGUUCACGCGCCGCCGCGAACAAGGCCGGAAAACGGGUGGAUCUGGCUCAGCUUCCUUUCCUUUUCCCUUCUCUGCUGGUGGUGACACCCACCGUCACCUGCAAACGAAGAAAAGAACACAGGCAGUCGAUUUUAUAUUUUUUGUUUUUGUUUUGCAGAUCUGCUUCUCUGGUUUGGUUUUUUUUCUGCAGCCAGUGUCUUUUCGUAUCCCCUUGUUCUCCGUUUCAAAUGGCCGGCAGUGUCACCAUAGGGCUUGUCGCACCUCAAAAAAAAUCCCGCGCGGCGUUCGAUGGCGAUUUUUUCGUUUGUUGUUGCUUGAUUUGGUUCUUUGGAGUCGCCACCUAGUAUUUUGGUCACUAGGAACCCUAACUGGUCUUUCAGAGAUUCUAAGGCAAGGGACUGGUUGCGUAAAGGGAAGGUAUUAGCACCCCUAGUACGCCCUACCAAAGGUAAGCUGUUUGGUGUUUGGUUUUCUCUAUAAUUGCUAUGGUGUUGGUGUUUUCUAAUCCCAUCAAUUUUCCCAAGUUUGAUUCAAAUAAAAUUUGUUUAGAUAGAAAUCCAAGGAGAUUUCAUGUGUUUUGAAAGCUCAUUUUUCCCUUAGUAUUUCAAGAGUUUGCAACUCGUAAAUCGCAAGGAGGGACAAAAAAUUUAGAAAUCUAAGGAAAUUCAAAGCGCUUUAAAAGCCUCAUUUUGCCUUAGUAUUUCAUACUUUCACGGCUUGUAAACCGUGGAGUCAAAAAUUUGAAAUUUUGAAAUGUCCUCGAUUAUAAUCAAGGCUUCUUUCAAGGAUGUGUGCGGAUUUAUUACUCCCAAUAAUAUUUUGGAUAUUCGUCCUUUACGGAUUUCUUUAUCCAAACAUUAGCGGUGAAUAAUAGAUGAAUUCCCCCUACCCAAAAUAAGAUUUUUAUAGUUUUUAGAAUACUGGCCAAUACCCUUUGGAGUUUUACAAACAUGUUGUAAAAUCCAGAAAUGCAAGAAAAUAAUUUGUGUUUAAGAAAUCUAUGCGAAAACACAUUUUCAAAACUUCCAAUAUUUUUUUUUAUAUAAAAAGAACAUUCAAAACAUGUUAGAGUAUUGGACGUAUGCAUGAAAACAAAAACAUUUUUUUUAAUAAAUAUUUUUUUGUUGACGAAAACCGGGUAUUUUAAUACCGGAUUUGUAUCUUUGUAGUAUAAAAAUACAAACCGAUAUUAAUCAAAAUACGGUAAUAAAAUUGCAGAAAAAUCACAAAUUCUUUAAAAUAAUUUUUUAAGAAUUUUUAUUUUUUUAAUAAACAAUUUUUAGGUUUGGCCUCGUUUGGCCCAUAUGGCUGGGCUAGACCUAGCAGGCCUAACCGGGUCACUGGCCUGAGCCAGUGUCCUGGGUGGAAGCUCACGUGUGCAUGCUUAGUACCAUAUACAAAUGGUACUGUUUAAGUGAAUUAUAAUUCGCUAUGAACAGUCAAAAUGCAAAAGGAAACCACGCAUAGUAACAUGCAAAAGAAAACCACGCAUAGUAAUAUAUGGUACUGUUCAAGUGAAUUAUAAUUCACUUGAACAGUAACAUUUGCACUUCACUGUUCAACUGAAUUAUAAUUCACUUGCACAGUGAAAAUGCUAAAGGAAAUCACAUGCACAGAGAUGCAAAACGCUUACCUGGACGUGGAACCGAAAGGAACGAAGACGAUGUCGAACACUCACAGUGAUGCUGGUGGCGGUGGAGAGGAAGCCGACGAGGGCUCACGGUGGUGCUGACUGUGGUAGUGGCUGGUUUGGCAGUGGCGUUGCUGUGGCUCCUCUUCCUCUUCCUUACUGUUUUGGCGCUGCUUCUUCUCUUUAUUUCCUUUGCUCCCUCUGUCAACAAGGUUCUUCUCUUUCUUCAACAGCUUCGCGGAGAUGCUGGUGGUGGCAGCCUGGGAAGUGGCCUGGAUGGUGGCCAGCCCUUCUUCCUCUUCUUCUGUGCGUUUUUCUCUUCAGCUCUGUUCUCCUCUGUUUUCGUUUCUUCCUUCCGCUUUUCACAGGGCUGUUGUUGACUGAGAUGGCAAUGGCAGCUGGUGGUUGGCCUUCCUCUUCUCUGCUGCUUCUGCGUUAUUUCUUCUGUUUGUCUAGUCACCUUGCUUCUCUGCUUCUUCUUCCAAGCAGCGGUUCUAAGAGCAAGGUGGGCGGUGGCAGUAUUAUUUCAAAUGGUGGGAAUAGAGAGAAAGAGAGAGGUUAUAGUUCUUCUCUUCCCCUCUGUUUUCCUCCUCUCUUUUGUUCCCGGUGUUCUCCCUCUCUCGUCUCUCGUUCCAAAAAAGCCCCCCCUCCUGUUGCUGGUGUCAAGAGCAGUAUUUAUAGGCUAGAAGGGAGCGGGCUGUUGAUGCGCGUGGGGAGCAGGGGAGCGGCCAGUGUCUUCUGUCGGUGGCCCAACGGCGUGGGGCCUCGGUUGGUUGGUGGGCUAGAGGGACCGGCAAAAAUUAAAAAAAAACUUCUUUUUCCUUCUUCCCCGCUGCAUGUUCGGGGGGAAGAAGAAAGGGGAAUAGUGCCGUUCAAAACGGCAUCGUUCGGCCCUUCUCUCUCUUUGAGUUUUUUUUUAAAUGUAUGAAACGGCGCCGUUUUGGAGAAAACGCGUCGUUUCAUUUAAAUGUGGCACCAGAACGCGCCAAAUUUCAAAUCAGCCCUUAAUCAUCUUUUUUCCUUUCAAUUGCAUCCCUGCCAAUUUCUGUCCCCGUCCCUAUAGUUGGCCACGUUUUCCACCUUGGUCCUUGGCCUCUAAUUUAUGCAAUUUAGCCCUCAAUUGAUCAAAAAACUUCCAAUUUCUUCAAUUAGGCCCCUGGAUCAAUUCAAUACAGCCCCCCUAUUUACGCGCCUUUUCCAAAUUGGUCCCUGGUUUCGGAUUUUCUCAAUUAAGCCCCUAAUUGGCCAUUAAACUUCAAUAUUUAUGCAAUUAAGCCCCUGAUUUGACCCAAUAAAAUCCUAAAAAAUAUAUUUUGGCCCUAGAACUUAAAUUUCUUCUAAUUAAAGCCCAAAUUGACUUAAAAAUCAAUUUUCCUCGAAAUCAAAUCCUCUAUAAAUCCAAUUAAAAAUCCAAUUAAGUCUAUAAACAUCCAAAUUUGGGCUUUUCUCCUCAAAAUUUAAAUUUUCCUUCUAAAUAGGGCCCUCAUCCUUCAAGAAUAUACUGUCAAAAAUCCAAUCUUUGUAUUUUUAUACUCCUUGACCAAUUUUCUGACCAUCUUCUGAGUGCUUCUGCCUUCCGUUAUUUUUCUAACCUCCUUUGGCUAUUUAUUUUAUUUAUUUUUGUGGGGACUCGAAAAUGGGUUACAACAGGGCUGCUGGCCUUUGGGUUUUGUCUGAUCUGCAACUAUCGGUGGCCGGUGAAUCUGUGGACGGUGCUGCUAUGGCUGACAGAAGAAAGCGGACCAAUUUGGGAUCUGUGGGUGCCGCUGUCGGGCUGCUAUCGGGCGGUUGAAGGGGAGAAGGCCGGGUCGGCUGAGAGAGAUACGAACUCAUGGGGGAGAUGGAGGCAGGUUCAGGAGCUGCUAUGGGUGAAGAAGAGUUAGUGUGGGUUUGUGAGGGAGAGGGGGCUGUGAGCCGGGAAGAUUUGGUGCGGUGAGGGGCUGAGAAUUUGUGUAUCUGGUAAGGAGGACCGACUGAGAGGAGAAUGAGGUGACUGGUCUCUGGUAAUUUGUGUUCUUUUUUUGUAUUUUCCUGAUGUUUCAAAAUUGCCUCCAUUUUGUGUGAGUUGAAAACCAGUAUUUAUAGGCAAAAAUAUUGCUAGGUUUUCAAACUUGGUCCCUCAACUUCUUUCUUUUUGUAAAUUUGAUUUUUCUUGUAUUUUUUGAAAACGAGCAAUAUCAACGUCAACUCGAUGAGGAAAAUCAAUGAUUUAAAACAUAACACGUGAAAAGUCGAACGCGUUCGAACGACCCUUAAAAAUUUUAAUUCUUUUUAGACAACGCUAAAAAUGCUAAAAAUGACACAAAUAUAUUAAAAAGGUAUUUUUUUGGAUUUUCGAUGUUUUUCUUUAUUUUUGGAUUUUUCUGAAAAUUUAUCAAAACAUAGGUCAAAAAUUGGGUAGCAACAAGCAUCAUGCAAGUAAUUUCAAUAUUGAUUAAUAAGAAUAUCCUUGUUGAUUUAAAGGACUAUUUUCAUCAUUCAUAUCGAAAAUAAUUAUGUUUUGCACAUAAUAUUUAACAAAAAUGAUUGAAGGAAUGAUAUAUUAUUGAAUAUGAGCAAAUUUAAGGUUACAAUCUAUUAGUAUUCUUACAACGGAAGGAUUACCACUCAAACUUUACAAAGGGACGAACGACAUCCUUUGCGUUAGGAUGCUCCCACUCCACUACUGUCUCCCACAAUUCUUUUGGAUACACUAUGAUUUCUUUAAGAGAAGGGGAAGGAGAUGGCUGGCCAUUUUCAAGCAACGGAAGACAAAUUGGCAUCCUCUUCGGCUUCUAACAACGGAUUACAGUAAUUUCUUUAAGAGAAUUGCAAAUCAGUUUUGCACUGCAAAUGUGUAACAACCCUAAUUUUUUUAUUAGUUUAUUCGUUAAUCUCCCCCCUAUAAAGGGUAGAUGAAGCAAACUUUUUAUUUUUUUUUUACUCGCCGAAAUGUCUAACGAAAUUUCAGAAGGGUCCCCUCUAUACCGGGAGAUCCCAAGUUAUCGACAAUGUACCUGCACACAUUUUGAAUCACAUCACAUCCAUGUUUAGUACAAUCAACUGCAUAACUCAUUCUAGAUUAUGCUCAGGACCAUAUUCGUUCCCAAACUCCAUCUUACAUCACACAUAAGUUAAUAAUUAAAAGAGCCAAUUUCAGCAUGAAAUUUCAUAUAUAUAUAUAUAUAUAUAUAUAUAUAUAUAUAUAUAUAUAUAUAUACACAACACAGUUUAAUAUUCUAACAUAGUCUAGUACAUUCUAAUAUCCCAAGCAUAGGUUGAUACAUUUAAUAUUUCAGAAACAAAAUAUUACGAAUAGAAUAUUCCAUAUAGGUUACAUGUUUACUACAUGACAAAAUUAUACCACAAAUCCCUAAGUUCCUAACUUAUACAAAAAAGGAUCAAAGAACUUUAAAUCUAUUCCUGACGUGAAUGGGAGGGACCUGCAAAAAUAUAAAUUUUUCAUAUAAUUAAAAACAAAUGAUUAAAAUACAAGCAAUUUACAGAAUAAAAUUAAACAGCAUAUAUAUCUACUUAAAUCAUAUGAGAUUCUAAAUACAACCACAAACCUCUUUUAAUGGUUAUAUAAGAAUUCUUUAUUCUUCUUUCUUUCUUUUUUUUCUGUUGACUACUUCUCCCCCCCCCCUCCUCAUCAGAAAGACUAUUGCCGACUCCAAUGACCUCCAUUAGUGUCUUUAGUUGCCCGUCCAGGAACAACUAAUUAGUUUCAUGAAAAUAUGAGAUUCUAAACGUUUGUGUCAUUAACUAUUUUUAAAACUAAAAUAGUUAAUCAUUGUUUCAUAUUACCUUGGGUGAUUCUCAGGUAUGCCGAUGUCAAGAUUCUUGACAUCAUUAGCUUUCACCUCAGAAAGCUAAUCAAGUAUAUAAAUUUUGCCGAUAUCGACGUCACCCGCCGAUAUCAUUAACUAUUCUGAAACCGAAUAGUUAAUCAAGUUUGUAAAUUUUGCCGAUAUCGACAUCACGUGCCGAUAUCAUUAACUAUUCUGAAACUGAAUAGUUAAUCAAGUUUAUAAAUUUUGCCGAUAUCGACGUCACCCACCGAUAUCAUUAACUAUUCUGAAACCGAAUAGUUAAUCAAGUUUAUAUUUCUCCUCUCAUGUACCAGUAAUGCCGAUGUUAUCCAGCUUGGUUAACAUCAUUAGCCUCCCAUAUCAAGGACAAACAAAUCAAAUUCGAGAAACAAUCUUUACCAAAAUUCGUUGUUACGAUCUAUUUCCUCCAAAAGAACCCAUAAAUUAAAUCUAGUCCUCCGUUUCAUUUUAUUUCAUUUUUUUUCCUCGUCAAUAAGCAUCAAAUUUUUAUAGUUCAAAAGUUAGUUAAAAUGAUUAUUAACUAGAGGAGAUAUAGAUACCAAGUACCUACUUGUUGUGGACGCUCGACUUGCGUUCCCUUGUGGUUGAUGUACUCCUCCUGCGGUUCCUCCUGAAACCAAAAACACCCAUCAUUAUUCCAUAUUAGUCCACAUAUCACACGCAAUAGCAACAUUGGAAAUAAUAUUGAUUUCUCUUUUACCAAAUCUUUUCUUUCUCACUUACAUUUCCUCAUUAUUAUCCUUUAACUUUUCAGCUCAUUAGUAGUCCAAGUGGAUAUCAUAAAUUCAAUUUUGAUCACAGUUUAUUCUUUUUGAAGAUCAAGACACACUUUAUGAAGGGCAAGAAAACAAAUUCUACCCUUAAUAUGGCUAAAUUUUGCCAUUUCAUCAACUUGGCCGAAUCUGCCAAUAGGGGUGGCAGCUUGACCUCUCCUCAAUUUUUUAUUUGUAUCUGGAGUUCUAGAACUCCAAAUUAGGCGGGGUCAGAUUCGUUGGAAAGCUAACAUACAACUUCUAUGAGGGGACCCUCCCUGAAUUCUGUAGUUUUCAGGUGCAAAAUCCCCCCAGGAAACAGGGCAACGAACCUGCCCUGUUUUGUUAAUGGAGAAAGUAUCUCCAAUUCAUCUUAAAUCCCUGCUUCCUCAUCAGUCACAGCCAUGCCUUCCUUUUAUUCAUGGCAUUCCCGUCUCAUUUUAUGUCCUCUUAAGGUCACUUGUACCAAAUUAAUUAAUUAAGCACAUCAUAAGUUCUCAUUCCCUCUCUACAGUAUCCAGCAGAGAACGUGGCCAAGGGAACCAAGAGUUCCCUUCCUCUCUUUUAUGCACUCAUUUCUUCUUUUUCUUUAAGGCACUUAGAUUAUUCUAAUCCAUUUAACCUCACUCAUUUCUACAUUUUCCCAAUAUUUUAUGUUAAAGAACCCUAAUUCCCAAUUCAAGAAAGGCAUAAACUUCUAAUCAAAUUGAAGUUGAUUUCAUAGAAAUUGGAAUUGCAACUCCUUACUUGGAUGGAAAUCUAAACUUUACUUCACAAAUUUUAGAAGAAUCUUAGCCUUCUUCUCCUUGUAUGUAGUCAACCACUCUUCCCCCUCUUUUCUUCACCAAUUCUUCACUUUUCUUCUUGUUAAUUCUUCCACCCGAUUGUGUUCCUCCACUUAAUAAUUCCAAGGCUUAUUUGGGUUUACUAAUUUUAGGUGUUUACUCCAAGUUUUGAUGAAAGAAAAAUCUGAAAUUCUCCCCUCCUCCUUAUUCUUAUUAUCAUCCGGCCAUGGAUGAGAGAAGGGAUGGGUAUUUAUAGUCCCAUCUCUUCUUAAUUCCAUUUUGGCCCCAUCUUUCACCCCUUUUUUUAUUUCUUUAUUUUGUAUUUUUUUUUUUUUGCUUUAUUUUAUAUUAUAACAUUUUGAAUUAUUAUAAACCUCUCCCUCUUUAUAUACUUUAUUCUCGGGCUUCAUAAAAUGCUUUUCAAUUCUGGUAAACCAAACUAUUCCAAAGUUCUUAACUUUGGGAGAAUGAAUUCCGUGAUGGAAUUGGAGAUGCUGCUUUCUACAUCUGUGUUCCUAUUAUCUCCUCCAUUUUCUCACAAUCACUAACAAUAAUCACUUCCAGGUUUAUGAAGUUUGGCAGCAACACAAGUGGGAACAACUUCUUCAUACUGUUACAUCCACCACAAUAAAGCUUUUUAAGACCAGAAAACAUACCAUUAUAUGAUGGCAAUGGUGGUGGAGCAGAGCAGAACCAAGAAGAUGAAACCCUGCUCUCCAUGCUAUUGCAAUCCCAAAUGUUGAUUUCCUCCAGUUCAGUUGCAUUCUCUAAUGACAAAACAUCGCAUAAACUUCUUGCAUCGAUGCAUCCACAAACCAGUCCUUGAAUGCCAUUUAAGAACUUGACCUGAAAAUCUCUAUCUUUGUUGAUAAUCAAACUACCCAACCCAACUGUUUUACUUGGAAAAUCAUUAAAGUCUCCCCAAAAAUCUUUAUCCACCAUUCCUACAAAAAAUUUGUAUGCGCUUAAUGAUUGGAUCCCAUCCCGAGAUCUGAGAUACUCCAUGAAGUCAAAGAGACGUUUGAAAUGGCAUUCCAAAGUUUCCAAAUUUCUCAAGGAUCCUACUUCCUUGAGAAAUAGAGUGGAUAGAUUUGGACACAUUGGUGAAUGGCUGGAAGAAAUUUCUACGAUCUCGUUUUGCAUUAGUGAAACUCUCGUCAGAUUCUCAGUCCACUCCUCUGCAUCUGGCAACUUUUUUAAUUGUGCACCAGCUUUAACCAUGCCUGUAGAGUUCUCUAGCAGUAUUUGGAUGACCAUGUCCCUAAUCAAGUCAUGCAUCUUGACACAUCUACUAUCAUCUUCCAUGGAGGUAGCACCUUCCAAUAAGCAGACAUUUUCAAGCCUAUUAAGCAUCGUGUGGCCCUCACCAAAUGUAUCUCCCCUGCUCCUCUUUCCUUUAAUUAUUCCCUCAUCGAUCAAAUAACCUAUCAACUCCUCCCUUUCAAUCAUAUCAUCUUCAAGAAAUAAUGCACAGUACAAGAGACAUUGUUGAAGUGCUAAAUCACCUAACCGAUCAUAACUAAACCUCAAUAACUUGAAUACUUCUGUGUCCCUAAAUUCUAUUUCUUUCAAUUUAUUCAAUGUAUUCCUCCACUGAUGGAGGUCAUCCACUCCCCUCAAGCUUCUUGCCACUGUAAUAAUUCCCAAUAGCAAACCAGCACAUUCCCUAGCAAUAGCUUUAGCAAUUCCUUCCACUUCUGAAACUGUCAUGUCAUGUCCAAGAUUCUCCUUCAACAAAGUCCAAGCUUCUCCCUCAAAAAGUCGCUUCACUUGGAUUUUGUGAUUGCAAGCAAUUCCAUGACAAACUGUUUCUGAUCGAGUUGUCAAAAUCAGCUUGCAUCCUUUCAAUGAGACAGGAAUUCCCACUUCGUGUAGCUCAAAAUUAUUCCACAAAUCAUCUAAAAUGAGAAUCCAUUUUUGUUUCUUCCUUAGUUCUUCUGACAAUUUGGCAGGUCUGAGCUGAACAUCAUCUUCGCUUGAAAGGUCUCGAUGAAGAUGUUUAGCAAUAAGAUUCUGCAAUCUAUUAAUGCUGAAAUCUUGAGACAGAGUCACCCACCAAACAUGAUCACAAAUAUCUGGUCUUUGUAGAAGCUCAUUAUGGAUAUGUUGCAGUAUUGUUGUUUUACAAACUCCCCCCAUCCCAUAAAUGCCAAUGGUUGGGACUUCAUCAUCCAUUAACAAAGAACAUAUCACCUUCUUAUUCUCUUCAAAUGCUUGACCCACAUUUAUAGAGCUAGUAGGUAAUGGAACUCCUCUAGUCUUGUUGUUUUUCAGACUUUCAGAAGAUCUAGUAGGUAAUUGAUCUUCCAUUUCUGCCCUUCCCCUUGCAGUAACUCCUACUAUUGUUGUAAUUCCACAGUCAUUAACAUUGACUGCAGUUGCUGUGAUUUUUUGUCUUUUGUUGCCACCACACAGAGCUAGAAAGGCUGCUUCUUGAACUUCUUUAGCCACCCCACGACAAAUGGCAACACCACGCCUUUCUUCUCCUGCUAAAUGCCAUUUGAUCCUUGAAAUGGAGGUUUUAUUGGCAAAUGUAUGUGGACAAAACUUACACUUCAUGCUACCAUCAGUCGUAUAGUCAAUAUAAUUCCAAAAUGGAUCCUUUGAUCUAACCAUUUCAACCUAUAUAAAAAAAAGGUAGGUCAAAAUAAAGAAUAAAAAUUGAUGCAAGUUACACCAUAUCCAGAUGGAUGAGAAACUACUUCUUCAGUGUUGUUACCCUUAUUUUGCUAUUAAAAUUGAUAGUUAGUUUAUUGCACAAUCAUAGGAGGGAAAUAGACGAGGAUAAUUCAGUUAGACUUCUUACUUGUUGAGUAUUUAAACCCCUAUUUUGACUUUGCAGGGAAGUGCCAAGGCCAGUAUUUGAGGCAUUUGGCCUAGCUGUUUGAUUUUGCAAUCCUCGGACUUGGAGGUUAUCCAUCUGUGACCUAUAUACAAAUGAAGUGAACAUAUUAUAAAACCUUUCCAUAAUUGGUAGUGUCUCUUAAGCAGUAAAAGUUAAUGGUGUUAAAACACAACAGCUAGAAGUUCUCUUGUUGCACAUUGUCUAUAUUAGGAAUUACAGCAGCUUGAUCGACUUGUCCUUGAUUAGAAAAAUAUUGACUCCUGAGUCCAAAAUCAUUUGCAAACAAUAUGUUUAGCUUGUUGGGUUCAUGUUCAAGCUAUGAUGUUUCUUUCCUGAUUGAAAAACUAAUUUUUUUUUUUUAUAUAUAGAAAAUACUAAACAUGAAAAAUUGGAUACCGGGGAGCAGUAAAAGGAGGUCCAGGUUGAAUGAAGCCACCAUGUUCUGAAGUGGUUGCGUUCGGUGUCAUAUAGCCAUGUCCCGGCUGUGGUUGAUGAGUAUUGGAGUACUGAUGCCUGAAUAAUAUUCAAAUAGUUAAACUUAGUCCAGUUAGUAUCGCAGGCACUUGAUUGCUCAUAAUUGGUAACUGAUAAUUAGUCCCUUGUUGGUCCCUAAAUUAGCAACAUUUGUUAGUAAUUUCUUUAUACAUAUACGCAUAAUUCUUUGCUAUUAAUCCACUAAGCAUUUGAUAUCAUUUUAGCUUACCUCAAAGGCAUUGAUGGUCCAGGUAGCAUGGGAUUGGCACAUCGAGGAUCAGAUAAAUUAGGAUGAGGCAGAUACCUAUAUUCAAAUAUAAUGAAUUCAUUUAGUGUAAUAAAUUGGCAUCACUGAUAAGAAUAUUAGGCAGAUAAGUAGAACAACAAGAAGAAGAAGUUAAAUAAUGAUGAAUAUUAUGUACAGGAAGAAUUUAAAUAAUGAUUAUUCUCAAUUAGUUGAUUUUCUAGUUUCAUUAUGUGAUGCAAAUCACGAGACAGGGGAAACAUGGGGAAGGCAAGGACUCUUGAAAGCUGAUUAAAGCUUAUUAGCUGUAGUUAUUAUUUCCUAUUUAGCUGAUAGUUUCCUAGUCAGAUUAGUAUUAGAUUUCAAUUACAUAUUAGAUCGUAACUCCUUAGCUGUAGGGUAUUUAAGAGGAGAACAGAACAAAAUAUGGGACAUUAUUUGUAUUCUUGGCAAUUGCUUUCUUUAAAUACAAAUUGAAGUGAUUCCUCUACAUAGAGAUCAUGUAUUAAAUUAUUUAUUGUUCUUACUGGGAGCAACGAGAGGUUGUACCGGAGGGCAUUUACAUUAAUAUGUGCACAAAAAAAAAGAGAGAUAGGGAGAUAGAGAGAUAGAGAAAGAGAGAUAGAGAGCUCAAAAGAAGUUAAAUAAUGAUGAAUACCUUGAUGGAGGUUGAGGCCAAUUUGGUUCAUUUUGGUUGAUCCGUGAUGAUAAGGAGCUUUGGUUGUCUGGAACCUCCGGUGGCAGCCUGCUUCCAUGGACAGUGACAUUAUUAGGAUAAACGGAAGAAUAACUAAAUUGCAAGCAAUCAUCUUCUGAUAAAAUAUGCUUAAGAAUGACGUACGAGAGAAGCUCAAGGUCGGGAAAUAGUGAUCCUCGUCAAUUUUGGUCAAGUUUAUUGUUUUCAUGAUUAAAAAAGUGUAUAUGUAUUCGAGAUUAAUACCAUUGAUUCAUUGGAGGUUGAGGUCCAGGCACUUGAUUGCUCAUUGGUAACUGAUAAUUAGUCAAUUGUUGGUCCCUAAAUUAGCAACACUUGUUAGUAAUUUCUUUAUACAUAUGCAUAAUUAUUUGCUAUUAAUCCACUAAGUAUUUGAUAUCAUUUUAGCUUACCUCACAGGAUUGGCACAUUGAGGAUCAAAUAAAUUAGGAUUAGGCUGAUACCUAUAUUCAAACAUAAUGAAUUCACUGAUAAGUACAACAACAAGAGGAAGAAGAACAAGAAGUUAAAUAAUGAUUGAAAAACUUUUUUUUUUUCAGAAAAUACUAAACAUGAAAAAUUGGAUACCAGGGAGAAGGAGAAGAAGGUCCAGAUUGAUUGAAUUCACCAUGUUGUGAUGUGGUUGCGUUCGGUGUCAUAUAACCAUGUCCCGUCUGAGGCUGAUGAAUAAUGGAAUAAUGAUGCCUAAUUCAAUGGACAUUCAGGAAAUGAAGUUGGAAAUUGGAGUAAGCAUGAGUACUCACCAUGGUUUCAGGAAAUGAAGUUGGAAACUGAGUUGUUUGUUGAAUACUAUCGUUGAUCACAUUGUUAUGCCCACCUUGAUCAUUGCAUAAUAUGGAGCCUUGGUUGACUGGAACCUCCGAUGCCGGCCUGCUUCCAUGGAAUAAUACAUAGGAUAAACUGAAGAAUAACUAAAUUGCAAGCAAUCAUCUACUGAUAAAAUAUGCUUAAGAAUGACGUACGAGAGAAGUAGUGAUUCAGGAUCGAACUCUGUCAAGUCAUCCAUAGAAGAUGGGAGGAACCUUUCCAUCUGACCACAAGUAAAAGAUGAUUAGUACAUACUGAGGUGAAAAAAGAACAGAAAGCACAUAGCAAAUUAUAUAUAUAUAUAUGAGUGGAUUACUGGAUACACACGUUACGUAAGUCAGAAUAAAAGAAAAACAAAUAAAUGGUGAAAAGCAUAUUUUAAUGGCAGUCCCAUUAAUUGGAAAAGAAAAGAGUGAAUCUAAGAAAAGAACAUAUAUUUUUUUUAAUAUUAAUAUAUCAAAAUAUAUUAAUUUAAUUAUUUUUUUUCAAAAUAAACAGACUUUCAAAUGCCCUCAAACAUAAUUCUGAGUACGAAAACAAAUUAUGUUUUCAUUGCGGGCAUAAGAAUCUUGACAGUACUGUUGCCGUUUUUUAGUUUAAAUUGGUGUUUUAGUGUUUUUUUUAUUGUUUUGAUGUGUUGAUGUCAAAAAUAAAAAAUAAAUUUUAAAAAAUAUCAGUCUCAAGUCAAUGGUUUUAAAACUAUGAUAAUAAUUAUUUUUAUUUUUAAGUUGACUCGGUCAAUGAUCGACCUGACCUGUGACCUAGGUCUUCCCCGUAUCAACCUCGAGUCAGAUUUUAAAACUAUGAUAAUAAUUAUUUUUAUCUUUGCAUUGACUCAAGUCAAUGGUCAACCCGAUCCAUAGCCCGGGCUUUACUCCAAAUCAAUCCCUUAAUCGGGUUUUAAAAUUAUAAUAAUAUUCAUUUUUAGUUUUGUAUUGACUCGAGUCAAUGGUCAACUUGAUCCAUGACCCAGGCUUUACUCCAAAUCAAUCCCUUAAUCGGGUUUAAAAAUUAUAAUAAUAUUUAUUUUUAUCAUUAUGCUAACCUGAAUCAACUCAGAUUAACUUUUGUGCAAAGAAUUAAAUGAGCUUAUCCUACCUCUUUUAAUGGGACAGAGAAUUCUUAACUAGAAUAGCAUCAGAUAGGACAUAAAUUAAUUUUUGUAUUGUCUAAAGAUACAUCAAACAAUUCAUAAAAAAAUUAUCAUGUAUAUAUACAGAAUCCAUCAUUGUACUAUAUAUCAAAUACUACCUAAAUAUUGUUGUUAAUGAUUUAGCCAUUUUAUCCUUCCAGAAUUAGAACAACAUUAUUUUAAAACAUUGAACAAUUGAGGAAGUCCUACAAACAGUUUAAAAAUCAAACUCAAAUUCUUUUAAUGAGACAAGAUCCUAAAACUCUAGAAUUGAAAAAAGGAGAAUGAAUUGAGGAAGUCCUACAAACAGUUUAAAAAUCAAACUCAAAUUCUUUUAAUGAGACAAGAUCCUAAAACUCUAGAAUUGAAAAAAGGAGAAUGAAUUGAGGAAGUCCUACAAACAGUUUAAAAAUCAAACUCAAAUUCUUUUAAUGAGACAAGAUCCUAAAACUCUAGAAUUGAAAAAAGGAGAAUGAAUUGAGGAAGUCCUACAAACAGUUUAAAAAUCAAACUCAAAUUCUUUUAAUGAGACAAGAUCCUAAAACUCUAGAAUUGAAAAAAGGAGAAUGAAUUGAGGAAGUCCUACAAACAGUUUAAAAAUCAAACUCAAAUUCUUUUAAUGAGACAAGAUCCUUAAACUCUAGAAUUGAAAAAAGGAGAAUGAAUGUAGAAGAGUUGAUAGGGUGAACAACCCUUUUUCAACUCCUAACUAUACAUAAUUUGGGGGAUCAAAACGAAUGAAAAAUUAAUUCCCUUGAUUUUAACCCUUAGUUACUUAUCAUAAAACAUAAACAAAAAAUUUGAUAUUUUGCCUUUGGCCCUAGUUUCAAAACAAGAGUUUCCCUAGUGCUAUAAAAUUCUUUGGCUAUGCAAUUGAUCUCGAACUAGGUGUGCAGCGAGUGCAGCCUAGUGCACACUCUUUCCUCCUUAAUAUUGAGAUAAGACUUGUCAUUCACUCUCAGCGCUACUAAUCAAGGUGUAACAUUGCCUAAACACCUUGAGUGUAGGUUAUUCCUCCAGCAUUCUGAAGAAUUUAUCGAAUGCUGAUUGAAUAGUCCAUCCAUUGGAGUGAAGCUGAGCCAGACUCUGAUUGUAAUAUCUAAGCAUGUCCUUCACAAAACGUUGUAUAAUAAACGAGUAUUCAAACUCAUUCAUGCAUAUGGAGAUGUAAUUAAAAACUUACCCCCAUUGCAUUUAUUGGUGACCCUUGAGCCACGGACACCAAGUUCUUGCAACACAACCAGGUAAUCUUCUAGUUAUUAGAGAUUGGUCUCAUUUACUUUGCCAAGAGUAAUUGUGCUCAUGACAUUUGUAGAGGUCUAGGCACUCUUUCUUUCCCUUUGGGAUUUGAAACCUCUUAGGGACUCCUAUCUUCCCUGAUGGGGUCACCGAAUCGGAAAUAUUAUUUACGCAUACGAAUGAUCAUAGACGAUGGAGGAUAGCCCAGACAAUUGAGAGAUCGGGCUUUAACUUAUAUUUUGGGUUUAAUUUAUAUGAACUUUUAGAUGAGUUAUAUUAAUUUGUCUUUAUUUGUUGGGCUUGAUUUAAUUAUUGUUAAGUAUUUUAUUUAGUGGGCUAUAAGCCCAAUUGCUUAUUGUAGUUAGGGUUUUAGUAUAAAUACCCUACUUUUCUAAAUGUUAAGGGACUUUUGAUGAUUAAUGAAAAUUUACAAGUUUUGCAUAUUUCCAAUCCCCUCUCUUCCUCUUCUUUAGCUUCUUUCUUUCUCCAAAGCUUCUUUCUUUUCUUGCUUUAAUUCUUUUUAUUUGUUGUCCUGUGUCAAAUUUAGUAUCAGAGCACGACUUUUAAUUCUUCUUCUUCUUCUUUUCCAUAUGUAAAAAACAUCAAUAUCCAUUUCUUUCUCUUCUCUUCUCUCCUCAAUUCCUUCUUUUCUCCUCCAUGCUCAUGUAUGUAUUCUUCUCCUUUCUUCUUUUUUCUUCUCAUCUUUUUUAAUUAAUAUACUUAAUGAAAUUUUUUCUCUCUUCUUAGCUUCACUUGCAACCACAUUAAGGUAAGCUUCUAUUUUUUUUUUCAUGUUUUGUUUCACUAUAUUUGUUUUUUUAUUUUAUUUUUAAUUGUUUUUGUUCUUAAUAAUUGUAUGGAUAUUGUUGUGGGAUGUUUUUUUUCAUAUGAUUUUCUUCUUAUUUUUUCCAAGCGUUUUGAAUAUUAUAGAGUGUUGAUUUAUAUUAAUUUAAUUAUUUUAUAGUUUUGUAAAAUGGUUUUUUUUAUAAAAAAAAUUUAAAUAAUUACCGACGGAAUUGCAUAGGUAUGUUCUAAGGGAAAUAUUGACGGAAUGAAGCGGAUAAUUUUUUUUUUGCAUACCUUUUCCGUUAGUAAAUCCAUCGACAAUAAUAUUUUUUAUUAUCAACGGACUUACUGAUGGACAAAAAAGUAUCGACAAAAGAUUCACCGACGGAGCAUUUUCAUCGGUGAUUUUGUUGGUAAAUUAAUUACCAAAGGAAUGAUAGUAUAAAUACCAACAGAAAAUUCCAUCGGUAAAUCUAAAGAUAGUGUGGAUUUGUGCAAAUUUCAUGUCUAAAGAGCUUUAACUUGAUGAGGUGUAGAAGACAUACUUUUCCUAUUAAAUAUUCUAACAUGAAUUUCACUUCAUCGUGCAACAAUGACCGUUCUCAGUUAGAUUGUCAUCGAAGAUGACACUUCAUAAAAACCUAAAAUUAAAAGUGAUUUCUCAAAUAAUUCCUUACAGCCAUGAAAUAUUCAUACAUUCUCAUAGCAUUUCAAGUUCCCAUUCCAAAGGACCAUUAGCAUUUAUACUUUCUCAACAAACCUUCCAUUCAACAGAAAACAAAUACUUAAAAACUAAAUCAAAAUCGAAUUGUCAUGGCGCCAUCUUCAUUAAUUUGAAAUUACCUCAAAAUAUAUAUAUAAAAAAAAUUAAUUAAAUUUAGUACCUGUGUUUGCUUGAUCUUAAUGAGAAGUUCCUUUUGCAUGUUAAGAGCUUGUUCUAGAAUCUUCGUGACUUCUAAAGCUUGUUCUAGAAUCUUCGUGACUUCUAAAACUUGUCCUCCAAUCUUCUCUCCAGCGCUCGAAACCCUACCGAAGUAUGCCCCCAUGAAAUCUUCGAACGCUACAAUCGACGGAUCCGUCGCUGAAGCAUCAUCCCCGCCACUCCCCGCCACACUUCCCCCUCUCAACGAACGUGCUUCUAAUCGCGCCGCCGCCGAUUCUAGCCUAGCCAUUAGCCUCUCCUCCAUUAGCCUAAAGAUUCAAACAAUAGUUAAAUAUAAAAAACAAAAAUUAACACCAACAAGAUGAAGUACAAAUAAUUUACCUGGAUUCAAGAUGUUCUUCAAGUGCUGGUUUGCUUAAGCAGUAAUCAGAGAAAAAAAAAAGAGAGAGAAAUCACAGAUCAGAGAAGAAUAUAUGGUUUAGAAAAAUAAUAAAUUUGCAGUAUACAUAAAUCUAGUUCGUAUUGAUCAUGGGAUGUGGAAAGGAAAAUAGGGAAUUCUAUUGUGAGAUGAGAUGUGAUGUGGAAGAGAAUAACGUAUUGUUUGACAGGAAGCAACCCACCGCUUCCCUACCAAACAUUAUAUUAUAAGAUAUAGAAAGUUAAGUGUGGACCCACCCCAAUGUUUUGUUUUUUUUAUUAACAUGUAUGUCCGGGUUAGCUUGCACGUACCUCGACUAACUCCACGAGCCCUGAAGUUAACGAUCAUUUAAGCUUCCAGUAACUAUCAUAUUAGCCGUAAUGCUCGAACCUGAGACUAUAAAAAAAGUAAAUUUUUUAAUCUGAGGCUAUUAUCAUUAGAUCACAUACUAGAUAAUUAACCCACCCAAUGUUCAAACUUUGAAGGAACUGCCAUGAAAAUGUAAACAGAUGAAUAUGAGAAAGAACAACAUAGCAUACUCCUGCAUGUGUGAAGUUGUUUAUGAUAUUAUUUUUUAUUUAAAAAUAUAUUAAAAUAUUAUUUUAAUUUUUUUUAAUAUCAACAUAUUCAAAUAAUUAAAAAAAAUUAAAAAAAAUUAAAAAAUUAAAAAAAAAAUUACUGCGACUGUAAAGACAAACCAGCUGUGACAAUGCUAAUAAGUGUGAGAUUGAUAGCAAAGACGAAAGCAUACCAAUGCAACAACCACAUUCUCAAAUAUUCAGAUUUUAAAAACCACAUCGAAAUAUAGUUUUAAAGUUGUGUCAAAUGCAGAAUGCUUUAAUUAAUACGAGGAAACUCUUGUUAAUAAUAUAGUUAUAUACAGGCACCGCUAUAAAUAAUUUGGUAUUACAGUAAUAAUUAUUUUUUAAAGUAUUUUUUAUUUAAAAAUAUAUUAAAAUAAUAUUUUUUUUAUAUUUUAAAAUUUAUUUUUGAUAUUAACAUAUUAAAACAAUAUAAAAAUAUCUAAAAAAUUAACUGGUUCAAAGUGAAAUUACCCGACUGCUGUGCCUUGACUUGUCUGUUUAAUUUCUAUUAUUGUUUUUCACAUUUUAGCAUUUUAUUCCAAUGAUAGAAUGCACUUUCAUAGACUCAUCAAAACCACAGGAACGCAAUCAAGCUUUAGCUUCAAACAACCAGAGGGAGAUUCAGUGCAGUGGAAAACUUCAACAUCUACUAUGAAGCUUGAUUUGCUAUCCAAUCUUCACAUCAGUUUUCCAUUGAUACAAAGAUACUGUAUGUGUUUUUGUUGCCAGAAAGUUGUUCGAUCAAUAACUUUUUAUCUUUUUCCAAGUUUUUGUUGUGUGAUUUGUUUUUCCUUUCAUCUCAAACUCAUGAACUAAAAGUUAAACAAAAUAAAAAUUAAAAAAUAUAAGAUGCAAAAAAUUAUAAGGUAAACAAUAAACUAAAUUUUAGAAUAUGUCUCUUAGCUAUUCGUAAGCUUCCUAUUCCUUUUUAGUUUUUCUUGAAGUUAUUCUAUUUGAUGUCAUGAGUGUUCCAUUGAGAAAUAAAAAAGAAGACAAAUUGCCAUCCUCUUCACCUUCUUACAAUGCAUUACAGUAAUAUCUCUAAGAGAAUUGUAAAUCAAUUUUUCCACUGCAAAUACUUUUCAGUUCCGGUAAAUCAAACAAUUUCAGAAUUUUCCAAGAUAAACAGAUUUUUAAAUACACUCAAACAUAAUUUUAAAUAUAAAAACAAAUUAUGUUGUUUUGAUUGCGGCAUAACAGUGUUGGCAGUACCGUUGUUGUUUGGACUUUGAGCAGCAGUAGAUAUCUCCAGCGUACUGUUACCUGCCGGCUAGUGGAACCACUGCUGGGUUAGAAAAGGUAUGUUGCCGUUCUUAAGUUUACUAGAGAGAGGGCAGAAAGCCUUAAGAAAAUAAUUUCACAUUCUGUGUGGUAGAAACCUGAUUCCACCCAAAAAAAAAAAAAUUAACACGGUAAUUGAAGCAAAUUAAAAGAAUAAAAGAAAAUAUAAAAUGAUUUAAUAGAGAACAAAAAUUAAUUUUCAAUGCAGAUUAAAAUAGAGCAAAGUGACUAAUGAAAAAGGUACUUAAAUCCUACAAGCAGCAGAUAGAUAGUCGGAAUCCCUUGCGCACACAUUUGAUAUAUAGAUAAUUAAAUCAACAUUAAACCAAAUUAAUAAAACCCUUUUGAAAAAUCAUUCACUACUUUAAAAUAAUUAACCCUAUUAAGAAAAUCCAAUGACGACAAUGUGUUUAAGGAGCAAUAUUAAAGCAAAGAAAUUAAAUCAAUACAGGUAAAUAAAUGAUCCAAAGAUUAAUCCAUUCAAUAGAAAAAAACAUGACUGAAUCCAUAAACUGCAUAAAUUCGGAGAAGAAUACUUCUCAACAACAAAUUGAGAAUGAUAAAACAAAAGAGUUAGAAUAAUUAGAAAUCUGAACAAUUUAGUUACCCAUCACUGUAUUAGUCAUUCCUUUCCUCAUCUGUGCUCUUUUUUUUCCCCUCUCUCUAGUGCAAUUCCCUCACGUCUUCUUUAUGCCAAAUAGCCCUCUUUACAGAGGAGGCAACCCCCUUUCUCAAAAGCAGGCAGCCCUCCUUUUUCAUCAGAGACUAACUUGUAGCCCUUUACAAUACCUUUCCAACGCAUCAAGAAUCACAGCAAUCCAAUAUGUGAGUGAAAAGUUAUGAUUAAAAUACUUUAAGUGUAUCUAGGCUGUUUCUAAGAAAAAGAACAGUACUUUAAGUUUAUCCAGGCUGCUGUUUAAAAAGUCAAGAAAAUAAAGUUUUAGAUUAAAAUAAAAUAAAAUAAAAACUUUAAGGAAAAAAAAAAAGCACGCCUAUGAAGCUUGAUAGUAUAUCAAAUUAAAUAGAAGCUCGAUUAAAAAAUGCCCUUUAAUUUCUAUUAUUUCUAUUCACAUUUUAGCAUUUUAUUCCAAUGACAGAGCAUUUGGAAUGCACUUUCAUAGACUCAUCAAAACCCCAGGAACGCCAGAUCGGGAGCUUCAGUGCAGUAGAAAACUUUAACAUCUACUAUGAAGCUUGAUUUGCUAUCCAAUCCACACAUCAGUUUUCCAUUGAUACAAAGAUACUGUAUUUUUAACCAUCUAAUAAUAAGAGUUUGUGAUCAAGGGGUUUGCUCCCCAUAUGGUUUUAGGUUCGAGCCCUAUGGUUGUCAAUAUUGAUGGUCAUUAACUUUAAGAUCUGUGAGAACUGAAGGCUUACUUGAUUAUUAACUUCAAAAUCCGUGAGAAUUAGUUAAGGUGCGUUCAAGUUGGUCCGGAUACCCCCAAUUAAUAAAAAAAAAAAUGCUGUGUUUUUGUUGCCGGAAAAUUAUCCACCAAUAACUUUUUAUCUUUUUCCAAGUUUUCUAGGUGACUUUUUUCUUUCAUCUCAAAAUCAUGGAUUAAAAGUGAAUAAAAUAAAAAUUUGAAUCAAAACUAAAUAUAAAAAAAUAAAACAUGCAAAAAAUAUAGGGAGAUUUUAAAAAUCACGCCUAUUCUACUUUCUAGUUUAAAAUAUUCAAAACAAGGCUCCAUUAUCAUAUAUUCAUAGAGACAUACCAAUGUAGCUUUUGAUGUUAACCGGUUUGGGUAUGUCCAUAUGCUUUUAAAUAUUUUUUAAAAUUUAUAUUUGUUUUAAAAAAAUAUUAAAUUAAUAAUUUUUUAGUUAUUUUUAAUGAUUUUGAUGUAUUGAUAUUAAAAAAAAUCUAAAAAUAUAUUUUUAAAAAAUACUUUAUAUAACAGUAUCAAACACAUGAUAACCUUGUCCAAAAGCUUUCCUCAUUAUAAAUAUAAAAUAAAGUUCAAGUGAUGUAGGGUCCAAUCUUAAAUGGUUCAAACAUUAUUGUUAGAACGUGAGAGUGUCCCAGCAUUAGUAGUGUAGCACGUGCCAUGUCUUAAGCUUAUGUGAUCCAAAAACAAGGCAAUUGGUGUUUGAUGAAAUUAGCUGUCACUAAAAUAAAAUAAAAUAAAAUCCUCUGUGAACUAAUUAAUUACUCAAUUAAUUCCUAAAUUAGUUUUUUUAUUGUUUUUCACAAAAUUUAUAAAAAUAAAAAUAUUUUAUUAGAUAUUUUAGAUACUCCACUAUUAUAAUAUUUUAUUUAAAUUUAGAUUUUUAUUUCAAAAUUGAAUUUUGUUUAAUAUAACAAAUAUUACGAUGUUUUAUUUUAUCUGAUAAAUUUUGAAGUAUUAUUUGAUUUUAUUAAUUUAAAAAAAUAAUAUUUUAAAAGAGUACGAAAUGUUGUAUAAAAAUUUUAUGUAUUUAUUUUCUGAUAAACGUGUUCCAAGAAUUAGCAGGGAUACGAUGUUUUUACAAUAACGCAAAACACAACAAACAUUGAUGCGAUGCUGAAUCCUUGAAGUGCGUCUAACAAAAUCUCAAUAUCCGGAAUGCCUCUUCUUCCAUGGCAUCUUGCCUAACUCUUGAUUGUCUCAGGUCCUCCAAGGCAUUCCUCCACUCCUUGGUUAACUAUCUCAUGGAGGUUAACAAACAGAGGAUCUGUAAGUUUCAGAGAACGACAUCAAUUUAAUUACGCGAAGUUCAAUCUUUUUUCCUCUACAAAUUAAAUCAUGUACGUAAACCUGUUACCUACAUUUUGUAAUAUUUCUGGAUCUGCUCUUUGAUUCAUCAAGGACAGAGUUUUUUAACAUCCAAGCUCUUGUAAUCUCACAAACGCUUGAGACCCAAACCUUUAUUUGUCAAGGCUCCAUACACUUUCUCGACAAGAACCGGAGGAGGAGGCUGUGGGGUAUUCGAUGGUUGAAAAUGGAACGUGAAUUAUGCUGGAGAGCAUGCAGGUGGCGAUGUGUUUGGAGCUUAGCCUGUGUUCUCCAAAUCCUUACUAAAUUAUUAGAAAGUAACAUUAUAACAUUUUUAAAUCUGUUUAAAUUUUUUGGUUUAAGAUAAUUUUUUAAUAUUAUAAGUCAUUUAUUAUGUUUAUUCAAAUUAAUUAUUUUUAUUAAAAUAAUAUCAUUUCAUUAUUUUAAUUAAUCUGGUUAGAUAUAAACUAGGUUUGAUUGAAUCGAUCAAAUUUUACUAAAUCAAUAUCUUAUAUGGUUUAAUUAUAAACUCAAUCCAAGUUAAAUUUUAGAUUUUGUGUUUUUUAAAACAAAUCGUACGGGGUUUAACAAUUAUAUAUGCUCUUAUCUUUAACUUUACUUUGAAGUGUAUAAACUUUCACACUCGUGUGUGUGUGUGUGUGAAGCUUUGUGGUGGCUAAAGAAUACAUUUUGGAAAGUUGAAUCAAUAAUAUUGCCUGUGCUUGUCAAGGAAUUUAACAUCCCAAAUUUAAUGAACGAAUAUAACAUCCCAAAUUUUACCACUAAUAUUGCCUGUGCUUGUCAAGGAAAAAGAUUGACUGUAGAGAAAAAUUUAAUGAACGUCAUCCUCGUGGAUGCUAUAAUCUGUAAUUAGUGGCAAGGCUUUAAUAAUCACAGCAGCAGAAGAUGAUAUAUUGUACAAAUAGAUUGAAGAAACAGGAGGCCUACGCAUUUAAUUUGGGUGGAGAUUCAGUAAUCAAAAUAUCUUUUUAUUUUUAAUAUUAAUAUAUAAGAAAAUAUUAAUUUAAUAUUUUUUUUCAAAAUAAACAGAUUUUCAAAUGCAAUCAAACAUAAUUCUGAGUACAAAAACAAAUUACGUUUUGAUUGCGAGCAUAACAAUCUUGGCAGUAAGUACCAUGAUCCUUUCCAAUUGAGUUAAUUUUAGGAUUGUUUUUGGCAGCCACGUACAUGCUUUAGAGUUCUUUUUAUUAAAUCAAUAUUAAAGUAAAAAAAUUAAAUCAAUACAGAUAAAUAAAUGAACUAAAUAUAAUCAAACAAUUAAUCCAUUUAACAGAAAAAACAUUCAUGAAUCCAUAAAACUACAUUAAUCCCUUUUCUUUUCUUGUUUUUUUUUUCUCUGGUGGAAUUCCCACACGUCUUCUUUAUAGGCAGCCCCACUUUUAAACCCUCUUUUUCAUCACGUCCCCAUGGUCCCCGUGUCCCACACGUUUUCAUCAAAAACCUAAAUUUUAGGACUUCUUUGGCAGCCAUCUAAAAAUAUAUAAAAAUAAUAUUUUUAUUUUUAAAAAAUUAUUUUUAACAUUAAUAUAUUAAAAUAAUCUAAAAAUAUAAAAAAAUAUUUAAAAAAAAUCAAAAAUUUUAAAAACACAAGCAUUCCCAAACAAUGUAACGCGUCAAGAAUCACAACAAUCUGACAUGUGAGUGGAAAGUUGUGAUUAAAAAACAUUACUACUUUUUCGUUUGUUUGCUGGAAAGUAGAUUUCUUUUGGAAAGUGAAUUCCGGGGAAAGUGAAUUCCGGGGAACUAUUUUUCGAUGUUUGGUAGUGUAAUGGAAAAUGAGUUGGAAAACAUUUUCCAGUGUUUGGUUAUGUCAUGGAAUAUGAGCUGGAAAAUAACUUAUUAAUAUUUUAUUUUUUUCAAGUUUAUUAAAAUAAUAAGGAACAAAUCUUACAAAUUAAAACGUUGAAUGAAAAUGAAAUUGAAAAAAAAUAUAAUUUCAUAAAUUAUCUCAAAUAAAAUAAAAAAUAAUCAAAAUAAUAGAGAUCAAAUCUAAAAAAAAAAAAGAUGAAGAAAUUAAAAUAAUAAUAAUUAACAUUUCAUAAAUUAUUUCAAAUAAAAUAAGUAACAAUAAAAAAAUUGAAGACCAAAUUUGAUAGAUACAAAAUUUCAAUAAAAAAAUGAUAAGGAAAAAGCAAAUAGCAAUUAUAAAAAUAAGGACCAAAGUUAAUAUAAAAAUAAAAUUUUAAGAGAUGAAAUUAAAAAAUAAAUAUUCAAAACAAAAAAUAUAUAUAUAGCAAUCAAAAGUUUGAGGAUCAAAUUUGAUAUAAUCAGCAAAUAAUUAUAUUUUUAAAUUUUUUACAACUUCCGGAAAGUAUUUUCCCCUCAAAUUUUUCAAGAAAACACUUUCCUGAAAACCAAGGCAAACUUUUCUUUUACUGGAAAGUGUUUUCCAUUGACCAACUUUCCUACUGGCAAACAAACACAAGAAAGUUUGGAAAGUGAUUUCCCGGAAACCACUUUCCGGAAAACAAACACAACUAAAGGGAAAACACUUUCCUGAAAACCAAGUCAAAUUUUUCUUUGACUGAAAUUGACUGGAAAGUGUUUUCCGUUGACCGGAAUGUAUUUUCCGUUGACUAGAAAGUGUUUUCCGUUGACUAGAAAGUGGUUUCCGUUGACCAACUUUCCUAAUGACAAACAAACACAGGAAAGUUUGGAAAAUAGUUUCCCAUAAACUGCUUUCCGGGAAACAAACAUAGCCUUAGAGUGAUUUUGACAGCAUAGAGGAAAUGUCAUUAUUGUUAUUUUUAAAAUAUUUUUUUUAUUUAUAAAUAUAUUAAAAUGAAAGUUGUUAAUUUCGUUUCGUUUUAUUUGUAAUGAUUUCAUACCAUUUCAAAAAAUGAAAUAAAACAAAAUAAUUUUCAUCUCAUUUCAAAUCUCGGUCCCUUCCAAAUUUUUUGGCUAAAUUCCGUUCAGAAUGUUCCGGUUUCAUUAAACAUGUUCUGUUCCGGUCUUAAAAAGUCAUUGAAUCAAUUAAUUAAUUAAAUCAUCAAAGUAUAAAAAGCUAUUUUUCAUUGCUAUUUUCAUUAACUAUGAUAUUAAUUUUUUAAAAUUUAAUUUAUCACUAAUAUAUAUGGUUUAUAUUCAUGUUUUUUUUUUUCAAGUUUAUACUUUGUAGGAAUUUAAGCAAAAAAAUAGAUGUUUUAGAUCUCAUUAGCCUUGAUAACAUUGACCUAGCUUUAUAUUUAAAAUAUUAGUGUUAAAUUAUUUUAAUUUAAUAAUAUUUUGAUGUUUUAUUGAAGUUGAAUUGUUUUAAGUUAAAAAAUUAUUUAAUCUUAACUAUUUAAAAAUAUUUUAAAUUUUAAAAUUAUAUUUCAUCACGUCUCCAUGAUCCCCGUUGUGUCAAAAACAAAUUGCCUAAAUUUUAGGCUUUAGCAGUUCCUUUUUUUGAAAUCCUCAUUAGUGAAAUUUUAGACUUGUCUGUUUAAUUUCUAUUAUUUUUAUUUCAUUUUGGCAUUUUAGCAUUUCAUACUCAUCAAACCACUGGAACGCAAUCAAGCUUUAGCUUCAAACAACCAGAGGGAGAUUUUAUAGGGAUAAAAUUUUAAAAAUCACGCCUAUGCUACUUUCUAGUUUUAGUAUUAAAAUUAGUAUUUAAAAAAUGUGUUUAUAAAUAUGGCAGUUUCAGGUGUAGAAACCAAAACUGCCAUAUUCAUACUCUCUUAGACAUUUUAAAAAUGCGUGUAGAAGAAUACUUUCAUUGAUGAUUUAUAAUAUUAGGUUACUUUAAUGAUAAAUCAAUACAGUAUUUUUUUUCAUUUUUUGGAUUUUCAUUUUGGAGAAAUUCAAUAGGAUGAAAAUAUAAUAUUAAUCAAACUUCAAAUUAUAAUUGUUUAUCUAUCGAGUUAAAAAAAAUAUGACAAUUCAGUAGUCUUUAAUGAAAUAAAAAAAAUGAAAAAUGUUAUUUAUGUAAUUAUAAGCAUACCAUAUUAUAUUACUUUACAAAGGGACGAAGGACAUCCUUUGCAUUAGGAUGCUCCCACUCCACUACUGUCUCCCACCAUUCUUCUGGAUAUACAAAGAUUUCUUUAAGAGAAGGGGGAGGAGAUGGCUGGCCAUUUUCAAGCAACGGAAGACAAAUUGGCAUCCUCUUCAGCUUCUCACAACGCACUACACUAAUAUGUUCUAGAGAAUUGCAAAUCAGUUUUGCACUGCAAAUGCAUUUCAGUUCUGGUAAUUCAUACAAUUCCAGAGUUAUUAACUUUGGGAGAAUGACUUCCGUGAUGCAAUUGGAGGUGCUUCUUUCUUCAUCUGUUGUUCCUAUUAUCUCCUCCAUUUUCCUACAGCACCUCACAUCAAUCUUUUCCAGGUUUACGAGGUUUGGCAGCAACACAAGCGGGAACAACUUCUUUAUACUUUUACACUUGUAACAAUAAAACUCUUUAAGACCAGAAAACAUACCAUUAUAUGGUGGCAAUCGUGGUGGAGCAGAGCAGAACCAAGAAGAUGAAACCAGCUCCAUGUUAUGGCAUUCCCGAAUGUUGAUGCGCUCCAGUUCAGUUGCAUUCUCUAAUGACAAAACAUCACAUAAACUUCUUGCAUCGAUGCAUUCACAAAUCAGUCCUUGAAUGCCAUUUAAGAACUUGACCUGAAAAUCUCUAUCUCCGUUGAUACUCAAAUUACCCAACCCUACUGUUUUACUUGGAAACAUUUCAAUGCAUUGCUCGAAAUAUCUACGCACCUCUCCUACUAAAAUCUUGCAUGUGCUUAAUGAUAGGAUCCCAUCCCGAGAUCUGAGAUACUCCAUUAAGUCAGGGAGACCUUCGAAACGGCAUUCCAAAGUUUCCAAAUUUCUCAAGGAUCCUACUUCCUUUCCUUUAACUGUCAUCGCAUCAUCUUCGCGGCAAUAAAUCUUCUAGUACAAAGACUUGCAGGUGAGAGAGUUUUGGUAAUAUCCCACUAGGAAACUCCUUUUCACCACAUCCAUUCAUUCUAAGAUACAUCAGGUUGGUUAGGCAUUCCAUUCCUUGCGGCAUCGUUUCAAGUCGAGUACGAGAGAGAUCCAACCUCUUCAGUGCCCUGAGCUUCUUUAAUGAUGGAACAUAUCUUAAGUUGUCACACUUACGAAGCAAUAACGCAGUGAGACUCACCAAAUCAGAGACAGAGUCUGGCAAGUUUUCAAUACCUGUCGAAGACAGAUCGAGGACCUUGAGCCCAUGCAAUUGCUUGAAAAAUGAAUCCGCAACAAAUCUCAACCCUUUAUUAUCACAUAGAAAUAGAGUUGAUAGAUAGCGACACCUUGGUGAAUAGCUGGAAGGAAUUUCUUCGAUCUCGUUUCUCAUUAGCGAAACCAUCGUCAAAUUCUCCGUCCACUGCUCUGCAUCUGGCAACUCUUUUAAUUGCGCACCUGCUUUAACCAUGACUUGAUAUUCGUCUUGCAGUAUAUGGAUGGCCAUGUCCCUAAUCAAGUCAUGCAUCUUGACACGUCUAAUAUCAUUAUAACCCAUUUGAGCACUUUCCAAUAGGCAGACAUAUUCAAGUCUAUUAAGCAUUGUGUGGCCCUCGUCAAAUGCAUCUCCCCUGCUCCUCUUUACUUUAAUUAUCCCCUCUAAGAUCAAAUAACCUAUCAACUCCUCCCUUUCAAUCUUAUCAUCUUCAGGAAAUAAUGCACAGUACAACAGACAUUGUUGUAGUGUUACAUCACGUAACCGAUUAUAACUAACCCUUAACACUUGGAAUACCUUCUUAUCCCUAAAUUCUGAUUCGCUCAAUUUCUUCAAUGUAUUUCUCCACUCAUGUAGGUCAUCCACUCCCCUCAAGCUUCCUGCCACUGUAAUAAUUCCCAAUGGCAAACCAGCACAUUCCUUUGCAACAGCUUUCGCAAUUCGUUCCACUUCUGUGAAAGCACAUGCCACGUCCAAGUUUCUCCAUGAACAAAGUCCAAGCUUCUCCCUCAAAAGUGGCUUACCUUGAUUUUGCGGUGGCAAGCCAUCUAUGACAAACUUUCUGAUCGAGUUGUCAUAAUCAGCUUGCAUCCUUCCAACUUCUCAGGAAUUCCCACUUCAUGUAGCUCAAAAUUAUUCCACAAAUCAUCUAGAAUGAGAAUCCAUUUUUGUUUCUUCAUUAGUUCUUCUGACAAUUUGGCAGCUCUAUGCAGAUCAUCAUCUUCGCUUGAAAGGUCUAGACGAAGACGUUUAGCAAUAAUAUUCUGCAAUCUAUUAAUGCUGAAAUCUUGAGACACAGUCACCCACCAAACAUGAUCACAAAUAUCUGGUCUUUGUAGAAGCUCAUUAUGGAUAUGUUGCAGUAUUGUUGUUUUACCAACUCCCCCCAUCCCAUAAAUGCCAAUGGUUGGGACUUCAUCAUCCAUUAACAAAGACCAUAUCACCUUCUUAUUCUCUUCAAAUGCUCGACCCACUGGCUUUAUAGAGCUAGCAGGUAAUGGAACUCCUCUAGUCUCACUUGUGUUGUAUUUAAGGCUUAUAGAAGAUCUAGCUCCAGCGUCAGGCCGCACUGAUCUUCCACUAUUCUCCAUAUCCUCCUCCACUGGUUCUGUCCUCACUCUAACCAUGUUCUGCACAUCAUUCAUAAUGACAUCAUUGUUUACUGAUGGAGCAAAUAGGUGACACAAAGGAUCUGUUGGUUGGGAUGAAUCUCCUCGAGGCUCAUCAGCUUGAUUAAUUGAUGGCCUCUCACAAGAGCUACCUCUCUCCAGAUGCUGCACUUGUUCUGUUCUCGGUAUAGUUUCAGAUCCAUCAUGCAGACGCUCCACAUCCUCAUCUUCCUGCAUUAAAUACGUAGAGAUUUCAUUCAGCUGAACCCAAGUGCCAUCAACAAAUUGAUCCACUAAAUCUGUUCCUCUAUUCUCAUAAGCAUCAACUCUGAGUCUCCAAGGAGAGACACUUCUGUCAACAUGCUGAAACGAUCCUUCACCAGUGUAUUCCAUGCCUUGAACUCCCGCUUGCAUCCUUCCAGCAUUGUCUUGUUCUUGUGGACAGGUGGAAAUGGCAUAAUCAUUAACAUUGCUUGAACUUGCUAUGCUUUUAUGUCUUUUGUUGCCACCACGCAUAGCUAGAAAGGCUGCUCCUUGAACUUCUUUAGGCACCUCACCACAAAUGCCAACACCAUGCCCUCUCUCUCCUGAUAAAUGCCAUUUUAUCCUCGAAAUGGAAGUACCAUUGGCAAAUAAAUGCCCACAAAACUUACACUUCAUGCUUCCAUCAUUCAUAUCUUCAACUUCUUUCCAAAACGGAUCAUCUGAUCUACCCAUUUUGUCCUACAGAUGAAAAGGGUCAAAAUAUUGAAUAAAAAUUAAUGGAAGUACAUUAAUUGGAAAAGGAAGGUUGAAACUAAAAUAAUAGGUUACAAACAGCGAAGAAACUAAUAAGAAAAAACAAUGAAUUCAAGGUUAACUUGGGGUCAAUUUGGUAUGAACUGCAUAAGGCGUGGAUUGCUACAACUGAGAAAGAUCAAAUUAUUUAUUUUUGGAAACUGUUGAUGAUCCUAUCUCCAAAGUUUCUCAUUGAAAUUUCUACAACUUGUGUUUUCCUUGAAAGAUUCAAACCAGAGGUACAUGUGAAAAACAAAAUGAAGAAGAUGGAUUAUAAAUAAUUUACCUGGAUUCAAGUUGUUCUUCAAGUGCUGGUUCGCUGAAGUAGUAUUCAGGAAGAAAAACAAGAACAGAGAAGAAUAUACGGUUUAAAAAUAAGAAGGAAGUUGCAAGAUGUUGAGCUCCAGAUGAUUCGAUUCAAUCAGAAAAGGAAGCACUGAUCAUCAGAAAGUUUAAGAAAUUUGAUGAGGGAAAUCGGGAAAUCAAUGGUAUAAUGAGAUGAGAUUUGGAAGAGAGCGUUACAGUAGCUAAGAUUAUUGUAUUGUUUGAGAAGAAGGAAGUUGCUAGGAAGGAAGCCACAAACUUUACCUACCAGAGAUUAUAUUAUAAGAUAUGGCAAGUGGCUGUACACCUCAAAUUUGUUUUUCUUUUGUCUAGCGCUGCAUAUAAUUAAAAACUUCAACAAAAGAAUCAGAAGCUAAUUGCUGUCUGAGUUAACGUGUGGACCCACCCCAUUGUUGAAACUUUGGAAAAAGCUGGCCUGAAAAUGUAAGAGCCUGAAGCUUAGCUUCAAGAGCUGUAAAGCAUUGACCGUCAUUAUCUGAUCCACUCCAACUUCCAUUCCCUAAAAAUUUCACACCUUAGCACAAACAAAAGGCCGUUUUAUAGAUAACUUAAGAAAUUUUGCCCACGCUUAGUUUCGAGGUGUCAGCAACGUUCUUCUGAGCAUAAAUUCUUCUUUAAAACAAAAGGCGUAUAUGGUUAUUGUAAGGCAUAAUCCCGCAAAGUGUUCCAGUUUUUUUGCCUCUAUGACAUGGAUAUGACAUCUCAUUAGUGAAAAAGCUAAAUGCUGUUUAUUGCACGCUGCUAGUUGGGAUAUACAGAACUCAGUUCAACCCAGCAAGUCGCUGCAUCAGACUUAAAACUCCAUAGCAGUCAGCACAAUCUAUGAAGAUAAAAUUGAAAAAAAACAAUCAAUGUAAACACAUGAAAAUGAGAAAGAAUAGCAUAUUUCCGCUUUUGAAAAAUCAUUCAUCACUUUUAAACACGCAAAUGAUUAUCCCUAUUAAGAAAAUUCAACGACAACAAUAUACUCAAGAGCAGGGGCGGAACUAGGGGAGAUAGGCAGGCGCCCGGCCCCUGCAAAAUAUUUUGAAGGUUUGUAUUUUUAAUGUUUAAAUAUAAUAUAAUAUAUUUUUAAUUUAAAUAGAUAAGAUUUUUAAUAAUAAAUUAUAUUUUAAGUUUUGGCCUUCCUGUUAUAUCAUUUCAGCUCCGCACCUGUCCGAGAGCAAUAUUACAGUAAGGAAAUUAAAUUAAUACAGAUAAAUAUAUGAUCCAAAAAUAAUUAAAGAAUCAAUCCAUUUAAUCGAAAAAAACAUGACUGAAUCCAUAAACUACAUGCCCUUCUUUUUCUAAAGGAGGCAGCCCCACUUUUUCAUCACGUCGCCAUGGUCCCCGUGUCCCACAUGUUUUUAAGUGCGUUCAGGCUGGUUCAAAGGGAAUUUCACGACUUGUUUGCGAGAGCUUCAACUCUACAUUGAAAUGUUUUUUCUUAAUCUGUGAGAGCUUCAUAAUAAGCUUAUUAAAAUAAAUUAUUAUAAUGAAAUUAAAAACAAAAAUGCUUAAAAAAAAACAGAGAGACGCCGUGUUUUCUCUAUUGCUACAAGGUAAAAGUCUAAGCAUAUUUAUUUUUUUUAUUUUUUUAUUUUUUAAUAAUAUUACUGUUAUAUCUACCGCCUAGAAAUCAAGAACGCUAGUUUCAUUUAAAAGAUUCUGAAGUUCAUAUUUAGAUAAAUUAGCAGAAAGGACGGAAACACAACAAAUCAUACCCAGAGAAUCAAAAGCCAGAAACAAGCUACCUCAAUUCCUGCUCCACCUGGCUAAGAAAUGCAGCAUGCCCACUUGGAAUUACACAUCAUCCAAAUUCCAUGGCAAAUAAUUGGUUGGAAUUGUUUCCUGUGGAGUCAUUUCAAAAUUUGAAAAUAAAAACAGAAAAUAGAUCCAGCAAAUGAUUCCAAAUAUCUUAUAAAAUAACAAUGAAAUAUGUUUUUUUAUUUACUGUAAGGAAAGAUAUUAAUGGAAAAAAUAAAAAAAAAAUCAAUUUAAAAAAUUAUAAUAAGUCAAAAUCUAGAUUUAAAAUCUAACUAGUAUCAGAUUCCUAGUUGAAUUGAAUAAUUGAGAGCGAAACGUGUCAAGACUGACAAGAGUUCAGAAUAGACUCGUGAACGUGUCCUCUAAACCCUCCUGUCCCUCUUCCGAUCCUUGCUAAACCCCUUGUUCUGGUCGUAAUCAUCCAUUAGCGUAAACCUAUGCUUCUCUUGACUUUGAUCCCAAUAAACCAACCCAUAGAGUUGGUGGUAAUGUAAUUUAUAUAACUUUUUAAAUUAUUUUUAUUUAAAAAAUAUCAAAUUAAUUUUAAUGUGUUGGUAUUAAAAAAAAUUAAAAAACAUUAUAUUAAUAUAUUUUUAUUUAAAAAAUAUUUUUUAAAAAACCGUAUGUAGAAUUACUAAACACCCUUAAGCCAGUGGACAAAGACAAAAACGACAAAAUACAAAGGAAAAGGGAUAAAAGCAUAUAUUUGGAGAUGAUAAAAGGGCAUGAGAUCAAAGAGGAUAAGAUUUCCAGUGAUGGGACUGGAUGGUGAUGAAGGAUUUUUUGGACAAGAGCAUAGUAAUUAAUCCUUUACUAAAAUUUUUUAUUAUUUUAAUAUAUUUUUUAAUAAAAAUUAUUUUUAAAAAAUUAUUUCAAUGAUAAUUUUCUUUAUUGAUUAGUGAAUCUGGUUAGACUUAAGCCCUACGAGGAUCAAAUGUUGCGAGGCGAGCAACUCCAUUUUAUUUUCCAGUUCAGGAUAGUUUUCUGAAAUAAUAAUAAUAAAAAAAAGAGCUAUAACAUAAAAAUCAUCUGAGCAAAAAGCCAAGAAAAGUGGCCCAUGCUGCGUAAGGUUUAAGAAAGAAAAUAGUUUUGAUUGUUGACCGAGAAGAGGAGCACACGCUUAUGCUUUUUUAUGAACAGAGAGGUGGCUGCCCCAAUAUAUUCGGCCUGCCAACUCUUAUUUGUAUGGUCGUCUGUUUCUCCAUGUCUCAAUAUUUUUUUAUAAAAAAACCACCACUUCUCCAUAUUAUAUUAUAAGAUAUGAAAAGUUAACGUGUGAAACUUCGAAAAAGCUGUCAAGAAAAUGUAAACACAUGAAAAAUAUUUUUUAAAAAAAACCCAAAAAUCAUCUGAGCAAAAAGCCAAGAAAAGUGGCCCACGCUGCGUGAGUUUUUUAUUCAAGAACCUAGCUAGAGCUUAGCUUCAAGAGCGGCGAGGACUAAGCUAGGAAUGAUGCCUCUCACUCCUCCCCCGUCAAUGCUAAGGGUUGUUGCAAAGUAAAUAGGAAACUUCAUCCAUAGACCAAUCUUUUCUGAUCCAUAGACAAUGGAUCUGUUGGUUGAGAUGAGUCUCCAUCACAACCCAACAACAUUAGCUUAUCUGCUAUCCCCUUUAUGAGAAGAAGAUUUCGAAUCAGUCCAUUCAUUCCCAUCUGUAGGCAUCUUUCUCAAACAUCAAGGAGAAUUACUUCUGGAUUCUGAGUUGCCACUAAAAAACAAAAAACCCUUAAUGAACUAGUUCGUCUCCCAGUACUUAAAUUAGUUUCCUCAUUGUUUUUCACAAAUUUUUAAGAAAAAAAGAAAAACUAAUAUACUUGAGGUAUUAUAACAAACCUGUAAAUUACAUUAAUCUUAUAAAAAAACAUAAUAAAAAUAAAUAAAUUACAAAGUUGAAUUUUAAAUCAGCCCACUAAUAAAAAAAACAAAAAAAAAACAAAACACAUUGGAUUACUUAUUAUAAUUUACAAUGAAAUAGGUGUGAAUAAAUAGUACUUCUCCCAAGCCUCUUAGCUUUUCUUUUAAUGAAAAUUAAUAACCGUAUAAUAUCUUCCUUGUGGAUGCUCUAUCGUUGCUAAAUUAAAACAUCUUUCUUUUUUAUGUGAAACUUUUUUAAAAUAAAAAUAUUUUAAAAAAACAUUGUUAUUUUAAUUUUAUUUUUAAAAUAAAUACCAUCGUUUUAGUUUUUAUAAAUAAAUAAUAUGAUGUCGUUUUUUUUUACUCAGGUUAAUCAGUUAAUAUGUGAGUCAACCAGUACGUUUCUUAGCUAUUUAUUAGCAAUCUAAAUAUUUUUUUAUUUUUAAUAUUAAUAUAUCAAAAAAUAUUAAUUUAAUAUUUUUUUAAAUAAACAGAUUUUUAAAUGCACUCAAACAUAAUUAAGAGUACAAAAACAAAUUAUGUUUUGAUUGCGAACAGAAAAAUCUUGACAGUACCGUUGUUGUUUGGACUUUGAGAAAGAUAAAACAAAAGAGUUGGAAUAAUUGGAAAUCUGAACAAUUUGGGUACCCUUCACUGUAUUAGCCAUUCCUUUCCUUGCCUGCUCUCCUUUUUUUUUUUUUUUUUUUUUCUCUGGCGCAAUUGCCAACAAAUACCCUUUUUCAUUAUGUCUCCAUGAUACCCUUGCGUCAAAAACCUAAAUUUUAGGACUUUUUAGGCAGCCACGUCCAUGCUUUAGGAGUUUUUUUUUCGAAAUCCUUAUUAGUGGCUAGCCUUUUAAGAUACCUUUCCAACACGUCAAGAAUAACAGCAAAAUAUGAUACGUGAGUGGAAAGUUAUGAUUAAAAUAUUUAACUGCAUCCAAGCUAUUUCCAAAAAAAUAAAAUAUUAUUACUUUUAGUGUAUCCAAGCUAUUUAAGAAUAUAUCAAAGUAAAUAGAAUUUCAAUUCAAAAAUACACAUUAAUUUCUAUUAUUUGUAUUCACAUUUUAGCAUUUUAUUUCAAUAAUAGAGUAUUUAAGGGUGCUUAGAAGUUUAAUAUCAAUUAUUUUUCAAAAUAUUUUUUUUAUGAAUAUAUCAAAAUAAUAUUUCAUUAUUAUUUUUUUAAAAAUAUUUUUAAUAUCAACACAAUAAAAUAAUUUAAAAACACAAAAGAGUUAAAAAGAGACAUCUACCUUGUUUUAUCUGUUGGUACAUGGUAAGAGUCUAAGCAUAUUUAUUUAUUUAUUUAUUUUUAUUUUAAUAAUAGUCCUGUUAUUUCUACCGUCAAGAAAUCAAGAACGAUUCAAAAGAUUCUGGAGUCCAUGUUUAGAUAAAUUAGCAGAAAGGACAAAAAUCCUAUAAACUAAAAUCCUCAAUUCUUGCUCCACCUGGCUAAGAAAUGCAGCAUGCCCCCUUGGAAUUACACAUCAUCCAAAUUCUAGGGCAAAUAAUUGGUUGGAAUUGUUUUUUGAGAGUCAUCUCAAAAUUGAAAAAUAAAAUCAGAAAAUAGAUUUUCAACACAAUCAUGCUUUUUAUUUAUUAUAAAUAUAAAAUAAAGUUGAAGUGAAGUUGGGUCCAAUCCUUAAAUGGUCCAAACAUUAUUGUAAGAAUGCGACAGUCCAAUCUGAAAGGUUUUGGAUGCAAAACACAGGCUGCAACGCAGAUGGAGCAAGAAAUUCCACCCCAAGAAAAAUCCAAAUAUAAGUUAUUCCAACUUUCUUUCUAUCCCAAGAAAUCGAGAAUACUAGUUUCAUUCAUCAAAAUUAUAAAUCCUAUAUUUAGAUAACAAAAAUCCUAGUGCAAAAUACCUAUAAACUAUAUUAUAAGAUAUAAAAAACUAACGUGUGGAGUCUGUGGACCGACCCAAUGUUCAAACUUUGAAGAAGCUGCCAAGAAAAUAUAAACACAUGAUUAGAGAAAGAAUAGCAUAUGGUCGUCUGUUUCUCCAUGUCUCAAUAUUUUGUUAUAAAAAAACCACCACUUCUCCAUAUUAUAUUAUAAGAUAUGAAAAGUUAACGUGUGCACCCACCCCAAUGUUGAAACUUCGAAGAAGCUGCCAAGAAAAUGUAAACACAUGAAAAAUAUUUUUUAGAAAAAACCCAAAAAUCAUCUGAGCAAAAAGCCAAGAAAAGUGGCCCACGCUGCGUAAGUUUUUUAUUCAAGAACCUAGCUAGAGCUUAGCUUCAAGAGCGGCAAGGACUAAGCUAGGAAUGAUGCCUCUCACUCCUCCCCCGUCAAUGCUAAGGGUUGUUGCAAAGUAAAUAGGAAACUUCAUCCAUAGACAAAUCUUUUCUGAUCGGGUUGUAGGAAUCACUGAAUCAGCUUGCAUCCCUUAACUUGGACAGGAACUCCCAGCUUCUGUAUGCCAAAAGUCUCGCUCAUACCAUCUAAAAGCAGAACCCAUUUGAUAAUAGAUAUUGGAGAAAAAUUAGAGUACACAAAUAGAAUGUAAAAUUUAGAAAACUGUUUUGAAUUAUGCUGGAGAGCAUGCCGGCGGCGAUGAGUUUGGAGCUUAGCCUGGUGUUCUCCGACGGUUUCAACUCAUGCAUUCAAUUCCAAGCAAUAGCUGUGAUUUCGUAAUCUGUAUUUUGAGCGACUUUUUGGAGAGGGAGGGGCAGCGCGGGAACGAAAAGGUAGCAGUCUCAAGCCUCGCCAAUAGCCCAAGAGUAAAAAUAACAUGCUCCUAGCCCAAGCCCACCAACAUCACCCCCAACAGAUUGGUAAAAUGCUCACAAGUCACAACCAUUUUGAAAAAAAAAAAAUAAAAAAUCAUAUAUAUAUUUUUUUGCUUUAGGAUCAUUUGAUGUCAAAAAUAAAAAAAAUAUUAAAAAACUUAAAAGCUAGGUAUUAUCAAAAUGUGAAAGGGGCAAAAGCUAGCUUGGAAAUUCUGAGAUUAUCUUAGAAAUUGCUAUUAAAUAUUAUGGCAGAAGGUAUACUUCGACGCCACCAUUGAAGUAACACUGAUCUAAAAACAUUAUAUGCCACACCGCAAACUAAUAACAAUGGUAUACUAGAAAGUGAAAAUAAAUCGAUAUUAAUCAUGAAAUAAAUCGUUAGCAGAAACCAAAAAUAAAUGAAUAAAUUGUUCAUACUACUCCAUCUUAUUGAUGGGAAUGAAUUCUGACCUGCAGGACUCCUGCUAAAAUUAGCUGAUAAAUUAUCAUGAAAAAACUUAAUAAAGUCAGAAAAAAAAAAGAUCAUGAAAUGCUUCUUAAAUUAAAUAAAAUGGAGAAGAAAACCCAAGUAAUAAAUGUUCAAUUCACUUUCAAGUUAAAAAUAAAGAAUGAAAGCAUUUCUAUUCAAUAAUACUUCUUGCUCACAAAUAAGCUGGCAACAAUUAUAUGAGAAUCAAAUCUCUCCAAUUACAUGGUCGUAUAACUUCAAGAUUCCUAGGUCAACUCUAUUCAACUGUGCAGGUGGACAACAAAUUUACAAUCCAAGAAAAAAAAUUAGAAAGCAUCCCUCAAACAGGUUGGAAAAGAUACUAGAGGCAAAAGAUUAUAAGCAAUAGUAGCAGAGAAUAUAAAAAGCAUUAUUGUAGCAGAAAAAUGUGAUAUAAUUACCAGAAAAGCUCAUCCUAACUUCCCUGGCUAGUGCUUACGAUGGCAGUUUCAGGUUUAGAAACCAAAACUCAUCCAACAAAAAAAUGUAUGUUCAGUUCAUACUCUCUCAGAGGCAUUUAAUAUAGAAUCUUAUCCUUCCUCAUUUGAUCUUCUCAAUGCUGUGGUGGAAGAAUACUUCUGACAUGUUUACGAUGUUUGUUGUGAUUUGAAUUGACCAGAAUUCAAGAAUGUUCGAAGAGAUGAAUUCAUUGGCGAUGAAAUACCUUACUUUUAUUGAUUUAAUUUUCUAUUUCCUGUAUUCUGCUAUGGAAAUGAAUUAAUCUUCAUUGUGAAAAUGUUCCUAAAUUCUUACAUUUUUAUUAACAAUAAGAGAUGAAGAGGAGGCGAAGGUAUAAUGCAACCAACAAAUGAUACAGAAUAAGCUCAGACCAAGAGAACAAUCGACGCAAUUGUCCCUUCCACUUUUUGUCUCUCUUCCUUGAACUCAUAACUUAAGCAUCCAUCCCUUUUACUCAGACAAAACCACCGGUCACUAGUAAAAAACUUCAUUUUGAUAUAUAUAUUUUUAAAAUUGAUAGAAAAAACCACUUUAUAUUGUUCAUAAAGACGGAAAAAACUUAAAAAUACAAAUUAAAAAAUCUUGAGGAAUUCAUUAACCAAUCCUUUUAGUUUUUUUUAUGUUUUCUAUAAAGUCAGAAAAAAGUUAAAAAUACAGAUUAAAAAAUCCUGAAGAAUAUAGAAAAAUAGGAUGAAUUUUUUGUACGAGGAAAAUAGAUAGAGGUAUGGAAUUUUAUUCUAAAUAUAUCCUUAUAAAAAUUUCAAAAUUCCAAGUCAUGUAAUUCGAUUAUCAUUCAUUUUUUAAAUUGUAUUCUCUCUUUUGUUUUUCUUGUAUAUAGAUUUUAAAAGAAUAAUUUAUUGCUAGUUAAUGAUAUAAGAUGAUUUGUACUAAUGAAUAGAUCUAUUACUUUAUUUGGUUACUUCAAUGAUAAAUCAAUAUCAAUAUAGUGUUUGUUUUUGUAUUUUUUGGAUUUUUAUCUUGGAGAAACUCAAUAGGAUGAAAAUAUAGUAUUAAUCAAACUUCAAAUUAUAAUUAUUUAUCUAUCGAGUUAAAAAAAAUAUAUGACAAUUCAAUAGUCUUAAAAAGAUAAUGAAAUAAAUAAAUAAAUGAAAAAUGUUAUUUAUGUAAUUCUAAGAACACAAUAUAAAAAAGAAAUAUUUCAUAUUAAUAAACGCUCUUUCUAUGAAUUCAUGUUAGGCUUCGAUUUUUCUUUGAAAUAUGGAAUUGGCAAUACAAUUUCAAACCGACCCAAAUCCAACCAUUGAGCAUCUUUAAUCCAAAAGCAUCAUGCAAGUAAUUUUAAUAUUAAUUAAUAAAAAUAUCCUUGUUGAUUUAAAGGACUAUUUUCAUCAUUCAUAAAAAAAAAAAUUAAAAAGAAAAAUAUUCAAUUUUUUUGAAAAACGUGUGCUUUAACAAUGUUUUUAAAUAUUAAAUAUGUGAUUAAUUAAGAGCAGGUGAUUGCUUUUGUUUUUAGUUGUUUUUCAAAAAAAGAUAAAUAGAUUUUUUUAAUGUUUUUUUAUAAUUUAAAUAUAUUGAUAUUAAAGAUAAAAUAAAUAAAUUUAAAUAAAUAAAAAACAAUUAUUGAACAUGAAGCGAAUCUGAUUACGUAACAAUUACUAAUAGGGAAAAAAUUAGGAGACAAAUUAAAGGUUUUCAAUCGUUGCCGUUACCAAUUUGUUGCUGAUUAGAGGCACACGGAGUCAAAGACUCCAUCCUUGCUUUUAAUGAACAAAACCUAGUGCUAGUUUUGGUGGCUGGUGUUUUUCCGUGCUGGAUUAAUUUUUUAAAAAUAUUAAACCAGUAAAUUAAUAUACUUGAGUUAUUAUAAUAAACCUGUAAAUUACAUUAAUUUUAUAAAAAAAUAUAAUAAAAAUAAAUAAAUUACAAAGUUGCCCACAAAUGAAAUAAACAAAAAAAAAACACAUUGAGUUACUUAUUAUAAUUUACAAUGAAAUAAGUGUGAAUAAAUAGUAGUUCUCUCAAGUUUCUUAGCUAUUCUUUUAAUGAAAAUUAAUAACCGUAUAAUAACUUCUUGUGGAUGCUCUGCUAAAUUAAAACAUUUUUUAUUUAUUUACAACUAUGUGAAAAAAUUUUAAAAUAAAAAAUUUUAAAAGAUAAUAUUUUAAAAAACAUUAUUAUUUUAGUUUUUUUUUUUUAAAAAUACCAUCGUUUUAAUUUUUAUAAAUAAAUAAUAUGAUGUGGUUUUGUUUUUUACCCAGGUUAAUCAUUUAAUAUGUGAGUCAACCAAUGCGUCUCUUAGCUAUUCGUUAGUAAUUAAAAAAUAUAUAUAUUUUUUAAUAUUAAUAUAUCAAAAAAUAUUAAAUAAAUAUUUUUUUUAAAUAAAUAGAUUUUUAAAUGUACUCAAACAUAAUUCUAAGUACAAAAAUAAAUUAUAUUUUGAUUGCAAGCAUAACAAUCUUGGCUGUGCCGUUGUUGUUUGGACUUUGAGAAUGAUAAAACAAAAGAGUUGGAAUAAUUGGAAAUCUGAACAAUUUGGGUACCCUUCACUGUAUUAGCCAUUCCUUUCCUUGCCUGCUCUCCUUCUUUUCUUUUCUUUUUUCUUUUUUUUUUCUCUUAAUUUUCAAGAGAGCCUUAACCAUUCCUUCAUGCAAGUGUACGCUUUGCCAAACAAUCCUUUAGGAAAAUGGGUCGCCCUCCCUCCGACGACUUGCCAUAACAGAGAUUAAUUAUUUUAUUAAAAUAAUAUCAUUUUGUUUUUUUAGUAAUCCAAUUAGAUAUGAACUAGGUUAGUUUAAUUGAUCGAUUAAAUUCCACCCAAUCAAUAUCUUAUUUAGUUUAAUUACAAAUCCAGUCCAAGUUAAAUUUAAAAUUUAAAAUUUAAAAUUUUUAAAAUAAACACGGUUUAACAAUUAUUUUCUUAUCUUUAACUAAACUUUAAAGUAUGUAAACUUUCACACUCGGUGUGUGUAUAUUAUUCAACCAAAUAAUUGCUUGUGUCAUAUAUGUGUAGAGCUUUCUAGUAUUAAAAAUCUUAGAUUAUCAAAUAAUUAAACUUUUUAUCCAAACCAAUAAAUUUUAUGUGUCUAUUUUAAAUUUUGGUUUUAAAAAGAAAAUCAAAAUAAUAAAUCAAACAAUACCUGUAAAUCUUUUAUAUUACAGAUUAGCUAUAACCAGUGCACCCAUUUAUCAUUCUUAAGGUCAAUAUUUGGAAAUAAAUAAAUAAAUAAAUAAAAACUACGUACCAAUAUUUAAUUUAAGUAACCUCAAAGACUGCUAAUUUAGCUUUUUGAUAUUAAAAGGGCGUAUGUUGUUACUCUCUGCCUAGUGAUGAGACAAAUAUCAGGUCUUCUAUCUACACAAUAGUUAGAUGUGGAAAGGGUUAGAGGGAAUUUUUUUUUUUAAAAAAAGAAGAAGAAGCAAAACACCUUGAAUUACGUACUAUUUUUAUAUAGUGAUUCUCCAAGUCUCUUAGCUUUUCUUGUAAUGAAAAUUAAUAACCUUAUAAUAUCUUCCUUGUGGAUGCUUUAUCGUUGCUAAAUUAAAAUAUCUUUUUUCAUUUACAACUAUGUGAAACUUUUUAUUUAAAAAUAAAAAUAUCAAAAAAGAUAAUGUUUUUAAAAAAUAUUAAUUGUUAUUUUAGUUUUUUUAAAAUAAAUACCAUCAUUUUAGUUUUUAUAAAUAAAUAAUAUGAUGUGGUUUUGUUUUUUACUUUGGAAUACGUCUCUUAACUAUCUGUAAGCUUCCUAUUCGUUUUUAGUAAUUAAAAUAUAUAUAUAUUUUUUUUAAUAUUAAUAUAUCAAAAAAUAUUUUUUUAAUAUUUUUUUAAAACAAAAAGAUUUUUAAAUGCACUCAAAUAUAAUUCUGAGUACAAAAACAAAUAUAUAUUUUGAUUGCGGGCAUAGCAAUCUUGGCAGUGAUAAAACAAAAGAGUUAGAAUAAAUGGAAAUCUGAACAAUUUGGCUACCCAUCACUGUAUUAAUCAGCCAUUCCUUUCCUUGCAUGUUCUCCUUUUUCUUUCUUUCUAUCUUUUUUUUUUUUUUUUCUUUGGAGGCAGCCCUCCUUUUUCAUCACGUCUCCAUGAUCCCACACGUUUUCAUCAAAAACCUAAAUUAUAGGACUUCUUAGGCAGCCACGUACAUGCUUUAAGAGUUCUUUUUUCAAAAUCCUCAUUAGAGGCUAAAUUAAAACAAAUUAAAAUAAUUGUGAUUAAAAUAAUUAAAAUAAUUUAAAAAUAUAAAAAAUUAUUUAAAAAAAAUUAAAAUAUUUAAAAACACAACAUUAUGAAACAAGAUAUCAUGUCAAGAAUCACAACAAUCCAACAUAUGAGUGGAAAGCUAUGAUUAAAAUAAUAGAGUGCAUCUUCACUUUUAAAAUGAUUUUGACGAUGAUUUAUAAUAGUGAAUAGAUCUAUUAUUUUAUUAGGAUACUUUAAUGAUAAAUCAAUAUAGUUUUUUUUUUUUUGGAUUUUCAUCUUGGAGAAACUCAAUAGGAUGAAAAUAUAAUAUUAAUCAAACUUCAAAUUAUAAUUAUUUAUCUAUCGAAUAAGAAUAUCCUUGUUGAUUUAAAGGACUAUUUUCAUAUAAAAAAUAAUUAUGUUUUGCACCUGAUUUUUAACAAAAAUGAUUGAAAAAAUGAUAUAUUAUUGAAUAUGAGCAAAUUUAAGAUUACAAAAAUGAUUAGUAUUUUUACAGAUGCAUAGAAUUGAUAAAUGAUGCAACAAAGAAGGAUACGUAUUAUUACAUUUAACGGAGUAAUUAACCAUUCUACAUAUUAAUUAUUUCAAGAAAAAAAGGUCCUUUGGACAAUACCUUGGAAAUUCAAUUCAAAAAUUCCCUUUAAUUUCUAUUUUUUUUUAAUCAUUUUAGCAUUUUAUCCCAAUGAUAGAACAUUUAGAAUGCGCAUGGAACGCCAUCAAGCUUUAGCUUCAAACAACCAGAGGGAGCUUCAGUGCAGUAGAAAACUUCAACAUCUACUGUGAAGCUUGAUUUGCUAUCCAAUCUGCACACCAGUUUUUAUCCCACUGCAGUAGAACUUUUUAUCUUUUUCCAAGUUUUUUUUUGGGUGACUUUUUUUCUUUCAUCUCAAAUUAACUUGUGAAUAAAAAUAAAUAAAUAAAAUAUAAAAUACAAUUUUAAACCAAAAUAAAAAAUAUAAGAUGCAAAAAAUUAUAGAGAUCGAAAUUUUAAAAAUCACGCCUAUGUUUUUUUUCUAGUUUUAGUAUUAAAUUUGUUCGUAUAAGUUUUAUUUAUUUUUAAUCAAUUAAAUUGAACAAAAUCUUGUCAAGUCAAACAUAAACUCUUUAUUGAAUCGUCUUUUCUUUUUGGAUAAUAAGAGCUUCAUAGAAAGCUUAUUAAAAUAAAUUAUUAAAUGAAAUUAAAAAUAAAAAUGCUUUUAAAAAAAAAACAAAACAAAACAGAGAGACAUCUACGUGUUUUCUCUAUUGGUACAUGAUAAAAGUCUGAAAAGAUUUAUUAUUAUUAUUAUUAUUUUAAUUUUAAUAAUAGUACUGUUAUUUCUACCGCCAAGAAAUCAAGAAAGCUAGCUAAUUUUAAUACAAUGCUGGAGUUCUUAACUUCGGGAGAAUGAAUUCCGUGAUGGAAUUGGAGGUGCUGCUUUCUAUUAUGCACUGAUCAUGAGAUGUGGAAGAGAAUGUUACAGUUGCUAUCUCUUUUACAUAAUAUUAUUUAUUAGUAAGGUCGCCUCAAUAAUAAUUAAUUAACGUAUUGUUUGAUAUAUUAUAAGAUAUAUAAAGUUAACGUGUGGACCCGCCCCAAUGUUGAAACUUGGAAGAAGCUACCAAGAAAAUGUAAACAAAUGAAAUUUUCUAAAAAGAAUAGCAUAAUUAAAAAUAUAUUUUUUAUUUAAAAAUAUAUUAAAAUUAUUUUUUUUAUCAACACAUCAAAAUAAUUUUAAAAUAUUAAAAAAUUAUUUUUUAAAAAAUCAAAUUAAAAAAAAAACACAUUAUGACUGUAAAGAUAAACCAGUCAAUAUUCUCAAGGUAGCAAUUACUAAUUGGGAUAAAAAGAAAUUAAAAGACAAAUUAAAGGUUUUGAGUCAACGCCAUUACCAAUAUUCGCUUGCAGGGUGUAUGGUAGUUCCUAUGCUUCUGCCUUUGAGCGUGUAUAUUAGAGCAGAGUGAUUUUAUUUAACCAUGAAAAUUUUGUGAGACAAAUUAUAGUGAAUGUUUUUCUAUUUUACCAAUAUACCCAAGGUGUUUAUAACAGAGUGAUGCUACAUGCUGAGGUGGAUAUUAGCAACAGAGGAAAGCAUACAAAAGUAACAAAAAAAAAACAUCAAAUGAAAGAAAAAAAACAACCUUUAGAAACACGCGUCUUUGGAUUAACCAAUUCUUUUAGUUUAUUUUUUAUGUUGUUCAUAAAGACAGAAAAAACUUUAAAAUACAAAUUAAAAAAUCUUGAGGAAUUGAUUAACCAAUCCUGUUAGUUUUUUUUCUUUUCUAUGAAGACAGAAAAAACUUAAAAACACAGAUUAAAAUAAAGAUUUAAUAGAGAAUGAAAUUUAAUUUUAAAUGCAAAUUAAAAUAAAGCAGAGUGACUAAUGGAGAAAGUACUACUGGAAUUCUACAAAGAGUACAGCGUCGGGAAUCCUUGCACACGUUUGGUAUUUUAAUUAUUCUUAUUUCGUUUAAUAACUCAAUUGGAAGUUCAAUUCCCAGAAUUUCUGCUUUUGAAAAAUCAUUCAUCACUUUUAAAUAACGCAAAUGAUUAUUAAGAAAAUUCAACGACAACAAUAUACUCAAUAGCAAUAUUACAGUAAAGAAAUCAAAUCAAUACAGAUAAAUAAAUGAUCCAAAUAUAAUCAAAGAAUUAGUCCAUUUAAUAGAAAAAACAUUACUGAAUCCAUAAACUACAUAAUUCCCUUUUCUUUUUUCUUUUUUCUUCUUCUUCUCUGGUGCAUUUCCCACACGAAAUACUCAUUUCAAAUUAGGCACCCCCUUUUUCUAAAGGAGGCCCCCAAUUUUCAACCUCGUUUUCCAUCACGUCUCCAUGAUCCCCGUUGUGUCACAAACAAAUUUUCUAAAUUUUAGGCUUUAGGAGUUCCUUUUUUGAAAUCCUCAUUAGAUGCUAAUAUCUAGCCCUUCAAGAUACCUUUCCAACGCAUCAAGAAUCACAGCAAUCUUAUAUGUGAGUGGAAAGUUAUGAUUAAAAUACUAAAGUGUGUGGAGGCUGUUUCCAAAAAAAAAAAGAACAUUACUACUACUUUAAGUGUAUCUUUUGAUGUUUCCGGUUUAUAUUGAUAUAUUAUUCAUGUGAAUAAUAUAAGAAAAUUGCACUUAAAAAAUAAUGAACAAUUUUUUUUUUUAGUAUGUUAAUUUUUUCAAUAUUUUUUUUUAAAAAACACUAGUUUAGAGUGAAUUAAAUUCACUCGCAUUGUAACAUCAAUUUUAUACCUGAUAAUAUUUUAUCUAAUUUUAUUACAUGCUCAAAAAAUUAUGAAAACUGUAGUUCUUGUCGGAUGUAUUUCGUACAUAAUGGAAUUGUAGAUAGUUUCAUAGAAUAAUAAAAAAUAUUUUAUAUAAAGUAUGAUUUAUUUCAUGAUUUAAUAGCAAUAGUUAAAUCUACAAUAUUUAAAUUAAAAAUCAUCAAUAUUAAUAUAUAUUUUUUAAAAUUAUUUUAUAACCUCAAUUUCAAAAGCAUUCUUAACCAAACACAUUAAAUUACUUUUUUUUCAACUUCAAUUUCAAUCAUAUUUUUAACCAAACACCUAUUUUUUCAAACAAAUCUCAACUAAAAAUAUUUUUUUUCAAAUCACAACCAUAAUAUGUAUCGCAAUACUAAACACACUACAGGUAAUAAACUAGCCCAACAAAUCAUACCUAGGGAAGCAAAAGCCAGAAACAAGCUACCUCGAUUCUUGCUCCACCGGGGUAAGAAAUGCAGCAUGCCCACUUGGAAUUAUAGAGCGUCCAAAUUCCAUGGCAAAUAAUUGGUUGGAAUUGUUUUCUGAGGGGUCAUUUCAAAAUCUGAAAAUAAAAACAGAAAAUAGAUCCAGCAAAUGAUUCCAAAUAUCUUCUAAAAACAACGAUGAAAUAUGUUUUUUUAUUUACCGUAAGGAAAGAUAUUAAUGAAAUUUUUUUAUAAAAAAAAUCAAUUUAAAAAAUAUAUAACAAGUCAAAAUCUAUACUUAAAAUCUUUCUCGUAUUAAAUUCUUAAUUCAAUCAAAUAAAAUAUUAAUUUAAUAAAACAUAGUUAAGUUUUUGAUAGUUGAAUAUUUAGUAUAACGGUGACGUACUACUUAUUAUUUCUAUUUUAGCAUUUUAGCAUUUCAUACUCAUCAAAACCAUUGGAACACAAUCAAGCUUUAUCUUCAAACAACCAGGGAGAUUUUAUAGGGAUAAAAUUUUAAAAAUCACGUCUAUGCUACUUUCUAGUUUUAAUAUUAAAUUUAAUAUUUAAAAAAUGUGUUUAUGAAUAUGGCAGUUUCAGGUUUAGAAACCAAAACUGCCAUAUUCAUACUCUUUUAGACAUUUUAAAAAUAUGUAUAGAAGAAUACUUUCACUGAUGAGUUAUAAUAUUAGGUUACUUUAAUGAUAAAUCAAUAUAGUAUUUUUUUUUUUUUUUUUGGAUUUUCAUCUUGGAGAAAUUCAAUAGGAUGAAAAUAUAAUAUUAAUCAAACUUUAAAUUAUAAUUGUUUAUCUAUCGAGUUAAAAAAAAUAUGACAAUUCAGUAGUCUUUAAUGAAAAAGAAAAAAAAGAGGUUAUUUAUGUAAUUGUAAGCACGCUAUAUUAUAUUACUUUACAAAGGGACCAAGGACACCCUUUGCAUUAGGAUGCUCCCACUGCACUAUUGUCUCCCACUGCACUAUGGCUGGCCAUUUUCAAGCAACGAAAGACAAAUUGGCAUCCUCUUCAGCUUCUCACAACCCAUUACAGUAAUAUCUUCAAUAGAAUUGCAAAUCAGUUUUGCACUGCAAAUGCUUUUCAGUUCUGGUAAGUCUACCAAUUCCAGAGUUAUUAACUUUGGGAGAAUGACUUCCGUGAUGGUAUUGGAGGUGCUGCUUUCUUCAUCUGUUGUUCCUAUUAUCUCCUCCAUUUUCUCACAAUCUUCAACUUCAAUCCUUUCCAGGUUUACGAGGUUUGGCAGCAACACAAGCGGGAACAGCUUCUUCAUACUUUUACAGGUAUAACAAGAAAACUCUUUAAGACCAGAAAACGUACCGUUACAUGAUGGCAAUCGUGGUGGAGCAGAGCAGAACCAAGAAGAUGAAACCAAGCUCUCCAUGCUAUUGCAAUCCCCAAUGUUGAUGUGCUCCAGUUCAGUUGCAUUCUCUAAUGACAAAACAUCACAUAAACUUCUUGCAUCGAUGCAUUGACAAAUCAGUCCUUGAAUGCCAUUUAAGAACUUGACCUGAAAAUCUCUAUCUCCGUUGAUACUCAAAUUACCCAACCCAACUGUUUUACUUGGAUAAUCUUCAAUGCAUUCCUCUAAAAAUCUACCCACCUCUCCUACUAAAAUCUUGCAUGUGCUUAAUGAUAGGAUCCCAUCCCGAGAUCUGAGAUACUCCACGAAGUCAGAAAAACCUUCGAAAUGGCACUCCAAAGUUUCCAAAUUUCUCAAGGAUACUACUUCCUCUACUUUAACUGUUAUCGGAGCAUCAUCUUGCGGCAUAAAAUCUUCUAGUACAAAGACUUGCAGGUGAGAGAGUUUUGGUAAUAUCCCACUAGGAAACUCCUUUUCACCACAUCCAUUCAUUCUAAGAUACAUCAGGUUGGUUAGGCAUUCCAUUCCUUGCGGCAUCGUUUCAAGUCGAGUACCAGAGAGAUCCAACCUCUUCAGUGCCCUGAGCUUCUUUAAUGAUGGAACAUAUCUUAACUUGUCACACUCACGCGGAGCAAUAACGCAGUGAGACUCACCAAAUCAGAGACAGAGUCUGGCAAGUUUUCAAUACCUGUCCAAGACAGAUCGAGGACCUUGAGCCCAUGCAAUUGCUUGAAAAAUGAAUCCGCAACAAAUCCCAAGAACCGAUUUUCACAUAGCAAUAGAGUUGAUAGAUAGGGACACCUAGGUGAAUGGCUGGAAGGAAUUUCUUCGAUCUUGUUUGCAUUAGUGAAACUCUCGUCAGAUUCUCCGUCCACUCCUCUGCAUCUGGCAACUUUUAAUUGGCACCUGCUUUAACCAUGCCUUGAGAGUUCUCUGCAGUAUUGGAUGGCCAUGUCCCUAAUCAAGUCAUGCAUCUUGACACGUCUAUAUCAUACUCUAACUCUUUUAGCACUUUCCAAUAGGCAGACAUUUUCAAGUCUAUUAAGCAUCGUGUGGCCCUCAUCAAAUGCAUCUCCCCUGCUCCUCUUUCCUUUAAUUAUUCCCUCAUCGAUCAAAUAACCUAUCAACUCCUCCCUUUCAAUCAUCAUCUUCAGGAAAUAAUGCACAGUACAAGAGACAUUGUUGUAGUGCUAAAUCACCUAACCGAUCAUAACUAAACCUCAAUAACUUGAAUACUUCAUUGUCCCUAAAUUCUGAUUCUCUCAAUUUGUUCAAUGUAUUUCUCCACUCAUGUAGGUCAUCCACUCCCCUCAAGCUUCCUGCCACUGUAAUAAUUCCCAAUGGCAAACCAGCACAUUCCUUGCAACAGCUUUCGCAAUUCCUUCCACUUCUGGUGAAAGUGCUACAUCACGUGAAGUUUCUCCAUGAACAAAGUCCAAGCUUCUCCAUUAGAAAGUGGCUUCACUUUGAUUUUGUGCUGGCAAGCCAUCGAUGACAAACCGUUUCUGAUCGAGUUGUCAUAAUCAGCUUGCAUCCUUCCAACUUUCAGGAAUUCCCACUUUGUGUAGCUCAAAAUUGUUCCACAAAUCAUCUAAAAUGAGAAUCCAUUUUUGUUUCUUCCUUAGUUCUUCUGACAAUUUGGCAGCUCUAUGCAGAUCAUCAUCUUCGCUUGAAAGGUCUAGAUGAAGACGUUUAGCAAUAAGAUUCUGCAAUCUAUUAAUGCUGAAAUCUUGAGACACAGUCACCCACCAAACAUGAUCACAAAUAUCUGGUCUUUGUAGAAGCUCAUUAUGGAUAUGUUGCAGUAUUGUGUUUUACCAACUCCCCCCAUCCCAUAAAUGCCAAUGGUUGAGACUUCCAUCCAUUAACAAAGACCAUAUCACCUUCGUAUUCUCUUCGAAUGCUUGACCCACUGGCUUUGUAGAGCUAGUAGGUAAUGGAACUCCUCUAGUCUUGUUGUAUUUCAGACUUUCAGAAGAUCUAGCUCCAGCACUAACCUGCACUGAUCUUCGACUAUUCUCCACAUCCUCCUCCACUGGUUCUGUCCUCACUCUAACCCGAUUAAUUCUCUCUUCCCCGGCACCUUGUUCCAGCACCCCCUGAACUCCCACUUGUAUCCUUCCAGCAGCCCCUGCCAAAUUGCCAAGUACUGCAUUGUUUUGUUCCAACGAUCGAUCCACUGGUUCUGUCCUCGGUCUGCUCUCGAGUGCCCCUUCAGAAACUCCAUCUUCUUGUGCUCUCAUUCUGGUCAUGCUUACUACGUCGUUUCCUGCUAUUGCAUGUGAAGUAAUCCUCUCUUCCCCUACUCCGGGUUCUACAACCUGAACUUCUCUUGUACCCUUCCAAUUCCUCCUCCCAUAUUUUCAAUCUCAAUGUUUUGUUCUUGUGGACAAGUUGAAAUUCUAGAAUCAUUAACAUUGAUUGAACUUUCUGUGCUUUUAAGUCUUUUGUUGCCACGACACAUAGCUUUCCAGGCUGCUUCUUGAACUUCUUUAGCCACCCCACGACAAAUGGAAACACCAUGCCCUUCUUCUCUUGAUAAAUGCCAUUUGAUCCUUGAAAUGGAAGUUAGUGGCAUAUGUAUGUGGACAAAACUUACACUUCAUGCUACCAUCAGCCCUUUCUUCAACAUAAUUCCGAAAUGAAUCAUUUGAUCCACCCAUUUCAACCUAUAGAAAAAAAGGGGUGGGGUCAAAAUAUAGAAUAAAAAUCAGUCAAAAUAAAGAAUAAAAAUCCUAUCCGGAUGGAUGAAAAACUACUUCUUUAGUGUUGUUACCCUUAUUUUGCUAUUAAAAUUGAUAGUUAGUUUAUUGCACAAUCAUAGGAGGUAAAAAGACGACGAUAAUUUAAUUAGACUUCUUACUUGUUGAGUAUUUAAACCCCUAUUUUGACUUUGCAGGGAAGUGUCAAGGCCGGGAUUUGAGGCAUUUGGCAUAGCAGUUUGAUUUUGCAAUCCUCGGACUUGGAGGUUAUCCAUCUGUGACCUAUAUAUAUACAAAUGAAUUGAUCAUAUUAUAAAACCUUUCCAUAAUUGGUAGUCUCUCUUAAACAGUAAAAGUUAAUGGUGUUAAAACACAACAGAUAGAAGUCAGUCAGUACCCAGGCACGAAGUUCUCUUGCUGGACAUUGUCUAUGUUAGGAAUUACAGCAGCUGGAUCGACUUGUCCUUGAUUAGAAAAAUAUUGACUCCUGAAUCCAAAAUCAUUUGCAAACAAUAUGUUUAGCUUAUUGGGUUCAUGUUCAAGCUAUGAUGUUUCCUUCCUGGUUGAAAAACUAUUUUUUAUAUAUAUAUAGAAAAUACUAAACGUGAAAAAUUGGAUACCGGGGAGCAGGAAAAGAAGGUCCAGGUUGAAUGAAGCCACCAUGUUCUGAAGUGGUUGCGUUCGGUGUCAUAUAGGCAUGUCCCGGCUGAGGUUGAUGAAUAUUGGAGUACUGAUGCCUGAAUAAUAUUCAAAUAGUUAAACUUAGAACUGUUAUUCUAACUUGGUUGAUUUUCUAGUUCCAUUAUGUGCACAAGACAAAAACAAAAAAUAGAGAUAGAGAGCUCAGAAAGACUCGAAAGAUCCUCGUCAAUUCUGGUCAAGUUUAUUGUUUUCAUGAUUAAAUAAGUGUAUAUUCAAAGUUAAUACCAUUGAUUCAAUGGAGGUUGAGGUCCAGGUAGCAUCGCAGGCACUUGAUUCCUCAUUGGUAACUGAUAAUUAGUCCAUUGUUGGUCCCUAAAUUAGCAACAUUUGUUAGUAAUUUCUUUAUACAUAUACGCGUAAUUCUUUACUAUUACUCCACUAAGCAUUUGAUAUCAUUUUAGCUUACCUCAAAGGCAUUGACGGUCCAGGUAGCAUGGGAUUGGCACAUCGAGGAUCAGAUAAAUUAGGAUGAGGCAGAUACCUAUAUUCAAAUAUAAUGAAUUCAUUUAGUGUAAUAAAUUGGCAUCACUGAUAAGAAAAUUAGGCAGAUAAGUAGAACAACAACAAGAAGUUAAAUAAUUAUGAAUAUUAUGUACAAGAAGAAUUUAAAUAAUGAUUAUUCUCACUUAGUUGAUUUUCUAGUUUCAUUAUGUGAUGCAAAUCAGGAGACAGGGGAAACAGGGGACUCUUGAAAGCUGAUUAUUAACUGUAGUUAUUAUUUUUCAAGUUUAUUGUUUUCAUGAUUAAAAAAGUGUGUAUUCAAAGUUAAUACCAUUGAUUUAUUGGAGGUUGAGGUCCAGGUAACAUCGCAGGCACUUGAUUGCUCAUUGGUAACGGAUAAUUAGUCCAUUGUUGGUCCCUAAAUUAGCAACAUUUGUUAGUGAUUUCUUUAUACAUAUGCAUAAUUGUUAGCUAUUAAUCCACUAAGCAUUUGAUAUCAUUUUAGCUUACCUCAAAGGCAUUGAUGGUCCAGGUAGCAUGGGAUUGACACAUUGAGCAUCAAAUAAAUUAGGAUUAAGCUGAUACGGUGAUACCUAUAUUCAAACAUAAUGAAUUCACUGAUAAGUACAACAACAAGAGGAAGAAAAGAAGAAGUUAAAUAAUGAUUGAAAAACUUUUUUUUUUAACAGAAAAUACUAAAAAUGAAAAAUUGGAUACCGGGGAGCAGGAAAAAGAAGGUCCAGGUUGAUUGAAACCACCAUGUUCUGAAGUGGUUGCGUUCGGUGUCAAAUAGCCAUUUCCCGGCUGAGGUUGAUGAAUAAAGGAAUUAUGAUGCCUUGAUGGAGUUUGAGGCCAAUUUUAUAUAAAACUUAACGAUAAAAAAAUAUCAUAAAAAAAGUCUAAAUCUCCCAAUUGUUGUCUGUUUGUUUAACAAUAAACAUUUUGAAGAUGCUCGAGAUAAAUUGAUACACGAAAACAUAAAACUUUUUGAUCCAAUGGGUGAUACAAACACUUGCUAAUUCAAUGGACAUUGUAGCAAAUUGGAGUAGGCAUGAGCACUCACCAUGGUUUGACGAAAUGAAGGUGGAAACAGAGUUGUUUGUUGAAGACUAUCGUUGAUCACAUUGUUAUCCACCACCAUGUUCUGUCCAUCUUGAUCAUUGCAUAAUAUGGAGCUUUGGUUGCCUGAAACCUCCGGUGGCGACCUGCUUAAUUUGUUAUUAGGAACAUUAUUCUUUUUGGGGAAUAAUAAGAAAAACUGUAGAAUAACUAAAUUGCAAGUAAUCAUCUUCUGAUAAAAUAUGCUUAAGAAUGACGUACGAGAGAAACUCAGAAAUAUUGAAUGAAUCUUCUGGUGAUUGAAAAUCGAACUGAUUCGAUGUCAAGUUGACAUCAUCCUCAUUACAAGACGGUGGGACUCCUUCCAUCUGAGGUUUAAAAAAGAACAGAAAGCACAGAUUAGAUAAGAAUAUAUAUAUAUAGAUUAGAUAAGAAUAUAUAUAUAUAUAUAUAUAGACACACACACAUGACUUAUUUAUUUGUUAAAGAAAUUCGGAUGAAAAAUAGGAAAUAUAAAUGUUGCUGUUAAUUAUUUAAUUCUUUGUUUUAAUGCUAAAUUAUUUGUCACUUGUUGUGAACAAGUUUAAUGAAAGGUAAUUAAUACUGAUCAAGUUAAUUCAUGAAUCAGUAAAAAACAACUUCAUUGAAUCAUUAUGUCAGAAAAAUAUUGGAUAAAAAUAAUUAAUGGCAGUCCCACAGGGCAUGGAUUACAAAAUCCCAUAUAUAAGGAGUUAAAAACAGCAAAGAAUCUUCAAAAGACAAAAACACUGAAUUCAAGGUUUAGGGUUAAUUUAAUCAGUAUGAACACCACAGGGCAUGGAUUACAAAAUCUGAGAAAAAGAUCGAUUUAUUUAUCAUGGAUUACUUUAAAGAUUCAGACAAGAUGAAGUACAAAUAAUUUACCUGGAUUCAAGAUAUUCUUCAAGUGCUCGCUUGUUUGCUUAAGCAGUGAUCAGCCAAAAGAAAAGGAAGAGAAAUCACAGAUCAGAGAAGAAUAAAUGGCUUGGAAAAAUAAUAAAGUUGCAGCAUACAUAAAUCUAGUUCGCACUGAUCAUGAGAUGGGGAAAGGAAAAUAGGGAAUUCUACAAUGAGAUGAGAUGUGACGUGGAAGAGAAUGUUACAGCAGCAAGGUCGCCUCAAUAAUAAUAAUUAAUUAACGUAUUGUUUGAUAGGAAGGAAAUUGCCAGGAAGCAACCCAAACAUAUUACAUUAUCAGUUAUAGAAAAAUAACGUGUGGACCCGCCCCAUGUUCACACUUCGAAGAAGCUGCCAAGAAAAUGUAAACACAUGAAAAUGAGAAUGAAUAGCAUAUUUGUGCAUUGAGUGAAGUUUUUUUUUUAAUUAUUUUUUAUUUAAAAAUAUAUUUAAAUUUUUUAUAAAAAUUUUUUAUAUUGCCACAUAAAAACAAUUCAAAAAUAUUAAUUACAAACAGUCACUUGAUAUAAUUUUACAGACUUUUAAUUAGCCUCACUCAUUUGAGCCAUGUCAUGGAUUAAUGGUUCACAGCAACUCUUCAUUCUGUGAUCUUUCCUGCCCUACCUAGAACAACCACCGCCCCGACAUAAAUAAUAAUAAUUUCACAGUUGAAUCAUGUUUUUUUUAAAAACUUAAUAUUUUUUUAUUUUAAAUUAAUUUUUUAAAUAUUUUUAGAUUGUUUUAACAUUUUAAUGUUAAAAAUAAAUUUUAAAAAAUAAUAAAAAUAUUAUUUUAUUAUAUUUUUUAAUAAAAAAAUAAUUUAAAAAACAAUUAUUAUCUCAAUAUCAAACAUUAUCUUAUUAUAUGAUACUAUACUUGAACUUUUCCACACCAAUGGAAAUUUGUUUUUCCCAACACCCUUCUACACAUUUAUAUUUUUAGCCCUCAGACCUAUAAAGUAUGAUUUGCUAGCCAAUCUGCACACUAGUUUCCCAUUAAUACAAAGAUGAUCGUGUUUUUUUGGUGCCAAAAUUGUCGGCCAAUAAUUUUCCAUUUUUAUCCGAGUUUUUAAUGAUUUUUUUUUAUCUCAAAUUUAUAAAUUAAAAAAUUAAUAAAAUAAAAUUUUAAAUCAAAAUUAAAAAUCAAAAUUAAAAUGCAAAAUGCAAAAACUUAGGGAACAGAAUUUUGAAAAACACGCCAGGCUACUUUUUGAUUUCAGUAUCAUAUUUGGUGUUCACAGUUUCAAUUAUUUAUAAUGAAUUAAAUUGAAUACAAUUUUAUCACAUCAAAUGCCAACUUAAAUUAAUCUUCCUUUUUUUUUUACCUUGAGAACUUUAUAAUUAAUUAAAAUAAAUUAUCAACCUCAAAUUUCCAUGAAUAUAAAAUUAAAAAUAAAAUAAUCAGCUCAAAUAAUAAUUAAUUAACGUAUUGCCUGAUAGCAAGGAAGUUGUCAGGAAGCAACCUACCGCUCACCUACCAAACAUGAGAGUGUUUGGAGAUUAUUUUGGUUUUUUUUUUUUAUGGUCAUAUAAAAAAUAUUUCUUUUAAAUUUUAAAAAAUAUAAUGUAUAUUUUAAAAAAUUAUUUUUUUAAUAAAAAAAUUAUCACAUCUCCAUACCAAACACACAUAUUAUAUUAUAAGAUAUAAAAGUUAACAUGUGGACCCCACCAAUGUUGAAACUUCGAAGAAGCUGCCAAGAAAAUGUAAACACAUGAAAUUUUCAAAAAAGAAUAGUAUAUUUAUGCAUGCUGUAAAUGUUUUUUAAAAAUAUUUUUUAUUUAGAAAUAUAUUAAAAUAAUAUUUUUAAAUUUUUUACUUUUUAUAUCAUAAUAUCAAAAUAAUUAAAAAAUAUUAAAAAUAUAUUUUUAAAAAAUACAUUAGGAUUGUAAAGAUAAACCAGUUCUAACAUUUAAAUUGUUUUAAAAGUAUUUUUAAAAUGUAAAAAUAAACAGUAUUUAAGGUGUAUUUGGUAGUUUUUAUCCUUCUGCCUUUGAGUGUGUCUAUCAGAGCAGAGUGAUUUUACUUAACCAUGAAAUUUUUGUGAGAUAAAUUAUAAUGAAUUUUUUUCUAUUUUACUAAUAUACCCAAGGUGUUUAUAACUAGAUGCUACUUGCUGAGGUGGAUAUUAGCAACAGAGGAAAGCAUACAAAAGUAACAAAAAAAAAAAUGGAUAGCAAAGACGAAAGCAUAUGAAGCUAACAAAAUCAACCCCACCAUUUCUCAAAUAUUCAGAUUUUAAAAAACACAUGGAAAUAAUAAUUUAAGAAGAAACAUGUUUUCAAGCUGUGUCAAAUGCAGAAUGCUUUAAUUAAUACGAGGAAAAUCUUGUUGAUAAUAUAGUUCGGUAUAGCGCACUGCCAGUUUAAAAUUACAAUCAUUAUUGAUUUUUAAAGUAUUUUUUAUUUAAAAAUAUAUAAUAAUUUCAGAAUCAUGUUUUUUUAAAAACUUAAUACUUUUUAUUUUAAAUUAAUUUUUUAAAUAUUUUUAGAUUAUUUUGACAUUUUAAUGUUAAAAAUAAAUUUUAAAAAAUAAAAAAUUAUUAUUUUAAUAUAUUUUAAAUAAAAAAAAUAAUUAAAAAAAAAUAUUAUCACACCAUCAAACCUUAUCUUAUUCUAUGAUAGUAUACCUGAACUUUUCCACACAAAUGGAAUUUUUUUUUUUCCAACACUCUUCUACAGAUUUUAUAUUCCUAGCCCUCGACCUAUAAAGUAUGAUUUGCUUCCAAUCUGCACACUAGUUUUCCAUUAAUACAAAGAUGAUCGUGUUUUUUUGUUGCUAAAAUUGCCGGCCAAUAAUUUAAGAGGUGCGUUUAUUUAAGAGGUACAUCAGUCAAUGAGUUUGGAGUACAAAUUUAUAUUUUCCAUUUCUAUAAAGUAUGAUUUGCUAUCCAAUCUGCACACCAGUUUUUCAUUAACACAAAGAUGAUAGUGUUUUUUUUUUUUUUCUGCCAAAAAUUAUCAACCAAUAAUUUUCCAUCAUUUUCCGAGUUUUUUCAGUGACUUUUUGUCAGUUAAAAAUAUAAAGAUUUUUGCGGUGAUUUUAGCCCAACUUUGGGGUAUCGAGUCUCCACUGAGAAAUUAAAAGAAUAGAAAAAAAUAUUACAUGGAGACAAAUUAAGAGAAUAGAAGAAAAUAUUAAAUGAUUUAAUAGAGAAAAAAAUUUAAUUUUAAAUGCAAAUUAAAAUAAAGCAAGGUGACUAAUGGAGAAAGUAGUGGAAUUCUACAAAGAGUAGAACGUCGAAAAUCCUUGCACACAUUUGAUAUUUUAAUUAUUCUUAUUUCGUUUAAUAACUCAAUUGAAAAUUCAAUUCCCAGAAUAUCCGCUUUCGAAAAAUCAUUCAUCACUUUUAAAUACGCAAAUGAUUAUUAAGAAAAUUCAACGACAACAAUAUACUCAAGAGCAAUAUUACAGUAAAGAAAUCAAAUCAAUACAGAUAAAUAUAUGAUCCAAAUAUAAUAAAGAAUUAAUCCAUUUAAUUGAAAAAAAACAUGACUGAAUCCAUAAACUACGUCGCCGUGGUCCCACAUGUUUUUAAAUACAUGCAGGCUGGUUCAAAGUGAAUUUCACGACUUUGGGCCUUGACUUGUCUGUGAGAGCUUCAACUCUACAUUGAAAUGUUUUUUCUUAAACUGUGAGAGCCUCAUAAUAAGCUUAUUGAAAUAAAUUAUUAUAAUGAAAUUAAAAACAAAAAUGCUUAAAAAAAAACAGAGAGACGCCGUGUUUUCUCUGUUGCUACAAGGUAAAAGUCUGAGCAUAUUUAUUUUUUUAUUUUUAUUUUUAUUUUAAUAAUAUUACUGUUAUAUCUACCGCCUAGAAAUCAAGAACGCUAGUUUCAUUUAAAAGAUUCUAAAGUUCAUAUUUAGAUAAAUUAGCAGAAAGGACGAAAACACAACAAAUCAUACCCAGAGAAGAAAUGCAGCGUGCCCACUUGGAAUUACACAUCAUCCAAAUUCCAGGGCAAAUAAUUGGUUGGAAUUGUUUUUUGAGGAGUCAUCUCAAAUUUGAAAAUAAAAACAGAAAAUAGAUCCAGCAAAUGAUUCCAAAUAUCUUCUAAAAAGAACAAUGAAAUAUGUUUUUUAUUUACUGUAAGGAAAUAUAUUAAUGGAAAAAAUAAAAAAAAUCAAUUUAAAAAAUAUAUAAUAAGUCAAAAUCUAGACUUAAAAUCUAACUCGUAUCAGGUUCCUAGUUGAAUUGAAUAAUUGAAUAAAAAGGUGGGAAAGGGAGACAUCGAAAGGUGUCAAAUAGAAAAAAAAGAAGAAAAAAAGAUGGUGGCUGGUUCAAAGGACGAGCUUAAUCUCAUGAAUCAUUUUUUAACCUUUAUGGUAAGACUUGACACGUGUGCUCUAAACCCUCCUGUCCCUCUUCCAUUAGCGUAAACCUAUGCUUCUCUGGACUUAAUUUGAUCCCAAUAAACCAAUCCAUGGAGUUGGUGCUAAUGUAAUUGAUAUAACUUUUUAAAUUAUUUUUAUUUAAAAAAAUAUCAAACUAAUUUUAAUGUGUUGGUAUUAAAAAAAUUUAAAAAUAUUCUAAAAAUAUAUUUUUAUUUGAAAAAUAUUUUUUUAAAAAACCGUAUGUAGAAUUAUUAAACACCCUUAAGCCAGUGGACAAAGACACAAACGACAAAAUACAAAGGAAAAGGGAUAAAAGCAUAUAUUUGGAGAUGAUAAAAGGGCAUGAGAUCAAAGAGGAUAAGUUUUCCAGUGAUGGGAUUGGAUGGUGAUGAAGGAUUGUGUGGAUAAGAGCAUAGUAAUUAAUCCUUUACUAAAAAGUUCUUCAAUGACCUAAUUCUGUGGCCCAACAAAAUUAUCAUUAUCCAAUAAACUAUUUGAUUAAUUCAGUGUUGCUUAAUCCCAGUUUGCUAUUGCGUUUUAAAUGGGUAUUGGUUAAAAUCAGAACCCAUUUAUGUUUCUCCAUUAUUUCUUUUUUCAAUUCGACCACUCUAUGCAGCUCCUCAUUUUCAUUAGAAAUAUUCAGACCAAUACGUCUUUCAUUUCCACCAUGUUCUGCACAUCACACAUAAUGACAUCUUUGUUUAGCGAUGGAGCACAGAGUUGAUCAUAAUAAAUAUCUUCCAUGGUCAAGACACAAUGAAUCUCCAUCACAACCCAACAUCAUUAGCUUAUCUGCUAUCCCUUUCAAGAGAAGAAGAUUUCGAAUCAGUCCAUUCAUUCCCAUCUGUAGGCAUCUUUCUCAAACAUUAAGAAAAAAAAUGAAAAAUAAAUAAAAAAGGAAAUUUUUUUAUCUUAAGCUAUAUAUCCAACACUCACUUGAAAGAUAUUGAUAACCAUGCAAGCAGUUUACAUGUCAGUAUUUGACAAGGGGUGGGAGAUAUUGGAAACAAAUUAGAGUACACAAAUAGAAUGUACUUGGUGAAUUGCCCGCGCGGUGCCGGGGUCAACAUGAACUGAGAAAAACCUAAAAGCACUGAGAUCGAACUGAGCAACCAUGUGCAGUAAGCUAUUUGGCUGCCAGAACAAUUCAAAAAGGGCCUCCGAUUAAACAUCCCGAGGGCAAAUGUAAACACAUGAAAUUUUCAAAAAAGAAUAGUAUAUAUAUUUAUGCAUGCUGUAAAUUUUUUAAAAUAUAUUUUUUAUUUAGAAAUAUAUUAAAAUAAUAUUUUUAAAUUUUUUAUUUUUUAUAUCAUAAUAUCAAAAUAAUUAAAAAAUAUUUUUAAAAAACACGUUGUGAAUAAGUUCUAUCAUUUAAAUUUUUUUAAAAGUAUUUUUAAAAUAUAAACAUAAUUUAAAGUAUGUUUGGUAGUUCUUGUGCUUCUGCCUUUGAGUGUGUAUAUUAGAGCAGAGUGAUUUUACUUAACCACGAAAUUUUUGGGAGACAAAUUAUAGUGAAUAUUUUUCUAUUUUACCAAUAUACCCAUGGUGUUUAUAACAGAGUGAUGCUACAUGCUGAGGUGGAUAUUAGCAACAGAGUAAAGCGUACAAAAGUAACCAAAAAAAAAUAUUGUGUUUUUUAAAAUCUGAAUAUUUGAGAAUUGGUGGGGUUGAUUUUGUUAGCUUGAUAUGCUUUCCUCUUUCCUCUUUGCUUUUCAUUUUUUUUUGUUACUUUUGUAUAAAUUAGUGAAUUUUAUCUUAGUCCAUUAGAAAUUUGCCUUUCCAAUUUUUUUUAAAAACAAAGAAAAGUAAAAUUCAAGACUUAUGUCUGUUUGACAACACCAGUCUAAUGGACUCGUGUUGUUGAAAUAACUUAAUAUUCUAAUAAAGUUUGUUACUGAAUAUAUAUUCUCCAAAUCCUUACUAAAUUAUUAGAAAGUAACAUUAUAAUAUUUUUAGGUCUGCUUAAUUUAUUUGGUUUAAAAUAAUUUUUUAAUAUAGUAUCAGAUAUUUAAUAACUUAUGAGUUAUUUGUUAAGUUAAUUUAAAUUAAUUAUUUUUAUUAAAAUAAUAUUAUUUCAUUAUUUUUUAUUAAUCUAGUCAAAUAUGAACUAGAUUGGUUUUAUUAAAUUUAUCAAAUUUCAUCAAAUUAAUAUUUUAUUUGAUACAAUUACAAAUUCAAUUUUUUUAAGGUCAAUAUUUAGAAAUAAAUGAAUAAAUAAAUAAAAGCUACAUACCAAUAUUUAAUUUAAGUAACCUCAAAGACUACUAAUUUAGCUUUUGAUAUUAAAAGGGUGUAUGUCUUUAUUCUCUGUCUAGUUGAUGAGGCAAAUAUCAGGCUAAUAGCUUUUUAAGUGAGUUUAGAUAAUAACUAAUAAUAUAUCCCUAGUGAUUCCCCUAAUGAUUAUAAAAUAUUGCGUGGGAAAUGCAGGUGAAGAAUUAGAAACAAGGAAAAAUGUCGACACAAUGAAAAUUAAUUGUUAUAUAAUUGUACAUGGCAUACACUUUAAAGCUCUGAACUUCAGUAAAUGAUUUAAUAGAGAAUAAAAUUUAAUUUUAAAUGCAAAUUAAAAUAAAGCAGAGUGACUCAUGGAGAAAUUAAGCACAACUGGAAUUCUACAAACAGUAGAGCGUCGGGAAUCCUUGCACACCUUUGGUAAUUUAAUUAUUCUUAUUUCGUUUAAUAACUCAAAUAUAAUAAAGAAUGAAUCCAUUUAAUAGAGAAAACAUGACUGAAUCCAUAAACCACAUAAAUCCCUUUUUGUUAUCUGGUGCAAUUCCCACGCGUCUUCUUUAUUCCAAAUGCCCCUCUUUUCAAAUUAGGCAUCUUCAAUCUCCUUUUUCAUCACGUCUCCAUGAUCCCCGUUGUGUCACAAACAAAUUGCCUAAAGUUUAGGAUUUUUUUUUGGCAGCCACAUACAUGCUUUAGGAGUUCCUUUUUUGAAAUCCUCAUCAUAGAGUAAUUUGUAGCCCUUCAAGAUACCUUUCCAACGCGUCAAGAAUCACAGCAAUCCGAUAUGUGAGUGGAAAGUUAUGAUUAAAAUACUUUAGUUCAAAGUGAAAUUUCACGACUGCUGGCCUUGACUUGUCUGUUUAAUUUCUAUUAUUUUUAUUCACAUUUUAGCAUUUUAUUCCAAUGAUAGAACGCACUUUCAUAGACUCAUCAAAACCCCACGAACGUCAUCAAGCUUUAGCUUCAAACAACCAGAUCGGGAGAUUUAGUGCAGUGGAGAACUUCAACAUCUACUAUGAAGCUUGAUUUGCUAUCCAAUCCACACACAAGUUUUCCAUUGAUACAAAGAUACUGUAUUUUUUAUACAAAGAUACUGUAUUUUUAACCGUCUAGUAAAUAAUUUAAUGGUAAAAAUUUAAGAUCAAGAGAUUUACUAUCUACUGUGGUCUCAAGUUCGAGUCAUGUGAUUGUCAAUAUUAAUGGUUACUGGAAGCUUACUUGCUCAUUAAUUUUAAAAUUUGUAAAAAUUAGUUAAUGUGCGUGUAAGUUGAUCUAGAUACCCCCAAUUAAUAAAUAAAUAAAAAUGGUGUAUUUUUGUUGCCGGAAAAUUGUCCACCAAUAACUUUUUAUCUUUUUCCAAGUUUUCUAGGUGACUUUUUUCUUUCAUCUCAAAAUCAUGGAUCAAAAGUGAAUAAAAUAAAAUUUUGAAUCAACACUAAAAAUAAAAAAAUAAAAAAUGCAAAAAGUCUAGUGAUCAAGAUUUUUAAAAUCACGCCUAUGCUACUUUCUAGUUUUAAAUAUUCAAAACAAGGCUCAUUAUCAUAUAUUCAUAGAGACAUACCAAUGUAGCUUUUGAUGUUUACCGGUUUGGGUAUGUCCAUAUACUUUUAAAUAUUUUUUAAAAUUUAUAUUUGUUUAUAAAAAAUAUUAAAUUAAUAAUUUUUUAGUUGUUUUUAAUGAUUUUGAUGUAUUGAUAUUAAAAAUAAAAUCUAAAAAAAUUAUUUUUAAAAAAUAUUCUAUAUAACAGUAUCAAACACAUGAUAACCUGGUCCAAAAGCUUUCGACCGAGCAUAAAAUGGUUUUCAACCCAAUCAUACUUUUUCCUCAUUAUAAAUAUAAAAUAAAGUUCAACUAUUCAAGUUAAGUAGGGUCCAAUCAAGGUUGUUAAAAUCACGAUUUUAACAUGAAACAGAAAGUCUUUCACAAAUUCGGAUCGUAAAAUCAUAAAAAAAUCGUAAGGAAUUUUAAAAUAUAUUAAAAAAAAUUCAUAUUUCAAAAUAAUAAUAAAAUAUUAAUUAAAUUUUAAAAAAAAUAAAAAGAACAGGAGAAUUGCAAUGCCAAAAGAUGUCGUCGAAAGGGAUUGGAGAACAUUUUAUUGUUAUUUUUUUAGGUUUUAAAUGAUAACAAUCAGUAUUAUGGAAAUUCCAUCCUGUCACAGUAAUUGAUAACAAGCAGCACUAUUUUGUGGCCCACACUUUUGCCAUUUGUCCAGGAGACUUCAAGCCUUCAAGGCCGAAGCAGAGAAGCGAAGACUGUGCCAUUUGUCCAGGAGACUUCAAGCCUUCAAGGCCGAAGCAGAGAAGCGAAGACCGAAGAUGAAGAAUUGAAGACCAAAGACAGGUGGACAUGGGGCGGGGGACUUUCAGUGCAGGUUUUAGAAAUUAUAUUGAAAUCGUAAAAUCGGUCCUGAUAUCGCGAUUUUGCAUGAUAUCAUCUAAUUUUUGCGAUUUUACCUGAUUUCAACCCGAUUUUACUCAUUUUCAAUUUUUUCAACCGAUUCAACCCGUAAUGCAUGUUUUGACUCGUAAAAUCAUACGAUUUUACAAGUCAAAACGCGAUUUUGACAACCUUAAGUCCAAUCUUAAAUGGUUCAAACAUUAUUGUUAGAACGUGACAGUGUCCCAGCAUUAGUAGUGUAGCACGUGCCAUGUCUUAAGCUUAUGUGAUCCGAAAACAAGGCAAUUGAUAAAAAACUGAUGUAUAUUACUCUUUCACACAGGAUGCUUAGAAUAAUACAAUGAAUUGAUCAAAUGAGACUAAGGCUUAAAUAGCCAGAACAAGAAACAACAGAAACAGCUAAAAAUAAGUUCACGUCUUCAACACCCUGAAGAUGUGGAUCCUUGCUUAAAAAUAGGUAAAACUAAAACAGAAUAUCAAAUGCUAACAACACUGUCCUAAUAGCUAGGACACUUAUUAAAAUUAUUAAGACUAAGUCUAACAAUUGCUCCCCUAAACUGAACAUGCUUGAAGCAGUUUAGUUUAUUUCUUCAGCUGAAUUCACCCCAAGUGCAGCUCUGAAUUUCUCGAACAGUUCCAGCCUUAGAGGCUUGGUCAUAAUAUCAGCCAGCUGCUCAUUUGUACCACAAUGCUCUAUGUCAAUUACUUCAUCCUUUGUAAGAUUCCUCAGAAAAUGGAAUCUUACGUCAAUAUGCUUACUCCUACCAUGAAGAACUGGAUUCUUGGCAAGUUUUAUUGUAGAAGAAUUAUCACACAGAACUUUGACACACUUCCUUUCAGUACCUCCAAUUUGUUUAAGUAUCUGUUGCAACCAAAUACAUUGACAUGCACAAGACGCAGCUGCCACAAACUCUGCUUCUGUAGUUGAGAGUGUCACCACCGGCUGUUUCUUUGAUGACCAAGCCACUGCUCCUCCACUUAGCAUGAAAACAUAUCUAGAAGUGCUUUUUCGAUCAUCCAAGUCCCCUGCAUAGUCACUAUCUGUAUAAGCUAGCAUCUCAUCUUACAUCCCUUUCUGUAGAAUACACCAAGAUCAGUAGUGGCUCUAAUAUAUCUGAGAAUUCUUUUGGCUGCCAUCAUGUGAGAUUCCAUAGGAUUGGCCAUGAAACGGCUUAUCAGACACACACUAUAAGCCAAGUCAGGCCUUAUGACUGUUAUAUACAUUAAACUCCCCACUAUUUGUUUGAACAAGGUUGCAUCUGCCUUCUUGCCAUCUUCUUGUUUUGUCAGUCUAUUGCUUCCUGGAACCAUGGGAUUCUUAACACCAUUACAAUUUUCCAGCCCAAAUCUUUUCAAGAUUUCUUCUGCAUACUUUUUCUGACCAAUAUGAAUGCCUUUGGAACUUUGCCGAAUUUCAACUCCCAGAAAAUACUUCAUUUCACCGAGAUCAGUCAUUUCGAAUUCCUUUUUCAUUGACUCUUUGAACUUGCUCACCAUAAUUGAAUCAUUGCUAGUAAAAAUGAGAUCAUCGACAUAUAAACUUACAAUUAGAAUUCUGUUCUUCUCUUCCUUCUUUAUGAACAAUGUGUGUUCAUAGCUACUUCUCUCAAAUCCCUCCUUAGCAAAAUAACCUUCAAUUCUGUUAAACCAUGCUCUUGGUGCCUGUUUUAAGCCAUAAAGUGCUUUCUUCAAUUUAUAAACUUUCUUCUCUUCCCCGUUAAUCUCAUAGCCUGGAGGUUGUGCAAUGUAUACAUCUUCAUUCAACUCGCCAUAAAGAAAAGCACUUUUGACAUCAAGUUGAAAAAGUGUCCAUCCAUUCCUUGCUGCCAAAGCUAUCACUGUGCGAAUUGUGUCCCACCUAGCAACUGGGGCAAAAACUUCAUUGUAGUCUACCCCCUUCUCUUGUGCAUAUCCUUUUGCCACAAGCCGAGCCUUGCAUUUGUCCACCUCUCCAUUUUCAUUUAACUUGGUUUUAUAAACCCACUUUACUCCAAUUAUUUUUGCUUGCUUUGGUGCAUCAACAAGCUCCCAGGUCUCAUUCUUUAAGAUUGCACCAAUCUCCAUAUCCAUUGCAUCCCUCCAUUGUUUCAUUUUUGCAGCUUCUUCAUAAUAAAUAGGAUCAGCAGAAACCAUAAACAAUGAAAAACUUUGUACCUCUUCUUCUGCUUCAAAGUUUCCCCUCUUAUGUAGUCUUGAAGAUAGGCUGGAGCUCGAGUGACUCUUCUCUCGGGCAGAGCAGGUGCUGCAGCAUUACUGGGGAUGCUACCGUGAGAUAUUGCAGCAUCAUUGGAUUGACUGGAUUCUCCUUCUUCUAGUGAUUCUUCAGUUUCAUUUUCUUCAUCACUGGAGGCAUAUAUGUCUGCAUCAACUUCUCCCCAAUCAAGCAUAUCAUUCUUGUCUUCUUCUGUUCUUCUCCAAUCCCAGCUUUGCUCUUCUUCGAACACAACAUCUUUACUAACUAUCACUUUUUUUGUUAUGGGAUCAACCAUCUUGUAUCCUUUGGACUCUUCACUAUACCCCAGCAUCACACACUUUUGACUCCUGGCAUCCAAUUUCAGCUUCUGUGGAUUUGAUACAUGCACAUUUCCUAUGCAUCCGAACACUCGGAAAUAAUCAACAUUAGGCUUGACUCCACUCCAGCAUUCUUCUGGUGUUUUAUUCUUUACAGCAGAGGUUGGGCUUCGGUUGAGGAUAUGGCAUGUCCAUUUCACAGCAUCUGGCCAAAAACGAGCAGGCAUCUGUUUCUCUUCUAGCAGACAUCGUACCAUGUUUAGAAUGGUACGAUUUUUGCGCUCCGCAACUCCGUUUUGUUGAGGAGUGUAAGUUGUUGUCAACUGUCUUUUAAUGCCUUCAAUUCUGCAAAAUUCUGUGAAUUCUUUGGAGGUGAACUCCCCUCCUCUAUCUGUUCUUAACCCAGCAAUAGAUAGACCAGAUUCUUUUUCCACAGCAUUUUUAAAACUUUUGAAUGUCAUGAAAGUUUCACUUUUCUCAUGCAGGAAAUACACCCAAAGUUUUCUACUCAUGUCAUCAAUGAAGGUCAACACAUACCUUUUGUUGCCAUGUGAUUCCGGAGUGAUAGGUCCGCAAAGGUCUGAGUGUAUGAGCUGCAGCUGCUGUGUUGCUCUCCAAUUGCUUUUCUUUGGAAUAAUUUCUCGGUGCUGUUUUCCUUUCAUGCAGCUUGUACACACAGAGGUUGGCACUUGAAACUUUGGAAGUCCUUGGACAAGUUCCUUUUGUUGCAGUAAAUUCAGACUUGUGAAGCUUAGGUGGCCAUAUCUUUUAUGCCAUAAAUCACCGAGAUGAUUGCUGCUCACAUUUAAACAAGUAGAUGAUGCAUGCAGCACAAUAUUUGCCAAUACUACGAACAUCCUAUUUGAUGUCAUCUGUGUAUGCAUAAUUAAACCCCUUCUAGGAUGAUAAACUCUACACUCUCCAUUUUGCAUCAAAAUAGCCAAAUUUUUCUCUUGCAACUGGCCAAUGCUCAACAGAUUAUUUUUUAAUUCAGGAACAUAGUAAACUUCUGAUAUUACUUGAGUUAUACCUUCUAUUUCAAGUCUGAUGUUGCCCUUCCCUUCCACUGGCAUUCUGAGGUUGUUUCCAAGUUUCACCGAGUGACUGAAUUCUUCAUCUAGUUCCACAAACCAUUGUUUGUUUCCUGUCAUAUGGUUAGAGCAACCAGAAUCAAGAAACCAUACGACCUCUCUCUUCGAAUUGUGAAGUUCAACGUAAGACAUCAAAAGGAGUUCUUCUUCUUCAUCCAACUCAGCGUAAUUAGCCCUUUUUUCCCAAUCAGGACACUCAUAUUGAAAGUGUCCCAAUUUAUGGCAUUUGAAACAUUCAACCAGAGCCUUGUUGGAUGUUUGUCUGCCUCGUCCUCUACCUCGUCCUCCUCUAUACAUGCUUCUGCCUCUUCCUCUGGUUGAUCUCUCAUCAUAUGCGACUUUCAACACCUGUUCCUCUAUUUGUUGUCCUUGCAUCCUUUGUUCAUGGACAAGCAGGCUUCCAUGUAAUUCAUCAAUACUCAGGACACUUAGAUCAUUUGACUCCUCUAUUGAACAAACAACAUAGUUAAAUUUUGGAGUCAAUGAUCUAAGUAUCUUACCCACCACUGUGCUUUGUUCCAUCGCCUCACCAUUUGUUUUCAUUUUGUUAACCAAGGCUAGAGUUCGACCCAAGAAGCUGUCAAUUUUCUCUCCUUCUUUCAUGGCUAGUAACUCGAAUUCCUUCCUCAAAGCUUGAAGUUGUGCUCUUCUAACCUUUGUGGACCCUUGAUAUUUCUGCUUCAUUGAGUCCCAAAUAGCUUUUGAUGUUCUCUUGUCGAGAAUUGUCUCCAAAAAUCUCCCUUGUCAAUUGCUUGAAACAAGAAAUUUUUAACUUUCAAGUCUUUGAGUUUGAUCUCCUCUACACUCUUCCUCUGUGCCUCACUUGCUGCUGCAUUUCCAACAGCCAGUGUUGGAAUCCCUUCGUCCACAAGAUUCCACAUCUCCUUGCUCCUAAGGAAAUUCUCCAUUGUCAUUGCCCAGAAAUCGUAAUGGCCAUCAAAUCUCGGAAUGGAAGGCUGCACGAAUUUGUCUGCGGUUGACAUCUCGAUUUUCUCCUCCUUUUUUUUUUUUUUUCUCACACACUCUGUGUUGAUUUUCACUCUCACCCUUUUGUUUUGUCUCACACACUGUGUUUGAUUUUCACUCUCACACACUUUCACUCACACUCGUGUUUGCUCUUACUGUCACACACUCUAUACUUGCUCACACCCCCACACAAUCAGGUCCCCUUUUAGGCUCUGAUACCAAAUGAUAAAAAACUGAUGUAUAUUACUCUUUCACACAGGAUGCUUAGAAUAAUACAAUGAAUUGAUCAAAUGAGACUAAGGCUUAAAUAGCCAGAACAAGAAACAACAGAAACAGCUAAAAAUAAGUUCACGUCUUCAACACCCUGAAGAUGUGGAUCCUUGCUUAAGAAUAGGUAAAACUAAAACAGAAUAUCAAAUGCUAACAACACUGUCCUAAUAGCUAGGACACUUAUUAAAAUUAUUAAGACUAAGUCUAACAGCAAUUGGUGUUUGAUGGAAUUAGCUGUCACUAAAAAUAAAAUAAAUAAAAUCCUCUGUGAACUAAUUAAUUCCUAAAUUAUUUUUUUUAUUGUUUUUCACAAAAUUUAUAAAAAUAAAAAUAUUUUAUUAGAUAUUUUAGAUACUCCACUAUUAUAAUAUUUUAUUUAAGUUUAGAUUUUUAUUUCAAAAUUGAAUUUUAUUUAAGUUUAGAUUUUUAUUUCAAAAUUGAAUUUUAUUUAAUAUAACAAAUAUUACGAUGUUUUAUUUUAUCUGAAAUUUUUUGAAAUGUUAUUUGAUUUUAUUAAUUUAACUCUUGAUUGUCUCAGGUCCUCCAAGGCAUUCCUCCACUCCUUGGUUAACUAUCUCAUGGAGGUUAACUCCCUCCACCUCUCUUACGGAUAAAGUAAAGAAGCCAUUUACACUUCAUAAGAAACCGUAAUAUAACAAACAGAGGAUCUGUAAGUUUCAGAGAACGACAUCAAUUUAAUUAUGCGAAGUUCAAUCUUUUUUCCUCUACAAAUUAAAUCAUGUACGUAAACCUGUUACCUACAUUUUGUAAUAUUUCUGGAUCUGCUCUUUGAUUCAUCAAGGACAGAGUUGAUUGCAGCUUCGUCAUAGAAAAGUUCGUCUUCUUCAUCUUCUUGGUUGGCGAGGAAAUAUAAGUGGACUCUUCUCCAGUUUAAGGAUUCCAACCUAGCACAUGAAUGAUAAAGGACAGAGUCAUCAUUUAAAUAAUAAAGGGACGAAGGACAUCCUUAGCAUUAGGAUGCUCCCAUUCCACCACUGACUCUCACCAUUCUUUUGGAUGUACUCCAUCACUCUAAGAGAAGGGGGAUGAGAUAGCUGGCCAUUUUCAAGCAACGGAAGAUGAAUUGCCAGCCUUUUCAGCAUCUGACAAUUUGAUAUCCCAAUUUGUUGGAGAGAAUCGCAGAUCAAACUCUUUAAAAAUAGAAAUAUACCAUGAUAAGAUGGAGAUGAUGGUGGAGCGGAGCGGAGCAGAGCCAAGAAGACGAAACCAAGCUCUCCAUGUUAUAGCGCUUCCAAAUGUUGGUACUGGCAUUUUAUUGAAAUGAAACUUAGAAUCAACUGUUUUGAAAGCCAUUUGAUAGCUAAGAACUCAGAAUCCAUGAGAUUAAGUAUUUGGCAAAGCCUUCCCCGUGAUUGGAGCAAUCUCACUAAUUUAUCGACGGAAUGGCUAGAAUUGUCUUCCUCUUAACUAAUCUUUAGCAAACCAAGCUUCAAACAAUAAGAGGGAGCUUCAGUUCAGUAGGAAACUUCAACAUCUAUUAUAAAAAUCGUGUUUGGUUACGCUGUGUAAAUUAUGUAUUUAUAAAUUUUAAUUUUUUUUUAUUAAAAAUUAUUAUUAUUAUAUUUUCAGAUUAUUUUGACGUGUUAUAUCAAUAAAAAAUUAAAAAAUAUUAUUUUGAUGUAUUUCUAAAUAAAAAAUACUUUGAACAAUAAUCACUACCACAAUCUCAAACAAACUCUUGUGAUUUGCUAUCCAUUAAUACAAAGAUCGUGUUUUUUUGUUGUUGAAAAAUUAUCAACCAGCAACUUUUUAUCUUUUUCCAAGCUUUUUGGUGAUUUUUAGGUAGCAGCGUGAAGCCUCGCCAAAAGCCCAAGAUUAAAAAUAACCAUGCUCCUAGCCCAAGCCCACCAACAUCACCCCCAGCAGAUUGGAAAAAUGCUCAUAAGUCAUAACCAUUCCGGAAAAAACACACCUAGGCUAGUAUGGUAUACUAGAAAGUGGAAAUAAAUCGAUAUUAAUCAUCAAAUAAAUCGUUAGCAGAAACCAAAAAUAAAUAAAUAAAUUGUUCAUGCUACUCCAUCUUAUUGAUGGGAAUGACUUUUGACCAACAUACAUACGACUUUGCUAAAAUUAUCUGACAAAUUAUUAGGCUUAUAAAAACACUUAAUAAAAUCAGAAAAAAAAAAUCAUUUUUAUUCAAUAAAAUAAAAAAGAAAACUCAGGUAAUAAAUAUUCAAUUCACUUUCCAGCCGCCAAUAAAAAAUAAAAGUAUUUUUAUUCAAUAAUACUUCUUGGUAACAAAUAAGCUGCCAAGAAUUAUAUGAGAAUCAAAUCUCUCCGAUCACAUGGUCGUUUAAAAUGCUCAACACUCAGAAAACAAAUUUACAGAAUAAUAAGUCUAGUAAACUUCUUGAUAUAUAUAUAUAUUAUUCAACCAAAUAAUUGCUUGUGACAUAUACAUGGAGAGCUUCCUAGUAUUAAAAAUUUAAGAUUAUCAAAUAAUUAAACUUUUUAUUCAAACCAAUAAAUUUUAUGUGUCCAUGCUACUCCAUCUUAUUGAUGGGAGUGACUUUUGACCAGCAUACAUACGACUCUGCUAAAAUUAUCUGACAAAUUAUCAGGCUUAUAAAAAAACUUAAUAAAAUCAGAAAAAAAAAUCAUUUUUAUUCAAUAAAAUGGAAAAGAAAACUCAGGUAAUAAAUGUUCAAUUCACUUUCCAGCCGACAAUAAAAAAUGAAAGUAUUUUUAUUCAAUAAUACUUCUUGGCUCAUAAAUAAACUGCCAAUAAUUAUAUGAGAAUCAAAUCUCUUCGAUCACAUAGUCGUUUAAAAUACUCAACACUCAAAAAGUAAAUUUACAGAAUAAUAAAUCUAGUAAACUUUUUGAUUUAUAUAUAUAUUAUUCAACCAAAUAAUUGCUUGUGACAUAUAUGUGGCGAGCUUUCUAGUAUUAAAAGUUUAAGAUUAUCAAAUAAGUAAAAUUUUUAUCUAAACCAAUAAAUUUUAUGUGUCUAUUUUAAAAUUUGGUUUUAGAAAGAAAAUCAAAAUGAAAUAUCAAACAUUACCUAUAAAUCUUUAUAUUACAGAUUAACUAUAUCACCCAUUUAUCAUUCUUAAGGUCAAUAUUUAGGAAUAAAUAAAUAAAAGCUACGUAUCAAUAUUUAAUUUAAAUAACCUCAAAGAUUACUAAUUUAGCUUUUGAUAUUAAAAGGGCGUAUGUCGUUACUCUCUGCCUAGUUGAUAAGGCAAAUAUCAGGUCUUCUAUCUCCACCACUCCCUGCUAACUCUUUGCCUCAUAUCUUACGUUAUAUCUAUUAAGUUUGCUUAAUUAAGAUGGAAUAUUUAUGACUUUUAUAUGUAUUAAAUCAAUUUAAUUGUUUUGACUUAUCAUGAUCAACAUGAAGUCAUCAUAUUAUAAAACCAAAAAUCAAUGGUGUAUCUAAUUAUCAAAAAGGUAUAAAUAUUGCUAUGAAGUUAACGUGUGGACCACCCCAAUUAUGAAGCUCGGAAGAUGCCUAGAAAAUGUAAACACGUGAAUAUUGAAAACAAUAACAUACUUUCCUUUUUAAAUUUUUUAUUUUAUUUUAAAUAAUAAUUUUUUAUUUUGAAAAAAAAUUUAAUAAAAAAAUUAAUAAUUUAAAAAGUAAAAAAAAAUCAAUUUUGUUGAAAAACGUGUGCUUUAACAAUGACAUAUUAAAUAUGUGAUUAAUUAAGAGCAUGUGAUUGCUUUUGUUUUUAGUUGUUUUUUCAAAAAAGAUAUAUAGAUAUUUUUAAUGUUUUUUUAUAAUUUUAAUGUAUUAAUAUUAAAAAUAAAAUAAAUAAAUAAAUAAAUCAUGUAGUCUAUUUCCAAAACAAUCUAAUAUUGGAGGUUGAAAUUAAAAAAAAAAAAAUUAAAAAAAUAUAUAUUCGAUCAGUGAAUAAAUCUAUCAAACCAGUGAAUCAGGUAACUUGAGCUAACACAUCAAACUAAUUAACAAGGUUAUGGACUCCAGUAGGAUUAUUUUUUUUUAAUUUUUUUAUUUAACAAUAUGAUAAUAAAAAUGGAUAAUUAUGAAACUAAAUUUUAAACCAACUCAAAUAUGAAAUAGAAAAAAAAAAUUAAAAAAAUUGAUAACCAAAAAAAGAAAAGGGAAAGAAAAAAGAAGAAGCAAAACAAUAUAGAUUAUUAUUGUAAUUCAUAAUGAAAUGGGUGUGAGUGAAUAUUGGUUCUCCCACACCUUUUAGCUUUUUUUUUAAUUAAUAAACAAAAAAAUACUUCAUUAAACCAAUAAACUAGUAUAAAUCACGUUAACUUUAUAAAAAGAUAGAAUAAAAAUAAAUAAAUUAUAAAGUUGAAUUUUAAACCACCCAAUAUGAAAUAAACAAAAACAAAUUUUAAAAAAUAAUAAUAAAAAAAAAAACACAUUAGAUUACUUAUAAUAAUUUAUAAUGAAAUAGGUGUGAAUACGUCUCUUAACUAUUCGUGAGCUUCUUAUUCAUUCUUAGUUUUUCUUGAAGUUAUUCUAUUGAGGAAAAAGAGAAGAAGAAACCCUACCUUUUUUUCCCUCUUCAUAAUGCAUGGAUUUAAGUUGGGUGGAGAUUCAGUAAUCAAAAUAUUUUUUUAUUUUUAAUAUUAAUAUAUAAAAAAUAUUAAAAAUAUUAAUUUAAUAUUUUUUGCAAAAUAAACAGAUUUUUAAAUACAAUCAAACAUAAUUCUGAGUACAAAAACAAAUUACGUUUUGAUUACGAGCAUAACAAUCUUGGCAGUAAGUACCAUGAUCCUUUCCAAUUAAGUUAAUUUUAGGAUUUUUUUUUGGCAACCACAUACAUGUUUUAGGAGUUCUUUUAAUUUAUUAAAUCAAUAUUAAAGUAAAAAAAUUAAAUCAAUAUAGAUAAAUAAAUGAACUAAAUGUAAUCAAACAAUUAAUCCAUUUAAUAGAAAAAACCUUACUGAAUCCAUAAACUACAUUAAUCCCUUUUCUUUUCUUGUUUUUUUUUUUUUCUCUGGUGGAAUUCCCACUAGUCUUCUUUAUGGGCAGCCCCACUUUUAAACCCUCUUUUUCAUCACGUCCCCAUGGUCCCCGUGUCCCACACGUUUUCAUCAAAAACCUAAAUUUUAGGACUUCUUUGGCAGCCAUCUAACAAUAUAUAAAAAUAAUAUUUUUAUUUUUAAAAAAUUAUUUUUAACAUCAAUAUAUUAAAAUAAUCUAAAAAUAUAAAAACAUUAUUUAAAAAAAUCAAAAUUUUUAAAAACACAAGCAUUCCCAAAGAAGGUAACGCGUCAAGAAUCAUAGCAAUCAGACAUGUGAGUGGAAAGUUGUGAUUAAAAAACAUUACUAUUUUUAGAGUGAUUUUGACAGCAUAGCAGGAAACGUCAUUAUUGUUAUUUUUAAAAAAAAAAUUUAUUUAUAAAUAUAUUAAAAUGAAAGUUGUCAAUUUCGUUUCGUUUUAUUUGUAAUGAUUUCAUACCAAUUCAAAAAAUAAAAUAAAACAAAAUAAUUUUCAUCUUAUUUCAAAUCUCAGUCCCUUCCAAAUGUUUCAGCUAAAUUCCAUUCAGAAUGUUCCGGUUUCAUUCUACAUGUUCUGUUCUGGUCUUAAAAAGCCAUUGUAUCAAAUUGAACCUGGUUCAAUUAAUUAAUUAAACCAUCAAAGUAUAAAAAGCUCUUUUUCAUUACUAUUUUCAUUAACUAUGAUAUUAAUUUUUUAAAAUUUGAUUUAUCACUAAUAUAUAUGAUUUAUUUUCAUGUACUUUGUAGGAGUUUAAGCAAAAAAAUAGAUGUUUUAGAUCUCAUUAGCCUUAAUAACAUUGACCUAGCUUUAUAUUUAAAAUAUUAGUGUUAAAAUAUUUUAAUUUCAUAAUAUUUUGAUAUUUUAUUAAAGUUGAAUUGUUUUAAGUUAAAAAUUAUUUAAUUUAAACUAUUUAAAAAUAUUUUAAAUUUUAAAAUUAUAUUUCAUCACGUCUCUAUGAUCCCCGUUGUGUCAAAAACAAAUUGCCUAAAUUUUAGGCUUUAGCAGUUCCUUUUUUAAAAUCCUCAUUAGUGAAAUUUCACGACUCAUUAUUUCUAUUAUUUUUAUUCCAUUUAAGCAUUUCAUACUCAUCAAAACCACUGGAACACAAUCAAGCUUUAGCUUCAAACAACCAGAGGGAGAUUUUAUAGGGAUAAAAUUUUAAAAAUCACGCUUAUGCUACUUUCUAGUUUUAGUAUUAAAUUUAGUAUUUAAAAAAUAUGUUUAUGAAUAUGGCAGUUUCAGGUUUAGAAACCAAAACUGCCAUAUUCAUUCUCUUAGACAUUUUAAAAAUGUGUGUAGAAGAAUACUUUCAAUGUUGAUUUAUAAUAUUAGGUUACUUUAAUGAUAAAUCAAUAUAGUAUUUUUUUUUUUUUUUGGAUUUUCAUCUUGGAGAAAUUCAAUAGGAUGAAAAUAUAAUAUUAAUCAAACUUCAAAUUAUAAUUGUUUAUCUAUCGAGUUAAAAAAAAUAUGACAAUUCAAUAGUCUUUAAAGAAAUAAAAAAAAUGAAAAAUGUUAUUUAUGUAAUUGUAAGCAUACUAUAUUAUAUUACUUUACAAAGGGACGAAGAACAUCCUUUGCAUUAGGAUGCUCCCACUCCACUACUGUCUCCCACCAUUCUUCUGGACGUGCUUGGAUAUUUUGAAGAGAAGGGGGAGGAGAUGGCUGGCCAUUUUCAAGCAAUGGAAGACAAAUUGGCAACCUCUUCAGCUCCUCACAAUAUAUUACAUUAAUAUCUUCAAGAGAAUUGCAAAUCAGUUUUGCACUACAAAUGCUUUUCAAUUUUGGUAAAUCAAACAAUUCCAGAAUUCUUAACUUUGGGAGAAUGACUUCCGUGAUGGAAUUGGAGGUGCUGCUUUCUUCAUCUGCUGUUCCUAUUAUCUCCUCCAUUUUCUCACAAUCAUGAACAAUCCUUUCCAGGUUUACGAGGUUUGGUAGCAACACAAGCGGGAACAGCUUCUUCAUACUUUCACAAUGAUAACAAAAAAACUCUUUAAGACCAGAAAACGUACCGUUACAUGAUGGCAAUCGUGGUGGAGCAGAGCAGAACCAAGAAGAUGAAACCAAGCUCUCCAUGUUAUAGCAUUCCCGAAUGCUGAUGCGCUCCAGUUCAGUUGCAUUCUCUAAUGACAAAACAUCACAUAAACUUCUUGCAUCGAUGCAUUCACAAAUCAGUCCUUGAAUGCCAUUUAAGAACUUGACCUGAAAAUCUCUAUCUCCGUUGAUACUCAAAUUACCCAACCCAACUGUUUUACUUGGAAAAUAUUCAAUGCAUUGCUCUAAAUAUCUACCCACCUCUCCUACUAAAAUCUUGCAUGUGCUUAAUGAUUGGAUCCCAUCCCGAGAUCUGAGAUACUCCACAAAGUCAGAAAAACCUUUGAAAUGGCACUUCAAAGUUUCCAAAUUUCUCAAGGAUCCUACUUCCUUUCCUUUAACUGAUAUCGGAGCACUCGUAAACUUUUGUAGUACAAAGACUUGCAGGUGAGAGAGUUUUGGUAAUAUCCCACUAGGAAACUCCUUUUCACCACAUCCAUUCAUUAUAAGAUACCUCAGGUUGUUUAGGCAUUCCAUUCCUUGCGGCAUCUUUUCAAGCGCAGUACAAGAGAGGGCCAACCUCUUCAGUUCCCUUAGCUUCUUUAAUGAUGGAACACGUCUUAAUUUCUUACAAUAAUUGAGCAAUAAUGCUGUAAGACUCACCAAAUCAGAGACAGAGUCUGGCAAGUUUUCAAUACCUGUGCAAGACAGAUCGAGGACCUUGAGCCUAUGCAAUUGCUUGAAAAAUGAAUCCGCAACAAAUCUCAACCCUUUAUUAUCACAUAGAAAUAGAGUUGAUAGAUAGGGACACCUUGGUGAAUAGCUGGAAGGAAUUUCUUCUAUCUCGUUUCUCAUUAGUGAAACCAUCGUCAGAUUCUCCGUCCACUCCUCUGCAUCUGGCAACUCUUUUAAUUGCGCACCUGCUUUAACCAUGACUUCAUAUUUGUCUUGCAGUAUUUUGAUGGCCAUGUCCCUAAUCAAGUCAUGCAUCUUGACACAUAUAGUAUCAUGGUACUCCAUUUUAGCAUUUUCCAAUAGGCAGACAUUUACAAGUCUAUUAAGCAUCGUGUGGCCCUCAUCAAAUGCAUCUCCCCUGCUCCUCUUUCCUUUAAUUAUUCCCUCAUCGAUCAAAUAACCUAUCAACUCCUGCCUUGCAAUCAUAUCAUCUUCAGCAAAUAAUGCACAGUACAAGAGACAUCGUUGUAGUGCAAAAUCACCUAACUGAUUAUAACUAAACCUCAAUAACCUGAAUACUUUCUUAUCUAUGUCCCUAAAUUCUGAUUCUCUCAAUUUGUUCAAUGUAUUUCUCCACUCAUGUGGGUCAUCCACUCCCCUCAAGCUUCCUGCCACUGCAAUAAUUCCCAAUGGCAAACCAGCACAUUCCCCAGCAAUAUCUUUGGCAAUUCCUUCCACUUCUGGUAAAAGUGCUAUGUCACGUCCAAGUUUUUCCAUGAACAAAGUCCAAGCUUCUCCCUCCGAAAGUAGCUUCACUUUGAUUUUGUGGUGGCAAGCCAUCCGAAGACAAACCGUUUCUGAUCUAGUUGUCAUAAUCAGCUUGCAUCCUUUCAACAGCACAGGAAUUCCCACUUCAUCAAGCUCAAAAUUGUGCCACAAAUCAUCUAAAAUGAGAAUCCAUUUUUGUUUCGUCCUUAAUUCUUCUGACAAUUUGACAGCUCUAUGCACAUCAUCAUCUUCGUUUGCAAGGUUUAGAUCAAGACAUUUAGCAAUAAGAUUCUGCAAUCUAUUAAUGCUGAAAUCUUGAGAUACAAUCACCCACCAAACAUGAUUACAAAUAUCUUUUCUUUGUAGAAGCUCAUUAUGGACAUGUUUUAGUAUUGUUGUUUUACCAACUCCUUCCCAUUCCAUAAAUGCCAAUGGUUGAGACUUCAUCAUCCAUUAACAAAGACCAUAUCACCUUCUUAUUCUCUUCAAAUGCUCGACCCACUGGCUUUAUAGAGCUAGUAGGUAAUGGAACUCCUCUAGUCUCACUUGUGUUGUAUUUAAGGCUUAUAGAAGAUCUAGCUCCAGCGUCAGGCCGCACUGAUCUUCCACUAUUCUCCAUAUCCUCCUCCACUGGUUCUGUCCUCACUCUAACCAUGUUCUGCACAUCAUACAUAACGACAUCAUUGUUUACUGAUGGAGCAAAUAGUUGGUCAUAAUAUCUUCCAUGAUCAAGACACAAUGGAUCUGUUGGUUGGGAUGAAUCUCCUCGAGGCUCAUCAGCUUGAUUAAUUGAUGGCCUCUCACAAGAGCUACCUCUCUCCAGAUGCUGCACUUGUUCUGUUCUCGCUACAGUUUCAAAUCCAUCAUGCAUUAAAUAUUGAUCCACUACAUCCUCAUCUUCCUGCAUUAAAUAGGUAGAGAUUUCAUUCAGCUGCUGCUCCUUUGAAAGGGCAGAGUGUAUCUGAACCCAAGUACCAUCAGCAAAUUGAUCCACUAAAUCUGUUCCUGGUGUUGCUUCUCCUCUAUUCUCAUGAGCAUCAACUCUGAGUCUCCAAGGAGAGAGACUUCUGUCAACAUGCUGAAACGAUCCUUCACCAGUGUAUUCCAUGCCACUUGCCGCUUCUAAACGCCAAUGAAUUCUCUCAGGCCCAACACCUUGUGCCAAAUUAAUAAGUACUGCAUUGUCUUGUUCUUGUGGACAGGUGGAAAUGUCAACAUUGCUUGAACUUGCUAUGCUUUUAUGUCUUUUGUUGCCAACAUGCAUAGCUAGAAAGGCUGCUUCUUGAACUUCUUGAGGCACCUGACCACAAAUGCCAACACCACGCCCUCUCUCUCCUGAUAAAUGCCAUUUGAUCCUCGAAAUGGAAGUACCAUUGGCAAAUAAAUGACCACAAAACUUACACUUCAUGCUUCCAUCAUUCAUAUCUUCAACUUCCUUCCAAAACGGAUCAUCUGAUCUAACCAUUUUGUCCUAUAGAUAAAAAGGGUCAAAAUAUUGAAUAAAAAUUAAUGGAAGUACAUUAAUUGGAAAAGGAAGGUUGAAACUAAAAUAAUAAGUUACAAACAGCAAAGAAACUAAGAAGAAAAAACAAUGAAUUCAAGGUUAACUUGGGGUCAAUUUAUUAUGAACUCCUUAAGGCAUGGAUUGUUACAACUGAGAAAGAUCAAAUUAUUUAUUUUUGGAAACUGUUGAUGAUCCUAACUCCAAAGUUUCUCAUUAGAAUUUCUACAACUUGUGUUUUCCUUGAAAGAUUCAAACCAGAGUUACAUGUGAAAAACAAAAUGAAGAAGAUGGAUUAUAAAUAAUUUACCUGGAUUCAAGUUGUCUUCAAGUGCUGGUUUGCUUAAGUAGUAUUCAGGAAAAAAACAAGAACAGAGAAGAAUAUAUGGUUAAAAAUAACAAGGAAGUUGCAAGAUGUUUAGCUCCGGAUGAUUCGAUUCAAUCGGAAAAGGAAGCACUGAUCAUCAGAAAGGUUUAAGAAAUUUGAUGAGGGAAAUUGGGAAAUCAAUGGUAUAAUGAGAUGAGAUUUGGAAGAGAAUGUUACAGUAGCAAAGAUUAUUGUAUUGUUUGAGAAGAAGGAAGUUGCUAGAAAGAAAGCCACAAACUUUAUCUAAUUUGCUUUUCUUUUGUCUAGCGCUGCAUAUAAUAAAAAUCUUCAACAUAAGAAUUAGAAGCUAAUUGCUGACUGAGUUAACGUGUGGCCCACCCCAUUGUUGAAACUUUGAAAAAGCUAUGCCUCUCACUUCAUUAUCUGAUCCACUCCAACUUCCAUUCCCUACAGAUUCAAUAUUUUUUUAAGGUCAGUAUUUAAAAAUAAAUGAACAAAUAAAUAAAAGCUACGCACCAAUAUUUAAUUUAAGUAACCUCAAAGACUACUAAUUUAUAUUUUUAUAUUUUGAUAUUAAAAGGGUCUCUAUCUCCACUCGCUGGCAACUCUUCUUUAAAACAAAAGGCGGAUGACAUGGAUAUGGCUUAGAAAUUAUAGAGAAUCUGUGAGUUCCAGUUUUGUAUAUAUCUUGGUGUGCUUCUCAUUAGUGAAAAAGGCUAAAUGCUGUUUAUUGCUUUUCUUUUGUCUAGCGCUGCAUAUAAUUAAAAACUUCAACAAAAGAAUCAGAAGCUAAUUGCUGGCUGAGUCAACGUGUCGACCCACCCCAUUGUUGAAACUUAGCUUCAAGAGCUGUAAGUACUAUGCUAUGAAUGAUGCCUCUCAUCAAUUUUAUCUAAAUGUUGUUUAUUGCAUUAGUGAAAAAGCUAAAUGCUGUUUAUUGCACGCUGCUAAUUGAGAAAUACAGAACUCAGUUCAACCCAGCAAGUUGCUGCAUCAGAGUUAAAACUCCAUAGCAGUCAGCACAAUCUAUGAAGAUAAAAUUGAAAACAAAACAAUCAAUGACUAAAAUUAAAAAAAUGCAUCUAAGGCUUAGAAAAAACUGAGAUAAAACACUAUUUUUCUCUCUUGAUACAUGGUAGAAGCCUGAGCAUAUUUAUUUAUUUUUAAUUUUAAUUUUAAUAAUAUUUGUGUUCUUUCUACCCCGAGAAAUCAAGAACGCUAAUUUCAUUAAACAAGAUUCUAAAGCCCGUAUUUAGAUAAAUUAGAAGAAAGGACUCCAACCCUAGCGCAAAAGACCUAUAAACUAGCCUAACAAAUCAUACCCAGAGAAGCAAUAUGUUUAUUGACAUAAAUAAUUCUAAAUUUAAUAAGUCUAUUUAAUAAAAAAAAAAAUUUGAGCUAGCUUGUUUCUGGCUUUUGCUUCUCUGGGUAUGAUUUGUUAGGCUAGUUUAUACUUUAUAGGUCUUUUGCGCUAGGGUACGUGGUUAAAAUCAAGGUUGUCAAUUUCGUUCCGUUUUGUUCUACUCGGAAAGGCCGAAACAUUCCAUACCAAUUCAAAAAACAGAACAAAACGGAACAAAUUUCACAUCAUUUUAAAUCUCGAUCCAUUCCGGAUUUUUUGGCUAAAUUCCACCCGAAACGUUCCGGUUUCAUUCCACAUGUUCCGUUCCGCUCUUGAAAAGUCAUUGAAUGAAAUUGAACCUUACUCAAUUUUAUUAAUUAAACCACCCAAUUAUAAAAAGCUCUUUUUCAUUAUUAUUUUCAAUAGCAAUGAUAUUAAUAAUAAUAUUGAAAUUUAUUAUUACUAUUUUCAUUAACAAUGAUAUUAAUUUUUUAAAAUUAGAUUUAUCACUAAUAUAUAUGGUUUAUAUUCAUGUUUUUUUUUUUUUUUAUGUUUAUACUUUGUAGGAAUUUGAGUAAAACAAUGGAUGUUUUAGAUUCCAUUAGCUACUUGAUAACAUUGACCUAACUUUACAUUUAAAAUAUUUUUGUUAAAACAUUUUACUUUCAUAAUAUUUUGAUAUUUUGUUUAAGUUGAAUUACUUUAAGUUAAAGAUCUAUUUAAUCUUGACUAUUUAGAAAUAUUUUAAAUUUUAAAAUUAUAUUUGUUUGGCAUUGUAUUUGUAUUGCAUAAUUUAUAAUUAAUUUAUCUUGAAUUUGAAUUAUGUUUGUUGAAUAUAUAUAUAUAUAUAUAUAUGAACAGUACAACCCCGAAACGGCACGCCGAAACACUCUGAAACUGAAACAUUUCAUUCCAAUUGAAAAAACAAGAUACCUACCGAAACAGAAUUGACAACCUUGGUUAAAAUAACUAAACACAUUGACUUUUAGCUACCCAACUAGCUUUUGUGAGAUUUAUUUAUUUUUUUAAAAAAAUAUAAAAUAUAAAAUAUAAAAUUUUUUUAUUUAAAAUUAAUAUUUUUUUUAUAUUUUCAGAUCAUUUUAAUGUACUGAUAUCAAAAAUAAUUUUUAAAAAUUCAAAAAAUAUUUUUUUAAUAUUUUUUCAAAUAAAAAAUACUUUAAAAAACAAUCAUAACUACACUUCCAAACAACUCUUUUUAACCCAAAAGGUCAAGUACAUGUCCCAAAUGCCAACAACCGAGCAUAGAAAGGUUUCAAACCCAUGGUGCCUUUUCCUUAUUAUAAAUAUAGAAUAAAAAUUAAGUCAAGGAGGUCUAGUCUUAAAUGCUCCAAACAUUAUCCAUGUCUCAAGCUUAUGUAUGAUCCAAGAAUUCAUAUUUAUUACAAAAUUAUAAUUUUAUAUGAGUUUUUAUCUUUAUGAUCCAAGAAGUUUAUAUUGUAAAUUCAAGAGUUUUAAGUUAGUAGUCAAUUUUAUAAUUCAUAAAAAUAUUUGAUCCCUGAAUUAGUUUUCUAAUUGUGUUCUUAAUCCCUGAAUUAAUUAGUUUUCUAAUUGUUUUGCAUAAAUUCUUAAGAAUAAAAAUAUUUUAACAAUAGUUUUAGUGCUAAAAAUGCUACUCUAUUCGACUUUUAAUUCAAAUUGUAUUUAUAUAGUUAAAUGUUUUUCUCUUUAAUAAAUCCAUUAUUGGAUAUGAAAUUUAUAACUUAUUUUAUAAUUCAAAAUGGAGAUUUGGUUUGUGUUUUAAGUUUUUUAUUUUUGUAAAACUGAUUGAAAAAAUAAAAAUUUACAUCAAGCCAUGUUGGCUUAACUCGAAUAGGCAAGAUCAAAGACACAAGUGAAUAAUAAAUUUUAAUAUUCAUAGUUGAUGACUGGUGGAGCAAAAUCCAACUCGGAGCUAUAGCGUUGCACUGCAUUCUUUUAAAAUUUGAUAUUGUUUUUGCUAAAAUUAAUUUUUUUAUAUAUUUUUAAAUAAUUUGAUGUUUUAAUAUCAAAAAUAAUUUUAAAAAAAUAAAAAAAAUAUUAUUUUAAUAUAUUUUUAAACAAAAAUUAUUUUAAACUAUAACUGUUAUUAUAUUACCAAAGACACCCUCAUCCCGUUACUUUGUAUAGACCUCGUAAUUUCCAAGAGAACCUUAGCCAUUCCUUUAUGCAUGUGCACGCUUUGCCAAACAAUCCUUUAGGACUAAUUUCGACUCUUCGUUGGCGAUAGCAGUGAUGGGAAUGAUGACACUUCUCUCCAUCCUUGACCAUUUCAAUUCCGAGAAACUCCCCCACCAUCCCAUAAAAAAGUAGUCCUCUUUCUUUGAAGAAUUUUCCUAAUUAGUCCUUAUAUUUUAGAUAUGGUCUUCAACAUAUUACUCUUAAAUUGCCCUUAAGACAUUUUCUAAUCUAUCCUUUUAAUAAGUAUCUUUCUUUAAGCUAAUAAAGAUAAAAUUAUUAAUUACUUUAAAAAACUCAAUCCUACCUAAUUUAUUAAAAUUAAUAAUAAUUAAAAUUUGUUUUUAUGUUAAUUUUUUCUCAUGGUUUUCUGUAAAGAAGAAACUGUAUCUAACUAUUAACAUUUUAUUUAAUAAUUAAUUAAAUUUCAAAUCUUUUGUUUUAUUAAUUUUGACUUAAACUAAUAAAAUCAACCCAUGACACUAUCAAUUUUAUUAUUAAUUAAUUUUUCCUAAAUAAUAUUAUUUUAAUUUUAAAAAAAUUAAUUCAAAAUUCUUGAAAGGAAACUAUAUUGAAUUGAUUUAUAUCAACUUGGAUUAAUUCAAACUCAAACUCAUAAUGUCAGUCAUUAUUUUUAUAAAUUUAAUCCAUGUAAAUAAAGUUUAAUAAAUCUAGAGACACUAUUGAGUAAUUUGGGACCAAAGUCUAGGACUUCGAUAAUACUUAAAUAAUAGUAAUGUUCCUACAAUAACAAUGACGUUACAUAACUUAAAGAAUUGUUUUUUUUUUUGGGAUGUACAAAGCACAAAUAAUAAUAAUUCUGGAUGCAAAACACAGGCUGCAACGCAGAUGGAGCAAGAAAUUUCGCCCCAAGAAAAAUCCAAAUCAAUGAGAGGCGAAGAGUUCUUGGUGUUUCUGCCAUUAUCAAUUUUAUUUUUAUUUUUUACUCUCUUCAUGUGAGUAUAUAAACUAUCUUAACAUUUACAAUUCAAGCCAAAAUUGAUAAUGGCAGAAACACCAAGAACUCUCUUCGCCUCUCAUUGAAGACCAGGUUCCUCCUCGCCGCCCACUCCUUUGGGAUUCGCGCCGCCAGCCGUUCCGACCACACCGUAAACCGCAGCGUAUUGAACAUCUUCGACCCCAAGGCCGCUGCUUCCGCCAAACCAAUCAAUGGGGUCUCCUCUUUCGACAACACUAUUGACCCUACCCGCAACCUGUGGUUCCGCUCUACGCCCCCACAUCCACCGCCACUACCGAUGCUCUGCCUGUGAUCAUAUUCUUUCAUGGUGGGGGCUUCGCAUUCAUGGCGGCUAACUCAAAAUCUUUUGACGUACUCUGCCGGCGACUUGCCCGUGAAAUUAAUGCAGUUGUUAUCUCUAUAAACUAUCGGCUUGCUCCUGAGUACAAGUACCCAUGCCAGUACGAAGAUGGCUUUGAUGCAUUGAAUUACAUCGAUGAAAUGACCUUUGAGAAUUUCCCAGCAAAUUUGGAUCUUGGAAGGUGUUUUAUUGCCGGUGAUAGUGCAGGAGGUAACGUGGCUCAUCAUGUCGUGCUCAAAGCUUGUGAACACACAUUUUCUAACAUAAAGAUCAAGGGACUCAUAGCAAUGCAGCCAUUUUUCGGAGGGGAAGAAAGAACAGAAUCAGAAAUCAAGCUUGUUGGGGUUCCUUUAAUAUCAGUGGAAGGUACAGACUGGAUGUGGAAGGCGUUUCUGCCUGAGGGAUCGGACCGAAACCACUCGGUGGUUAAUGUUUUCGGACCAAAUGCGGUGGAUAUUUCAGGCGUGAAGUUCCCUGCGACGUUACUCUUUGUCGGAGGGUUCGAUCCCUUGCAAGAUUGGCAGAAGAGGUACCAUGAGGGGCUGAAGAAAUCUGGGAAAGAAGUACAUUUGGUAGAGUAUCCAAAUGCUUUUCAUGGGUUUUAUUGCCUGCCUGAAUCGCCUGAAUGUUCUUUGUUGAUCGGUGAGGUGAAGAGUUUUGUGCAAAAGCAGUCAUCUCUUACAUAGGGUGAGGAGACGACGAUCUCUAUUUUAUUAUUAUAUCUUAUUUUAUUCACAUUCAAUAAUUAAAUCGUAUUUAAAUUGCAAUGAUUUUAUUUACUAUUGAAGAUAGAUUAUUAUAUGUGUAUUGAAUUGUUCAAUUAUUUGAUGUAUUAGAUUUAACAUUAAAAAAAAUAUUUUGCUUUCUAUUACCAAUCACACUAAAAUAAUGCUGCGUCCUUUGAGCCAUUUGGUGAGGAAUGGUGAUGGUGGUUUUUUUUUUUUUUUAUACUAAUUCAUAAGUUGUGGGGUUGGCAUGUUAAAUUUUUAUUUUUAAUUGAAUAAUAUUAUUUUAAAGAAAAAACUUACACAACAUUCUUUUAAAUAAAUAAAAACUCUUUGGACUUCAUACUAGUAGAUUUCACAAUAGUUUACUUGGAUUAAUCGAGUCAUAAAUUAAUCUGUUAAGUUUUUUGAGUGCUAAUUGAUUUGUUAAGUUAUUUAAAUUAAAUUAAAUUAAUUUUUUAUUUAGAUAAAAAGCAAACUCAGUUUGAAUCAGAUUUCAAAUCAGUAACUGGGUUGAUCCUUCUAAAUAAUGUAUAAUGAAAUGUGCAUGACAACUGGGUUGAUGGUUGAUAGUUUGACACAGUUCAUUUUUCAUUGUAUGUGGGAGAAAGCAAUGAAGAAGAGAAGAGGAAAAGAUGCCAAGAAAUAAAACGAAGACUUAUUGGAUGUUUGGUCUUAUUAGCAUAGCCAGUUGGAAGUGUACUGUUUCAUGGGGCUUAUUUUCACCUAUCAAAACUUUGGGUUUGUUUGGAAUUAUAGUAAUUAUAGUAGUUUAAAGUGUUUUUUUAGAAAUACAUCAAAAUGAUAUAUUUUUUAUUUUUUUAAAUUGUUUUUUAAAUCAACACAUCAAAACAAUUUAAAAUAUAAAAAAAUAAUUUUUAACAAAAAUAAAAUUAAAAUUUAAAAAAUACGAUUUCAACCACGUUUUCAAAAACUAUUUUUCUCUCUUGAUUUCUACCCCAAGAAAUCAAGAACGCUGAUUUCAUUAAACCAGAUUCCAAAGGCCAUAUUUAGAUAAAUUAGAAGAAAGGCCUAUAAACUAGCCUAACAGAUCAUACCCAGAGAAGCAAAAGCCAGAAACAAUCUAGCUCAAUUUUUUUUAUUAAAUAGACUUGUUAACAUUUUUUUAUUUAUUAGCAUAAAUAAUUUUAAAUUUAUUUAAUUAAAUAUAUAUAAGACAAGUUUAAAAAAACUAAACACACUGAUUUUUGGCUACCAAACUAGGUUUUGAUAUUAGAGCGUGUUUGAAAAUGUAGUAAUAAUUAUUUUUAAAAAUACUUUUCAUUCCAAGACACAUUAAUUUAAUAUUUUAUUAUGUUUUAAAAAUUAUUUUUGAUAUCAAUACAUCAAAAUAAUAAAAAAAACAUCUUCAUUUAAAACAAAAAAAAAAUAAUUUUAAAUUUUUUAAAAAAUACUUUCCAAAACAUAAAUGACUAACACACCUUAAGUGGCUUGACCCAUAACCUAGUCGCAAAUGCCAUCAUUUGAGCAUAAAAAGGUUUCAAUCCCAUGGUGCCUUUUCCUUAUUAUAAAUAUAAAAUAAAAUAAAAUUUAAGUCAAGGAGGUCCAGUCUUAAAUGCUCCAAACAUUAUCCAUGUCUCAAGCUUAUGUGAUCCAAGAAUUCAUAUUUAUUAUAAAAUUAUAAUUUUAUAUGAGUUUUUAUCUUAUGAUUCAAGAAGUUUAUAUUGUAUAUUCAAGAAUUUUAAGUUUAUAGUCAAUUUUAUAAUUCAUAAAAAUAUUUGAUCCCUGAAUUAGUUUUCUAAUUGUUUUGCAUAAAUUCUUAGAAAAAAAAAAUAUUUUAACAAUAGUUUUCGUGCUAAAAAUGCUAUUCUAUUCGACUUUUAAUUCAAAUUGUAUUUAUAUAGUUAAUUUUUUUUCUCUUUAAUAAAUCCAUUAUUGGAUUUGAAAUUUAUAACUUAUUUUAUAAUUCAAAUUAGAGAUUUGGUUUAUUUAUUAAGUUUUUUUAUUUUUGUAAGAUUGAUUGAAAAACAAUAGAUCGGGUCACGUCGGUUUAACUCGAAUCAGCAAAAUAAAAGACAUAAGUGAAUAAUAAAUUUCAAUAUUCAAAGUUCAAGACCGGUGGAGCAAAAUCCAACUCUGACCUAGACUUGUUUGGGAUUGUGGUAGUGGUUGCGGUUCAAAGUGUUUUUCGCUUAGAAAUGCAUCAAAAUAAUAUUUUUUUUAAUUUUUUAAAAAUUAUCUUUGAUAUCAGCAUAUCAAAACAAUCUAAAAUUAUAUAAAAAAUAAUAAAAAUAAAAUAAAAUUUUAAAAAAAUAUAAUUUACACGGAGUUACCGCACACUUGUCCAAUCAACACACAUCCAAUCUCGUUACUUUUUAUACACCUCUUAAUUUUCAAUAGAGCCUUAACCAUUCCUUUAUGCAAGUGCACGCAUUGCCAAACAAUCCUUUAGGAAAAUGAGUUGCCCUCCGACGACUUUCCAUAACUGGCCAGGAUUAAUUUGGACUCUUCGCUGGCGAUAACAGCGAUGGGAAUGAAGACACUUCUCUGCAUCCUUGACCAUUUCAAUUCCGAGAACUCCCCCACCAUCCCAUAAAAAAGUAGUCCUUCUUCUUUGAAGACUUUUCCCAAUUAGUCCUUAUAUUGUUUUUAGGUUUUUUUAAUAUAUUAAUAUAAAAAUAUAAAAAAUAUAUUAUUUUAAUUAAAUAAAAACAUUAAAAAUAUAUAUUUUGCUUUCCAUUACCAAUCACACUAAAAUAAUGUUGUGUCCUUUGAGCCAUUUGGUGAGGAAUGGUGAUGGUGGUUUUUUGUUUUUUUUGUUUAUCCUAUUUGUCUGUCUAAAGAUAAGUUGCCAUGGUGAUGGGUUGCCAUGUUAAAUUUCUAUUUUUAAUUGAAUAAUGUUGUUUGAAAGAAAAACUUAGAUAAAAAAUAAAUAAAAAAUCCUUCGAGUUGGUAUUAUAUUUUAUAAUAAUUUAUUUUUUAAAGUGUUUUUUAUUUGAAAAUAUAUCAAAAUAAUAUAUUUUUUAUUUUUUAAAAAUUAUUUUUGACAUUUACACGUCAAAAUAAUCUAAAAAUAUCAAAAAACAAUUAAUUUAAAAUAAAAAAUUAAAUCUUUUUAAAAAUACUUUUAAAACCCAAAAACAAAUAUAUCUUAACAAAUCACUAAUUAAUUUGUUAAAUUACUUGAGUACCGAUUAAUCUAUCGGAUUAUUUAAAUUUGAACGGAUCAAUCUUUUACUUGGAUGAAAAGCAAACUCGGUUUGAAUCACAUUUCAAAUCAGUAACGUCACCAGGUGACCCAGCUAGCUGGUUUUUGCUGGCUGUGUUUUUGUACAUGUCUAGGGGCAGGGAAAUGUAUAAUGAAAUGUCCAUUUUUCAUUGUAUGUGGGAGAGAAGCAAUGAAGAAGAGAAAGAGGACAAGAUGCCAAGAAAUAAAACGAAGACUUAUUGGAUGUUUGGGGGCAUAUCAAAAUUUCAGGCCUAUUUGGAUUUAUAUUACUAUAGUUUGAAGUAUUUUUUAUUUAAAAAUGUAUUAAAAUGAUAUUGUAUUAUUUUUUAAAAAUUAUUUUUUAGAUCAAAAUAUUAAAACCAUCUGAAAACAUUAAAAAAAAAUUAGCAAAAAAAAUUGAAAUUUGAGGGAACGCUAUUUCAACCGCGUUCCCAAACGCUUUCUUCAUGUUUUUUCAAUCAUAAAGUUACUAUAAAAACACAUGUGUGUUUGGUAUUAUCGUAUAAGAUAUUUUUCGUUUAAAAAUAUAUUAUUUUUUUUAACAUCAACGUAUCAAAAUCAUUGAAAAAUAUGAAAAACCCAUCAAUUUAAUGUUAUUUCGAAUCAAACACAUUUUUAAAACAUACUUAAAUGCAUUUUCAAACCCAAAAAUAAAUGAUAUCUUUAUAAUUAUAGUUCAGAAAACAAUCUCCUACAUCUAAGCACAAAAAGGUUUCGAAGUUAAAAAUAAUCUUAUAGAAGCAUGUGUAUCGUCUUAACUCUAGAUGUAGGGAUCAAGAUUUUAUAAAUCACGUCUAUGCUACUCUCUAGUUUUAAAUAUUCAAAACAAGGCUCCAUUAUCAUAUAUUCAUAGAGACAUACCAAUGUAGCUUUUGAUGUUUACCGGUUUGGGUAUGUCCAUAUGCUUUUAAAUAUAUUUUAAAAUUUAUAUUUUUCUUAAAAAAAUAUUAAAUUAAUAAUUUUUUAGUUGUUUUUAAUAAUUUUGAUGUUUUGAUAUUAAAAACAAAAUCUAAAAAACUUAUUUUUAAAAAAUUCUCUAUAUAACAGUAUCAAACACAUGAUAACCUGGUCCAAAAGCUUUCCACCGAGCAUAAAAUGGUUUUCAACCCAAUCAUACUUUUUCCUCAUUAUAAAUAUAAAAUAAAGUUCAUGUGAAGUAGGGUCCAAUCUUAAAUGGUUCAAACAUUUUUUUUUUUUUAUUAACGUGGGUGUCCGGGCCAGCUUGCACGCACCUCGACUAAUCCCACGGGCCCUAAAGUUAACGACCAUAUAAGCCUCCAGUUGCCAUCAUAUGAGCAAUCUAAGGAUUGAACCUGAGAUCAUAGAGGAAGCAAAGCUUUUGGUCCCAAGCUUUUACCGUUGGGCCACCACCUAGAUAGUUAAUGGUUCAAACAUUAUUGUUAGAACGUGACAGUGUCCCAGCAUUAGUAGUGUAGCACGUGCCAUCUCUUAAGCUUAUGUGAUCCGAAAACAAGGCAAUUGGUGUUUGAUGAAAUUAGUUGUCACUAAAAAUAAAAUAAAAUAAAAUCCUCUUUGAACUAAUUAAUUACUCAAUUAAUUCCUAAAUUAGUUUUUUAUUGUUUCUCACAAAAUUUAUAAGAAUAAAAAUAUUUUAUUAGAUGUUUUAGAUACUCUACUAUUAUAAUAUUUUAUUUAAGUUUAGAUUUUUAUUUCAAAAUUGAAUUUUAUUUAAUAUAACAAAUAUUACAUGUUUUAUUUUAUCUGAUAAAUUUUGAAGUAUUAUUGGAUUUUAUUAAUUUUUUAAAAAUAAUAUUUUAAAAGAGUACGAAAUGUUGGAUACGAUGUUUUUACAAUAACGCAAAACACAACAAACAUUGAUGCUAUGCUGAAUCCUUGAAACCGUAAUAUACACUUCAUAAGAAACUGUAAUAUAACAAACAGAGGAUCUGUAAGUUUCAGAGAACGACAUCAAUUUAAUUACGCGAAGUUCAAUCCUUUUUCCUCUACAAAUUAAAUCAUGUACGUAAACCUGUUACCUACAUUUUGUAAUAUUUCUGGAUCUGCUCUUUGAUUCAUCAAGGACAGAGUUGAUUGCAGCUUCGUCAUAGAAAAGUUCGUCUUCUUCAUCUUCUUGGUUGGCGAGGAAAUAUAAGUGGAAGUAUUUGAUAGCUAAGAACUCAGAAUCCAUGAGAUGAAGUAUUUGGCAAAGCCUUCCCCGUGAUUGGAGCAAUCUCACUAAGUUAUCGACGUAAUGGCUAGAAUUGUCUUCCUCUUAACUAAUCUUUAGCAAAUUAUCUUAAUAUGGUUUUACCAAAAAGAAAAUAAUAAAUUUCAGGAACGUCAUCCUCGUGGAUGCUAUAAUCUGUAAUUAUUGGCAAGGCUUUAAUAUAUUGUACAAAUAGAUUGAAGAAACAGGAGGCCUACGCAUUUAAUUUGGACUUCCUCGUGGAUGCUAUUCCUUCAAAUAUGGACUAAAAUUGUUUUAUAUCACAGAAAGCCUUAAUUAGAAAAUAACUUCAUAUUCUGGCGGUAGAAACCCCACGAACGCAAUCAAGUAUUUGCUUCAAACAAUAAGAGGGAGCUUCAGUGCAGCAGGAAACUUCAACAUCUAUUAUUAAAAUUGUGUUUGGUAAACGCUAGGUAAAUUAUGUGUUUAUAAAUUUUAAUUUUUUUUAUAAAAAAUUAUUAUUAUUAUUAUGUUUUCAGAUCAUUUUGAUGUGUUAUAUCAAUAAAAAAAAUAAAAAAAUAUUAAAAAAAUUAUUUUGAUGUAUUAUUAAAUAAAAAACACUAGUUUAUCUUUUGAUGUUUUUCGGUUUAUAAAAUGAACAGUGAACAGUUUACAUUGAUAUACUAUUCUUGUGAGCAAGAGAAUUGUACUGUUCACUUAAAAAAUAAUGAACAGUGCAAUUCACUUGUACUAUUCACGGAUGAAUUGCACUGCGAGUACUUUUUUUUUUUAGUGUUAAUUUUUUCAAUAUAUUUUUCUAAAAAAACACUAGUUUAGAGUGAAUUAAAUUCACUUGCAAUGUGAUGUGAAUAAUAUUUGUUUUCCCUGAAAAAGUAGUCUAGAUUGAAUUAAAUUCACCCGCAUUGUAAUAUCAAUUUUAUACCCGAUAAUAUUUUAUUUAAUUUGAUUAUAUGCUCAAAACAUUAUAGAAAUUGUAGUUCUUGUCGGAUGUAUUUUGUACAUAAUGGAAUUGUAGAUGGUUUCAUGGAAUAAUAAAAAAUAUUUUAUAUAAAGUAUGAUUUAUUUCAUGAUGUAAUAGCAAUAGUUAAAUCUACAAUAUUUAAAUUAAAAAUCAUCAAUAUUAAUAUAUAUUUUUUAAAAUUAUUUUAUAACCUCAAUUUCAAAAGCAUUCUUACCCAAACAUAUUAAAUUACUUUUUUUUUCAACUUCAAUUUCAACUAUAUUUUUAACCAAACACCUAUUUUUUCAAACCAAUCUCAACUAAAAAUAUUUUUUAUAAAAAUAAUUUUUUUCAAAUCACAACCACAACAUCUAUCGCAAUACUAAACACACUGAAAGACCUAUAUACCAGCCCAACAAAUCAUACCCAGGGAAGCAAAAGCCAGAAACAAGCUACCUCGAUUCUUGCUCCACCUGGGUAAGAAAUGCAGCAUGCCCACUUGGAAUUAUACAGCGUCCAAAUUCCAUGGCAAAUAAUUGGUUGGAAUUGUUUUCUGAGGGGUCAUUUCAAAAUCUGAAAAUAAAAACAGAAAAUAGAUCCAGCAAAUGAUUCCAAAUAUCUUCUAAAAAAACGAUGAAAUAUGUUUUUUUAUUUACCGUAAGGAAAGAUAUUAACGAAAUUUUUUUUAAAAAAAAUCAAUUUAAAAAAUAUAUAACAAGUCAAAAUCUAUACUUAAAAUCUUUCUCGUUUUAAAUUUAUAAUUGAAUCAAAUAAAAUAUUAAUUUAAUAAAACAUAGUUAAGUUUUUGAUAGUUGAAUAUUUAGUAUAACGGUGACGUACUAAACUAUUAAAUCUUAACAUAAAAAGGAAUUUUUAUUAUAUACCCACGAAUCGGUACAAAAUCUAUAGGUUUUUAUAAAAUGAAUUCCUGAACCUAGUCGAAGAACUGUGGCAAAAACAGUUUCAGGAUUCCAACCUAACACAUGAAUGGGGUGGUUAUAUUUUGUGUUGUACACUUGAGAUUAUUUUUUCUCGGUAUCAUUUUUACAAAAAACUAUUAUUAUUAUAUGAAAUCAACAAAAAUUCACUCACCAAUCAUUCAUGGAAAAUUCAACUUUUUUAUAUAUAAAAAGGAUUUUUAUCAAAGAGGUUGAAUUUUUAAGUUGGUGGUGGAUUGACUUCUAAUAAUUCCAGGGUAAAUAAUAAUUCCAGCAUUAGAUUGAUUAAUUAAUUACACUUUAUUAGUUAUUUUUUAGAUCUUAUUAGCUUUGAUAACAUUGAACUAGUUUUAUAUUUAAAAUAUUAGUGUUAAAAUAUUUUAAUUUUAUAAUAUUUUGAUAUUUUAUUGAAAUUGAAUUGUUUUAAGUUAAAAAAUUAUUUAAUCUUAACUAUUUAAAAAUAUUUUAAAUUUUAAAAUUAUAUUUCAUCACGUCUCCAUGAUCCCCGUUGUGUCAAAAACAAAUUGCCUAGAUUUUAGGCUUUAGCAGUUCCUUUUUUGAAAUCCUUAUUAGUAAUAUUUCACGACUCAUUAUUUCUAUUAUUUUUAUUCCAUUUUAGCAUUUCAUACUCAUCAAAACCACUAGAACACAAUCAAGCUCUAUCUUCAAACAACCAGGGAGAUUUUAUAGGGAUAAAAUUUUAAAAAUCACGCCUAUACUACUUUCUAGUUUUAGUAUUAAAUUUAGUAUUUAAAAAAUAUGUUUAUGAAUAUGGCAGUUUCAGGUUUAGAAACCAAAACUGCCAUAUUCAUACUCUCUUAGACAUUUUAAAAAUGUGUGUAGAAGAAUAUUUUCACUGAUGAUUUAUAAUAUUAGGUUACUUUAAUGAUAAAUCAAUAUAGUAUUUUUUUUAUUUUUUGGAUUUUCAUCUUGGAGAAAUUCAAUAGGAUGAAAAUAUAAUAUUAAUCAAACUUCAAAUUAUAAUUGUUUAUCUAUCGAGUUAAAAAAAUAUAUGACAAUUCAGUAGUCUUUAAUGAAAUAAAAAAAAUGAAAAAUGUUAUUUAUGUAAUUGUAAGCAUACUAUAUUAUAUUACUUUACAAAGGAACGAAGGACAUCCUUUGCGUUAGGAUGCUAGGAUUUCUUUAAGAGAAGGGGGAGGAGAUGGCUGGCCAUUUUCAAGCAACGGAAGACAAAUUGGCAUCCUCUUCAGCUUCUCACAAAACUCUACAUAAAUAUCUUCAAGAGAAUUGCAAAUCAGUUUUGCACUGCAAAUGCUUUUCAGUUCUGGUAAUUUAUACAAUCGCAGAGUUGUUAACUUUGGGAGAAUGACUUCCGUGAUGGAAUUGGAGGUGCUGCUUUCUUCAUCUGUUGUUCCUAUUAUCUCCUCCAUUUUCUCACAAUCAUUAACUUCAAUCCUUUCCAGGUUUACGAGGUUUGGCAGCAACACAAGUGGGAACAGCUUCUUCAUAUUGUUACAUCCAUAACAAAAAAACCUUUUAAGACUAGAAAAGAUACCAUUAUAUGGUGGCAAUGGUGGUGGAGCAGAGCAGAACCAAGAAGAUGAAACCAAGCUCUCCAUGUUAUUGCAAUACCGAAUGCUGAUGCGCUCCAGUUCAGUUGCAUUCUCUAAUGACAAAACAUCACAUAAACUUCUUGCAUCGAUAAAUUGACAAAUCAGUCCUUGAAUGCAAUUUAAGAACUUGACCUGAAAAUCUCUAUCUCCGUUGAUACUCAAAUUACCCAACCCAACUGUUUUACUUGGAAAAUCUUCAAGGUAUUGCUGUAAAUAUCUACCCACCUCUCCUACUAAAAUCUUGCAUGUGCUUAAUGAUAGGAUCCCAUCCCGAGAUCUGAGAUACUCCACGAAGUCAGAAAAACCUUCGAAAUGGCAUUCCAAAGUUUCCAAAUUUCUCAAGGAUCCUACUUCCUUUCCUUUAACUGUUAUAGGAGCAUCAUCUUGCAUCAUAAACUUUUCUAGUACAAAGACUUGCAGGUGGGAGAGUUUUGGUAAUAUACCACUAGGAAACUCCUUUUCACCACAUUCAUUCAUUAUAAGAUACCUCAGGUUGGUUAGGCAUUCCAUUCCUUGCGGUAUCUUUUCAAGUGCAGUAUGAGAGAGUCUUAAUUUCUCACAAUUAUUGAGCAAUAAUGUUGUGAGGCUCACCAAAUCAGAGACAGAGUCUGGCAAUUGCUUGAAAAAUGAAUCCGCAAUAAAUCCCAACAACCGAUUUUCACAUAGCAAUAGAGUUGAUAGAUAGGGACACCUAGGUGAAUGGUUGGAAGGAAUUUCUUCGAUCAUGUUUUCCAUUAGUGAAACUCUCGUCAGAUUCUCCGUCCACUCCUCUGCAUCUGGCAACUCUUUUAAUUGUGCACCUGCUUUGACCAUGCCUUGAGAGUUCUCUAGCAGUAUUCGGAUGGCCAUGUCCCUAAUCAAGUCAUGCAUCUUGACACGUCUAAUAUCAUCAUACUUUAUUUUAGCACUUUCCAAUAGGCAGACAUUUUCAAGUCGAUUAAGCAUCGUGUGGCCCUCAUCAAAUGCAUCUCCCCUGCUCCUCUUUCCUUUAAUUAUUCCCUCAUCGAUCAAAUAACCUAUCAACUCCUCCCUUUCAAUCUCAUCAUCUUCAGGAAAUAAUGCACAGUACAAGAGACAUUGUUGUAGUGCUAAAUCACCUAACCGAUCAUAACUAAACCUCAAUAACUUGAAUACUUAAUUGUCCCUAAAUUCUGAUUCUCUCAAUUUGUUCAAUGCAUUUCUCCACUCAUAUAGGUCAUCCACUCCCCUCAAGCUUCCUGCCACUGUAAUAAUUCCUAAUGGCAAACCAGCACAUUCCCUUGCAACAGCUUUCGCAAUUCCUUCCACUUCUGGUGAAAGUGCUACAUCACGUUGAAGCUUCUCCAUAAACAAAGUCCAAGCUUCUCCAUUAGAAAGUGGCUUCACUUUGAUUUUGUGUUGGCAAGCCAUCCGAUGACAAACCGUUUCUGAUCGAGUUGUCAUAAUCAGCUUGCAUCCUUCCAACUUUUCAGGAAUUCCCACUUUGUGUAGCUCAAAAUUGUUCCACAAAUCAUCUAAAAUGAGAAUCCAUUUUUGUUUCUUCCUUAGUUCUUCUGACAAUUUGGCAGCUCUAUGCAGUUCAUCAUUUUUUCUUGAAAGAUCUAGAUCAAGAUGUUCAGCAAUAAGAUUCUGCAAUCUAUUAAUGCUGAAAUCUUGAGACACAGUCACCCACCAAACAUUAUCACAAAUAUCUGGUCUUUGUAGAAGCUCAUUAUGGAUAUGUUGCAGUAUUGUGGAUUUACCAACUCCCCCCAUCCCAUAAAUGCCAAUGGUUGAGACAUCCCCAUCCAUUAACAAAUACCAUAUCAUCUCCGUAUUCUCUUCGAAUGCUUGACCCACUGGCUUUGUAGAGCUAGUAGGUAAUGGAACUCCUCUAGUCUUGUUGUAUUUCAGACUUUCAGAAGAUCUAGCUCCAGCACCAACUGAUCUUCGACUAUUCUCCACAUCCUCCUCCACUGGUUCUGUCCUCACUCUAACCCGAUUAAUUCUCUCUUCCCCGACACCUUGUUCCAGCACCCCCUGCCUGAUGCGAACCUCGUGAUCACGUGUUCACGCAACCCACAAUCAAGAUUGAGACCUGAUCCCGGAAAGCCAAAAUAGGUCUGAUAUGAGUGCGGCACAAUGGAAACCUGCCCUAAGGCACCAACACUAUUGGAAUAAGUAGAAUGACGCCACGAAGCCAGUUAAUCUUCGAUAAGUCAGAUUCAGUUCGUUCAAGAACUGAAGAAUGCAAGAAUCACUCUCACACGUUAAAACUGAAAAAUUCAGAAUAAUAAUCAUCAAAGCUGCCGAAACAUGAGUUUAAAUAGUUCUUAGAAAAGUUAACCCUAAUGGACCCUUUAUGUGGACUUAUAUGAGGUCCACUCAAAACUGGCUCAAAACCCUAAAAUGAAAAGCCCAUAACUUAAUCCAAACAAGCCUUGGAUCCUAGCUUAAAACAAAGUAUGAAUUAAGCCCAAACAAGCCUUGGGCUGUAGCUAACAAAAUAAAAUAAAGCCCUUAUCUCAUGGCCCAAAUAAGGUUGUAUUGGACCCCUCUUGCACAUGGAUAAGAUGUACUAGGAUCUCCUCUUGAUACUCCAAUGGACCUUCCAAUUCUGACUUGGUGGAAACCUUCAAAACCAAUGCAUUCAAUGUGUCUUUCAAUGUCUUUGUCUUGGACCGAGUCAUUGGUCCAUUUGGAACAUGUAAUGGGUCCUUGCUGGUGUUUCUGGGCUGGUCCGCAUCAUCCCCUCUCCCUUCGAAAGGAUUCGACCUCGAAUCAAAAUCUGUGUCAAACAAAGUAAGAUCAGCAACAUUAAAGGUAGCACUAACACUAUACUCACCUGGAAGGUCAAUUUUGUACGCGUUGUCAUUGAUUCUCUCUAAAACCUGAAAAGGACCAUCACCACGAGGCUGUAAUUUUGAUUUCCUUCGGUUAGGAAAUCGUUCCUUACGCAUGUGCACCCAUACCCAAUCACCGGGUUGGAAAACAACCAGUUUACGUCCCUUAUUUGCUUUAGAAGCGUAAAGUCUGUUCUUUUUCUCUAUUUGUAGUCGAACUCCCUCAUGGAGUUCUCUCACCAUCUUUGCCUUCUUUUCACCAUCUAAACUUACCCUUUCUUCAAAAGGUAAAGGAAUUAAGUCCAUAGGAGUUAGUGGAUUAAAACCAUAAACAAUUUCAAAAGGAGAAAAAGUAGUAGUUGAAUGCACAGUUCUAUUAUAAGCAAACUCAACAAAAGGCAAACAUUCUUCCCAACUUUUCAAAUUCUUUUGAAUUACAGCACGUAAAAGUUGGGAUAAUGUUCUAUUCACUACCUCAGUUUGUCCAUCUGUUUGAGGAUGGCAUGUUGUCGAAAAUAAGAGUUUAGUUCCCAACUUUCCCCAUAAGGUCUUCCAAAAGUAACUAAGGAACUUAACAUCACGAUCUGACACUAUACUCUUAGGAAUGCCAUGCAAACGUACAAUUCUCUAAAGAACAAGUCUGCGAUAUGAGAUGCAUCAUCUGUUUUAUGGCAUGCAAUGAAAUGCGCCAUUUUAGAAAACCUAUCAACCACAACAAAGAUAGAGUCUCUACCUUUCUUUGACCUAGGUAAACCUAAAACAAAGUCCAUAGAGAUAUCUACCCAAGGUUCAGUAGGCACAGGUAGUGGUGUAUAUAGUCCAUGCGGUUGUACUCUAGAUUUUGCCUUUCUACAAGCAAUGCACUGUUCACAAAUUCGUUGCACAUCUCUUUUCAUCUUUGGCCAAUAGAAAUGCUCAUGCAAUACAUCCAAGGUUUUCGCAACCCCAAAGUGACCCAUUAAACCACCCCCAUGUGCUUCACGAACAAGCAAUUCACGCAAAGAACUAGCAGGAACACACAAUCUAUUCUCUUUGAACAAAUAACCAUCCAUCAAAUAAAACUUACCGAAAGCCGAAUGUCCACAUGCAUUAUAAAUCUCAGCAAAGUCAGAAUCAUUAUCAUACAAUUCCUUCACAUAUUCAAAACCUAACAAUCUAGUAUUCAUGGUGUGUAAAAGAACAUACCUGCGCGAGAGUGCAUCAGCUACGAUGUUCUCUUUCCCUUGCUUAUACUUGAUUACGUAAGGAAAGUUUCAAUGAAUUCAACCCAUUUUGCAUGCCUCCUAUUCAACUUACCUUGUCCUUUCAGAUGUUUCAAGGACUCAUGAUCCGAAUGGAUUACGAACUCUUUUGGCCACAAGUAAUGCUGCCAUGUCUCAAGUGCUCUUACCAAUGCAUAGAGUUCUUUGUCGUAAGUUGGAUAGUUCAAGGUCGCUCCACUUAACUUCUCACUGAAAUACGCAAUAGGUCUCCGAUCCUGCAUCAAAACAGCACCUAUUCCUAUUCCAGACGCAUCACAUUCUAUUUCAAAUGCUUUCGUAAAGUCAGGUAAACCCAAAACAGGUGCAGAACAUAAUUUCUCUUUCAAAAGAACAAAUGCCAAUUCUUGUUCCUCCCCCCAUUUAAACCCAACUGAUUUUUAACAACUUCAUUUAAAGGGCAGCUAUUGUACUGAAAUCUUUCACAAAACGCCUGUAAAAACUAGCUAACCCAUGAAAACUCCUUACCUCACUUACCGAUUUGGGUGUAGGCCAAUCCCGGAUGGCCUUAACUUUCUCCUCAUCCAUCUCGAUACCCUGUGCAGUUACAACAUAGCCAAGAAACACAAUUUUUCCAUGCAAAAGGCACACUUUUAAAAUUAGCAUACAAUUUCUCACUACGCAACACACUAAGUACAUUACGCAAAUGAUCAAGAUGCUCAGUUAAGUUCUUGCUAUAUAUCAAAAUGUCAUCAAAAUACACAACCACAAACUUACCUAUGAAUGCACGCAACACAUGAUUCAUUAAACGCAUAAACGUACUAGGUGCAUUUGUAAGUCCAAACGGCAUUACUAACCAUUCAUACAAACCAUGCUUAGUCUUAAAUGUUUUUCCACUCAUCACCUUCUUUCAUCCUAAUUUGAUGGUACCCACUUUUCAAGUCAAUUUUAGAGAAAAUACAGGAUCCAUGUAACUCAUCUAACAUGUCAUCAAGCCUAGGAAUGGGAUGUCUAUACUUUACCGUUAUGUUGUUGAUGGCCCGACAAUCAACACACAUCCUCCAUGUUCCAUCCUUCUUUGGCACAAGUAGCACGGGUACAGCACACGGGCUCAUACUCUCACGAAUGUAGCCCUUUUCCAUCAGCUCAUCAACUUGCCUUUGAAGCUCCUUCGUCUCCUCGGGAUUGCUUCUAUAAGCUGGUCGGUUAGGAAUUGAAGCUCCGGGUACGAAAUCAAUCUGAUGCUCUAUCCCCCUCAAUGGUGGUAAUCCGCUAGGAGUAUCGUCGGGGAACACAUCAUCAAAUCCCUGCAACAAAGAAAUAGCAACACUAGGCACAAUAUGAUCAAGAUCAUUAGUAUUAAAGUAAGCCUCUUUGUACACAAGUAAGAUCAUUGGCUUGUUAGUGAAAAAUGCAGAUCUGACCUCACCCUCUCUAGCAUAAAAAUUGGGUUGUUUCUUUAGUUUUUCCACACAAUUCUCAUCACACUUGCUGACUUUCUUCACUCCUCUUGUCUUACCUCCACUCUCGGCCAGAUUUGGGUGUUUUUGAGUUGUGGUCGAAUGGUUUGAUUUGUUUGGAGUGUUGGCCGAAUAUUUGCUUGUGUUUGGAUGGGUGGCCGAAUGGGUUGUAGUGGUUUGGGUUCUAGCCGAAUCUGAUGGUCUUCUCUCCCCUUGUUCCUCACCUUGAUUUUCUCUCCCCAUCGCCUCAUGCUCACUUUUUAGCUUUAUUUGAUCAUCAUACACCUGUUUGGGUGUAAGAGGUACAAGAGUGAUGGUUUUACCAUCUUUUACAAUGGUAUACCUAUUUUUAACCCCAUCAUGAAUUGCCUUCCUAUCAUAUUGCCAUGGUCUCCCCAACAAGAUGUGACUUGCUUGCAUUGGUACCACGUCGCACAGAACUUCAUCAACAUAUUUCCCAAUCGAAAAUGGAACCACAACCUGUUUAGUCACUUUCACUUCACCACUAUUCAGCCAUUGCAAUCUAUAUGGUUUAGCAUGCUUAGCAGUACACAAAUUCAGUUUACUAACAAGGGUGGCACUACAAACAUUAACACAGCUUCCACUAUCUAUAAUUAAACCACACACCUUUCUUUGUACGUAACAACGCGUAUGGAAGAUGUUCUCCCUUUGUUCAUUAGUAUCAUCUUCUUUGACCUGAACCUGAAGUGUUCGCCUUAUAACCAAGGACUCCUCAACCGGUAAUGCUAACUCAUCCCCAUCACUAUCCUCCAAUGGUGGCAUGCCUUCACAAUCAGAACUGUCACUUUCAGAUUCCACAUCACCAUUAUCUCUAAUCAUCAUGAUUCUCUUGUUUGGACACUCUGAAGCAUAAUGUCCAUGUCCCUGACACCUGAAACAUUUAACAUCACGAGUACGUUUAGGUUGAGUUUCAGAUUUACCUUUGGCAUCAGUAGGGACAUCAACUUUAGCCUUUGGUGGUUCAGUUCUAGAAGACCAAAGGAUCUUGGCGGACAACCCUCUCUCUUUAGAUUCGGCUUCCAAGAUGAUGACGAACCCGAAUUAAACGCUGGCCGAGCAUGCCCUUCCUAAGUUGUCUCUCCACCUUCGUCGCCAUGUGAACCAUGUCCUCUAGCUCCACAUAGUGUUGUAGCUCAACCACAUUAGCAAUGUCCCGAUUCAACCCAUUAAGAAUCUAGCCAUGGUGGCUUCUCUAUCCUCAACAACAUUAGCCCGAAUCAUUGCUAUCUCCAUCUCUUUGUGAUAUUCAUCUACUGUCUUAUAACCUUGAUUCAGAUAUAAGUCUCUGUAAUAGUGGUUUGGCACAAAUCGUCUCCUCAUUAAGACUUUCAUCUCCCCCCAAGUCUGAACGGGUCGCUCGCCAUUCCUCCUCCUACUGAUCACAAUCUGAUCCCACCAAAUCAAUGCAUACUCCGUAAACUCAAUUAUCACCAAUUUCACCUUUUUUUGUUCAGAAUAGCUAUGGCAAUCAAAAAUCCAAUCCACCUUUUUCUCCCACUCCAAAUAAGCCUCGGAUCGUUUUUACCUUGAAAGCUAGGAAUUUUCAGUUUAAUGGUGUCCAAGUCCCCAUCCAUAUCUUCAUAAGUGCUCAUGCCACGAAAAUUCACAUUCCUCCUAGCCCUGUUCGGUCCAGACCUGAUUCCUUGGCCAGCUGAUGCAAAAUCAUAGUCAUCUUCACCCCAUCUGCGUUUUCAUCAACAAACUCUUCAAAAUCAGAUCUACAUUCCGUGCGCCAUACGGACCGUAUUUCCCCGGCGAUCAGCCCCACUAUUCUGUUGCUUUAUCGAAUUCACCUCAUCUUUCAGAUCCUUGUAUGUCCUAGACAACAGCUCAAGUUGCUGGCCUAUGGAUCGCAAUUGGAAAGCUACGUCAACGUUUUGUGUCGCUGAUUCGUUGUUUUCAGACAUUCUUUGAAUCUGCAAAAUUUGGUCAGUAGCACAAAUAUAUCCUCACACCUCUCGUGUAUCACACAAAAUAAAAUCAAGGCUUUUCACUCUAUUAAGCUCUCUACGCCUUUUACCUCACAACUUGCUUUCUUUUGGUUCUUUAGGAACUGAAAUCAACAAAUCAAAGUCAGUAGCUUUCGCGCGCACUCUAAUUAUAAUUUUCAGACUCAAGAAGAAAAAAAUAUACUGAAAACAAAGCAAAACAAACUAGAUUACGAUUUUGCGAGUAGCAAUGCAAAUUCGUGCGAAUUGUGGACGAAACGAAGACACGAAAUAAAACAAAAGCGAAUAUUAGCGAAAACAAUUACUUGACUCCUAGAUAACCCAAAUAUAAUAGAAAUAAAAAGAUUAACAAAACUAAACAGUAUAGAUCAUGUUCUCAAACUUGACGCAAAUCUAUCCUAUUACGCAAUUUUACGUAACAGAAUUGAAACCCAGACCAAACGAUCUCGAAAUGACCUCAAAUUCAAUAUUUGUAAUACAAUACUAUGAAAACACUAAUACUCAAUUUAUAGGUCGUUCUCUUAUGUCUAGGUACCCAAACCCCUUGUAUGAUCAGUUUGCGGCAGAAUUGAACCUCCAAUUAAAACCUCCAGAAACCGAUAUCAAAAUAAUCCCAAAUUUAAUAUGUGGUGCAAUCGCAUACCCAAUACUCAGAAUAUGAAGUUUCAAUAGAUUCCAAGGUGUUUUACCUAGGGUUCACUAAGAGUAGUGUUUUGCGGCAGAAUUGAAACUCGAAUUAAAACCUCAAGCAAAUAAUAUCAGAAUAAGCCCAACUUUGAUAUAUCAUGCGAUCCCACCCCCAAUAGACUGAAUAUGAAGUUUAAAUUGAUUCCGAGGUGGUUUGCUUAUGGUUCACCAAGAUUUGUGUUUCUGCGGCAAAAAUUGAAUGAUCCUUCAAAUUUCAACUAAUCACUCUUUUCUCUAUUUCUUUCUGAUUUUUUUUUCUUUUUAACAAACUGAUAUGAUUAGAGACAGUAACAAGAUGAAAUAUAAACUUUUUUUUUUUUUUGCUUAGAUGACACAGACACGAAGAACAAGAAGAUGGAUGCAAACACUGAAAAACUUAAGGGACACUAAAAAAAAAACGAAAAUAACAAUGAUAUGACCUUGUUUCGGAGCCUAGCUCUGAUACCAACUGAUGCGAACCUCGUGAUCACGUGGUCACGCAACCCACAAUCAAGAUUGAGAUCUGAUCCCGGAAAGCCGAAAUAGGUCUGAUAGAGUGCGACACAAUGGAAACCUGCCCCAAGGCACCAACACUAUUGGAAUGAGUAGAAUGACGCCACGAAGCCAGUUAAUCUUCGAUAAGUCAGAUUAAGUUCGUUCAAGAACUAAAGAAUGCAAGAAUCACUCUCGCACGUUAAAACUGAAAAAUUCAGAAUAAUAAUCAUCAAAGCUGCCGAAACAUGAGUUUAAAUAGAUCUUAGAAAAGUUAACCCUAAUGGACCCUUUAUGUGGACUUAUAUGAGGUCCACUCAAAACUGGCCCAAAAUCCUAAAAUGAAAAGCCCAUAACUUAAUCCAAACAAGCCUUGGAUCCUAGCUUAAAACAAAGUAUGAAUUAAGCCCAAACAAGCCUUGGGUUGUAGCUAACAAAAUAAAAUAAAGCCCUUAUCUCAUGGCCCAAAUAAGAUUGUAUUGGACCCCUCUUGCACAUGGAUAAGAUGUACUAGGAUCUCCUCUUGAUACUCCAAUGGACCUUCCAAUUCUGACUUGGUGAAAACCUUCAAAACCAAUGCAUUCAAUGCGUCUUUCAAUGUCUUUGUCUUGGACCGAGUCAUUGGUCCAUUUGGAACAUGUAAUGGGUCCUUGCUGGUGUUUCUGGGCUGAUCUGCAUCAUCCAAUUGUCAAGCACUGCAUUGCUUUGUUCCAACGAUCGAUCCACUGGUUCUGUUCUCGGUCUGCAAUGCCCCUUCAGAAACUCCAUCUUCUUGUGCUCUCAUUCUGGUCAUGCUUACUACGUCGUUUCCUGCUAUUGCAUGUGAAGUAAUCCUCUCUUCCCCUACUCCGGGUUCUACAACCUGAACUUCUCUUUGUACCCUUCCAAUUCCUCCUCCCAUAUUUUCAAUCUCAAUGUUUUGUUCUUGUGGACAACUUGAAAUUCCAGAAUCAUUAACAUUGAUUGAACUUUCCGUGCUUUUAAGUCUUUUGUUGCCACGACACAUAGCUUUCCAGGCUGCUUCUUGAACUUCUUUAGCCACCCCACGACAAAUGGAAACACCAUGCCCUUCUUCUCUUGAUAAAUGCCAUUUGAUCCUUGAAAUGGAAGUUUUGGUGGCAUAUGUAUGUGGACAAAACUUACACUUCAUGCUACCAUCAGCCCUUUCUUCAACAUAAUUCCGAAAUGAAUCAUUUGAUCCACCCAUUUCAACCUAUAGAAAAAAAACGGGGGGAGGGGGGGGUCAAAAUAUAGAAUAAAAAUCAAUCAAAAUAAAGAAUAAAAAUCCUAUAUGGAUGGAUGAGAAACUACUUCUUUAGUGUUGUUACCCUUAUUUUUCUAUUAAAAUUGAUAGUUAGUUUAUUUUGCUCUUAAUUUAAUAUUUUUUUCAAAAUAAACAGAUUUUUAAAUGCAAUCAAACAUAAUUUUGAAUACAAAAACAAAUUAUGUUUUGAUUGCGGAUUGCGAGCAUAACAAUCUUGGCAGUAAGUACUAAAGAAAAUCUGAAGACGUGAGUAGAACAAUUUGUUCUAAUGGUUUGUUUACUGAAACGUGAACAUACAAUCUUGAUUGAUUCAUUACACUGCCAUUAGCAGAGUAUUUAAAGUUUACUGAAGAUGACAUAUACAAGGAUUCAAAUAGCUAACCAACUAAGGAUUAUCUUGAGUGUUUAUCUUGAUAAGCAUGAACAAGGACAUGAGGCAGCUUCCAUGCAUUGUCAAUUCUGACUUGGAAUCACAGAGUCCCUUUUACUUUCGGAUGAAUCACAGCAGUCUCCUUAUCUUGUUAGACUACCAUUCUAACUUGAAUUUGUUACCCUUGAAGACAUCUUUAUCUCCUGACUUUUCUCCAUUAAACUCGGAAGUUUUGUAGAACAAUGUGGGCAGCAUCGUAGGGAGCUUUGUGAGAGAAUUCUGCCUUAUUACUCCAGUAGCAUAAACACCCUUAUCUCUCCACUGAACUCUCACAAAGCUUGUUGUCAGAUUGUGUUGUGCUAACACCCUCCCGCAAACUUGGCCGGGGCUGGAGGCAAAGUUUGGUUUGGAAGUAAAUGAGGGCAGCUUUUGACACUGGUUUGGUAAAUAUGUCAGCAAUCUGAUUACUGGAGUUUAUAUGUCGGGUGAUAAGAUGUCCAAGUGCAACUCGUUCUCGUACAAAAUGAUAGUCCAACUCAAUAUGUUUACUGCGGGCAUGGAAUACUGGAUUAAUUGUCAAGUGAAGUGCACUGAGAUUGUCACAGUAGAGUACUGGAGUAGAUUUGAGUGGGAUGUUCAGAUCUUUGAGAAGAAAGGUCAGCCAAGUAAUUUCGGCUGUAGUGUUAGCCAUGGACCGAUACUCAGCUUCAGUGCUGGAGCGGGAGAUUGUAUGUUGUUUCUUCGAACACCAAGAGAUUAUAUUUUUCCCGAGAAAGAUGCAGUAGCUAGUAGUAGAGCGUCUUGUAAUAGGACAUCCUGCCCAAUCUGCAUCUGAAAAAGCAGAGAGAUCAAGUGUAGUUUGUGAAGUGAAAAAUAACCUGGUAUGGAGAGUUCCUUUCACAAAACGUAGGAUACGAUUGACCAUUUUUAAAUGUGUAGUAUUUGGGGCAUGCAUGAAUUGGGACACAAAAUUAACACUAUACGAAAGGUCAGGACGUGUGAGAGUAAGGUAUUGUAAAGAGCCAACAAGACCCCGAAAAUAACUCAGGUCAUCCAAAGGGGUGUCAGCGGAGGAGGUCUUUGUCUUUGCUUCAAGUGGUGUACUCAUGGGUUUGCAAUCUAUCAUGUUCGCACGUUCAAGGAUGGUGAGGGCAUAAUGAGAUUGAGAGAGGUGUAGACCAUCUGAUGUGUGAGAUAUUUCAAUCCCAAGAAAGUGAUGAACAUGGCCGAGGUCUUUCAUUGCAAAUUCACCACUGAGCAGUUGUAUAAAUUCUGUAACAAGGGUUGCAUUUGAACCUGUGAGUAGUAUGUCAUCAACAUAGAGAAGAAGAAUUAAUGUGCCAUGAUCUGUAUGAGAAAUAAAUAAUGAAGGAUCUGCUAAACUACAAAAGAAACCAUAUUUAAGUAAAAAGGUGCUGAACCGAUCAAACCAUGCACGGGGUGCUUGUUUAAGGCCAUAUAGAGCUCGUUGGAGCUUGCAGACAUGCAUUGGAUACUGGGAAUCUGACAUUCCAGGCGGUUGUUCCAUAAAUAUAUCUUCGGAGAGGAAGCCAUAUAGGAAUGCAUUUUUGACAUCGAGUUGUCGAAUGGACCACUGUUGAACAAGUGCAACUGUUAUAACCAUGCGAAUGGUGCUUGGUUUUACCACAGGGGAGAAGGUUUCGGUGAAGUCAAUGCCAUCAAUUUGAUGAAAUCCUUUGGCAACAACCCUGGCUUUUAAACGAUCUAGGGAACCAUCAGGUUUAAGCUUUGUCUUAAGUACCCAUUUGGACCCGAUAACAUGCAUAUCAGAGGUGCGGGGAACCAGUAUCCAGGUUUGGUUUUGAUGCAGGGCAGUUAAUUCUUCAUUCAUUGCUGCUCGCCAACCUGGAUGAGCUAGUGCUGCUUGAACACUCCUUGGCUCUCGUGGGACAGAAGAGGAGUAUGUUGUUGAUAAAGCAUACUUAGGAUUUGGCUUAACAAUCCCAUGGUGUGACCGUGUAGUCAUAGAAUGAGGGAAAAUUACCUGGGGAGACUGAUUCGAACUAGGUGGAUCAGCUGGUAGAGCUGAUUGGGGAGAAAGUAAACUAUCAGCGUCAUUUGGUUGAACCAUAUGCAGAGUUGGUGUUGAUUCAUCUGAUUCAGGCAUAAUAAGUUGGUUUUCCUCAUGAAACGCAGCAGCAGGGGCUAAAGGAGCAGAGGAUGUGGGGCCAGUUCUAGGAGAAGAACUAUCAUCUUCCCGCACACAGUGAUGGGUGAUACUAUCAGUAGGAAGCAUCAUCGAAGCAAGUGACUCUGAGUCCUUAAACAUUUGGGGGAGUGGGGCAGGAGACAAGGAUACUUCACCAAGCGGGAUUGAUGAAGGAGUGUCGGAUGUAGGCAAUGAUGAGGUUGCUGCUAUCUUAGAGGACUCUGCAAGAAUAUUAGUACAAGGUAACCAAGCAUCAUAAAUGCUAAGGGCAAGUUGUGGAGAAGGAGUAAAAGCAAGAUCGUUGACAGGUUUAUAUGGAAAGAGCAAUUCAUCAAAGACCACAUGCCGUGAAAUGAAAAUUUUUUUGCUUUUUGGAUGGAAACAUUUAUAUCCUUUAUGAGUACUGCUAUAUCCUACAAAGAUGCAGGGGACAGUUUUGGGAUCAAAUUUGUUAAUUCGUGUGUCCCAAGUGUAAGGAAAGCAUUUUGAGCCAAAAAUAUGCAAUGAAGAGUAAUCCGGAUGAGUAUGAUGUAGCUUAAAGUAUGGAGUUUCAAAAUUAAUGGAUGAUGAGGGCAAGCGAUUGAUGAGAUAGACAGCAGUAGUGAAUGCUUCUGCCCAUAGAAAUAAUGGUGCACAACUAUGAAAUAACAUGGUCAUACCUAGCUCUCGUAUGACACGAUGGCGUCGUUCAACCAUACCUGUUUGUUCUGGAGUAUAUGGACAUGAUAUCUGAUGAAUAAUUCCUGUGGAAAGAAAAUGACUGGAGAGUUUUGAGUUGACGAACUCACCACCUCCAUCAGAAUGGAAAAUUUUGAUUUGUUUGUUGAAUUGUCUUUUGGCAUAUUGUUCAAAGGCAAAAUAUGUAUUCGUAAAAUCAGAUUUAUAUUUGAGUGGGAUUAUCCAAGUAUAUUUAGAUAAGUCAUCAACAAAACAAGCAUAGUAUCUGAAUUUUCCAAUAGAUAAAGUUGGGGCAGGUCCCCACAAAUCACAAUGAAUUUUUUCAAAAAUAUCAGUACUUGAGUGUUCAGAGCUAGAGAAAGGAAGUCUACUGAGUUUUCCUAACUGACAGCUAUCACAUAUAUGUUCAGUUUUUAUUGCUCCUAUGACAUCAAUCAAUCCUUUAUUUUUUAAUAAUUGCAAAGCUGAAACUUGAGGGUGUCCUAAACGUUGAUGCCAAAUAUCUGCUGAUCCGGAUUUAAAACGAUGAGAAAAAUAAAGUUCUGGUGAGUUGUGAAGAACAUAAAGAUCACCCUUGCGUCGUCCUGUGAUCACUGGUUGUCCAGUUGCUCGUUCCUUAACACAAAAAUCAACAUCAGAAAAUUCACAAUUAACUGGAAAUUGAGUAGUUAGUUGACUUACUGAGAGUAGAUUCUUUUUCAAUUCAGGGACAAACAGAACAUUCUUGAGGGGUAAAGCAGUAUUCUUUUGUUUAACAAGAGUAUCACCAAUACCAAGAAUUGGUAGGGAAGAUCCGUUGCCUAUAAUAACACAAUCUGUACCAUAAUAUUCACGAAUAUUCACAAAGCUUGUUGUCAGAUUGUGUUGUGCUAACAAGUACCAUGAUCCUUUCCAAUUGAGUUAAUUUUAGGAUUUUUUUUGGCAGCCACGUACAUCCUUUAGGAGUUCUUUUUAUUAAAUCAAUAUUAAAGUAAAAAAAAUUAAAUCAAUACAGAUAAAUACAUGAACUAAAUAUAAUCAAACAAUUAAUCCAUUUAAAAACAUUACUAAAUCCAUAAACUACAUUAAUCCCUUUUCUUUUCUUGUUUUUUUUUUCUCUCUGGUGGAAUUCCCUCACGUUUUCUUUAUGGGUAGCCCCACUUUUAAACCCUCUUUUUCAUCACGUCCCCAUGGUCCCCGUGUCCCACACGUUUUCAUCAAAAACCUAAAUUUUAGGACUUCUUUGGCAGCCAUCUAAAAAUAUAUAAAAAUAAUAUUUUUAUUUUUAAAAUUUUAUUUUUAACAUCAAUAUAUUAAAAUAAUCUAAAAAUAUAAAAAAAUUAUUUAAAAAAAAUUAAAAUUUUUAAAAACACAAGCAUUCACAAACAAGGUAACGCGUCAAGAAUCACAACAAUAUGACAUGUGACUGGAAAGUUGUGAUUAAAAAACAUUACUACUUUUAGAGUGAUUUUGACAGCGUAGCAGGAAAGGUCAUUAUUGUUAUUUUUAAAAUAUUUUUUUUAUUUAUAAAUAUAUUAAAAUCAAAGUUGUUAAUUUCGUUUCGUUUUAUUUGUAAUGAUUUCAUACCAAUUCAAAAAAUGAAAUAAAACAAAAUAAUUUUCAUCUCAUUUCAAAUCUCGGUCCCUUCUAAAUUUUUCGGUUAAAUUCCGUUCAGAAUGUUCUGGUUUCAUUCCACAUGUUUUGGUCUGGUCUUAAAAAGUCAUUGAAUCAAAUUGAACCUGAUUCAAUUAAUUAAUUAAACCAUCAAAGUAUAAAAAUCUCUUUUUCAUUACUAUUUUCAUUAACUAUGAUAUUAAUUUUUUAAAAUUUGAUUUAUCACUAAUAUAUAUGGUUUAUAUUCAUGUUGUUUUUUUUCAAGUUUAUACUUUGUAGGAAUUUAAACAAAAAAAUAGAUGUUUUAGAUCUUAUUAGCCUUGAUAACAUUGACCUCGUUUUAUAUUUAAAAUAUUAAUGUUAAAAUAUUUUAAUUUUAUAAUGUUUUGAUAUUUUAUUGAAGUUGAAUUAUUUUAAAUUAAAAAAUUAUUUAAUCUUAAUUAUUUAAAAAUAUUUUAAAUUUUAAAGUUAUAUUUUAUCACGUCUCUUUGAUCCCCGUUGUGUCAAAAACAAAUGGCCUAAAUUUUAGGCUCUAGCAGUUCCUUUUUUGAAAUCCUCAUUAGUGAAAUUUCACGACUCCAACUGGGCCUUGACUUGUCUGUUUAAUUUCUAUUAUUUUUAUUCCAUUUUAGCAUUUUAGCAUUUCAUACUCAUCAAAACCACUGGAACGCAAUCAAGCUUUAGCUUCAAACAACCAGAGGGAGAUUUUCUAGGGAAAAAAUUUUAAAAAUCACGCCUAUGCUACUUUCUAAUUUUAGUAUUAAUUUAGUAUUUAAAAAAUGUGUUUAGAAACCAAAACUGCCACAUUCAUACUCUCUCUUAGACAUUUUAAAAAUGGUGUAGAAGAAUAUUUUCACUGAUGAUUUAUAAUAGUGAAUAGAUUUAUUAUUUUAUUAGGUUACUUUAAUUUAUUUUAUUAGGUUACUUUAAUGAUAAAUCAAUAUAGUAUUUUUUUUAUUUUUUGGAUUUUCAUCUUGGGGAAACUCAAUAGGAUGAAAAUAAAAUAUUAAUCAAACUUAAAAUUAUAAUUGUUUAUCUAUAGAAUUAAAAAAAAAUAUGACAAUUCAGUGGCCUUUAAUGAAAUAAAAAAAAAUGAAAAAUGUUAGUUAUGUAAUUGUAAGCACACUAUAUUAUAUUACUUUACAAAGGGACGAAGGAGGAUGCUCCCACUGCACUACUGUCUCCCACCAUUCAUCUGGAUAUACCUUGAUUUCUUUAAGAGAAGGGGAGAUGGCUGGCGAUUUUCAAGCAACGGAAGACAAAUUGGCAUCCUCUUCAGCUUCUCACAAUACAUUACACUAAUAUCUUCAAGAGAAUUGCAAAUCUGUUUUGCACUGCAAAUGCUUUUCAGUUCUGGUAAGCAAUCCAAUUCCAGAGUUAUUAACUUUGGGAGAAUGACUUCCAUGAUGGAAUUGGAGGUGCUGCUUUCUUCAUCUGUUGUUCCUAUUAUCUCCUCCAUUUUGUAACAGAAACUCACUCUAAUCAAUUCCAGGUUUACGAGGUUUGGCAGCAACACAAGCGGGAACAGCUUCUUCAUACUUUUACAGUGAUCACAAAAAAACUCUUUUAAGACCAGAAAACGUACCGUUAAGUGGCAAUCGUGGUGGAGCAGAGCAGAACCAAGAAGAUGAAACCAAGCUCUCCAUGUUACGGCAUCCCUGAAUGCUGAUGCGCUCCAGUUCAGUUGCAUUCUCUAACGAUAAAACAUCACAUAAACUUCUUGCAUCGAUGCAUUGACAAAUCAGUCCUUGAAUGCCAUUUAAGAACUUGACCUGAAAAUCUCUGUCUCCGUUGAUACUCAAUUUACCCAACCCAACUGUUUUACUUGGAAAAUCUUCAAUGCAUUGCUCUGAAUAUCUAACCACCUCUCCUACUAAAAUCUUGCAUGUGCUUAAUGAUAGGAUCCCAUCCCGAGAUCUGAGAUACUCCACGAAGUCAGAGAAACCUUCAAAAUGGCAUUCCAAAGUUUCCAAAUUUCUCAAGGAUCCUACUUCCUUUCCUUUAACUGUUUUGAAAGCCAUUUGAUAGCUAAGAACUCAGAAUCCAUGAGAUUAAGUAUUUGGCAAAGCCUUCCCCGUGAUUGGAGCAAUCUCACUAAUUUAUCGACGGAAUGGCUAGAAUUGUCUUCCUCUUAACUAAUCUCUAGCAAAUUAUCUUAAUAUGGUUUUACCAAAAAGAAAAUAAUAAAUUUGUUCUAUUACUAUCAACUGCCAGAACUCCUGACAAGUAAUUACGACCAGUUUUUUAACAUCCAAGCUCUUGUAAUCUCACAAACGCUUGAGACCCAAACCCAAUCAACAGAUCAGAGAACCUUUAUUUGUCAAGGCUCCAUACACUUUCUCGACAAGAACCGGAGGAGGAGGCUGUGGGGUAUUCGAUGGUUGAAAAAGGAACGUGAAUUAUGCUGGAGAGCAUGCAGGUGGCCAUGUGUUUGGAGCUUAGCCUGGUGUUCUCCAAAUCCUUACUAAAUUAUUAGAAAGUAACAUUAUAACAUUUUUAAAUCUGUUUAAAUUUUUUGGUUUAAGAUAAUUUUUUAAUAUUAUAAAGUCAUUUAUUAUGUUUAUUCAAAUUAAUUAUUUUUAUUAAAAUAAUAUCAUUUCAUUAUUUAAUUAAUCUGGUCAGAUAUAAACUAGGUUUGAUUGAAUCGGUCAAAUUUUACCAAUUCAAUAUCUUAUAUGGAAAAAGAUUGACUGUAGAGAAAAAUUUAAUGAACGUCAUCCUCGUGGGUGCUAUAAUCUGUAAUUAUUGGCAAGGCUUUAAUAAUCACAGCAGCAGAAGAUGAUAUAUUGUACAAAUAGAUUGAAGAAACAGGAGGCCUACGCAUUUAAUAUGGACUUCCUCGUGGAUGCUAUUCCUUCAAAUAUGGACUAAGAUAUUGUAUUUUUGUUACCGGAAAAUUAUAAACCAAUAACUUUUUAUCUUUUUCCAAGCUUUUUGGUGAUUUUUUUAAUCUCAAAUUCAUGAACUAAAAAGGUAGCAGCGUGAAGCCUCGCCAAAAGCCCAAGAUUAAAAAUAACCAUGCUCCUAGCCCAAGCCCACCAACAUCACCCCCAGCAGAUUGGAAAAAUGCUCAUAACCAUUCCGGAAAAAACACACCUAGGCUACUAUGGUAUACUAGAUAGUGGAAAUAAAUCGAUAUUAAUCAUCAAAUAAAUCGUUAGCAGAAACCAAAAAUAAAUAAAUAAAUUGUUCAUGCUACUCCAUCUUAUUGAUGGGAAUGGCUUUUGACCAGUAUACAUACGACUCUGCUAAAAUUAUCUGAUAAAUUAUCAGGCUUAUAAAAGGCUUAAUAAAAUAAAAUAAAAAAUCAUUUUUAUUCAAUAAAAUAGAGAAAAAAACUCAAGUAAUAAAUGUUCAAUUCACUUUCCAGCCGACAAUAAAAAAUGAAAGUAUUUUUAUUCAAUAAUAAGCUACCAAUAAUUAUACAAGAAUCAAAUCUCUCCGAUCACAUGGUCGUUUAAAAUGCUCAACACUCAUAAAGCAAAUUUACAGAAUAAUAAGUUUAGUAAACUUCUUGAUUUAUAUAUAUAUAUUAUUCAACCAAAUAAUUGCUUGUGACAUAUAUGUGGCGAGCUUCCUAGUAUUAAAAAUUUAAGAUUAUCAAAUAAUUAAACUUUUUAUCCAAACCAAUAAAUUUUAUGUGUCUAUUUUAAAAUUUGGUUUUAGAAAGAAAAUCAAAAUGACAUAUCAAACAAUACCUAUAAAUCUUUUAUAUUACAAAUUAACUAUAACACCCAUUUAUCAUUUUUAAGGUCAAUAUUUAGGAAUAAAUGAAUAAAAGCUACGUACCAAUAUUUAAAUUAAGUAACCUCAAAGACUACUAAUUUAGCUUUUGAUAUUAAAAGGGUGUAUGUCGUUAGUUUCUGCCUAGUUGAUGAGGCAAAUAUCAGGUCUUCUAUAACCACUCCCUGCUAACUCUUUGCCUCAUAUCUUACGUUAUAUCUAUCAAGUUUGCUUAAUUAAGAUGGAAUAUUUAUGAUUUUUAUAUGUAUUAAAUCAAUAUAAUUGUUUUGACAUAAACAUGAAGUCAUCAUAUUAUAAAACUAAAAAUCAAUGGUGUAUCUAAUUAUCAAAAAGGUAUAAAUAUUGCUAGGAAGUUAACGUGUGGACCACCCCAAUUAUGAAGCUCGGAAGAAGAUGCCUAGAAAAUGUAAACACAUGAAUAUUGAAAACAAUAACAUACUUUCCUUUUUAAAAUGUUUUUUAUUUUAAAUAAUAAUUUUUUAUUUUGAAAUUUUUUUUUAAUAAAAAAAUAAUAAUUUAAAAAGUAAAAAAAAUUCAAUUUUGUUGAAAAACGUGUGCUUUAACAAUGACAUAUUAAAUAUGUGAUUAAUUAAGAGCAUGUGAUUGCUUUUGUUUUUAGUUGUUUUUUCAAAAAAAGAUAUAUAGAUUUUUUUAAUGUUUUUUUAUAUAAUUUUAAUGUAUUAAUAUUAAAAAUAAAAUAAACAAAUAAAUAAAUCAUGUAGUCUAUUUCCAAACCAAUCUAAUAUUGGAGGUCGAAAUUGAAAAAAAACUAAUUAAAAAAAUUAAAAGAUAAAAUUAAAAAAAAACAUAUUCGAUCAGUGAGUAAAUCUAUCAAACCUGUGAAUCAGGUAACUUGAGCUAACACAUCAAAUUCAUUAACAAGGUUAUGGACUCUAGUAGGAUUAUAUAUUUUUUAAAUUUUUUUAUUUAACAAUAUGAUAAUAAAAAUGGAUAAUUAUAAAAUUAAACACUAGCCCAAUACUAAUAUAUAUUUUUUUAUACCGUGAUAACAUCAUCCAAAGAAAAAUAAACUAAUUAUGAAACUAAAUUUUAAACCAACUCAAAUAUGAAAUAGAAAAAAAAUUAAAAAAAAUUGAUAACCAAAAAAAGGAAAGGGAAAGAAAAAAAAGAAGCAAAACACUAUAGAUUAUUAUUGUAAUUCAUAAUGAAAUGGGUGUGACGUGUGAGUGAAUAUUGGUUCUCCCACACCGUUUAGCUUUUUGUUUUUUAAAUAAUAAAAAAAAAAUACUUCAUUAAACCAGUAAACUAAUAUAAAUCACGUUAACUUUAUAAAAAUAUAGAAUACAAAUAUAAAUUAUAAAAUUGAAUUUUAAACCACCCAAUAUGAAAUAUACAAAAACAAAUUUUAAAAAAUAAUAAUAAUAAUAAACACAUUGGAUUGCUUAUUAUAAUUUAUAAUGAAAUAGGUGUGAAUACGUCUCUUAACUAUUCGUGAGCUUCUUAUUCGUUCUUAGUUUUUCUUGAAGUUAUUCUAUUGAGGAAAAAGAGAAGAAAAAACCCUACUUUUUUUUUCCUCUUCAUAAUGCAUGGAUUUAAGUUGGGUGGCGAUUCAGUAAUCAAAAUAUUUUUUUUAGUUUUAAUAUUAAUAUAUAAAAGAAUAUUAAAAAUAUUAAUUUAAUUUUUUAAAAAAAAAUAAUUAAAAAAACAGAUUUUUAAAUGCAAUCAAACAUAAUUCUGAGUAUAAAAACAAAUUACGUUUUGAUUGCGAGCAUAAUAAUCUUGGCAGUAAGUACCAUCAUCCUUUCCAAUUGAGUUAAUUUUUAGGAUUUUUUUUUUUUGUAGCCACGUACAUGCUUUAGGAGUUCUUUUUAUUAAAUCAAUAUUAAAGUAAAAAAAUUAAAUCAAUACAAAUAAAUAAAUGAACUAAAUAUAAUCAAACAAUUAAUCUAUUUAACGGAAAAAAAACAUUACGGAAUCCAUAACCUACAUUAAUCCCUUUUCUUUUCUUUUCUUGUUUUUUUUUCUUUGGUGGAAUUUCCACGCGUCUUCUUUAUGGGCAGCCCCACUUUUAAAGUCUCUUUUUCAUCACGUCCCCAUGGUCCCCAUGUCCCACACGUUUUCAUCAAAAACUUAAAUUUUAGGACUUCUUUGGCAGCCAUCUAAAAAUAUAUAAAAAUAAUAUUUUUAUUUUUAAAAAAUUAUUUUUAAUAUCAAUACAUUAAAAUAUCUAAAAAUAUAAAAAAUUUAUUUAAAAAAAAUCAAAAAUUUUACAAACACAAGCAUUCCCAAAUAAGGUAACGCGUCAAGAAUCACAACAAUUUGAUAUGUGAGUGGAAAGUUGUGAUUAGAAAACAUUAUAACUUUUAGAGUGAUUUUGAUAGCGUAGCAGGAAAUGUCAUUAUUUUUAUUUUUAAAAUAUUUUAUUUAUUUAUAAAUAUAUUAAAAUGAAAUUUGUUGUUAAUUUUGUUUCAUUUUAUUUGUAAUGAUUUCAUACCAAUUUAAAAAAUAAAAUAAAACAAAAUAAUUUUCAUCUCAUUUCAAAUCUCGGUCCGUACCAAAUUUUUCGGCUAAAUUCCGUUCAGAGUGUUCUGGUUUCAUUCCACAUGUUUUGUUCCGGUCUUAAAAAGCUAUUGAAUCAAAUUGAACCUGGUUCAAUUAAUUAAUUAAAUCAUCAAAGUAUAAAAAGCUUUUUUUCAUUACUAUUUUCAUUAACUAUGAUAUUAAUUUUUUAAAUUUUAAUUUAUCACUAAUAUAUGGUUUAUAUUCAUGUUGUUUUUUUUUUCAAGUUUAUACUUUGUAGGAAUUUAAGCAAAAAAAUAGAUGGUUUAGAUCUCAUUAGCCUUGAUAACAUUGACCUAGCUUUAUAUUUAAAAUAUUAGUGUUAAAAUAUUUUAAUUUCAUAAUAUUUUGAUAUUUUAUUGAAGUUGAAUUGUUUUAAAUAAAAAAAUUAUUUAAUCUUAUCUAUUUAAAAAUAUUUUAAAUUUUAAAAUUAUAUUUCAUCACGUCUCCAUGAUCCCCGUUGUGUCAAAAACAAAUUGCCUAAAUUUUAGGCUUUAGCAGUUCCUUUUUUGAAAUCCUCAUUAGUGAGAUUUCACGACUCAUUAUUUCUAUUAUUUUUAUUUCAUUUUAGCAUUUUAGCAUUUCAUACUCAUCAAAACCACUGGAACACAAUUAAGCUUUAGCUUCAAACAACCAGAGGGAGAUUUUAUAGGGCUAAAAUUUUAAAAAUCACGCCUAUGCUACUUUCUAGUUUUAGUAUUAAAUUUAGUAUUUAAAAAAUGUGUUUAUAAAUAUGUCAGUUUCAGGUUUAGAAACCAAAACUGCCAUAUUCAUACUCUCUCUUAGACAUUUUAAAAAUAUGUGUAGAAGAAUACUUUCACUGAUGAUUUAUAAUAUUAGGUUACUUUAAUGAUAAAUCAAUAUAGUAUUUUUUUAUUUUUUGGAUUUUCAUCUUGGAGAAAUUCAAUAGGAUGAAAAUAUAAUAUUAAUCAAACUUCAAAUUAUAAUUGUUUAUCUAUCGAGUUAAAAAACAAAUAUGACAAUUCAGUAGUCUUUAAUGAAAUAAAAAAAUGAAAAAUGUUAUUUAUGUAAUUGUAAGCAUACUAUAUUAUAUUAAUUUACAAAGGGACGAAGGACAUCCUUUGCAUUAGGAUGCUCCCACUUCACUACUGUCUCCCACCAUUCUUUUGGCCAUGCUCGGAUUUGUUUAAGAGAAGGGGGAGGAGAUGGCUGGCCAUUUUCAAGCAACGGAAGACAAAUUGGCAUCCUCUUCAGCUUCUCACAAUACAUUACACUAAUAUCUUCAAGAGAAUUGCAAAUCUGUUUUGCACUGCAAAUGCUUUUCAGUUCUGGUAAGCAACCCAAUUCCAGAGUUAUUAACUUUGGGAGAAUGACUUCCAUGAUGGAAUUGGAGGUGCUGCUUUCUUCAUCUGUUGUUCCUAUUAUCUCCUCCAUUUUCUCACAGAAUAUCACUCUAAUCCUUUCCAGGUUUACGAGGUUUGGCAGCAACACAAGCGGGAACAGCUUCUUCAUACUUUUACAGUAUUAACAAAAAAACUCUUUAAGACCAGAAAACGUACCGUUACAUGAUGGCAAUCGUGGUGGAGCAGAGCAGAACCAAGAAGAUGAAACCAAGCUCUCCAUGUUAUGGCAUUCCCAAAUGUUGAUGCGCUCCAGUUCAGUUGCAUUCUCUAAUGACAAAACAUCACAUAAACUUCUUGCAUCGAUGCAUUCACAAAUCAGUCCUUGAAUGCCAUUUAAGAACUUGACCUGAAAAUCUCUAUCUCCGUUGAUACUCAAAUUACCCAACCCAACUGUUUUACUUGGAAAAUCUUCAAUGCGUUGCUCUAAAUGUCUACACCUCUCCUACUAAAAUCUUGCAUGUGCUUAAUGAUAGGAUCCCAUCCCGAGAUCUGAGAUACUCCACGAAGUCAGAGAAACCUUCAAAAUGGCAUUCCAAAGUUUCCAAAUUUCUCAAGGAUCCUACUUCCUUUCCUUUAACUGUUAUGGGAGCAUAUCUUCCAUAAAUUAACCUUUCCUCUAGUACAAAGAUUUGCAGGUGAGAGAGUUUUUGUAAUAUCCCACUAGGAAACUCCUUUUCACCACAUCCAUUCAUUAUAAGAUACCUCAGGUUGGUUAGGCAUUCCAUUCCUUGCAGCAUCUUUUCAAGCCUAGUAUAAGAGAGAUCCAACCUCUUCAGUGCCGUGAGCUUUUUUAAUGAUGGAACAUGUUUUAAUUGACCACACUUACUGAGCAAUAAGGCAGUCAGAUUCACCAAAUCAGAAACAGAAUCUGGCAAAUUUUUAAUACCUGUGCGAGACAGAUCAAGGACCAUGAGCCUAUGCAAUUGCUUGAAAAAUGAAUCUGCAACAAAUAUCCCAACCCUUUAUUAUCACAUAGAAAUAGAGUUGACAGAUUUGGACACACUGGUGAAUGGUCGAAAGGAACUUCUUCAUCUCGUUUUGCAUUAGUGAAACUAUUGUCAGAUUCUCGUCCACUCCUCUGCAUUGGCAACUCUUUUAACUGCGCACCUGCUUUAACCAUGCCUUGAGAGUUCUCUAGCAGUAUUUGGAUGGCCAUGUCCCUAAUCAAGUCAUGCAUCUUGACACAUCUAAUAUCAUCAUAAUCCAUUUGAGCACUUUCCAAUAGGCAGACAUAUUCAAGUCUAUUAAGCAUCGUGUGGCCCUCGUCAAAUGCAUCUUUCCUGCUCCUCAUUCCUUUAAUUAUUCCCUCAUCGAUCAAAUAACCUAUCAGCUGCCUCCCUCUUAAUCCAUGAUCUUCAGGAAAUAAUGCACAGUACAAGAGACAUUUUGGAGUGCUGAAUCACCUAGCCGUUCAUAACUAAACUCAAUAACUUGAAUAAUUUCUUGUCCCUAAAUUCUGAUGCACUCAAUUUCUUCAAUGUAUUCUCCACUCAUGUAGAUCAUCCACUCCCAUCAAGCUUCCUGCCAUGUAAUAAUUCCCAAUGGCAAACCAGCACAUUCCCUUGCAAUAUCUUUCGCAAUUCCUUCCACUUCUGAUGAAAGUGCUAUGUCACGUCCAAGUUUCUCAUGAACAAAGUCCAAGCUCUCCCUCAAAAGUGGCUUCACCUUGAUUUUGUGGUGGCAAGCCAUCCGAUGACAAACCGUUUCUGAUCGAGUUGUCAUAAUCAGCUUGCAUCCUUUCAACGGGACAGGAAUUCCCACUUCGUCAAGCUCAAAAUUGUUCCACAAAUCAUCUAAAAUGAGAAUCCAUUUUUGUUUCUUUAUUAGUUCUUCUGACAAUUUGGCAGCUCUAUGCAGAUCAUCAUCUUCGCUUGAAAGGUCUAGAUGAAGACGUUUAGCAAUAAUAUUCUGCAAUCUAUUAAUGCUGAAAUCUUGAGACACAGUCACCCACCAAACAUGAUCACAAAUCUGGUCUUUGUAGAAGCUCAUUAUGGAUAUGUUUAGUAUUGUUGUUUUACCAACUCCCCCCAUCCCAUAAAUGCCAAUGGUUGGGACUUCAUCAUCCAUUAACAAAGACCAUAUCACCUUCUAUUCUCUUCAAAUGCUUGACCCACUGGCUUUGUAGAGCUAGUAGGUAAUGGAACUCCUCUAGUCUCACUUGUGUUGUAUUUAAGGCUUAUAGAAGAUCUAGCUCCAGCGUCAGGCUGCACUGAAUCUUCCACUAUUCUCCACACCCUCCUCCACUGGUUCUGUCCUCACUCUAACCAUGUUCUGCACAUCAUACAUAACGACAUCAUUGUUUACUGAUGGAGCAAAUAGUUGAUCAUAAUAUCUUCCAUGAUCAAGACACAAUGGAUCUGUUGGUUGGGAUGAAUCUCCUCGAGGCUCAUCAGCUUGAUUAAUUGAUGGCCUCUCACAAGAGCUACCUCUCUCCAGAUGCUGCACUUGUUCUGUUCUCGCUACAGUUUCAAAUCCAUCAUGCAGACGCUCCACAUCCUCAUCUUCCUGCAUUAAAUAGUAGAGAUUUCAUUCAGCUUCUGCUCCUUUGAAAGGGCAGAGUGUAUCUGAACCCAAGUGCCAUCAAAAAAUUGAUCCACUAAAUCUGUUCCUGGUGUUGCUUCUCCUCUAUUCUCAUGAGCAUCAACUCUGAGUCUCCAAGGAGAGACACUUCUGUCAACAUGCUGAAAAGAUCCUUCACCAGUGUACUCCAUGCCUUGAACUCCCGCUUGCAUCCUUCCAGCAUCCCCUGCCAAAUUAACAAGUACUGCAUUGUCUUGUUCUUGUGGACAGGUGGAAAUGGCAUAAUCAUUAACAUUGCUUGAACUUGCUAUGCUUUUAUGUCUUUUGUUGCCACCAUUCAUAGCUAGGAAGGCUGCUUCUUGAACUUCUUUAGGCACCUGACCACAAAUGCCAACACCAUGCCCUCUCUCUCCCGAAAAAUGCCAUUUGAUCCUCGAAAUGGACGUACCAUUGGCAAAUAAAUGCCCACAAAACUUACACUUCAUGCUUCCAUUAUUCAUAUCUUCAACUUCCUUCCAAAACGGAUCAUCUGAUCUACCCAUUUUGUCCUAUAGAUAAAAAGGGUCAAAAUAUUGAAUAAAAAUUAAUGGAAGUACAUUAAUUGGAAAAGGAAGGUGAAACUAAAAUAAGUUACAAACAGCAAAGAAAUUAAGAAGAAAAAACAAUGAAUUCAAGGUUAACUUGGGGUCAAUUUAAUUAGUAUGAACUCCAUAAGGCAUGGAUUGUUAAAACUGAGAAAGAUCAAAUUAUUUUUAUUUUUGGAAACUGUUGAUGAUCCUAACUCCAAAGUUUCUCAUUAGAAUUUCUACAACUUGUGGUUUCCUUGAAAGAUUCAAAUCAGAGUUACAUGUGAAAAACAAAAUGAAGAAGAUGGAGUAUAAAUAAUGUACCUGGAUUCAAGUUGUUCUUCAAGUGCUGGUUUGCUUAAGCAGUAUUCAGCAAAAAAGACAAGAACAGAGUAGAAUAUAUAGUUUAAAAAUAACAAGGAAGUUCCAAGAUGUUGAACUCCAGAUGAUUUGAUUCAAUCAGAAAAGGAAGCACUGAUCAUCAGAAAGUUUAAGAAAUUGGGAAUUUGAUGAGGGAAAUUGGGAAGUCAAUGGUAUAUGAGAUGAGAUGCGGAAGAUAAUGUUACAGUAGCAAAGAUAUUAUUCUAAUAAAUCUAUAAAUCAUGUUAAUUUUAUAAAAAAAUAAAUAAAAAUAAAUAUAUUAUCAAACCAGCCAAAUAUUAAAAUAAAUAAAAAUAAAUUUUAAAAAAACCAAAAAAAAAAAGUUGAAUUAUUUUGUAAUUUACAAUGAAAUAGGUGUGGAUAGAUAAUGAUUCUUCCACGUCUUUUAACUUUUCUUUUAAUAGAAAUUAAUAACCCUAUAAUAUUUUCCUCGAUGAUGUUGAAUGAUGCCAAAUUAAAACAUCUUUUUUAUUGCAAUAAAGUGAAACUUUUUAAAAAAUAUAAUAUUAAAAUAAACAUUGUUAUUUUAGUUUUUUUUAAUUAAAUAUCAUCGUUGUAUGUUCUUGGUUGACCUAGCAGUACCGUUUGUUUGGACUUUGAGCAGCAGUAGAUAUCUCCAGCGUACUGUUACCUGCAGGCUAGAAAAUGUAUGUUGCCGUUUUUUAGUUCACUAGAGAGAGGGCAGAAAGCCUUAAGAAAAUAAUUUCACAUUCUGUGUGGCAGAAACCUGAUUCCACCCAAAAACAAUAACACAGUAAUUGAAGCAAAUUAAAAGAAUAAAAGAAAAUAUAAAAUGAUUUAAUAGAGAACAAAUAUUAAUUUUCAAUGCAGAUUAAAAUAAAGCAAAGUGAAUAUUGAAAAAAGUACUUCAAUUCUACGAACAGCAGAUAUAUAGUUCAAUUCGAAGUUGAAUUCCCAAAAUUCCCACUUAAAGGGUAUAGAUAAUUAAAUCAACACUAAACCAAAUAUAACCCUUUUGAAAAACCAUUCAUUCAAUAGAAAAUAAUUAUCCCUAUUAAGAAAAUCCAAUGACGACAAUAUACUUAAGGAGCAAUAUUACAGCAAAGAAAUUAAAUCAAUACAGGUAAAUAAAUGAUCCAAAGAUUAAUUCAUUCAAUAGAAAAAACAUGACUGACUCCAUAAACGGCAUAAAUCUGAACAAAAGAGUUAGAAUAAUUGGAAAUCUGAACAAUUUGUGUACCCAUCACUGUAUUGGACAUUAAAAUUUCCCGAGAAGAUUUUUGCACCAAGCAUUCAUAGCCAUUCCUUUCCUUGCAUGUUCUCCUUCUUUCUUUUUCUUUCUCUGGUGUAAUUCCCACACGUCUUCUUUAUGCCAAAUACCCCUCUUUUCAAAGGAGGCAGCCCCACUUUUCAACCUCCUUUUUCAUCACGUCUCCGUGCUAUAUUUUAGGACUUCUUUGGCAGCCACGUACAUGCCCUAGGAGAUCUUUUUUCUUUUUUUUUUUAGAAGUUUAGGAGAUCUUUUUUCUGAAAUCCUCAUUAGAGGCUAAUUUGUAGUCUUUAAGAAACCUCGUCAACGCAAGAAUCACAACAAUCUGAUACGUGGGUAGAAAGUUAUGAUUGAAAUAGUAUCACUUGGGUAAAUUUGAAAGUAUAAUUGUGGUUGUUUUUUAAAAUAUUUUUUAUUUAGAAAUAUAAUAAGAUAAUACUUUUUUAUUUUUAAAAAAAUAUUUUUAACAUCAAUGCAUUAAAAUAAUUUUAAAACACUAAAAACAUAUUAAUUUAAAGCAAAAAUAAAAUUAAUUUUAAUUUUUUAAAAAAAUGUUUUUGAAACACAAAAACAAACAGGGUUUUAUCUUUUGAUGCUUACUGGUUUUCAAAAUGCGCUUAAGCUUUUAAAUGUAUUUUUACAUUUGUCUUUAGAAAUUAUCAAUUUGAUAAUUAUUUUUAGUGUUUUUUAAUAAUUUUAAUAUAUUAAUAUUAAAAAUUAAUAAAAUUUACAAAAAUUAUUUUUUUAAAAAAAAUUUUAAUAUACAUUUUAUACCACAAUAUCAAGUGAAAACAUAAUCCCAAUACCUUCACCAAUCAUAAAAAGGUUUUCAACCCAAUCAUGUUUUUUCCUCAUUUUAAAUACAAAAUAAAGUUCGAGUGAAGUAGGGUACAAUCUUAAAUGGUCCAAACAUUAUUGUUAUUUUUUUUUUUGGAUUUAAGUGGGUGUCCGGACCAGCUUGCGCGCACCACGACUAAUCUCACGGCCCACUGAACAUCCUGCAAACUCAGUGAGCAUGUAAGGCAUCGCGGGGGUGACAGACGUGCACGAUGAGGUUUGAACCCUGAUGGGGUGGAAAGGAACAAGCCUCUUCCACUACUAGGCCAAAACCUCAAUUGCAAACAUUAUUGUUAUUGUUAGAAUGUGACAGUGGUCCCAACAUUAGUAGUGUAGCAUGUGCCAUGUAUAUAUCAAUCUCUUGUGGUCCAAAAAUCAGGUUAUUGGUGUUUGAUGAAAUUAGUUGUCCCUAAAAAUAAAAUAAAAUCCUUUGUGAAUUAAUUAAUUACUCAAUUAAUCCCUAAAUUAGUUUUCUUGUUUUCCACAAAUUUUUUAAAAAUAAAAAUAUUUUAUUUGAUGUUUAGACCAUAGUUAUUAAAACCGGACAGGCCCGGUGGGUCGACCCGGGACCUGGUCGACCAGGUGGCUAGAUUGGUCCGAGUUUGUCAAAAGACAGGCCUGUGCAACGACCCAGUCAAACCUGGAUGAGACUCGGUUUUUUUUUUCAAAUGUGGGAUUUAAAACCCAUUAGUAUAUAUAUUUUAUGUUUCUAAAAAAAAGUUAUGUUUUUUUAAUGUGGAAUAAAAAACUUUUUGGAUUAAAUACUUUAACUUAAAAAGAUAACAUAAUAUCUUUUCAAUGUGGGAUUUGAAGUUCUUUGAAUAUAUACUUCAUGUUCCCAAGAAAAAAUUUAUGUUUUUUCAAUAUGAAAUUUGAAACCCAUUAAUAUAUAAUAUAUUCUUUGUUUCCAAGAAAAAAAUUAUUUUUUUAAUGUGGAAUAAAAUUUUUUUUUGAUUUAAAUACUUCAGCUUAAAAGCUUAACAUAAUAUUUUUUUUAAUGAGGGAUAAAAAACUUUUUAAAAUAUUCAUUUAAACUUUCAUUAUUUACAAUAUAUAUAGCCUAUAUUUACAUGGAUUUUUUUCUUACUUUUUUUCAUAUGAAAUAUUAAAACUUUAAAUAUAUUUUUUUAAAUUUUCUGGAUUGAUCCGGGUUGACCCAUAAAACCCAGGACAAACUUGUUGCAAUGCUGAAUCAAGUGCGUAUAACAGAAAAUAUUAAGUUAAAUAAUUGGUUGGAAUUGUUUUUUUGAGGAGUCAUCUCAAAAUUGAAAAAUAAAAACAGGAAAUAGAUCUUCAACACAAUCAUGCUUUUUAUUUAUUAUAAAUAUAAAAUAAAGUUAAAGUGAAGUUGGGUCCAAUCUUAAAUGAUCCAAACAUUAUUGUUAGAAUGCGACAGUCCAAUCUUAAAGGUUUUCAACACAAUCAUGCUUUUUUCCUUGUAGCAUGUGCCCUGUCUCAAGCUUCUGUGAUCCAAGAAUCAGGCUAUUGGGGUUUGAUGAAAUUAGCUGUUACUAGAAAUAAAAUAAAAGAAAAUCCUCUGUAAGGUAAUUAAUUACUCAAUUAAUCCCUAAUUAAUUAAAUUAGUUUUCUGAUUGUUCUUCACAAAAUUUCUAAGAAUAAAAAUAUUUUAUUAGAUGUCUUAGCUGAAUUCCAAACCAGCCUAUAAUAAAAUAAACAAAAAUAAUUUUUUUUUUUUUAAAAAGAGGCAAAACAUCUUUUAUACAGUGAUUCUCUCCCAAGUCUCUUAGCUUUUCUUUUAAUGAAAAUUAAUAACCUUAUAAUAUGUUCAUUGUGGAUGCUCUAUCAUUGCUAAAUUAAAGCAUGUUUUUUUUAUCUACAACUAUGUGAAACUUUUUUAAAAUAAAAAUAUUAAAAAAGAUAAUGUUAAAAAAAUUAUUAUUUUGGUUUUUAUAAAUAAAUGAUAUAAAAUAAUUAAUCAGUUAAUCUGUGAGUUGUGAGUCAACCAGUAAACUAAACUUUGAAAUACGUGUCUUAACUAUUCGUAAGCUACCUAUGAUUUGAUGUCAUGAGUAUUUUUCUUGAAGUUAUUCUAUUUUAUGUCAUGAAUGUUCUAUUGAGGAAAAAAAUAAAAAAAAAUCUACUUUUUUUUUCCUCUUCAUAAAACAUGGAUUUAAGGUAGGAAUCAAAAUAUAUUUUUUUAUUUUUAAUAUUAAUAUAUUAAAUUAAUAUUUUUAAAAAAAUAAACAGAUUUUUAAAUACACUCAAACGUAAUUCUAAGUACAAAAACAAAUUAUAUUUUGAUUGCGGGCAUAACAAUCAUGGCAGUAAGUACCAUGAUCCUUUCCAAUUGAGUAAAUUAUAGGACUUUUUUGGCAGCCACGUACAUGCUAUAGGAGUUCUUUUUAUUAAAUCAAUAUCAUAGUAAAACAAUUAAAUCAAUACAGAUAAAUAAAUGAUCUAAAUAUAAUCAAACAAUUAAUCCAUUUAAUAGAAAAAACAUUACUGAAUCCAUAAACUACAUUAAUCCCUUUUCUUUUCUUGUUUUUUCUUCUUCUUAUCUGGUGUAAUUCCCACACGUCUUCUUACUUGUUGAGUAUUUAAACCCCUAUUUUGACUUUGCAGGAUUUGAGGCAUUUGGCCUAGCAGUUUGAUUUUGCAAUCCUCGGACUUGGAGGUUAUCCAUCUGUGACCUAUAUAUAUACGAAUGAAGUGAUCAUAUUAUAAAACCUUUCUAUAAUUGGUAGUCUCUCUUAAGCAGUAAAUGUUAAUGGUAUUAAAACACAACAGCUGGAAGUCAAUCAGUACCUAGGCACGAAAUUCUCUUGUUGCACAUUGUCUAUGUUAGGAAUUACAGCAGCUUGAUCGACUUGCCCUUGAUUAGAAAGAAAUUGAAUCCUGAAUCCAAAAUCAGCAAAUACUAAAUAAGAAAAAUUGGAUAUCGGGGAGCAGGAAAAGAAGGUCCAGAUUGAUUGAAACCACCAUGUUGUGAAGUGGUUGCAUUCGGUGUCAUAUAGCCAGGUCCCGGCUGAGGUUGAUGAAUAAAGGAGUUCUGAUGCCUGAAUAAUAUUCAAAUAGUUAAACAUAGAACUGUUAUUCUCACAAAAAAGAGAGAUAGAGAGCUCAAAAAGACUUGAAAGAUCCUCGACCUCGCCAAUUUUGGUCAAGUUUAUUGUUUUCAUGAUUAAAAAAGUGUAUAUUCGAGGUUAAUACCAUUGAUUCAUUGGAGGUUGAGGUCCAGGUAGCAUCGCAGGUACUUGAUUGCUCAUAAUUGGUAACUGAUAAUUAGUCCAUUGUUGGUCCCUAAAUUAGCAACAUUUGUUAAUAAUAUCUUUAUACAUAUGCAUAAUCGUUAGCUAUUAAUCCACUAAGCAUUUGAUAUCAUUUUAGCUUACCUAUAUUCAAACAUGAUGAAUUUCAAUAUAUUUUUAAAAUAAUGAUGUUAAAUAAUGAACAUUUGAACAAGAAGAAGUUAAAUAAUGAUGAAUAUUAUGUACCUUGAUGGAGUUUGAGGCCAAUUUGGUUCAUUUUGGUUGAUCCAUGAUGAUGAUGUUCCAUGUAAAUCUCCCAUUGUUGUCUGUUUGUUUAACAAUAAACAUUUUGAAGAUGCUCGAGAUAAAUUGAUACACGAAAACAUAUAACUUUUUGAUCCAAUGGGUGAUACAAACACUUGCUAAUUCAGGGGACAUUGCAGCAAAUUGGAGUAGGCAUGAGCACUCACCAUGGUUUGAGGAAAUGAUGGUGGAAACAGAGUUGUUUGUUGAAUACUAUCGUUGAUCACAUUGUUAUCCACCACCAUGUUCUGUCCAUCUUGAUCAUUGCAUAAUAUGGAGCUUUGGUUGCCUGAAAACUCCGGUGGCGACCUGCUUAAUUUGUUAUUAGGAACAUUAUUCUUUUUUGGGAAUAAUAAGAAAAACUGUAGAAUAACUGAAUUGCAAGUAAUCAUCUUCUGACAAAAUAUGCUUAAGAAUGACGCACAAGAGAAGCUCAGAUAUAUUGAAUGAAUCUUCUUGUGAUUGAAAAUCGAACUGAUUCGAUGUCAAGUUGACAUCAUCCUCAUUACAAGACGGUGGGACUCCUUCCAUCUGAGGUUUAAAAAAGAACAGAAAGCACAGAUUAGAUGUGUGUGUGUCUAUAUAUAUAUAUAUAUAUAUAUGACUUAUUUAUUUGUUAAAGAGAUUCAGAUGAAAAAUAGGAAAUAUAAACGUUGCUGUUAAUGAUUUAAUUCUUUGUUUUAAUGCUAAAUUAUUUGUCACUUGUUGUAAACAAGUUUAAUGAAAGGUAAUUAAUUAAUACUGAUCAAGUUAAUUCAUGAAUCAGUAAAAAAACAAUUUCAUUGAAUCAUUAUGUCAGAAAAAUAUUGGAUAAAAAUUAAUGGCAGUCCCACUAAUUGGAAAAGAAAAGGGUGAAACUAAAAUAAAAAGUUUGUCGCACGUGUGCAGCGUUGCGGCAAAAACAUCCACUCUCAAAUCGUUAUUUAAUGUGGCAAAUGUGAGGAGACAAGGAAUUCUUGUUUUUUAUUAGUGAAAAAAUAAAAUGGGAGUCACCACCUAGUAUUUUUGUAAUUAGGAACUCUAACUGGUCUCAGAGAUCAAGUAUGGGGACUGUUUGCGUAAAUGGAAGGUUUUAGCACCCAAAAUACGCCCUACCUAAAGUAAGCUGCAUUGUUUAAUUGUUUGAUAAAAUCUAAGGUCUUGUCGUGUUUUUUAGUUGUUGGUUCGUCUAUAGAUUUUAAAAAAAAAUCAUCUUCAGUAAAGAGAUCCUUAUCUUAUUGGGUAUGACCUAACUGUUUUAACGUCAACAAAAGAAUUUUAAUAUCCGGAAUACAUCUUACAUAUAAGAUCAUAACCCUAGAUAUUAAAGGAAAACAAAAUAAGUUUUUUUGAAAUUUUUGAAAUAUUGGCCUAGUUCUCGUGACUUUAAUAAACUGGUUAUUAAAGCCAAAAUGCAUGUUAAUAUAAAUUUUUGAAUCUUUGUUGUAUGAAAAUAUGAUAUGAUUUUUUUUUUUUUUGAAAGAGUAGACCAUAUGCAUGAAAACAAAAAAUAUAUUUUUUAUGUUUUUAUCAAAAACCGGGUAUUUUAAUAUCAAAUUUAUAUCUUUACAGUAUAAAAAUACAAACCAAUAUUUAUUAAAAUACAAUAGAAAAAUUUGCAAAAAUCACUAAUUUUUGAAAAUAUUUAUUCUAUUUUAUUAUAAUUAUUUUUUUUAAACUGGGCCCAUCUCAGCACAUGUGGCUGGGCUGAACCCAACUGAUUUCUACCCGCAAGCGUGCGUUAACAAUUCACGCACGCCUGCUAUGGUGUAAUUAAUCUUCAAGUGCACAGUGUUUGUGCAUUGUCUGAAAAAUUGGAGAAGCUUACCUGGAAGCAACGAAGGCAACAACAAGCGACCUCUAUCUUCUUCUUUUCGUUUGUAAAUUCUGGUUCAACUGGUUUCCCUGUUUUCCUUUCCUAUUCUUCUUUCUCCUCUCUCGUUCUCCCCACUGUCUCGUUCUUUUUUCUUCUUUUUUUUUGCUGUGUUUCUGCCUUGUUCUUUUUUCUUUCCCUCUCUAUGUCGUCUUUGUCUCCCUCCUUCAACGUUCUCCCCUCUCUGCACUGACUUCGUGGUGGUGCUGCUGCGCUCGUUGGUUCACAGUGGCGGCUUCGCGGUUGCAGAUGAAGAUGACAGUGUGGAAGGGCUGAUCCACCAACACCUCUCCUCUCUCCUUUCUUCCUCUUCUGUCCGUUCUCCCCCCUGUCUUUCCCCUCUCUCGCUGUCUUUUUUUCUCUGUCAUUCUUUGCUGUCUAGUUCCCUCUGUCCCCCCUCUGGUUUUUCUUCUCUCCCUCUCUGGUUCUCUCAAACGUCCCCUGGAGCUGCUGCCUGAAGAUGAAGACGAAGUUGAGGGUGAUCAGUGCUGUGAUCGAGCGACGUUUUUUUCUUUCCUUCUGCUACUGUUUUCAUUCCUGCACUCUUCUUCUUUGUUUCUGAUUUUCUGAAAUGACGAAGACAAUGGAAACGCUGGUUCUGAUCUCAAUGAUUUCCUCUGUUUACAUUAUUUCCUUCUGCUUUUCUGAUCCUCUUUCUUCCCGGCUCCUCCCUCCUUUUCCUUCUCUCGUUCUCCCCUUUUAUAGCCAAAACUGCAUACGUUCAGGACCAUUAUUGCAGUGGUAACGGUAGAUAAAUAAUAGCUGUGAAACGUUACCAUAAUCUGUGGCAUUUGUUGCUGAAAACGGUUCCUGUUUGCUGAAACGGCUGCUUUGAAGAGGGUGAUGAACAGUGUCUAAGGAAACGGCGCCGUUUCACAAUUCAAAUGAAUAUUUUGGAUUCGGUCCCUGGUUGUUUUGACAAUUUUGUAGUCAAGCCCCCCGGAUGAAUUGUAAUUGGAUCCCUUUAUUUUAGCCCCUUUUUCCGGUUUGGUCCUUGGUUUCUGAUUGUUUUAAUUAAAUCCCUAAUUGACCAUCAAACUUCAAUAAUUAUGCAAUUAAACCCCUGAUUUGACCAAAUCAACUCUUUAAAAUUAUAAUUGGACCCUAUAACUUUAAUUACUUUCAAUAAAAAUCUAAAUUGACUUAAAAAAUCAAUUUUCUUGCAAUUAAACCCUUCAUAAAUUCAAUUAAACCUUGAAUAAAAUUUAAUUGAGUACAUAAACAUUUUAUUUUGGACUUUUCUUUUUCAACUUAAAUUUUCUUUGUCAAGAGACUCUUAUCAGUAGAAAAUAUAAAAUAUAACAUCAAAUUUCAAUUCUUAUAUUUCUGAACCUCCUCAACUAAUUUUUAGGUAUUUUGUGAGCGUUCAGCGUCAUUUUCUUACUCUUGUUAUUAUUAUUAUUUUUUAUUUUUUAUGAAUUUUUUUUUUAUUAUUAUUUUUUAUAUGGAACCCAAAAAUGAGGAACAAUAAAGUUAAAAACAACAAAGAAUUUUGAAAAGAUUAAAACAAUGAGUUCAAGGGUUUAGGGUUAUAUAAUUUAGUACGAACACCACAGGGCAUGGAUUUUAAAAUCCGAGAAAAAGAUCGAUUUAUUUAUCAUGGAUUUCUUUAAAGAUUUAGAUAUAGAAAAAUAAAAACACCAACAAGAUGAAGUACAAAUAAUUUACCUGGAUUCAAGAUGUUCUUCAAGUGCUAGCUGGUUUGCUUCAGCAGUGAUCAGCCAAAAGAAAAGGAAGAGAAAUCACAGAUCAGAGAAGAAUAUAUGGCUUAGAAAAAUAAUAAAGUUGCAGUUAACAUAAAUCUAGUUCGUACUGAUCAUGGGAUGUGGAAAGGAAAAAAGGGAACUCUAUUAUGAAAUGAGAUGUGACGUGGAAGAGAAUGUUAGGUCAGCUAAAUAAUAAUUAAUUAACGUAUUGUUUGACAGGAAGGAAAUUGCCAGGAAGCAACCCCCGCCUACCUACCAAACAUUAUAUUAUAAGAUAUAGAGAGUUAACGUGUGGACCCACCCCAAUGUUCAAACUUUAAAUGAGCUGCCAUGAAUAUGUAAACACACGAAUAUGAGAAAGAACAGCAUAUUUCUGCAUGUGUGAAGUUGUUUCUGAUAAUAUGUUUUAUUUAAAAAUAUAUUAAAAUAUUAUUUUAAUUUUUUUUAAUAUCAACAUAUUCAAAUAAUUCAAAAAAAAUAAAAAUUUUAAAAAAAGAUCACUGCGACUGUAAAGACAAACCAGCUGUGACUAUACUAGCAAGUGUUAGAUUGAUAGCAAAGACGAAAGCAUACCAAUGCAACAAUCACAUUCUCAAAUAUUCAGAUUUUAAAAAAGCAUAUCCAAAUAUAGUUUUAAAGUUGUGUCAAAUGCAGAAUGCUUUAAUUAAUACGAGGAAACUCUUGUUUAUAAUAUAGUUUUACACAGGGACCCGUUAUAAAUAAUUUGGUGUUAUAAUAACAAUUAUUUUUUUAAGUAUUUUUUAUUUAAAAAUAUAUUAAAAUAAUAAUUUUUUAUAUUUUAAAAUUUAUUUCUGAUAUUAACAUAUUAAAAUAAUAUAAAAAUAUCUAAACACUAAUUUAAAAAAUAAUAAUUUAUUUGCCUGGUACUGGGCUUCCUCGGGACACAACGCUGCACUUCCUUAAAUGAAAAUAUUAAAGUCGGUGUGUGCAUCAGACCUCAUCCUCAAUUGACUCCGAUUGUUGAAAUAACUUAAUCUUCUAAUAAAGUUUGUUUUUGAAUAUAUAUUCUAUCCUUACUAAAUUAUUAGGAAGUAACAUUAUAACAUUUUUAAGUCUGCUUAAUUUAUUUGGUUUAAGAUACUAUUUUAAUAUAGUAUUAGAUAUUUAAUAACUUACGAGUUAAUUACUUAUUAAGAUAAUUCAAGAUUAAUUAUUUUUAUUAAAAUAAUAUUAUUUCAUUUAUUUCUAUUAACAUUGCUAAAUAUGAAGUAGUUUGGUUUGAUUAGAUGAUUCAAUUACAAAUCCAAUCUAAAUUAAGGUUAAAAUUUUGAGUUUUUUAAAAUAAAUCAUCAAACUAGACAGGUUUAACAACUAAUAUAUAUAUAUAGAUAUAUAUAUAUAUAUAUAUAUAUAUAUUAUUCAACCAAAUAAUUGCUUGUGACAUAUAUGUGGCGAGCUUCCUAGCACUACAAGAUUUCACAGUUUUACCGACGGUCAUAUUCCGUCGGUGUAUGAUUGAGAGUUCGUCUGUAAAUUAUUUAUCGACUCAAUUACCGACGGAAUACGCCCGUCGGAUUACCUUUUGUCGGUGAUUCCACAUUCCAUCGCUAUAUCAGUCGGAAAAAAAAAAUGUACAUGUCGCACGUGUGCGGCGGCGCGGCGAUCGUCCACCCCCAACCCUUCAUGAGGGUGUGGUAUGUUGUCUAUUUGGCAUGGAAAAUAUGGUGAGACAAGGAGUUCUUUGUCUCUAAGCUAAAAAUGGACAGCGAGUCGCCACCUAGUAUUCUGGUUACUAGGAACCUUAACUGGUCUUUAGAGAUCGGGUACGGAGACUGGUUGCGUAAAGGGAAGGUAUUCACCCAACUACGCCCUACCUAAGGUAAGCUGCAUUGUUUUAAUGUCUGAUAAAAUCCAAGGUCGCGUUGUGGUUUUUUAUUGUUCGGAAUACGCAUUACAUGUAAUGUCAUACCCCAGGUUCUAUUGUCCAAAAAAAAAGAGGAAUUAAAUAUCUGGAAUAUGCAUUACAUGUAAAGUCAUACCCCGGGUACUAAGAGACAAACAAAAUAAAAUUUUUGUUGUUUUUGAAAUAUUGGCCAAUAUUCUCUUGACUUUGAUAAACUGGUUAUUAAAGUCAAAAUGCAUGCUAAAAUAUUUUUUUUUGGUGUAUGAAAAAAAUACAAUAUGAAUUUUUAGCUUUGAGACACUUGGCCGUAUGCACAAAAACAUUUUUUUUCUCUUUUUUUAAUUUUUUUGUAUUUUAUGGAAGUUUUUUUUUUUGACGAAAACCGGGUAUUUAAAAAUCAGAUUUUUGUAUUUUUAACAACAUAAAAAAAAAACAACCAAAUAUUAAUCAAAAUGACAUAAAAAUUACGCGGAAAAAUUAUAAAAUGCUGAAACAAAUAUUUUUGAUUUUUUUCUUUGAAAUGGGCCGGAUCAGGCCUAAAUAUAUGGGCUGGGCCGAACAUGGCCCAAAGAAAUGGGUUGGUUACUGUGCACAUAGUAACCGGGUUACUGUGUGUACAGUACAGAGAAUUAAUCUACGGGCAGUAACUCGCUAAUUAAUCUUCAUCUGCUGCACGUAAACGUUCUGCAUGCAGAUGAAGCCGAACCAAAAAAAAACGACGGGAAAGGCUACCUGGAGCGGUGGUGAUGUUGGCAGCAACUGAUGUGGCAGGGGUGGCGGCGGCGGAACUGGCUGUUCACGGUGGCCGGCGGUGCUGUUUUCCUCUCUCUCUCUCCUCUGUUUUACAAUCUUCUCUUCUUCUUCUUCUUCUUCGCUCUCUCUCCCUUCUCUUCUCCUUUCUUUCUCCCCCCUUCUUUUUUCCUUCUGUUCUUCCUCCAUUUAUAGCCUGUGAGCAUGUGUUUUUUUUUUUCAUCGUGGGGUCAUGCGGCGGCUGGUCGGGAGUGGCUGUCCAGGCGGUUCUCCUCAGUUUCGGCGGUGCGGUAGGCGGUCGGCCAAUGUUCUUCGUCGGUGGGCUAGGGACUGGCGGUCGGUGGGCUGGAGGGACCAACGCCAUUAAAUAUACAUCUUUUUCCUUCUUUACUGCUGUAUGUUAGGCGGGGAAGAAAGGGGAACAGUGCCGUUCAAAACGGCACCGUUUAGCCCUUUUCUGUUUUUUUUUUUUUUUUUUUUUUUAUUAUUUUUUUAUGGGGACCCAAAAAUGGGUUACAACAGUACCGACGGUUUUACAGAUGGAAAAUGCGCGCUAAAAAAAAAAUUUCUUCUUGGAAUAUACCGACGGAAAAUACUCUGUCAGUGAAAUUCUAAUUACCGACGAAAAAAAUCCGUCAGUACAUUGGUCGGUGUGUGUUUGAGAUACCGACCUAGGUAUGCAGACCUUGUAGUCAAGCCCACGCCCUUUAGCGUGGUUUUGCUUUUUAAAAUUUUAGACCGAUGCAUCAUUGGUUGUUUGUAGAAUCUAGCGAUGGAGGGUUCCUGGAAAAACAAGACUAUGGUUUUGUUUUUUGCUAAAAAUCUGUUUUUCAACCCAAAACAUCUAGAAAAUAUAAUAAACACCUUGAUGAAUCUAUUUAUGGUCUUAAACAACCUAAAAAAAGCUCAAAAAUCUAAAAUCAACUCAAACCUGAAAAUCUUCUUGUUGAGAGGUCUCCUUCAUCAAGUACGGAAAAAAAUAAGAAAAAAACACCUAGGUAAAACUUCCUUGAUCAAAUGAAAUCCAUUAACACCAAGAUUGACCAUUUUGGUAGUCGAAAUAGAAGUCAAUAAUAACAUUUUCUCUUUACAUCGGAAUCCAGCAAAUCUCUCUCUUCUUUUUAUAAACAAAGGACUAAAAAAAAAGUUUGGUACCUAAAUUGAAUUUCUAACAACUAAAGAGAUAAAUCACCUCUUAAUUAAAACAAUUGGGGACCAAACUAAGCUUUUCAUAUGAAAUUUGAAGUUGCCACCUAUUUUCCCCAUGUUUUUCACUUUGAUCAUCUUUCUUUUAAUUCAACCAUUUCUUCAUAAAAAAGAAGCAACUUGCUAUUAAUUUGGGCUCAAAAGGGUGCAAUAGUGCAUGCUAAAAAAAUUGAGGAUCAAAUUGAGAAUUUUAAAAAAAUUAAUUGUUUUAAUCCAUAAUAAUUUGUGAAAGAAUGCACAGUAAAGAGAAAAAACAUCACACAGCUUUGAAACACUUUAAUGUGUUGACUGAAAUUGACAAGUGAGUUUACUCACAUAUUGUUAUAUUGGUUUUGAGUUCAAAUAGACGUUUAAAAAGGGAGUUUUUCAUGAAUACAACCCUUCAUGUAUUCAAUAUGAAUGAUGGGAGAUUUUAAUGUCUUGUGAAUGCAUUCAUUUAUAUAUGGAUGAUUUUGCUAAUAAUUGAUUGGUAAAAUACUUAAUUUCGUUAUAUAAAAACCAAAGAGAGAAUAAUAAAUAGCUAAGAAUUGAAAUGCAAAAACAUAAUUUGCAUAUAACACUAAGUUCUGCAACCAUUUCUCUACUUUCUAUGCUCUUGGCUUGCUAAAAACUAAAAAAAAGACAUUGCUCUAGUUGCCUGCCUUCACUCUUCAGAUUGCUCAACAAAUCCCUUGAGACCUUCUCCAUAGUUAACACAUCACAUAAUGGCUAUUCUAAAAAAAUUAGCCAUAAGCAUUGAACACCUUGAGCAAUCAACGUGCCUUCCUUCACAAUAUCCAUCACCCAUAAAUCUUUCUUUUGGGAUGUCGUCGGGAGUUUAAUCUUCGAGUGUAACAAUUAUGUAUAAAUUUCCAUUCUUUCCUUCCAUCCAUUACUUGUCCUCUAUGAAGAUUCUAUUUAUGAAGUCUCGGAAUCUUUUCGAGUAUAACUUGGGAUCAACAGCUGAGAUAGACAUGAGAUCCACUUGUAAGGACUUGUAUGCAUGCUCUAGCUGUUUGCUGAUAUCAUAAUCCUGGAGGAUGUCAAUGAUACCAAAGUGAAGAACUACAUUGAAGAUCUCAUUACCAUUAUGUGAAGGUGUUGAAUUAUUACUUCCACCCCCCCAUGCACUUAUCCAUUUUAGUAGUCCUCAUUACACGCUCGGCUCUUGCAGGCACAUUUGCCCCCAGCCAGAUGAGUGGCCCCCUGGAAUAGAUUUCAUAUGAGUACUACAAGCAUGCAACGCCAGAUAAAAUCUUGACAUUGCAUCACACAAUCACCAAAAUUCAAAGUAACAAAACGAAGAACAAAAUUUGAUAACAAUGACAAUGAUCACUCAACCACAACCGAAUCUUAUGCUUUAAAGACACUUUUCAUCAUUAAUUUUCCUUUUCACAUUGAUUUUCAAUGUUCCAGACAGAUAAAAUAGCAUUAAUUUACAACCAUGGUUUUAAGGCAUCAUUAUUGGCAAAAACAUUGUAGGACAGAGCAAACUUAAAGAUCAAUACUUCAGUUGUCAAUCACAUUAAUAAUUUAUAUUUGAUCGUCUGAAAGGGCCUAGAAUAGGACCAGGUAAAAGUUUGUUUCUAUCUAAGAAAGCAAGAAAGUCUCCACAAACUACCCCCAAUUUCGCCACUACAGCUCAAGUAGCUUUGAGUCAUUCCAACAAAUUGGAAUUGAAUUCAAAGGAAUAAAUCAUUAAAUGCAGGGCUCCUACGUGGGAAAGGGAAAAUGAUUCACUAUUAAAAAAAGAAAGCUCAAACACAAAUUAUAGCUUCACUUUUUGUGAAUUAUAUCUCAUAUUUCUUUGACUAUAUGUGGAUGAUUUAUUGAUAUUUUAAGAAAGAAGCAAUCUUCAUUGCUUUUCAAAACCAUACUAUGGGUCCAUAGGCAACUAAAGUUAAACAUGUGGCACAUGUGAUUAGUACUUAAAAGUGCAUAUUUAUCAAGGUUUUGUAUCAUCAUUUUGCACUUAAAGUAUCAAUAACUCCUUAACUAAAGCAUGUUUUAUAAUAAUAAGUCUAAUACUAUAAAAUGCCCUAAUAUAUGGUAAAUGUUUAUCUUAAAUAUAGGCAUAACACAUAAAUUAAAGGAUUGAUUGAUGAAUUCAACUACUGAAAUUUUGAAGAUAAAGAGAAGGUGAAACUUAGAAAAGAGAUGUUGGUGCAGUCCAAACUGGAACACUGUUUGGUGUUUGGGUCAUAUUUCGAGUUCUAGAUGUCCAAAUGACCUCAAAGUUUUACACAAACUUGGUGAGACAUAGGCCUACAACUUUCAUGUGAACAUAAAAAUCCAACAAGGCCAUUUUCAAGUCCAAAUCAUAGCAACAACGGAGAAGUCCGAAUCUGUCCUGCAGCCCGAACACUGUUCAGUGUUUGGCCCAUAUCUGGAGUUCUAGAAGUCCAAAUCACCUCUAUUUUUUUUUCCUGGAAAGCUGAGUCAAUUUCCUACAACUUUCAUGUUUUCCAGAGGACCCAGUUCGGAUGGUAGCAUUUUUGUUUUAUUCAGACAAGAAGAUAAGGAUUUUCACCAAGUCAAAAGUUGGCCACCCACUCAACAAUUAGUCAUCAAAUCAAUAAUUCCGAAUUUUGGCCUAUAAAAGGAGGCAUUUGCCAUGUAUUAUGGGGCUUGGUUGUUCAGAUCAAGCUCAUGCUCUUUAUUUCUCUCUUUAUAUUUUUUGUAAUUUUUAAGUUUUGCUUUCAUUAAUAUCUUGUUUAUGCUUUUCAUUUCCUUUCCUUUACUUAGUUAACUUGUAUUUUCUUUAUGUUCUUGUUUUGUUUAUUUAUGUUUCUCUUCUUCAUUAUGUUUAGCUAAGUUUAUUAUGUUAAUGUGAAAAGGUUACACUAAUGGUGUAAGAAUAAAUAUAGUGUAAACUCAACAUGGAUCUUAAUGUUUAAUAUUAACAUGUCUUAUCUUUUUAUCUUACUAAUUCUUAAUACCUUGCUUGUUAAAUGGUUAAUCUAGAUUUGUGUUGUAUAAUAUUUGGUACAACAAAUGCUUGACACUCUCAUAGCCUAACAAUAUGGUAUUACAUACACCUGGGCUAUGAAAGGAACUUGAUUUGUUGUUAACAUCAAUUAACAUCAUGAAUUCAUGACAAUAUUUAAAAGUUUGGUGUUAUGUAAAUAAGAUAAUUAAUAUGAUCAUGUUAAUAAUUUAUAAUGAGUUAUUAAUGACAAAUCAUCUGAUUGGAACCUCCCUCGUGUGUGGUUUCCAAAUUGAAUAAUAAAAGUUUAUACUAUACUUGUUAAAAUACCAUUGGUGAAUUGGUGAAUCCUCUAACCUUGACAUUUAUUUUAUCAUUGUUUAAUCCUUACAUUAAUCUUUUUAUCUCAAAGUUCUCAUUAAUUUCUUUAUCUUCUUCUUUUAUUAUUAUUAUUAUUAUUAUUUAUAUUCUAUUUAUAUUAUAUAAUAUAUCUCUUUGAUCUUCUCAUAAACUCAGUAUAUAGGCUGGAAACCUGUGACCUGAUCUUUUAGAUCAUUCUCAAGUGUAACAACGCCACAUACUGAGUAUUAUUAUUAUUAUUACUAUUAUUGCUAUUAUUGUUAUUAUUAUUGUUAUUGUUGUUAUUAUUAUUGUUGUUGUUAUCUUGUUAUUUAUAAUUUAUACAAUUAACCUCUCUGUGGUUCGACCCCGGUCUUGCCGGGUUAUUUAUUACUUCGACACUCCUGCACUUGGAAGAAGAUAUCAAUCUUUUGGUCGUGUCAACAUGCCUUGUAGAAAAGAAGAUGCCACACAACUUCAGGGCCCCAACAUUUAGACUUUUGAUGGAACCAAAGCUAAAUUUAAAAACAGGACCAUCUGAGAAGCCGGCAGACAACAACAAGUCAAAGAUCCAAUUUCCAAAAAUAGACUAUGUAUCAUGUAGUUUAACAUCUCUAAGCAUAAUCUUUGCGAUAAUCAUCUAUCCUUGACGAUUCAUAUGUUUCAUCACAGUUCUCUGUCACCACUUCACAUGCACAUAUUCCCAAAAAAGAGAUAGCAUGGAAAAAUGUCUUUGCUUGUCGUAAAAAAUACAAAGGCUAAAACCUAACAUAGGGAAAAUAGAUUUGGAAAAAGGAAAGCAGAAACAAAGCAAGGCACUAACAAUUAGGAGGGGCAAAAACAUGAAUUCAGAAAAGGAAAAUACAUAUUGGCCUUCCAUGACCCAAUCCAUAUUGGGCAGCAAAUGAUAACCCCGCAUCGAUGUUUCCUCGUGUUGUGAAUUUCUUUUUUUAUGAUACAGAAACACAACCAAAUUAGCUCAAGGUCGAUUAUUGUAAAUUUUUAAGGUAGCGGAAUUACAGGAUAAAACAAACUUACCAAAAUGCUUGUCAUUUGGCGACAUCAUCUCCUCACUAGAGUAAUCAUCACGGAUGUGAAGACCAAUUAGAAGACUAUAAUCCAUAAUUCUCUUUGCUUCUAAGAAUUCACAGUCCCUAUAAAUUUGACUGAGAAAGAAAGAACAUAAAACAAACACAUGUUUACCUCUCAAGAUUAGUGCCUUACCAAAGAACAAGAUAAAGGAUGCAAAACUUGGAACAAAAUGAAAAAAAGUGCAAUGAUGUGGAAUCUAUCUAAUGAGUUCAUUAAACCAUGACCAUUCCAGGUCCUUAAGUGUGGUUGUUUCAUGAAUUUCACCCUCAAGCUUGUCAGUUUGGCGUCCAUGAGAAGGACCUUUCAUUAAGCAGACUUAAAGAUUAAUGCUUUAGUUUUCAAUCACAUUAAUAAUGUAUAUUUCAUUGUCUAAAACGGACUGGAAUAGAACAGGAAAAAGUUUGUAUCUGAUGAGAAUUAUAUAAAGUAUAUUUUGAAUUUUAUUUAUAAAUUGAAGUUUUUGAGUGAAAUAAUUUUUUUAUAUAUUAUCAAAGUUUUAUUAAUUAAGUGAUUAUAAAUUUAAAUUUUACAAUUUUUAUACUUAUACUAUGUAAUAAAAAUUAAACAUAAAACAUUAAAGUUACGUGAAAACCAAAAGCGGCAUGGGUUUUGACUAGUUUCUUUCAAGUACCAGGAAUAUUAUUUAUGAGAAAAAACAAAACCUAACGGAUCAUACCAAUAAACAGGCAUUCUAUCAUUGGUGGCGCAACAAAACUGAAAGGAAACCACACACUCAAUUUUAUCGCCUAACAAAUAAAUAAGAUCAACACCACAAUGUUGAUGAUAUAAAGAGACCAUCUGACACAAAAGAAAAAUCCAAAAACUUACAGAGAAUUCAAUCAUGGAUAUAAUAAGCUUGCUCAAAAGUAGUGUUUUUUGACAAAUGAAUCCCCCCUCCCAGGGCCCACCCAUUCCCAACCCACCAAAUGUAAUUGAAAAUUAAAAAAACUUAAUUCAAGGUUGAUUUCCGAGAUAAAAUAUUUAUUUAUUUUCCAUGGAUCCCUCAUUUUGUUUCAGUUUUCAGUUUUCAAUUUGUAUCCGUAUCUAAAACAUUUCUUCCCCAACCAACCACACAGACAUGCACAGAAAGAGGAACCAAAAAAUAUAUUGAAACAAAAUCUACACUCGUUCAACUCUGCCCGGACCCCCUCCCAAACCUGGCAUGCUUGUUAAGGUAAGUAUGACAUCCUAACCACACCCCCUAUGCUCUAAUUCCACAGCAGCAACCUUCUGCCCUUUCAUGCAUAAGUGCAAUCAAAAUAACAUGAAUGUUCGACACUUUGGCAUUUGUAUUCAUGUAAAUGUCUGCAUGAAUACCAUGUGUUCAAACUUCAACACAAAACUUCAUAUAAUAACAUAACUUAAAAACUCUUAGAUGCGAUCUUCGAGAACCCAAACCAAGUUCCUUAUGUUCUUCCUUAUUUAACUACGAGAUCAUCAGUAUGCUGAUGAAUUCAUGACACAACCUUGAGCAUUUGAGAUUCAAACCGAGUUGUAAAUUUGACAAGACAAACACGGACAACACUUUGACUUGCAUGGGUAUUUAAUUGUAUGUCUAGAACUUAGUCAUACAUCUUUCAGCUUCAAAGAAAUUGACCAAAGAGAUAAACUGACAUGCAGCUGUAAAAUGGUGAACUGCCACACAACCUCGCAUGUCCUUUUUUCCACAGCCUCGUACAAUAGAAAGAAUUGCAUUCACAUAGUAUUUAGGCUUUACUUAAUUAGCAAAACAGCAGUACACCUGGUAAGGAUAUGCAGAUAGGGAUUGUUCUGCCAUGGUAGAAAAAAAUGAGCCAAGAUACUUCCAAGAAAUAUACAAGGAAAUGGGCAACAGUGUGCACUCUGCAGAUAGGUAUUUUUCCAAGGAAAUAUAUUAUCCAGCACAUAAAGAUUAUAACUCAUAUCAUGAAAUCCAGAUAUAUGGGAAGAAAGAGCAAAGUAUAUGGUAAAAGAAAAAAACUUUAUAGUUGAGAUAUGACAGGAACAUACCUUCCAGAACUAUGAUAUCUGAGGAUCAGUUUCCUUGUAGCCAUUGUACUCAGUGUGUGCCUUCCAAUCUUCCACACAGAUAGCAUUUUCACUUCCAUAUAGCAUCCAAUCGAGAUCCUCAAGCUCUAAACUCUGGAAGAACAGCUUCUGUAGCCCAGAGUUUAAAAGAAUAUCAGCAAAACCACGUGCAAAUCUAGAUACUGGUUCAGAGAUAGAUGUGACAAAGCGAUGCUGAAUGAGAAGAUCAACAUAUUUCUCCCGAUUCUUGCUAUUUACAACAAUACUCUUCCCACCAGGGCAAAGUUCCACAACUUUCCUGGAUCCUAGUUCCUCAACUUCUCUAACGAAUGUCAGACUCAAAGCAUCUGAAUCAAUGAACUCAGGAUCCAUCUGCAGAAUCUGUUUGCAAUUGCUAUACAAGCAUGGAUCUGCAUCCCGUAUGUCUUCCAAAGUAAUAUGCAUCCCAGCCAAUUGCAAGAAAAAUGCCCGAUCAAAUACAAUGCCGACUUGCACUUUAUACAUCAAAGCUAAAGCCAUCACUCGACCAGAGAAUGUGAAAUACUCAGGGUGCCUGGGAUCCACCUUGGAUGCUGCACAUAAAAUGAAUACAAUGAAGUCCAUAUAUAUACUUUUGUUUGUUAGUGGUUAUCCAUGCCAACAAUUGAAUCCAAGCAAGAUGAUGCAACUUAAUUCAAGUCCAGAAACAGAAGACAAUAACAAACCUCAAUUAUGAUUCUUUGAAGAGGUAUUUCAGAAAUAACCAAUUGCAAUUUUAAUGCAGUGGAAGAAUUAGACAUGUUAAUCCCCAAAGGAACCAAUAACAUAUUAGUGAAACACGGAAUUCAGGUAACAGAGUUGGAGAAACAUGGGAAAUAUUCCUGUAUAAUAACCCUAGGGACUCAGGUACUUCACAAUAAAAUAUUUGUGACACACAAGGUUCAGGAAUUUUCCCUUAACAAACCUUUGCUAGUGAGCCUAUUGUACAGGAUGUAAUGCCCUUAUCCCACAUCCAUCAGGAACUCACAUGGUAAACAACUUUUCUACAUAUAAAUGUUAGAGAAAGAACACUAAGAGAAUGCAGUGAAUGAUCUCUCGUACAGUUAAAAUCCAAGCAAUAUUAGUGAAAUAUCUUUGAUUAAGGUCACUGAGAAGGUUCACCGCGUUAAGCCACCCAGUAUUACAUCAAGUGUAGGAAAACUGUCGAACUUCUAAAAAAUGUUAAUUCAAUCCUGACUAUGCCUAAAAUUGAAUAUUAAAUGUCACAUUCUCCAGAUUUAGGUGUAACACUUCCAGAUGUCCUCCCACUAACAUAUAUCAAAAUAAUGAAGAAUAAUAGUCCAAUGGUUGUAAGUGAUUGAGACAGCAUCGACACAUAUUAAUGUCAACUCAUAUAAACUGUUGGAGCUCUCCACCACCAUUUAGUGAAUGUUUACUUUCCAGUGUAAAUUAAAACAAAUACUCAGCCCACAAUCUGAAACAUUAGACACACGGCAAUGAAAACGUAUUGUUUACAUAGUCAGUAUUACCUGGGAAUAAAAAUUCAGUUGAGAAAAGAGAAAAUCCAACUUACAGAAUAAAACAUUCACGAACCUAAUUGCAACUGUUGUUCAAAAAAAAAAAAAUCCUACUCUCAGAAAAACAUGAACGGUUAAUUACAUGAAGUUUCACCCCAACCAAAAAUCAUUACUUCAAUCCUAAUUUCGACUUCCAAAAUUAAUUUGGGUGAAACAAUUCCAGAUGAGCUCAUCUCACCCACUAGCAACAUAAACUAAAUGACGUACAGGUGCUUCUUGAAUGGUUGUAGGUGAUGGAUACAGCAUCAUUACACAUUAAAUGUAAGUUCCUAUAGAUUACAGGAACUGCACAUUUUGUUCAUCUGAGUAAAUUUUUAUUAUCCAGUGAGAAUAUAAGCAACAAUGUUCCAAACUCUAUGCUAGAGUGACACAUUAGACACAAGGCAAUCCAAUAUAUUGUUUAACCAUUCGUAUCAUCAAAAACUAUAUUCAAUUGAGAAAAGAGAGAACCCUGUAGCAUUGUUCAUGUAAGGCAUUCAUGAUUAGGGUUUUCUCGUUUUGUUACCAGGAUUGGUAACCCUAUAUCCAAUCAAGAAAAGAGAAAACCCAAUAGCAUUCAGGCAGCAGAAACUUACCAGGAUUAGGAUAGAACCUUCUGCGAUCACUUGGGCAUGCCACAAAAAGAGCUUUUUGAGGAUCAAAUAGAGCUUGUGUAACCAAGAAAAACCACUCCCGCAAUACACCAGGACCAGUAGCUUCCUCAUUUUUAAAUUCCAGAAAUAGACCACCAUGCAGUGCAUCUGAGUCGGCAUGCACUAUGUACUCAAAUGACUCUGACAACAAUUGUGACCGAUCAAUGAGCAUCUCGUGAAGCUCCUCGUAAUCUUCUUUCACCUCAGGGAACAUCAUCAUAGCCAAAUGCCUCCUAGACUCAAAAUCAGUCACAUCCUUGUUCCGAAGAAGCCAUUGAUGAUCUUCAGUUCUUUUUGCAUAUCUAACAAUCAGCGCACACAAGGAAGCCUUUCUAAGUCUCAAAACUGUCCAAAACUUUUCCUCAGCACCCUUAUAGAGUUUAGCAAUGUUAUUCAACUCCUUCAAAAUAGCCAAAUAUUGAGACCACCUGUAUGAUUCAACUCACCCUCUCCAUUCAUUUUCAAAUUUGAAGAAUUCUGCAUUUUCCAAGACAUUUCUCCAUAAUAUUCAGCAAAUCCAAAAAUAUCACGUGAAGAUGCUCAAUCUCCUUCGCAUACAAUGGAUAAUUUAAUGCCCUCUUGUUCAACGGCAUCGAAAGCAGACCCCUACAUGCCCCUUGCUCUGAAAUCAUACUACACAACGGUGCCAAAAACGCUGAAAAAUCCUUCACAUCAGCUACUGAUGGCCCCACACUCCCCGCCACAAUCCCCAUGAAAUCUUUAAACAACUUACUCCCCAGCUCACUAACAAACGGAAAAAUCUCCUGCAUAACAACAACUCCCUUCCCCUCCUCCCCUCCUCGAUACCUCCACCCACACGCACCCCAAACAUUCUCCAACAAUGAACCAAGAUUAGUCCUACACACAAUAUACAAUGGAUCAUCACUCCCAACCUUCCUCAACAAAUUACAAAACUCAUCAAUCGGAACACACUGCAAAUGCAAAUUUUUGGCAACGAAAUCCUACAUGAAUUCAAAAAAUGCCUGAUCGCACCCUCCGCGCACUCCUUAUUCCCUUUAACACUCGAAACAUAGAGUGUAACCAACGCAGCUGGCGCACUAUUCGAUAAAAACACAUUCAAAUGUCCUAAAGCAUCCUCAUUAUCAUCCUUCGGUGUCAAGCUAAAGAACUCAUUCAUCAACUUUUUAUAUGCUUUGAAACACAUGGAUGAAAACCACACGGCAGAAUAGACUUACAAAUUCGACAAAUGUAGGAAACCAUAUCAUUGAUCAAUUGACAAGUACGGGGAUGCCUAGUGCUCCGCAUUCGGCCAACUAAAUGAAGAAUCGAAUCCUUCUCGAUAGAGUAAUCGGAGAGUUUGUUUUCGUAUUGCAAUUGCUUACCUUUGUAGAUUAGUCGUUGCUCGAUCACCGGAAUCCCGGUCAUCACGCGAAUCCGUUCAUGGAGUGAUUUGACGGAAUCAGUCAAAUUCGCGGUGAUCACAAUGUGAGUACCGUCGGAGAUCAUUCUGAUGAAGAAUUGGAGCCUCGAUUGAGACCGACGGGGAGGGGAGGGAGUGGAGGGAAAAUCGGUGGUUGAUGAUGAGGCGGAGGCGGAGGCGUCGGAGACACGUGUGGGGAGCUGAUUGGUGGAGGAGAUGGAGGGAGGUUGCUGCAGGUUAUGGCCGGUGGAUGACUCGGUGUCGUCUUCACGCAUCCUGAAGGAGAUUAAGUCAGAGAAAACGGCGUCGUGGUCAUCGACAUCGUCUAGUUUGCGUUUGGAGGAGCCGCGGUGAUCAACGGUGGAGGAGCGCUGUUGAGGGAGGGAAUCAACGGCGGGAGAUUGGGGAAGUGACAUUUGAUGAACGGUGGUGACUGUGUUCUCCCCGACCUGUAAGUUUUUAAGGUAGGGGAGAAGGCAUGAGAUCGUUGUCUUAGAGGAUGAGACGGUGUGGUUUUGAUAUACGGAGAGAGUAAACGGCGAGGGAAGGAUUGAACGGAAAUUGUGUCGUCUCAACUCGGUGGGGCUUUUUCUGUGUUUUUUUUUUAACAGCCGUCAUCAACGAAGAGACUGGUAAUCUUACGCUAGUAUUAUUAUCAUCAUCUAUAUUAUUGUGUGCGACGUUCUUGUGUGGCUAAUUACCACAGUAGCCUCGAGAGCGAUGGCUAGCUGUGGUUUAGCUCAUGGCGUUUCUGUUAGGUUAUAAUAUCAUUACUUGUUAAACCCGAUCUAAUAUAAUCUAAUUAAUAAGCUGAUUUAAAAUUUAACAAGAUAAUUUAUGAACCGGUCGGGUUAAUCUAAAAUUAAAUGAUUCUGGAAAGAUGCACACCUAGCUGCCUGUGUUUGGCAAGAAAAAUCAUCAUGUGCCCCUAGAAAAAAAAAAAAAGUAUAUAUAUAUAUAUAUAAAGAAAGUGAAGCUUUAUUUUUCUUGGAGAAAUAAAGUAAGUGGAACUUUUUGACCUACGUUUAGGUGCCUCGUCUGCUAUAUAAUUUGUGUUUUACACAAAGCGUCCACCUAAGCAAAUAUUGCUUUGCAUGGGAGUAAAGAGCAAUGGCGUCAAUCUCUCUUCCACGACAUAUUUCUCAAGAAUUAUAAAAGAUUAAAUAAAACAAAAUUAUGAUUAAUAAUCCGUGUAUAUAAUUGUUGUCGCACGUGUGCGGCGGCGCGACGAUCGUCCACCCUCAAAGAAAAACACGGAAUAUUUAUUCCUGGCAAAUAGGGAGAGAUAAGGAAUUCUUGUCUCUAUAUGUGAAAAUAUGGACUGGGAGUCGCCACCUAUUAUUCUGGUUACUAAGAACCUUAACUGGUCUUUAGAGAUCGGGUACGGAGACUGGUUGCGUAAAGGAAAGGUAUUAGCACCCCAACUACGCCCUACCUAAGGUAGGUUGCAUUGUUUUAAUGUCUGAUAAAAUCUAAAAUCAUGUUGUGGUUUUUGAAUUGUUGGUUCGUUUAGGGUUUAAGAAAAAUCCUCCUCCGUAAGGAGAUCCUUAUCUUUAUCGGGUAAAAAAACUAACUAUUCAAAGUCAUCAAAAGAAAAUAUCUUUUUAAUAUCAGGAAUACGAUUUACGUAUAAAUUCAUAAUCCUUGAUACUAAAAUCAAACAAAAUAAAAUAUUUUGUUGUUUUUGAGAUUUUGGCCAAUGUUCUCUUGACUUUAAUAAACUGGUUAUUAAAGCCAAAAUGCAUGCUAAAAUAUUGUUUUUUGACAUAUGAAAAAUACGAUAUGAUAUUUUAGAUUUGAGACACUUGGUCGUAUGCACAAAAAUAUUUUUUUAUUUUUUUUCAAUUUUUUUUAUUUUUGGAAGUUUUUGUCGAAAACCGGGUAUUUUAAUACCGGAUUUAUAUUUUUACGAUGUAAAAAUACUGCCCAAUAUUAAUCAAAAUGACAUAAAAACUACACGGAAAAAUUAUAAAAUGUUGAAGCAAAUAUUUUUUAUUUUUUUCUUUUUGAAUGUGUGAACAGUACCGUACGAAAAACCGGGUAUUUUAAUACCGAAUUUAUAUUUUUACGAUGUAAAAUACAGACCGAUAUUAAGCAAAAUUGAUAAUAUAUAUAUAUAUAUAUAUAUAUAUAUAUAUGCUGGGAAGUUGUAAAAAUAAUUCUGACAAAUUUUUUUUUUUUAAAACAUUUGAAAUGGGCCGGACCCGGCCCAUAUCAUUGGGCUGGGCCAAACCGGCCCAUUACCAAAUGGGCUGGUUAAUGUGCCUAAGCACAGUAACCAGCCUCCUUCAGCUGCAGAACGUGAAUUAAUUCACGUUCUGCAUGCAGACGAAAACAGGAGGAUAGCAAGCGGAGAAGGAGAUGGGGCGGUGAGAGAUUACCUGCGGUGGCGUUGCCGGUGGUGCUGCUGGCGGUGGAGGCACGGUGGCCGGCGUUGCUCUGUUUCUCUCUCUCUCUCUCCUCUGUUAUUUUUGCUCUUUUCUGCUUCUUCUUCUUUUUGGUUUUUCUUUCUUUCUUUUCCUUUCCUCUUCUCCUCUUUUCUGCUCUGUCCUCUCUCCUCUUCUCCCUCUCUUUUCUCUCCUUCUGUUCUUGGUUUUUUUCAAUCCCCAUCCCCUGUUUUUAUAGGCAAAAACAGGGGGGGGUGUCGGGUGUCGUGGUGGGGCGGCCACUGUCGGCCGCCCCCUCCACUACCGUUUCAAUGGAUAACAAUGUUAGGCAAUGGUGGGCGUCUUUUUGCGCCAAAAACGGGAAAGAAAGUAGGCGAAAAGGGAGAAGAAAAAUCUUCUUCUUCCCCUGCCUCGCGCGUCCAGGGGAAGAAGAAGAGCUACAGUGUCGUCAAAACGGCACCGUUUUGGGCUUCUGUUUUUUUUUUUUUUUCAACAGUGAAUGAAACGGCGCCGUUUUGGUCAAAACACGUCGUUUCAUUUAAAAGAAAAAGGCGCCAAAACGCGUCAGAUUUCAAAGAAGGCCCUCCAUUUGUGCGCGUUUUACAAUUUCGUCCUUGGUCUCGGAUUGCUUCAAUUUAGUCCCUAAUUGGCCAUUAAACUUCAAUAUUUUAUGCAAUUAAGCCCCUGAUUUGACCAAAUGAACUUCAAAAAUUAUAAUUUGACCCCAGAAAAUUAAUUUCUCUUAAUUAAAGCCCAAAUUAACUCCAAAAUCAAUUUUUUUGCAAUUAAAAUCUUCAUAAAUGCAAUUAAACCUUUAAUAAAAUUUAAUUGAGUCCAUAAACUUCUGAUUUUGCAUUUUUCUUCCUCAAAUUGAAUUUUCUUUAUCAUCGGGGCUCUCAUCAGUCAAUGAUAUACUGUCAAAAAUUAAUUUUUGAUAUUUAAACAUCCUCAAUCAAUUUUUGAACAUUUUUAGGGCGCUUUGGCAUUUUUUCACUGUUUUAUUUUUUGAUAAUAUAUUUUUUUUGAUUUUUUUGAAUUUUAUUAUUUUUAUGUGGGGAACCAGAAAUGGAUUACAACAAUUGUUAUAAGGGACAUGUUCACAAACAAAAAUAUGACUAUGUCAUGGGCUGGCGGGUCGAGUUAAAAAAAAAUUAAGAUGAAAGUUAAUUUAGUUAAAUUUGAGGCACCCAAAUAAAUUUAUAACUUAAAAUCUAGUUUGAUUUUUUUAAAAGUUUAUCUUUUUAAAAUAAUAUUAUCUUAGAUUUUUUUUAAAUUAAAUUAAAACAAUAUCAGAUUAACCCAUAUAUCUUAUAACCAUCAGAAAUAAAACAUGUUUAAUAACUUUAUUUAUAGAAACAGUAAAUCAUUGAAUUAUGAUACACUAACACUUUAAAUCUGUAAAUUUCAUUAUAUAUAGUUGAGAGGUAUAAAAAAAACCCAUUAAAAUUAACAGAAUUGGCUUGUUGCAAACCAUCUCCAAAGUAUAAGAGUUUAUCAUUGCUUUCUUAAAAUAUAAAUAAAUAAAUUAACUUAUGAAUGUGAGUUUAUCAUUGUGGUACUAAAAUUUAUAGUAGUAAUUAAAAGAUAAUAAGAAUAAGUAAAAAAUAUUUGUAUUUUUAGCCCUUAUAUUUCAAACUAAACCGGUAACCAUCCUAUUCUGCAGGCCAAUAAAAUUUUGAACAAAAAAAAAGAACUCGAUAUUGAGACCAUUAACUUAACUAUAUCUAAUAAGUUAGGUUAAUCUAAUAAUCUGAUUUAAAUUGAAGGCAACAAUAAAAAAGAAUGAUUAAAAGAAAAGGCAACCCCUACCAAAAGUCUUUAAAUUAAGUUAAUUUUUCAAACUAGAAUAUGUGAAAUUUCAAACUGAGGUUAAACAAUAAGCUUAAAUCCAAAUCAAUUAAAUGAUGAAGGAUGAAAUUGAAUAUUAAAAAAAAACUAAAAACUUUAGCGAAGCGAAAAACACAAGGACAAAAUCUAACAAGGAAAAAAAAUGAUCAAAAGUGAAAUCAUAAAAAAAGUUAAAAGUUACAUUAUAAAAAUGAUCAUAGAUGACAUAAAUAACAAUUAAGAAAUGAGACUAAAUAAGAUAAAUUUAAAAAAUUAAAUGAUGAUGAAAUUGAAAAAAAAAUACUUUUCAUGUGUUAUUUCAAAUAAAAACAAAUAUCAACCAAAAUAUCAGGAACUAAAUAACAAAUAAACAAAAGUAAAAAAAAUCAAAUGAUGAUAAAAUUGAAACAAAUCUUGAUUUUCAUAAGUUAUUUGAAAUAAAAUAAAUAUUAAUAAAACAAUUAGGGAUAAAAUAAAAAAAUAAAGAGAAGCCAAGAGGCUAAUUUGAAAUUUGCGGGGCAUGAUGCAAUAAUAGAUGAACGGAGAGGGAAAAAAGAAGAAGAAAAAAUAGCCACUGAAGUCAAACCGAAGCUCUAUUUUCUACACGCGUCGUUUCUACAUAAGAAAGACACCAAGACAAAUCUAAUGACGCUUAGAAUGGUAUUUUUGGUUGCUAAAAUCAUCUGCACGCACCAUCCGAAGAUAGUGGAGCGUCUGGCGUUUACCCAUCACACACCAUCUUUUUUAAAAAAAAAAUCCUUUUAAUUUUUCAAAAGACAAAAAUAACCUUCACUUUACCUGAUAACAACAAAAAAGCCAAUAUGAUAAUAACCAAAAUACCCUCAAAUACAAGGUAUGAAAAAUUAAAACCCAAGGGUAAGGAGGUAUUCUACAAAAACAAAUUUUCUAGUCGGCCAAAAUAUUUUUAUAUAUAAAGUUAAAUUGAUUAUUUUAUUAUACACUUUAAAAAUAAGAAUACAAAUUUACCUCUCAAUGACACAAAACAAGGAAUUAAUUUUAAGGAUAUUUAUAAUAAUUUAUUGUGUAAUUUUAAAAUAAAUACCUUUUUUACCCUAAUCAAUUUACAAAUAUCAAAAUGAUCUAUUAAAAAGACAACCAUUCUCUAGCUAAAAAGAUUUUUAUAAAGAUAAAAUAGUAAAUUUAAUUUUCCUAUCCACAAUAAAAAAAAAAUGAAUAGGAAACAAUGAAUCCACAGUAUUUUUAUUUUUUUUUGUUUUAUAAUGUGCGAAAGGAAAUGGUUCUUCAUGGAAUUUGCUAAGCUACUUCCAAGUUGCUUCCUCUUUCCAUUAAAAUCCAUGAUAUAAUAUAAAAGAUUCUCUUGUCAUUCUUUGCUUCCUAACUUUUCCCCCACCAGUAAUCACACAAGUCAUAAAAAGCUUGAAAAGUACAGGCUAGGGCUACUAAUCUAUGCAGUUAUCUCAACAUUUUCCCUCCCUAUAUUUGAUAUUCUCAAAUCCAUGAUAGAACAUAAAAGAUUAUGCCAAUGCAUGCACAUGCUAAUUACUUAGCUUAAUUAUGCAAAAUGCUCAUUAAUGUACUUUUUGUCGUAAACAUCAAAAUAGUAUUAUAGUCUUCAAACACUAAUCUUAACCUCAAUCCUCCUGUAAAUGCCAAUCUUAGACACCAUUUGAUUCUGCGUUUGGUUAAAUUUUUUAAAAAAAAAAAUUUAAAAUUGAGUACGGUUUGUAUUUUUUGGAUCGUUUUGAUGUGCUGAUGUCAAAAAUAAUUUUUAAAAAAUAAAAAAACAUCAUUGACAGGUAUUUUGACAUGAAAAACUAUUUGAAAAGCAACCAAUAUCACACUGAUAAACACGCUUUUAGUCAAAGUGAACUUUAAGUGUUUUGCUGUAAUCGAGGAAGUUUUCGUGAAUUGGUCCCUACAUCUAUCCGUAUACACACUUAGCCCUAGCCCAUAAAAUAGAGAUAUACACUGGCCCAUGAAAUAACAUAACAUGCUUGCGUCCAAACAGUCAAACUCCCUUUUCCUUUCUUCUUUCCUUGUCACACAAGGAUUGGGUAUAUAUUGUUACCACGAGGUUCUUUAAUCAAUCCAAGAAGUAGCCGGCUGGGGGAUUUUUAGUCCUUCACGAGUUGCUUUAGGGUUUCUUGAUUGUUGAAGCGUUUUGUGGUCAGUGUUGUUGCAUUUAGUUAGAGAUUUACACAGAAAUAGAUGGUUGGCUUUGUUUUCAGGGUUUUGUCCAAAUGGGGUCUAAACUACCACCACUAAGUUUUUUAAUCAAUCCAAGAAGUCGCCAUUCGAGGAAUCUUUAGUUCUUCAAGAGUUCCUUCAGGAUUUUUAUUAUUUUUUAAGCACUUAGUGGUAAGUCUUACAGCAUUUUUCUUGUAGUAACAGUUUGGUUCUUAUAGUGGGCCAUGGAAAGGUACAGGUUAAUUAAAGAAUUUGGGGGAGGGAACCUAGUGUCCUGAAGGCGAUUAAUAAGAAGUUGUUGCCAUUAAGCAGAUAUGGCGCCGUUUGGUAACUUAGGUUCACCCGCAGCCACACAUAAUUCUGUUUGGUAAGUAAAAUAUUCUGCUUUUUAUUGGUAGGGCCCACGAAAAGUUGAAUUAAAACCGGAGAAGCAACAUUAUGCUGCUUCUCCUGAUUUUAGAAAGCUGGAACAGUGGAGCCAUGCUCCUCUGUACAGUGCGAGUGCAUCAGUUUAGGUUUUUUUUUUUUUUUUUUUUUUCCUGAAAAACCAGAUAAAAUUACAUGAUUUCACUCGUAUUAUUCAUGUGAACGUGAACAAUAUUUUUUUUCAUUUUUUUUUAAAUCAUGAAAACUGUAGUUUUUGUCGAAUGAAUUUUGUACGUAAUGAAAUUGUAAAUUUUUUUUUUAAAAAAUGAGUUUUAGUUGAAAAAAUAGUAUUUAAUAUUAUUUAAUAACACUACAUAAAUUAGAAGGAUAUAGCAUGAUGACGUAGCAUUUGUGAAAUUUGAUCACAAUUCCAAUUAUGUUCUUGCCGUGUCCGACCCAAUUAAAAAAAAUUAAUUUUUAUUUGUAUUUUAAUUGUGUUUUAUUCAAAAAAUUAGAAGGAUAUCACUUGAUGACGUAACAAAAAAUUUAGUUUUUGUUGUUGCGUGUUUAAGAAACCAUGAAAAAUAUAGUUAUUGUUGGAUAGAUUUCGUAUUCAAUGACAUUGCAUAUAGUUUAAUAGAAUAAUAAAAAAUAUUUAAUAUCAAUAUUAUUUAUUUCAUGAUGUAAUAAUAGUAGUUAAAUCUACAAUAUUUAAAUUAAAAGUAUUUUUUAAUUAUUUUAUAACCUCAAUUUGAAAAGCAUUUUUUUAACCAAACACAUUAAACUACUUUUUGUUCAACCUCAAUUUCAACCACAGUUUUAACCAAACAUAUAUUUUUUCAAAUUAACCUCAACUAAAAGUACUUUUUAUAAAAUAACUUUUUUAAAACCACAACCACAACAGCAACCGCAAUACCAAACACACCCGAAGAAACGAUAUGAUUCGUGGGAAGAAUGUUUGAGUUUGAGAGAAUUGAAGUCCUUGCAGAAUUUGCAUCAUCCAAACAUUGUGAUGCUUAAGGAGCUUGUCGCCAAAACAGCACUACAAGAUUUCACAGUUUUACCGACGGCCAUAUUCCAUUGGUGUUUGAUUGAGAGUUCGUCGGUAAAUUAUUUAUCGACUAAAUUCCCGACGGAAUACGCCCGUCGGAUUACCUUUUGUUGGUGAUUCCACAUUCCAUCACUAUAUCGGUCGGAAAAAAAACAAAAACACGUACCGACGGUUUUACAAACGGAAAGUGCGCGCCAAAAAAAAAUUUCCCGUUUGAAACAUACAGACGGAAAAUACUCCGUCGGUGAUAUUGUUAUUACCGACGGAAAAAAUCCAUCGGUACAUUGGUCGGUGUGUGUUUGAGAUACCGACUGAAUAUAUCCGUCUGUAAAUUCGUCGGUGCGUUUCAAAUUCCGACGGAUUAAAUCCGUCGGUAACUCUGUCGGUGAGUGUAUGGAAUACCAACCGAAUUUAUCCGUCUGAAUAUUCGUCGGUGAUGUCCAAUGCCGACGGAGUUAUUCCGUCAGUAAAUCCCUAUGUAAUUGUUUUUUUUUAAAUUAUUUAAAAUACAUAAUAUAAAAUGAUAUAAAUUAAUGGUAAUACAAACCAAUUAUGCAAAUAAAAUUCAUAUUAAGCAUCAAAAAUAAAAAAUCAAAGUUAAAUAAUAUUCAUUACAAAAUGAAUGUGUUUCAAAAACACAUUAAACGAAAUUUUAAAUGUAAAUAAUGUUUAUUAAAAAUUAAUAUAAAGGUGGUGGAGGAGGAGGAGGAGGCUGGGGGUUAGACGGCCAAAAAGGAUUAGGUGCACAUGUUCCACCUUGUGCCAUGUUCAUGACCAUUUGACGAAGCUCUUCAUAGGCCGCUCUUUGUUGUUCAGACUCUGCUAUGUGUUGUUCUUUGAGUUGUUCGUACGCCACUCUUUGCUGUUCUUUGAGUUGUGUGUACGCCUCUGAUAGGUGGUCGCACUUUUGCUGCAAGGCCACGAACUCCUUAGAUUGGGAGCUCGAUACUGAUUGGGAGCUCCCGACGGUUGAAGCAGUAUCGGCCAACCGCAAGUUGGCGGCCGUAGUGUUGGAGAGCCCGUAAACCCGAUUUUUAUCGGGUCCACCUGACGAUCCAGCCUCCAUCCACAAAUCCGGAUCGAAUUCCGGAUGGGUCGAAGGAUCGUCCCCGUAUCUCUCCCUCAACCGAUUAUUAUAGGUCUCCUGAAAAAAAAAAAGUAAUCAUCAUAUUCAAUUCAAUAAACAUAAUAAUAACUUACAAAAUAAAAUGGUUGAACAAACAUACCACAAACUGUUGAGCACGGUUGUCAACGAACUGUUGCGUCCCCUUUUGGCGGUCUUGACUCCGCACGUGCGUCUCCACAAACAGCUCCAUAGGGCUCAGCUCACGUCCAAGAGACGUAGCCUAUAAUGAAAAAAAAUUUAUUAACAACAAAUUAAUUGAACGAUAUAUUUCAUUUAAAUUAAUCUUACCAUCUGUUUCGCAUGUGCAGCAAACGGAACGGAGCCGCCGGUGUGCGUUGUGACCGAGCCAUGAAUUGGCCGAUUCCGGUUGCCAGCACCGGACUGUGAGCAUCGUGUGAACCGCUCAGACGUCAUGCUGAAGAUAGUGCGGCCAUAUAUCUUCCGGGAUGUAUAUCGGUUUGAAAUCCCUCCAAACCGCAACAUCGUUCCAGCCUUGGAACCCCUUAUCCCUCGCUUUUUUUUUGCCUUUUUUUGGGUUUCGUACCAAAAAUCACGCAACCUAAUUCACACAAGCAAAAAUUACAUUUCGAAACAUAAAUUUUUAUGUAAAAAAAAAGUUGUAUUGUUUUCGAUGUUACCUAAUUGCCGCGUGAUUUUCCCACACCCUCCUCACAACAGUGUUAUGUUCAUCGUCCCAGCAGAAUCGAUGCUGUGUAUAAAAAAUUAUUUUUUAAAAUGUUAAUAAUUUAUUUACAAUUAUAUGUAGAAUUUAUUAGAAAUAAGCUGAAAAUUAUAUAUUAACACGAACCUCAAAUCUGCGAAACCAUGCAUUGAUUUGAGGCAUCCAUUCAGGAUGCCUGGAUAUCUGACUCCAUUGAAACAAUGGAAUCUCCUCGACGCUUUAAACGCCGAUGAUAUUACUCGGGCGGCCUCAAUGUUUGUGAACCUGAAAAGAAAUGAAAUUAAUGAAAUAGUGAUUACUUCAUAAAUUAUGUUUUAAAUUUAUUUUUUUAAAAAAAAAAAAAAAACUAAAACCUUAACAAACUUACAUUGAAAGAUCUUCCUUCCACUGUGCCUCGUACUUGCGGGUAAAUUGAUUCCGCUGCGAAGGCACGCAGCUUCUGCGAUGUGAAACAUCACUGGAAGAGGCAACAUCGGUUGACGACCCAAGUGGUGUAGGUGCCUCUUCUUGAGAGGCACCUAAGGAAAUAUCAGCAUCGCUGCUAGACGAACUUGAUUCGACUGGACGUGUAGCUUUGGUUUUCAUUAUGCGCAUCUAAACAAUUUUAUAUAAAUAAUUAUAUAAUAAAUUCAAAAGUUAAAAAAAAUCGGCAGCACCUCCCCUAUACUGGAUACUACCCAAAUCCACAAACCUGCAAAUAUUAACAAUAGCCACAACCAAUUGACCCAAUCUAUACUAAUUAUUCCAACAUAUUCAAUUACUAAUCCUAAGAUAAAUUCAACAUUAACAAUUACAAUUCAACAAAUUAUUCAAUAAUUAUGUCAAUACAACAAAACUAUAAAUUCAAAAUAAAUAGAAACAAUUAAACACAAAUCAUCAAGUUAGAGUAAAAUUAAUAAUUCUUCCAACAUAUUCAAUUACUAAAUCUAAGAUAAAUUCAACAUUAACAAUAUUAAUUCAACAAAUUAUUAAAUAAUUAUGGCAAUACAACAAUAAAAUAUAUUCAAUAAAUUAAAUAUAAACUAACAAUUAAACAUAUGCAAUUACUAAUCAACAAAUGCAAUUACUAAUUUAAGGUAAAUUCAACAUUAACAAUAUUAAUUCAACAAAUUAAUCAAUAAUUAUAUUGGCAAUACAACAAAUUAAAAAAAUAUAUAGACUAACAAUUAAAAUCAAUGGAAAUAAUUAAACACAAAUCAUGAAAUAAUAGAGUAAAAUUACUAAUUAUUCUAACAUAGUCAAUUACUAAUUCUAAGUUAAAUUCAACUUUAACAAAAAAUAUUCAACAAAUUAACUAUUAACAAUUAUGACAACACAUCAAUGAAAAAAAUUCAAAAAAUUCAAAAAAAAAAACCUACAUCAAGAAAAGGAACGAAAUAUACGUACCUUAAUAAUGUGUCAAUUCAAAACUUUAUCUACAUUAUAAAAAAAUACACCAAAACAACAAAAUAACAAAAAUAAAAACAACUAAAAAUAAAAUAAAAUAAAAUAGAAAAAACCACAUACCUUUAUUCAAAUCUUGCAAGAGAUUCAAGGUGAAAGCCUUGAAGGAUUGAGAGCAAAAAACUGAAAAUUAUAGGGCAACGAAGGAGAAGAAAAACAGAGGAGAAAAAAAAAUGAGGCGAAGCGGCGGGCGCUGAAAGUUAUAGGUUAUAUGGCAGAUUUACCGACGGAUUUACCAACGGAUAUUAAAAAAAUAUUAUUAAUUUUUUAAAUCCGUCGGAAACAGGUCAAAAGUCUGUCAGUGAUUCCGUCGGUAAUAUGACACGGUCAGCGGUGCAUUCAAUUCACACACUUUGGAAAUCGCACGGGCCGUCGGUAUUUCUAUCGGUAAUAUUUGAGACCGACAAAUUACCGACGGACGUAUUCUGUCGGUAUUGGCGUCGAAAACUCUGUCGGUGUGUCCGUCAGUGAUUGUGGUAUUUUGUUGUAAUUAUUUUCGAACUCUCUGUGAGAUACCGACGGAUGGAGGUCCAUCAGUGUUGCUGUCGGUGAUUGUGGUAUUUUGUUGUAAUUAUUUUCGAACUCUCUCUGUGAGAUACCGACGGAUGGAGGUCCGUCGGUGUUGCUGUUGGUGAUUGUGGCAUUUUGUUGUAAUUAUUUUCGAACUCUCUGUGAGAUGCCGACUUAAUAUAAUCUGUCGGUGUAAGUGUCGGUGAAUCCGUCAGUGAUGGCGUCGGUGAUUGUGGCAUUUCGCAUAAUUAAUUUUGAACUCUCUAUGAGAUGCCGACGGAUGUUUAUCCGUCGGUAUGGACAUCGGUAAGUUUGCAUUUUGCAGGAAAGGUUGUAUUUGUAUUGCCUAUUUACUUUCCUGCAAAAACUUAACUGAUAAACUGUCCAUCGCAUAAAACAAUAACAACAUUGCUUAAACAACAAAUAUUUUGUUUUACAAAAUACAUCAUCCAUCAUCUAAAUUACAUGAGAAAAAUGGUUUUACAUAGGGCUUCAUUUUGAUAGUUAGUCGGAAUUUUCUUCUUCUUCCUCAUCAAUUGAAUUGUCAUCAUCUUCAUCGCAAUCUUCAAUAUGGAUAUCAUCUUCUUCAUCGACAUUUGCUUGUUCGCUAGAGCUCAGAACAACAUUCAACUCCUCUCCGUCAUUAUCAACAAGACUAUCAUUGAGAACUCAAAAAUUUGAAUUUUCUUCCAAUUCAAUCGAAUGAGCAACUCGAUAUGGUUCAACCAACUCACGAACUUGAAAGACUUCAUCUCGCACACUUGUGUCUUCGUUCUCAUCCUGAACAACCUCGACACGACCCCGUGGUUUCGUUUUUAAAACGGACAACCAAUCAACUCUUGACGAUCCUUUCUAAAUGAAGGGGUGUAUGUGUAAUAAACUUGUUGACAUUGCUUUGCGAAAACAAAGACAUCAUUUAUGUUGCGGAGUCUAGCUUUUGAGUUGAUUUUGACCAGACCAUGGUGCGGAUCAACUCUGAUUCCUCUAUCCGUUGUGUCAUACCAAUAGCAUUUGAAUAAAAACACUUUAUUCUGCUCGCUAUGAUAUUGCAGUUCGACGACCUCUUCUAAUCUACCAUAGUAGUCAACUUCUAACUGGCUACUUGUGGAUCCCUUAACACAAACACCGCAGUUGUAUGUCUUUCUUCCUUGCCCGUAUUCUUCAGUAUGGAAAACAUAUCCAUUGACAAAAUACCCGUUGUAGCACUUAACUUUUCUUUCAGGGCCGAGGCUUAGUGAAGACAAUGACUUGGGCGCACUCCUUCCCAUUUGAUAAACCUUGUAAAUAUAUGUAAUUAAAUGUACAAUAAACACGGUAAAUGAACGAGAAUCUCGUAAUGACAUGCAUACGCAUACGUUAGAAUGAGUUUGUGAUAGUGCUUACAUGUGUUCUGAACCAUGUGGCAAAUUGUUCAUCUUGUAAUUGAAAGAUCUGGGAUUCGGUCAGCUGCGAGUUAUUGGAGAGCAAAUAUUGUCGAUGUUGCCUGCAAGUGAUAAUGAGUGUAUGAUAUUACAAUAUAUAAUUAACAGUAUAUUACUGACAAAGUUUAAUUAGUAUUACACAUAUAUAGACUUACUGAAUAAAUGGUCUCAGCUCAUCACAGUUAAAUAGAACAUAGUUGUGUGCUUGUUUGAAUUCUAUUUCCGACAAAUAUCUUCCUCUUACGGCAUUUUUAGGUGUGGGUCGUCCAGUAUUGGAGAAUAUUGACAAGUUCCCACUGGAAGGCACUUCACCGCCAUCGUCAUGCCGUGGAACGCGAUUGAUUCUUGUUCUCAGAUGAGGUUCGAAAUAGUACGAGAUAAAUGUUGAUAUCUCUUCAACAAUAUAGGCCUCAGAUAUCGAAGCCUCAACAUGCGCCUUGUUCUUAACCUUUUUUUUUAGAUUAAACAAGUACCUGCAUUGAAGUACAAUUCAAGUAUUUUCAAUUAAGAAAAACAUAGAAAAUACUUUAAGAUAUGAAUUCCAUUGCAACUGUAAUAUCUCACCGUUCGAAUGGGUACAUCCAUCUAUACUGGACCGGUCCUCCAGCUUUUGCCUCGAACGGUAGAUGUAUAGGGAGAUGCUCCAUUGAGUCAAAAAAUGAAGGAGGGAAUAUCAUCUCAAGUUUGCAUAGUGUCUCGAUGAUAUUCGUUUGAAGCAUCUCAAUGUGCUCAACAUUCACUUGCUGGAGCAUAUAUCUCUGAAGAAAUGACUGAUCUCCGUUAGUGCAUCCCAUAUUCCCUUUGGCAACAAAUCACGAAAAGCUAAUGGGAUGAGUGUUUGCAUAAACACGUGGCAGUCAUGACUCUUCAUUCCAUACAAUCUGCAGUCCUCUAUGUUAACAAGCCUUGAUAUGUUCGAUGCAUGUCCAUCCGGGAAACGCAGACUCUUAAGCCAUUUGUAGACUAGCAGUUGUGCGUUUUUCUCUAACACGAAGCUUGCCCUUGGUUUUGCAACCCGUGACUCUCAUAAACCAACUCCAUAUUUUUACGGUUACAGUAUAAAGCUAUAUCCAAUCUAGCCUUCAUGUUGUCCUUUGUCUUCCCCUUCACAUCCAUGACGGUGUUGAAAAUAUUCUCAAACACGUUCUUUUCGAUGUGCAUGACGUCAAGGUUAUGGCGGAGAAGAUUAGUCUUCCAAUACGGAAGCUCCCAAAAGAUACUUCGCUUUACCCAAUUAUGGGUCAAACCAAAACCAGGAAACUUUUGCUUACCUGAUUGAAGGCCAAACACAAUGUCACCGUACUCUGAUACAACAUGAUGCAAUUCUUCACUAGAAAGACGCGGGGAUGCAACAUCUUUUUCAACUCUACAAAGAAAUCUUUUAUGUUCUUUCUGAACCUGUGAUUAAGUGGCAAGAAGCGACGGUGACAGUCAAAAAAAGAAGUUUUACCUUCGUUUGCUAGCGUGAAUGCCUUGUUGUUUUCCAUGCAGUAUGGACAUGCGAGUUUCUCAUGCGUGCUCCAACCAGAAAGCAUUCCAUAAGCUGGAAAAUCACUGAUAGUCCACAUCAAAGCCGCCCUCAUAAGGAAAUUUUGUUUCCUCGAUAUAUCAUAAGUCAGAGAUCCGGAGGACCACAACUGCGCCAGCUCAUCUAUCAACGGUCGAAGACAAACAUCUAUAUUCCGCCCCGGGCUGCUUGGACCGGGUAUGAUAGUAGAUAGAAACAUGAACUCCGGCCUCAUACACAUUCCCGGUGGCAAGUUAUAAACUGUGAGAAUGACCGGCCAACAAGAAUAGGGAGCAGCAAAUGACCCAAAUGGGUUGAACCCGUCUGUACACAACCCAAGUCGAACAUUCCUUGAUUCAGCAGAAAAGUCAGGAUGAACACUGUUAAAGCGUUUCCACGCUUCGCCGUCAGAAGGAUGCACCAUCACACCAUCAACGCAUCGUGUGUUUGGUGCCAUGUCAUGUGCUCAGCAGUCCUUGGUGACAUAAAUAACCUCUGCAGUCUAGGUGUGAUCGGGAAAUAUCUAAGUUUUUUAUAUGCCACUAGAGUCUUCCCCUGCCAGUUCUGGGUUUGUAACGGGAAUGCCCGCAUGUCAUGCACUCGGUCAUCUCAGCAUUUUCAAGGUAGUAUAACAUAGAAGUUAGGGCACAUGUCAAUUUUCUGGUAUCCUAAACCGAGGGGUUUCAUCAUGGACUUCGCAGCAUAGAAGUUCUCUUUGAGCCUGUUCCCUUCAGGUAAAAUGCUUCUUGCCCAAUCAAUAAUUUUGUCAUACCCGGCCUCACUCAACCCGUGAUCUGACUUGAUGGUGAACACCUGUGCCACCGAUAAUUUACUGUGGUUUGUGCAGCCAUCCCAUAAUGGUUCGUCAGAAUCUUUCAACAAAUCAAAAAACCUAGCUGCAUUUGCAUUAGGUUCUUCUUCUAUGAUUGGACAUUGAUUGACAUUACCUUGAUUCAUUCUCAUUGCAACCAUAACCAUGUUUCUGUAAGGAUUAGUGUUGUCAUUUACCGCUUCAUGCACGUUGCUAGCACUAGAAGUUGACCCAACCACCGUUUCUCCCAUUCUCCUAUUACUAACAAAUACCUCUCCAUGUGCAUACCAACACUCGUAAUCCUCCACAAACCCUUUGUGUAGAAGAUGCAUCAUUACAACAUCUGGAUGCAGAUACUUUUUAUUUUGACAAUUCUUGCAUGGACACCUAAUACCGCCUCCAGUAAAAUUUCUAGGAAUAGAUGUUGAGAAAUUAAUAAAACCCUGAACCCCGUUACAAUAAUCCAUCCUCCGCAAUCCUUGGGGUGAAUCUAGAUACAUCCAUGAACGAUCAUCCAUGACUUCUAUCGAACCUCUAUAAAAUUAUGAUGACAUCAUGUAUAUAUUAAUUAACUAAGUUAGGUAAAUAAACUUGUAACAACUUCUCAUAAAUAUUAAUAUUCAUUAUCAUUUAUCAACGUUCAUACAAAAUAAUAUAUAUAUAUAUAUAUAAAUUAACAGAAAUUACCACUCUGCAAUACCAUAUAUAAAACUUUAAAAGGACCCAUUAAGCAAGCUAUUAAUUAUUUCAAAACAUAAUAUAUAAUUCGGUAAUUCCACAAAGUUUUAACAAUUUACAAACAAAUACAAUCUUACAAAAUCUAAAACAAACCACAACAGGUAUAAAAUUAUACAUUCAUAUACUAGCUACAAGUUUGUUUGAGAAAUAACAAUAAAACAUGUACAUCUACUAAUAAAAAUACAUAUACUAAAAAAACAAUAAAAUUGACAUUUAAAUGUUAAAAUUUUAAAAAGAUAGAAUUACUUACAAAAAUUGAUAAAAUCCGUCGGUAAAUUAGAACACGGAUGCUGUGACCACAAAACUUCAAGAAAUACAACUUGUUGUGCUGAGAUGAGGAAGAUUUUUGUUUAGGGGCGAGGAAGGGGCUGGUUAUUUACAGAUGGGGAGACUUAGGAUUAGGAAUAAGAAGGAGAAAUGAGGGAGGAGAGUGUCGGUAGAGUGACCAUAUAUUCACUUUUACCGAUGGAAUCAUCGAUGGCAUAACAUCGUCGGUGACUCCGUCGGUAAUUCUAACGGUAAAUAGGCACGUCACCGUACGAACCUGCUUUUCAAAUCCCUCGGUGAUUCCGUCGGUAUUUUUUACGGUGCACCAGUCACGUCACCCGUACAGAUCUGGCAUUUCAAAUCCGUCGGUGAUUCCAUCGGUAUUGUUGACGGUGAAUCGGUCCGAUCACACGUACGGGUCCCCAGUUUUGAAUCCGUCGGUGAUUCUGUCGGAAAAAUCAUCCGCGCCAGCUACCCGCCCUUUUUUCAUUAAUUCUGAACUUUCCGUCCGUCGGUGAUUUCGACCGCAAAAUAUCGACAGAAAUAUUCCAUCGGUGAUUCCAUUGGUAUUUAGCGAAUUUCUAGUAAUGUAGUAUUAAAAAUUUAAGAUUAUCAAAUAAUUAAACUUUUUAUCCAAACCAAUAAAUUUUAUGUGUCUAUUUUAAAAUUUGGUUUUAAAAAGAAAAUCGAAAUGACAUAACAAACAAUACCUAUAAAUCUUUUAUAUUACAGAUUAACAUAACCAGUGCACCCAUUUAUCAUUCUUAAGGUCAAUAUUUAGAAAUAAAUAAAUAAAAGUUACGUAACAAUAUUUAAUUUAAGUAACCUCAAAGACUACUAAUUUAGCUUUUGAUAUUAAAAGGGCGUAUGUCUUUACUCUCUGUCUAAUUGAUGAGGCAAAUAUCAGGUCUUCUAUCACCGCUACUCCCUGCUAACUCUUUGCCUCAUAUCUUAAGUUAUAUCUAUCAAGUUUGCUUAACUUAAGAUGGAAUAUUUAUGACUUUAUAUGUAUUAAAUCCAUAUAAUUGUUUUGACCUAUCAUGAUAAACAUGACGUCAUCAUAUUAUAAAACCAAAAUUCAAUGGUGUAUCUAAUUAUCAAAAAGGUAUAAAUAUUGCUAGGAAGUUAAACGUGUGGACCACCCCAAUUAUGAAGCUUGGAAGAAGAUGCCUAGAAAAUGUAAACACGUGAAUAUUGGAAACAAUUACAUCCUUUCCUUUUUAAUUUUUUUUUAAUUUUUUUAAAUUUUUUUAAUAAAAAAAUAAUAAUAAAUAUGUGAUUAAUUAAGAGCAGGUGAUUGCUUUUGUUUUUAGUUGUUUUUUCAAAAAAGAUAAAUAGAUUUUUUUAAUGUUUUUUUUAAUUUUAAUGUAUUAGUAUUAAAAAUAAAAUAAAUAAAUAAAUCAUGUAGUCUAUUUCUAAAUCAAUAUGAUUUUGAAGGUAAAGAAAAAAAAUCAAUUAAAAAAAAAAACAUAUUCGAUCAGUGGGUAAACCUGUCAAACCUGUGAAUCAAGUAACUUGAGCUAACACAUCAAACUCAUAAACAAGGUUAUGGAUUCCAAUAGGAUUAUAUUUUUUUUUUAAAAAAUUUAUUAUUUAACAAUAUGAUAAUAAAAAUAGAUAAUUAUAAAAUUAAACACCAGCCCAAUAAUAAUAUAUAUAUUUUUAGACCGCGAUAACAUCAUACAAAGAAAAAUAAAACCAAUUAUGAAACUAAAUUCUAAACCAACCCAAAUAUGAAAUAGAAAAAAUUUUAAAAAAUUGAUAACCAAAAAAAGGAAAGGAAAAGAAAAAAAAAGAGAAGAAAAAGCAAAACACUAUAAAUUAUUACUGUAAUCUAUAAUAAAAUGGGUGUGGGUGAAUAGCUAUUCUCCAACACCGUUUAGCUUUUUUAAAAAAAUUAAUAAGCAAAAAAAAUACUUCAUUAAACCAAUAAACUAGUAUAAAACAUGUUAACUUUAUAAAAAAAUAAAAUAAAAAUAAAUAAAUUAUAAAGUUAAAUUUUAAAUCAUCCAAUGUGAAAUAAACAAAAACAAAUUUUAAAAAAUAAAAUAAAUAAAAUAAAACACAUUGGAUUACUUAUUAUAAUUUACAAUGAAAUGGGUGUGAAUACGUCUCUUAACUAUUUGUGAGCUUCUUAUUCGUUCUUAGUUUUUCUUGUUUUUUUUUUCUCUGGUGGAAUUCCCACACGUCUUCUUUAUGGGCAGCCCCAUUUUUAAACCCGCUUUUUCAUCACGUUCCCGUGUCCCACACGUUUUCAUCAAAAACCUAAAUUUUAGGACUUCUUUGGCAGCCAUCUAAAAAUAUAUAAAAAUAAUAUUUUUAUCUUUUAAAAAUUAUUUUUACCAUCACUACAUUAAAAUAAUUUAAAAAUAUAAAAAAAUUUAUUUAAAAAAAAUCAAAAUUUUUAAAAACACAAGCAUUCCCAAACAAGGUAACGCGUCAAGAAUCACAACAAUAUGACAUGUUAGUGGAAAGUUGUGAUUAGAAAACAUGACUACUUUUAGAGUGAUUUUGACCGCGUAGCACGAAAUGUGCAUGCUUUAGUUUUUUUUGUCAAAAAAAUCAUCAUCAGAGACUAUUUUAUAUACCGGGGAGCUUGUUUUGAACGCGAUAGUAAUGAUAUUUUAAAGUAUGUUUUAUCUAAAAAUAUAUAAAAUAAUAUUUUUAUUUUUAAAAAAUUAUUUUUAACAUUAACAUAUUAAAAUAAUCUACAAAUAUAAAAAAAUUAUUUAUAAAAAUCAAAAAUUUUAAAAACACAAGCAGUCCCAAACAAGAUAACGCAUCAAGAAUCACAACAAUCUGACAUGUGAGUGGAAAGUUGUGAUUAAAAUACUUAAAGUACAUCCAGGCUAUUUCCAAGGAAAAAAAAAAACAUUACUACUUUUAGAGUGAUUUUGACAGGGAAGCAAGAAAUGUAAUUAUUAUUAUUUUUAAAAUAUUUUUUUAUUUAUAAGUAUAUUAAAAUAAAAAUUGUUAAUUUCGUUUCGUUUUAUUUGUAAUGGUUUCAUAUCAAUUCAAAAAAUAAAAUAAAACAAAAUAACUUUUAUCUUAUUUCAAAUCUCGGUCUCUUCCAGAUUUUUUGGCUAAAUUUCGUUCAGAAUGUUCCGGUUUCAUUCCACAAGUUCUAUUCCGGUCUUAAAAAGCCAUUGAAUCAAAUUGAACCUAGUUCAAUUAAUUAAUUAAACCAUUAAAGUAUAAAAAACUCUUUUUCAUUAGUAUUUUCAUUAACUAUGAUAUUAAUUUUUUAAAAUUAGAUUUAUCAUUAAUAUAUAUGGUUAUAUUCAUGUUAUUUUUUUUCAAGUUUAUACUUUGUAGGAAUUUAGGCCAAAAAAUGGAUGUUUUAGAUCUCAUUAGUCUUGAUAACAUUGAUCUAUCUUUAUAUUUAAAAUAUUAGUGUUAAAAUAUUUUAAUUUCAUGAUAUUUUGAUAUUUUAUUGAAGUUGAAUUGUUUUAAAUUAAAAAUUAUUUAAUCUUAAUUAUUUAAAAAUAUUUGAAAUUUUAAAAUUAUAUUUCAUCACGUCUCAUGAACCCCGUUGUGUCAAAAACAAAUUGCCUAAAAUUUAGGCUUUAGCAGUUCCUUUUUUGAAAUCCUCAUUAGUGAAAUUUCACGACUGCUUUAGCGGUUCCUUUUUUGUGUGCUUUCAUCUUAAAUUCAUGACCAAAAGGUAAAAUAUUCUACUUUCUAGUUUAGUAUUAAAUUUAGUAUUUAAAAAAUAUGUUUAUGAAUAUGGCAGUUUCAGGUUUAGAAACCAAAACUGCCAUAUUCAUACUCUCUCUUGGACAUUUUAAAAAUGUGUAGAAUACUUUUUAGUGAUGAUUUAUAAUAGUGAAUAGAUUUAUUAUUUUAUUAGGUUACUUUAAUGAUAAAUCAAUAUAGUAUUUUUUUUAUUUUUUGGAUUUUCAUCUUAGGGAAACUCAAUAGGAUGAAAAUAAAAUAUUAAUCAAACUUAAAAUUAUAAUUGUUUAUCUAUCCAAUUAAAAAAAAUAUGACAAUUCAGUGGUCUUUAAUGAAAUAAAAAAAAAUGAAAAAUGUUAUUUAUGUAAUUGUAAGCACACUAUAUUAUAUUACUUUACAAAGGGACGACGGACAUCCUUUCCAUUAGGAUUUCUUUAAGAGAUGGGGGACGAGAUGGCUGGUCAUUUUCAAGCAACGGAAGACAAAUUGGCAUCCUCUUUAGCUUCUCACAAGAUAUAAUUACCUUAAUAUCUUUAAGAGAAUUACAAAUCAGUUUUGCAUUGCAAAUGCUUUUUAGUUCCGGUAAGCCACAAAAUUUCACCUACCAGAGAAUUACAAAUCACAAGAAGGAAGUUGCUAGGAAGGAAGCCACAAAAUUUCACCUACCAGAGAUUAUAUUAUAAGAUAUGGCAAGUUGCUGUACACCUCAAAUUUGCUUUUCUUUUGUCUAGCGCUGCAUAUAAUUAAAAACUUCAACAAAAGAAUCAGAAGCUAAUUGCUGUCUGAGUUAACGUGUGGACCCACCCCAUUGUUGAAACUUUGGAAAAAGCUGGCCUGAAAAUGUAAGAGCCUGAAGCUUAGCUUCAAGAGCUGUAGCAAAGCAUUGACCGUCAUUAUCUGAUCCACUCCAACUUCCAUUCCCUACAAAUUUAACGAAGAACAGCAUUAGCAAUAAAAAGAGUUUUAUAUAUAACUUAAAGAAAUUCUAGUUAUGAAUUAGCAAAAAAAAAAAAAUCGUGCUUAGGGGUACUGAAACUACCGUUUUAUAGAUAACUUAAGAAAUUUUACUUAUGAUUACCUACUUAGUUCACAUCUUGAGCUUGAGAGCUCAGGCAGAAACACAAGUUUGAUCGCUCCCAGAAAGGUUCAAAAACUGCUUUUCCUAGUUAGCAUUUCCAUGAGCAGUAAGCGUCCUAUUCGUUUCGUUGCCCACGCUUAGUUUCGAGGUGUCAGCAACGUUCUUCUGAGCAUAAAUUCUUCUUUAAAACAAAAGGCGUAUAUGGUGAUUGUAAGGCAUAAUCCCGCAAAGUGUUCCAGUUUUUUUGCCUCUAUGACAUGGAUAUGGCUUCUCAUUAGUGAAAAAGCUAAAUGCUGUUUAUUGCACGCUGCUAGUUGGGAUAUACAGAACUCAGUUAAACCCAGCAAGUCGCUGCAUCAGACUUAAAACUCCAUAGCAGUCAGCACAAUCUAUGAAGAUAAAAUUGAAAACAAAACAAUCAAUGUAAACACAUGAAAAUGAGAAAGAAUAGCAUAUUUCCGCUUUUGAAAAAUCAUUCAUCACUUUUAAAUACGCAAAUGAUUAUCCCUAUUAAGAAAAUUCAACGACAACAAUAUACUCAAGAGCAGGGGCGGAACUAGGGGAGGUAGGCAGGGGUCCGGGCCAAAAUAUUUUGAAGGUUUGUAUUUUUAAUGUUUAAAUAUAAUAUAAUAUAAUAUAAUAUAUUUUUAAUUUAAAUAGAUAAGAUUUUUAAUAAUAAAUUAUAUUUUGAGUUUUGGCCCUUCCUAUUAUAUCAUUUCAGCUCCGCACCUGUCAAAAGCAAUAUUACAGUAAAGAAAUUAAAUCAAUACAGAUAAAUAUAUGAUCCAAAAAUAAUUAAAGAAUCAAUCCAUUUAAUCGAAAAAAACAUGACUGAAUCCAUAAACUAUAUGCCAUUCUUUUUCUAAAGGAGGCAGCCCCACUUUUUCAUUAGGUCGCCAUGGUCCCCGUGUCCCACACGUUUUUAAGUGCGUCCAGGCUGGUUCAAAGGGAAUUUCACGACUUGUCUGCGAGAGCUUCAACUCUACAUUGAAAUGUUUUUUCUUAAUCUGUGAGAGCUUCAUAAUAAGCUUAUUGAAAUAAAUUAUUAUAAUGAAAUUAAAAACAAAAAUGCUUAAAAAAAAACAGAGAGACGCCGUGUUUUCUCUAUUGCUACAAGGUAAAAGUCUGAGCAUAUUUUUUUAUUUAUUUUUUUAUUUUUUAAUAAUAUUACUGUUGUAUCUACCGCCUAGAAAUCAAGAACGCUAGUUUCAUUUAAAAGAUUCUGAAGUUCAUAUUUAGAUAAAUUAGCAGAAAGGACGGAAACACAACAAAUCAUACCCAGAGAAUCAAAAGCCAGAAACAAGCUACCUCAAUUCCUGCUCCACCUGGCUAAGAAAUGCAGCAUGCCCACUUGGAAUUACACAUCAUCCAAAUUCCAUGGCAAAUAAUUGGUUGGAAUUGUUUCCUGUGGAGUCUUUCAAAAUUUGAAAAUAAAAACAGAAAAUAGAUCCAGCAAAUGAUUCCAAAUAUCUUAUAAAAAUAACAAUGAAAUAUGUUUUUUAUUUACUGUAAGGAAAUAUAUUAAUGGAAAAAAUAAAAAAUAAAUCAAUUUAAAAAAUAUAUAAUAAGUCAAAAUCUAGACUUAAAAUCUAACUCGUAUCAGGUUCCUAGUUGAAUUGAAUAAUUGAAUAAGAAGGUGGGAAAGGGAGAGAGCGAAAGGUAUCAAACAGGAAAAAAGAAAAAAAAAGAAAAAAAAAAAGGAAAGAUCCAUAUUGUAGUAGUAUUCCGGAGGAGAGGGUCAAAGAUGGCGGCUGGUUCAAAGGACGAGCUUAAUCUCAUGAAUCAUUUUUUAACCUUUAUCGUAGGACUUGACACGUGUCCUCUAAACCCUCCUGUCCCUCUUCCGAUCCUUGCUAAACCCUUGUUCUGGUCGUAAUCAUCCAUUAGCGUAAACCUACGCUUCUCUUGACUUUGAUCCCAAUAAACCAACCUAUAGAGUUGGUGGUAAUGUAAUUGAUAUUAUUUUUUAAAUUAUUUUUAUUUUAAAAAAUAUAAAACUAAUUUUAAUGUGUUGGCAAUAAAAAAAAUUAAAAAUAUUUUAUUAAUGUAUUUUUAUUUGAAAAAUAUUUUUUUAAAAAUCGUAUGUAGAAUUACUAAACACCCUUAAGCCGGUGGACAAACACACAAACGAGAAAAUACAAAGGAAAAGGGAUAAAAGCAUAUAUUUGGAGAUGAUAAAAGGGCAUUGAGAUCAAAGAGGAUAAGUUUUCCAGUGAUGGGAUUGGAUGUUGAUGAAAGAUUGUGUGGAUAAGAGCAUAGUAAUUAAUUAUUUACUAAAAAGUUCUUCAGUGACCUAAUUCCGUGGCCCACAAAAUUAUCAUUAUCCAAUAAACUAUUUGAUUAAUUCAGUGUUGCUUAAUCCCAGUUUGCUAUUGCGUUUUAAAUGGGUAUUGGUUAAAUUUUAUUUUUUUAUAUUAUUUUGAUGGGUUGAUAUAAAAAUAAUUUUAAAAAAAUAAAAAUAAUUUUAAAAAAUAUUAUUAUAACACCAACUUAUGAUAAUUUUCUUUAUUGAUUAGUGAAUUUGAUUAGACUAAGAAUCUCCAUCACAGCCCAACAUCAUUAGCUUAUCUGCCAUCCCUUUCAAGAGAAGAAGAUUUCGAAUCAGUCCAUUCAUUCCCAUCUGUAGCAUCUUUCUCAAGCGUCAAUGGAGAAUUACUUCUGGAUUCUGAGUUGCCAAUAAAAAACAAAAAACCCUUAUAAACUAGUUCGUCUCCCAGUUCUUAAAUUAGUUUCCACAUUGUUUUUCACAAUUUUUAAAGAAAAAAAAAAUAAAAAUAUGAUCAUAAGCUAUAUAUCUAACACUCACUUGAAAGAAACUGAUAACCAUGCAAGCAUUUUACAUGGCAGUAUUUGAUAUGGGGUAAGAUUUUGGAGACAAAUUAGAGUACUCAAAUUGAAUGUACUAGGUGAAUUGCCUGCGCGGUGCUGCGGGUUAUAACAUGAACUGAGCAAAAUCUAAAGGCACUGAGAUCAAACUGAGCAACCACACAGAGUAAAUCUGAAAACAUUGUAACCAUUGAGAUCGAACUGAGCAACCAUUUUGGAAAAAAUAAAAUUUAAAUUAUUUUUUUAAAUGUUUUUUAAUCAUUUUAAUAUUAUGAUAUUAAAAAUAUUAUUUUAAUAUAUUUUUAAAUAAAAAAUAUUUUGCAACGCAACUUUUACCUCACUCUUAAAUAAAUCCUUAUUCUAUUGCACAUAAACAUAUGUUUUCAUGUAUAGUGGAUUAACCAAUCUUUUUAGUUUUCUUAUAUUGUUCAUAAAGACCGGAAACGCUUAAAAAUAAAAUUUUAAUAAUCAAGAGAAAAAAAAAUAGUUGAAUUUUUGUACCUCUCACAAGAAAAAUAGAUAGAUGUAUGAAAUUUUAUUCUAAAUAUAUUCUUAUAAAAAUUUCAAAAUUCCAAUUCAUGUAACUCGAUUAUUAUUCUUUUUUUAAGUUUCUUCUCUCUCUCCCUCUCUCUUUUUUCUUUUUAAUCUGUAUUAUGCAUUUUUAAAAUAUAAUUUAUUGCUAGUUAAUGAUAUAAGAUGAUUUGUACUAGUGAAUAGAUCUAUUAUUUUAUUAGGUUAUUUUAAUGAUAAAUCAAUAUAGUAUUUGUUUUUGGGAUUUUCAUCUUGGAAAUACUCAAUAGGAUGAAAAUAUAAUAUUAAUUAAACUUUAAAUUAUAAUUAUUUAUCUAUCCAGUUAAAACAAAUAUGACAGUUUAAUAGUCUUAAAAGAUAACGAAAUAUAAAAAAAAAUGAAAAAUGUUAUUUAUGUUAAUUGUAAGCACACGAUAUAAAUAAGAAAUAUUUCAUAUUAAUAAACGCUUUACGAGUCCAAUCAAUCAGAUGUUAAUUAACAUAAAGAAAUUAACAUGGUGUUUGCAGAGAAUGAAUUGUAGAAAGAGAGAUUGAGAGUGUGAGCAAUAAAAGAUGAUGCUUACCCUUUAUUCUAUAUUAUAUUAUAUUAUAAUAUAGAUUGAGAAGAUAACCUUACAAAGGGAAAAAAGACAUCCUUUGCGUGAGGAUGCUCCCCCUCCAUUACUGUCUCCCACCAUUCUUUUAGACUUACAUAUAUGUUUUUAAGAGAAGGGGGAGGAAAUGGUUGGCCAUUUUCAAGCAACGGAAGACAAAUUGGCAUUCUCUUCAGCUUCUCACAAUACAUUACAAUAAUAUCUGUGAGCCUGACUGCAACACCAGACCCAAGAAUAAUGGAUGUGGGUCUGGCUAUAAGAUCGUGUCAUAAAAGUAUGAUAAUUAAUAGAUUAAUUAAAAAAACAAAGAAAAAAAUCAACAGUAUUUAGGAUGGGUGGAGGCUGUGGUCGGGUUGUUGUUUGGAGUGGCAAAGCGGAGUGUUGUGGGCUGUUUGGGUGGCUAGUGAAAGUGGGUGGCGGUAGGUGGUUUAGCAAAUUUGGGAGGGUGACAGUAGUGGGUGGGGUGGGGGUUGUGGUGGAGACCUUUGCAAUCUGUUCAGAAUUAUCAAAUGGAAACACAUGUUCAUGAAAGCGAACAUGACGAGAAAUAUAAAUACGGUGAGAUGCAAUGUCAAAACAUCGAUAACCAAUAUGCGAGGAACUAUAUCCAAAAAACACACAUGGAGAGGAACGAAAAUCCAAUUUAUGAUUAUUAUAUGGACGCAAAAAAGGAAAACAGAGACAGCCAAAGGUACGCAAAAAAUGAUAAUCAGGAGACCGUUGAAAUAAACAAUCAAAUGGAGAGCGAUGGGCAAGAAUAGGAGUAGGCAUGCGAUUUAUAAGAUAAACAGAGGUUUCAAAAGCAUAAUUCCAUAAUCGAAAAGGUGCUUUACAUUGCCCUAAAAGAGUAAGAUCUGUUUCCACAAUAUGCCUAUGACGAUGCUCUACUGUUCCAUUUUGUUCAUGAGUGUGGGGACAAAUUAGACGAUGAUGAAUACCAAUGGUCUGAAAAAAUGUGGAUAGUUUUCGGUAUUCACCGCCCCAAUCAGUUUGAACAGAUUUUAUUUUUAAUAAAAAUUGACAUUCGACAAGAGUCUGAAAUUGAUGAAAAACAGAGUAAACAUCAGACUUGGCAACGAAAGGAUAAUACCAUACAUAUUUAGUAUAAGCAUCAAUAAAGAUAACAAAAUAACGAUAGCCAUCUGAAGAAAAAAGAGGAGUAGGGCCCCAUACAUCACUAAAAAUUAAUUCAAAUGGAGCAGAAGUUUUGUGACCCGUAGGUCCUAAAGACAAACGCGAUGAUUUUCCUAAAGGACAACUUUGACAUUGAAAAUUAAGACGUUUGUUGUUACAAAUGAUCUUAUUUUUCGAGAUUAACAAUUGAAAAAUACGUGAAGUAGGAUGACCUAGUCGAUGAUGCCAUAAAUCGACAAAGGCAGAAGUGUAGGGAGACCAAUAGGCUUGAGGAACUGACGUGAUGAAAGACUUGGUCAGGGCAUAGAGACCAUCUUUACUCUGACCUGAGAGAAGGACUUCAUGGGUGUUGAAAUCCUUGACAUAAAACACACGAGGGUGAAAUUUAAAAUAAACAUUAUUAUCAAGACAAAAUUUCUGAACAGAGAGCAGAGGUUUCGUGAUUGCAGGAACAGGAAGAACAUUAGAUAAGGUGAAAGAACGAUGUGGUGUAUAUAUUUUUGUAUGACCUAGAUGAGAUAUAGGAAGGCCCUUACCAUCACCAACAUGCAAAUUAUCAUUACCAAGAUACGGUUCUGAAGCGGUCAAGGUGGCAAGAUCAGGUGUGACAUGUUGAUUGGCACCGGUAUCCGGAAACCAAUCAACAGAACCAGUUGAGGAGAGAUUGCGUUGCACCAGGUUGGCAGUAGGUUGUUGGCCAUAACCUCACUGCUGGAAUUGAGGGCAAUGGGGAGCUGUAUGGCUAAAAUUCUAACACAGUUGGCAGCGUGGAUUAUGCCCCAUAUUGCGCUGCCAAGAGCCCUGCCUAUUGUCACCAAAGGAGGAGUUUUGGAAGCUACGGUGAUCAGGUCUGGAGCCAGCAAAUCGGUUGCCUCUGCUGCUGGACUGGUUGGGAAGCCAGCCACCGUUGAAGCGACCCCUACUGCGGCCAGAAUUGCCAAAAGUCUGGUGCUGCGCAACAAGAGCAGAAGAUGGAAUGCUGGGUGUGGGCAGAAGAGGAGCAUGUAUGGCAGCAGAAGAUUUGUGAAGAAAUUCAUGUGUGAGGAGAUGGCUGUGAAGAUCUGCGUAUGAUAAAGGUUCAGCCUUGGUAAUAAGAAUGGUAACUAAGUUUUUAAACUCUCCCCGAAGACCACGAAACACAUAUAAAUUGAAAUCUUCAAGCGAAACUGGCCGACCAGCAGCGACCAAUUCAUCAAAUAAGGCCUUCGCUUUUUGCAUAAAUUGAGUUACUGAUUCAUCACCCUGUCGAAGAUCCUGAAGAGAGCCGUGAAGUUGCAUAAUACGAGAGUUAGAGGUGGAAGCGAGAGCUCGCUCAAGAGUGCCCCAAGAUGAACAAGAACUUUGACAGCCAACAACAAGAUGCAAAACUUCCAUAGAUAGGGAGGAAAGAAGAGCACUUAGAAUGAAUUGGUCUUGUUGUUUCCAGGUUUGAAAAAGCAGAUUUACCUGAAGAGAGAUAGCAUCAUGGGCAAGAACAUGUGUUGAUGGAGAUGUGUUGGAGCCAUAAAAAAAAACCAAAAACUUCUUGGCCUAGGAGAUAAGGCAGCAUCUGCAUACGCCAAUAUAAAUAACUGGUGUUUGUUAAUUUGAGGGAGAUGACUUGAUGAGUGUGAGAAAGGGAGAUAAUGCUUGCGGCAGCAGAGGCAGCAGACGUGGGCUGCAAGAGGAGGCGUUCACCAGCCAUGGAAGAGGAGAAUCCAGGCGGUGAUGCAGCAGAGGAAAGCAGAGGAGGCGUUAUAAGAGAAGAGGGUUGCACUGUCGGAGAAGAAGAAAGCUGGACUGCUGGUGCUGUAGAAUUUGAAGAUGUAUGUGGCGACUGUUCCAUUGAAGAAGGAAGGCUGUGAGAAAAGUAGGUUUAAUUUAUUUUAAAGUUUUGUGGCUCUGAUACCAAGUUGAGAAUAAUGGAAUGUGUUGGGUUGUGCCUUAACCAACCUUCCUAUUUAUAUAAAGGCAGCAGAACACUACAAUAACUAUAAUGAUUACAACAUCCUAUAUUAGAAUCCUAUUCUGAUAGAUACAUGAGUAACUGUAAUGAUUACAACAUCCUAUAUUAGAAUCCUAUUCUAUAAUAAACAUGAAGAAAAAAACUAAUGAAGAAAAAGAAAAAAAAUUGAAUUAAUUGGGUUAACUCUUUAAACCAGGUUAUCCCAUAAAAUAUGGGAUUCACAUCAUAAAAGAUUGAUAACUAAAUAGAAAAAAAAAUAACGGGUUUACCCAUAAUUAACUGGGUUAACCCAUCAAACGAAGUUAAUCUGUCAAGCCCAAGAUACGUGUCAUGAAAGUCUAAUAAUUAAAUAGAAAGAAAAUUAACUUUAACAAACUAAACUAAAUGAAAAAAAUAAUUAAAAAAAAUCUAGGUUAACUCGUCAAAUCAGGUUAACCCAUCAAACCUGGGAUUCGUAUCAUAAAAAUCUGAUAACUAAAUAAAAAAAAUUAACAUUAAAAAAAAACAAAAAAAAAUUAAAAAAAAAGAAGAAAAAAAAACAGUUAUAUAAUAUAAUAUAAUAUAAUAUAACAUAAUAUAAUUAUAAUUAUAAUUAUAAUAUAAUAUAUUAAUAUAUUAAUAUAUUAAUAAGUAAAUAUAUUAAUAAAAGUUGUGGGAAAGCUACAGUAGUUUUCCACACCUUUUAGAGUAUUAGAUUUAUCAAGUUUGCUUAAUUAAGAUGGAAUAUUUAUGACUUUUUUAAUCUAUAGUGUUUUUCUCCUGGUACAUGGUAAAAGCCUGGGCAGUUUUUUUUUUUUUUAAUUUUAAUAAUAAUUCUAUUCUUUCUAUCCCAAGAAAUCGAGAAUGCUAGUUUCAUUCAUCAAGAUUCUAAAUCCUAUAUACAGAUAAACUCAAGAAUGUGUCUUCUCUCUCUUUUUUUAUUUUUAAUCUGUAUUAUAUAUAUAUUUUUUAAAUAAUUUACUGCUACUUAAUGAUAUAAGAUGAUUUAUAAUAGUGAAUAGAUUUAUUAUUUUAUUAGGUUACUUUAAUGAUAAAUCAAUAUAAUAUUUUUUUUAUUUUUUGGAUUUUCAUCUUGAAAACUCAAUAGGAUAAAAAUAUAAUAUUAAUCAAACUUCAAAUUAUAAUUAUUUAUCUAUCGAGUUAAAAAAAAAAGGUACAAAGGGAUGAAGGAUUAUUUCAAUAUUAAUUAAUAAGAAUAUCCUUGUUGAUUUAAAGGACUAUUUUCAUCAUUCAUAUCGAAAAUAAUUAUGUUUUGCACCUGAUUUUUAACAAAAAUGAUUGAAAAAAUGAUAUAUUAUUGAAUGUGAGCAAAUUUAAGAUUACAAAAAUGAUUAAACUUUUUACAGAUGGAUAGAAUUGAUAAAUGAUGCAACAAAGAAGGAUACGUAUUAUUACAUUUAACAGAGUAAUUAACCAUUAUACAUAUUAAUUAUUUUAAGAAAAAAAAUGUCCUUUGGACAAUAUUCUUUGCAUUAGGAUAGAAUUGAUAAAUGAUGCAACAAAGAAGUAUUCUUACGUGUUAGGAUAGACGACGAAAGGAUUAACAAUACGAAAGGUACAAUUUGAUUGAGAGAGAUGAUGCUUACCCACUCCACUACUGUCUCCCACUAUUUUUUUGGAUAUAUUCUGAUUUUUUUAAGAGAAGAGGGAGGAGAUGGCUGGCUAUUUUCAAGCAACGGAAGACAAAUUGGCAUCCUCUUCAGCUUAUCACAAUACAUUACACUAAUAUCUUCAAGAGAAUUGCAAAUCUGUUUUGCACUGCAAAUGCUUUUCAGUUCUGGUAAAUCAUACAAUUCCAGAGUUCUUAACUUUGGGAGAAUGACUUCCGUGAUGGAAUUGGAGGUGCUGCUUUCUUUAUCUGUUGUUUCUAUUAUCUCCUCUAUUUUCUCACAUCCACUAACAUCAAUCAGUUCCAGGUUUACAAGGAUUGGAAGUAGCACAAGCGGGAACAACUUCUUCAUACUGUUACAGUUCUCACAAUAAAACCUUUUAAGACUAGAAAACAUACCAUUACAUGAUGGCAAUGGAGUCCCAUCUCCGUUGAUACUCAAGAAGAUGAAACCAAGCUCUCCAUGCUAUUGCAAUCCCAAAUGUCGAUGAGCUCAAGUUCAGUUGCAUUCUCUAAUGACAAAACAUCACAUAAACUUCUUGCAUUUAUACAUUCACAAACCAAUCCUUGAAUGCCAUUUAAGAACUUAACAUGAAAAUCUCAUCUCCGUUGAUACUCAAAUUACCUAACCUAACUGUUUUACUUGGAAAAUCACCUCUGUUUGCCCAAUAAUCUUCACCCACCAUUCCUACUAAAAUUUUAUAUGUGCUUAAUGAUUGAAUCCCCUCUCGAGAACUGAGAUACUCCACGAAGUCAGGGAGACCUAUGAAAUGGCAUUGCAAAGUUUCUAAAUUUCUCAAGAAUCCUACUUCCUUUCCUUUAACUGUUAUCGGAGCAUAACAUUCAUCAAUUAACGUUUCCUCUAGUACAAAGACUUGCAGGUGAGAGAGUUUUGGUAAUAUACCACUAGGAAACUCCUUUUCACCACAUCCAUUCAUUCUAAGAUACCUCAGGUUGGUUAGGCAUUCCAUUCCUUGCGGUAUCUUUUCAAGCACUGUAAAAGAGAGAUCCAACCUCUUCAGUGCUCUGAGCUUUUCUAAUGAUGGAACAUGUCUUAAGUACUCACAAUUAUUGAGCAAUAAGGCAGUGAGACUCACCAAAUCAAAGACAGAGUCUGACAAUUUUUCAAUACCUGUCCAAGACAGAUCGAGGACCUUGAGCCCAUGCAAUUGCUUGAAAAAUGAAUCCGCAAUCAAUCCCAGCCCUUCAUUAUCACAUAGAAAUAAAGUUGACAGAUUUAGACACAUUGGUGAAUGGCUGGAAGGAAUUUCUUGAAUCUCGUUUUGCAUUAGUGAAACAAUCGUCAAGUUCUCCAUCCACUCCUUUGUAUCUGGCAGCUCUUUUAAUUAGUGACUUGCAUUAGUAUUUGGAUGGUCAUGUCCCUAAUCAAGUCAUGCAUCUUGACACAUCUUUUACCAUCAUAAUACAUUUUAGCACUUUCCAAUAAGCAGACAUUUUCAAGUCUAUUAAGCAUCGUGUGACCCUCAUCAAAUGCAUCUCCCCUACUCCUCUUUACUUUAAUUAUCCCCUCAUCGAUCAAAUAACUUAUCAACCUCUCCCUCCAAAUCCAAUCAUCUUCGGGAAAUAAUGCACAGUACAAGAGACAUUGUUGUAGUGCUAAAUCACCUAACCGAUCAUAACUAAACCUCAACAACUUUAAUACUUCCUUGUCCUUAAAUUCUGAUUCUCUCAAUUUCUUCAAUGUAUUUCUCCACUCAUGUAGGUUAUCCACUCCCCUCAAGCUUCUUGGUACUGUAAUAAUUCCCAACGGCAAACCAGCACAUUCCUUUGCAACAGCUUUUGCAAUCCCUUCCACUUCUCGCGAAAGUGCUAUGUCACGUCCAAGUUUCUCCAUGAACAAAGUCCAAGCUUCUCCAUCAGAAAGUGGCUUCACUUUGAUUUUACAGUGGCAAGCCAUCUGAUGACAAACCAUUUCUAAUCGAGUUGUCAUAAUCAGCUUGCAUUCUUUCAACUUCUCAGGAAUUCCCACUCUGUCAAGUUCAAAAUUGUUCCACAAAUCAUCUAAAAUGAGAAUCCAUUUUUGUUUCCUCCUUAGUUCU